rnacentral:lncRNA from 1 species
UGCAAGCAAUCAACUACGACAACUUCACAAUCCGAGUUGUAGAUCCUGGCAUUCGCAACAAUGAUUUCUCCUCCAUCCCCCGUUAUUCGCUUUCCAUUUACAACUUAACUUAUAGUCAUCUUCGAUUAUCCUCAAGUACAACACCUAUAACUUUCUUCAAGUGUGCAAAAGCAGAGAACUCGUCUGUAAUGAGAACAUAUAAUUAUGUCAAGCAAGGGAAUAUAACGGCAUCAGAUAUGGAGGACGGGUGCAGAAUAGAGUGGACGACUUUGAUGAGUAAGUCGUUCUUGUACGGAAAGGACAGGAACUUUUCUUAUCAUGACAUACACAACGCACUAGGGUAUGGCUUUGAGCUUCAAUUCGGCGUUCCCAGGUUCAGCUACAUAUUAGGUUUGUGAAUUACUUGCUAUAUUCCAAGUCUACAAUUUCUUACUCAAACUUUCUGACUUUUUGUUACGCUUUAUUUCUCAUUUUCAAUCAUUUAUUUUGUUUAGUUUUAUUUGAAAUAAGGCGAUACAGAGCUGAAAAUGAGAAAGACAUAUGGAGAAAAUAUGUCAAAUAUUCUUUGAAAAUAAAAAUUCUAAAAAUUUUAAAUAGUUUUAUUACUUGUAUUUUGUCUGCCUAAUUUAAAUUCCCUUCUCUCUUCUUCCUCAUAUAAUGUAGUUUGCUAAUUAGUCUUAGUCAACCAUUAAGCAGGGCAGAGUAUAUAUAUAUAUAUAUAUAUAUAUAUAUAUAUAUAUAUAUAUAUCUGUGUUUUGAAAUUUCAAACUUAUUGUCAAGCCUUUGAUUUUGGUCAUUUUUUCUUGUAUCUCUUGCAGGUAUUGACCUUUUGCUGACAUACGGUAAGAGUUUCAUAUUCCUUUCCCUUCUCUCUUCUUCCUCAUAUGAUGUAGUUUGCUAAUUAGUCUUAGUCAACCAUUACGCAGGGCAGAGUAUAUAUAUAUCUGUGUUUCGAAAUUUCAAAUUUAUUGUCAAGCCUUUGAUUUUGGUCACAUUUUCUUGUAUCUCUUGCAGGUAUUGAGCUUUUGCUGUCAUACGGUAAGAGUUUGCAUAUUCCUUUAGUGCAGAAUUAUAGUCAGUAGAAAAAACAAAUGGAAGCAAAGAGUAAGGUUUUUAAUAUAUUAUAUCCAAUAAAGCAUGUCAUUUGUGAUUCUUUUUGUGAUGUUGCUUUGCAGGAGCAUUUUUCCCAAUAAGAUCUAUAUUUGGGUUUCCAUUUCUGGCUGCUCUUCUAAUCUACAAACAACGAAGAAUGCAUUUGUCAAUGUAUAGCAACAUAGAAGAUUUCCUGCAAAGUGAUAACAACCUCAGUCCGAUAAGGUACUCUUACUCAGAUAUUAAAAAGAUGACCAGUAGAUUCAAUGAGAAGUUGGGUGAAGGAGGUUAUGGCACUGUAUUUAAAGGAAAGUUACGCAGUGGUCGAUUUGUAGCAGUUAAAAUGUUGGAGAAGCCUAAAGCUAAUGGACAAGAUUUCAUAAGUGAGGUAGCUACUAUUGGGAGGAUUCACCAUUUUAACAUGGUUCAACUUGUUGGUUAUUGUGUUGAGGGAUCAAAGCGUGCCUUAAUUUAUAACUUCAUGCCAAAUGGAUCUCUUGAUAAAUACAUUUAUUGCAAAGAAGGAAGCAACCCCUUAAGUUGCAUGAAAAUGUAUGAGAUUUCACUUGGAGUGGCUCAAGGGAUUGAAUAUCUACAUCGAGGUUGUGACAUGCAAAUUCUACAUUUUGACAUCAAGCCUCACAAUAUUCUUCUGGAUGAGAAUUUCAUCCCAAAGAUUUCUGACUUUGGGCUUGCAAAGCUAUAUCCGGUAGGUAAUACCAUCGUCUCUUUGACGGCAGCAAGAGGAACAAUGGGAUACAUGGCUCCUGAGUUGUUUUACAAAAAUAUUGGAGGUGUCUCAUACAAAGCUGAUGUCUAUAGUUUUGGAAUGUUGUUGAUGGAAAUGGCAAGUAGAAGGAAGAAUUUGAACGCAUCCACAGAGCAUUCAAGCCAAAUUUAUUUUCCUCGUUGGGUCUCAGACCAAUUUUGCAUGGGCAAAGAGUUUGAGAUGGAUGAUGCUACAGAAGAGGAAAAGAAAAUAUUAAAAAAGAUGAUUAUAACUGCUUUAUGGUGUAUACAAUUGAAGCCAAGCGAUCGUCCUUCGAUGAACAAAGUUAUAGAGAUGCUUGAGGGAGAGGUUGAAUGCUUGCAGCUCCCUCCCAAGCUUCUUUUAUAUCCACAACAAGAGAUACCCAGAGACAAUCUUCAUGGUAAUUCGAAUCCAAUGUGUUCUAACACAGAGCUAACAUGUAGUACUCUGUCAGCUAGGUGAUGAGUAGGACUCAAUUAGAGUUUCAACUUUAAUUUCAGUUUUAUUAUUAUUUAAGCUAAUAAGGGAAAUAUAUGGGUUCAAGUUGCAUACAUUAAAAAUACGUAUUUAUUUUGAACAAAUACUAAUGUAGUUUUGCUCCUCUGCCACCACAAGCAUCACCAUCGUUGCCACAUCACUACCACCAACAUUGAGUCAUAUCUCAUAUAUAGUUUUUUUGUUUUUUUAUUUUUUGAAAAAUGCUAAGGGGACCACCUUUAGCAAAAAAUUUACCCGUAACGGGGGAUAGCAAAAGGGAUAGCAAUAUUUUGCUAUCCCCAAUCAAUAACACAAUGACCUGUGAAACGACUAUCAUACGUGUCAUUGCGUUAUUGGUUGGGAAUAGCAAAAAGUGUUAUCCCGUUAUAUGAGAGUUUUCUCUCCAUUUUUAGAGAGACCAACUUGUGUAUCAUCUCCCUAACAGAGAUGAGACCCAUAGUAUUGGUGGGCUCCACCUUCAUUAGAAAGAUGAUACACAAAAGAUGUUUUUACAAAAAUAAAAUUUAAAUAUUGUAUUUAAAUUAAUGUCAUUUUGAAUUCGCUUGCUUGGUAAAGAAAUGGUUGAGUAUAUGCUACCAAUCCUUUCUUUGCGAGUUAAACUAGCGAAUCCUGAGUGCUUUGAUUCUUGUGUCGACGGUGAACUGUCCAAGCAUGGCUUUCUUCAACAAGUUGGCUCAGUAGAGACUGAGAGUUCAAAUGCAGUUGCUCAACCUUUCUUUCACUACUACAAAAAGUGAAAAAGACUACCAGAAAAAAACGACAGUUUAACGAAAAACCGUCGUUGUGUUUGAAAAGACAAUGGUUUUAUAAAACCGCUGUGUAAGAUUAACUUAAACACCUAACAAAUGGUGAUUCCAAUGGUUGUUUUUUAAAAACGACACACCCAAUUUAAAAAGCGACGUUUUAUUGAAAAAGGUUUUCCUCAGAGUAAACUCUGAGCCCACAAACAACGGCUGAAGGUAUGAAUCAACCGACGUAGAAAGUAAAGAUGACGGUUUAAAGAAACAGCCUCUGUUUUUACUUCGUAAUAACCACGACCAAGUUUUCGUAUCCGGCGUCGCAAAAUUUCAAAAGAAUCCACGGCGGUAUAUUACAAAAUACCGCCAUCUUAAAUAAAUGUACAACGACGUAAAAGAUAAAAUUUAUCGACUUAUUUCUUGUGCCAUACUACGACGGUAUCUUUAACUCUAACCACGUUGGUUUGUUCAAUUAACGCCAUAUAAUAAAAUUUACCACGUCGUGAAGUUAAAAUUACCGUCGUUUUUAUUUACUUCAUACGUCUAUCCUUAUACCUAAAUGGCCGUCUUAAUUACAUUAUUUGUUACUAUUUAUUUCUUGGCUUUUGGUAUCCUACAAUGGUAGACCAACUUAAUGACCAGAAUGGAGAAUAACCAUGACGGUUUGUAUAGAAAACCGCCGACAGAAUAGAUUUUUCUGAGAUCCAAGAGAUACGUCGUGAAGUUAAAAUUACUGUCGUAUUUAUUCACUUUAUACGUCCGACCUUAUAUCUAAACCGUCGUCUUAAUAGUAAUUUUUUAAAAUUUUUAUUUCUUGGAUUUUUUUAUCCUACGUCUAUAGAUCAAUUUAGUGACAAGAAUUGAGAAUAACCACGACGGUUUAUAUAGAAAAUAGCCGUCAAAAUCAGAUAUGAGAUCCCAAGAGUUACGAAAUCUUACCAGAUGGAACUCUGUUCCUCAUCAUAUUUGCAUUUAGAAAGACAAUUUUUUGGAAGUUGAUGAUGUGUUUGUGUUUGUGUUUGUGUUUGUGUUUGUGUCUUUCAGAUACACAAACGCACACACACAUCAACAUCCAAACAAUUGCCCCUAAAAUUUGAUGACGGCAGCCACAGAUUUGCAUUUAGAGAGACAAUAUUUUUGAGAUUGAUGAUGUACACACAUCAUCAACAUCCAAAAAUUUGCCUCUAAAAUUUGACGACGGCAGCCUAAGAGGUGAGACAGAGGGCAAAAAGAAGUUUGUGAAUCAGAGAGAAAAUUUUUUGAACGUUGGUGAUGUAUGUAUGUUUGUGAAUCAGAUACACAAACAUACACACACACACCAACACCCAAACAAUUGCCUCAUAAGAGGUGAGACAAAGGGCAAGAAGAAGUUGGAACCCUAAUUGAAAACUGAAACUAAAAGAAAACGUGGAAAAAAACUUAAUUUAUAAAAAAAAAAUUCAUAUCCACGUCGGUUAUAUUAAACCUAACGCCGUUUAACCAAAGAAAUCAACGUCAGUUCUUGAAACACGGAUGACGUAUUAAACAAAUGAGGUGAAGACAAACAACGUCGGUCAUUAAACUAAAGCCAACGAGGUUUAGACAAACCACGUCGGUGUCUUAAAAAAAACGACGUGGUAACUUAUAAAUCACUUCUUCAAAAGUAAACUUUUGACGUGUAGCGCCCAACUAACCACGUCGUUUUCGGAAUACAAAAAGUCAAAAGGAUUUUUUGCUAACCACGUCGGUUUAUAUUAUUUUAAUGUCAUGGUAACUACAUACUAGGGCGGUUUAUAUGACCACCAUCGUUGUAUUUAUCUUUGGGACACUAUAUAAACUUUUUGGUCACCUAACCUAAACUUUUACGUUCUCUCUAAAAUUUUCAGUUUUCUCUCAAUUUCGCUCUCAUUUUCGAAAAGCUGCGUUUCUGAUUCUCAGUUUCCCUCUCAACUUCUACGUUCUUCCUCGUCUUCGUCUCCAAAAUUUGAUUCCAAAGGAAACUUUCUUUGCAAGCCAAAGGUUUGAAAAUUUUCUCACUCCGUUUUUUUUUUCUUCACUUUCCCUGAUGUUUUUUUCUUCAUUUGAAGGUUUUUUAUUUACUAAUGUUUGAAACAAGACUCAGGUUUGAAAAUGCCAAAUCUUUCACUGUUCGCACUCACAGGUCAUGUGAGGACGACGAUUUUUUCUCGAAUUUGACGUUUUUGUUGACACACCACGACGGUAAUUAAAUUCGUGCUAUUUCAAUAGCACAGCUGUUCAUAAUAACCGACGUGGUGUGUUAAUAAAUACGACGUUUGAAAGAUAAAACCGUCGUCUUAUUUGAAAAGAACGUGGGAGAGAGAAAACUGGGCGGUUUUUUUUUUUUAUGAACUUAUAAUACGACGAUGGUUUUAUUUAAUGACCGUUGUUUUAAGUUAAUGACCACGUCGUAUUACCACAUCCACAUUUAUGUAGAUAGACCGUCGUUUUUCUUGCAGUUUUUUUUUUCUCUGUAAACAUGGUUUCAAAAUCUCAAAGUAAGGAUUCUCAGGCAUUAAAAGGUUGGCAAGGACAUUGCAGUUUCAAAGGCACAAUCUCUUCCAAGCAAUCCCGCAAAGAAGAUGAGAUUUACUUCAUCUUCCUAGAAAGACUCAAGCUCUGUGACAUUUGAUGAAGUGACGAAAUCUACUCGUGGUAUCAACACAAUGAGCCGUGUUGUGAAGAAAAAAAUCCAGAAGAUUAAGCCUGUGGUUGAGUACAAUAAAAGUGGCAAACCACAUGGCAAGGCUGCUAUUGAGAUGCAGAGUUACAUUGGUGUUUUGGCACGCACCAGAGUCCCUCUUGUGGACAAGAAAUGGACUCAAUUGCCCAAGGACCUGAAGGAGCAUAUUUGGGAAGCUGUUCAAAUGGCUUAUGUUGUUGGGGAAGGGGGCAAGAAGAUGGUGCUGUCGUCUGCCGCCAAAAAAUGGAAGGAUUUUAAGUCUACCUUAACUAGGCAGUUUAUCCUUCCAUUCGCAAAUGAGAAGGAGAAGUUAAAAGAGCCCCCUCAGCUUUAUAACUUCAUAGAUAAAUCUGAAUGGGAUGCCUUUGUAGCUUCAAGGUUAUCCCCAGAUUUUGAUGCUGUGCUUUUUGAGCAGUCACAGAAAAGGGAGAAAUGAGAGUACAACCAUAGGUUGUCUCGAAAAGGGUAUGUUGGUUUGGAGGAUCAAUUGGAAGAAACCAUGCCCAGUGAAGAAAUUGAUUGAUCUCUGCUAUGGAAGAAGGCAAGAGAAGAUAAACAGGGAAACAUCAUUGAUCCAAAGGUUGCAGAGAAGGCAAAAUUAAUCGUAAGUUUCACUGACUCUGUUCUAAACUUGUAAAACAGAGGUUUUAUUUUUCAUUCAGACGUCGAUCUUUUUAUUAACCGUCGUUAGACAUGAAACCCCACGACGGUUUUUAAUCACCGCCUUUUAAAAAAUAUAUAACGUCAGGAUUUUUAUAAAACCGACGUCUGGAUUGAAUUACAACGACGGUUUUGUGUUUUUGUGUUAAGUUUUUUAAAUUAAAUUUUGAACUUUCUUCAUAUUCACACGCACACACACACUCUCUCUCUCCCUCUCUAUUUCUCUGCAAUUGGUUUGUACACUAUUUCUGGAUCAAUGAAUAUUUUGGUUAAGUGUUUUUACAUCUGAUAUCAUAUAAACGAUGGUUAUUUUAUUGACCGCCGUUGUAAUUUAAACAAAACAACAGUAGUUUUGGGACGACGUAUUAAAUGAUUUUCUGCGUCUGUUUUUUAAAGAAACUGUUGUCAUAACAACUUUCCCAUGUCGGUUAAUAUUUUUAUUAAUUAAUUAAUUUAAUCAGUUUUACUAUCUGUUCACUCACUAACAUUCUCUCUCUCACUUUUAGGAUGAUUUGAAAAAACAAGUCUCUGAGGGCUUUGGGAACCCCUGAGCAUGGUGGGAGGGUCAGAGGUGUUGGAGCUGGGGUUUUCCCAACUCAAUUCUUCAAUUUGCCUAGACAGCAGAGAGUAAAAUUUGCUGACAAAUUGAAGGAAAGUGUUAUGGAAGCAGUGAGAGAGGAAACCAAAAAGAUGGAGGCCAGGACAAAGGAAAGUGUUAUGGAGGCAGUCAGAGCAGAGAGGGAAAUUUUGUUGAAACAAUUCAGUCAACUAAUUCCCAACUUUGAUCCCAACUUGCGCAGUAAAAUUCCAACUACACCAAUUACUCCAAUUCCUCCAAUUCCUCAAGAGCAAAGCCCAAAAAAUCCAAUGUCUGACAAAGCAAGCUGCUCUAAUGUGGAAGCCCUUGAAUUGGAUGAAGACAAUCCCACAAAUGAUGUUGAUGCUGAUGCUGCUGAAAACCGUCAAGAUAAAACAGUAAAAUCUCUGACAUAUGAUUUUUUCUGAAUUUUUAAUUUUAAAUAGACGUCGGUUUUUAGUUUACAACCCGUCGUGUAUUUUAACCUAGACGACUUUUCUAUUUGUAGCAACGUUAUAACAUUUACACGACUGUUAUGUAUUUACCGUCGUCUAUAACCUUUACCCCGUCAGUAUGUUCUAGAAACCGUCGUUGAUAUUAUAUAUCACGUCGGUUUUGUUGAUUUGUUGGAGUCAUUUAUUUUACUUCAUGUACAAACUAACUUUUAUUUCUUUAUUUAUUAAUUUCUUGUUAUAGGAUCUCUCAAAGCUUGACAUGCCAGCUCAUCUGUUAGCCAUAUGCCAAUAUGUCGAGACCAAGUUGAAGCCUGCUAACGAGACCAUUAGAAUUCACAUACUACAGGAAAUGUUUGGCUCUAAUCAGGAUACCUGGCUCUUGAGUGAAGACAUUUUACAGUUUGCUUCCGUGGUUAAGAUUGGAUCCACAGUGAUUGCAGUAUACAUGAGGUAAUUCUAGAAAUCCAAUUUUGGUUUUUUAACAUUUCCUUUCUUUUAAAUUAAAAUCUCAUUUAAUUGAAUUUCAUAUAUUUAAUUAGGUACCUAUUUGACUAUUUAAAAAUGGCAAAUAUGGUAAACCUUGUUGGCCUCGUGGACCCUGGACUAGUCAGCUCUCAAUCUGGAAUGUUAUCUCACCGUUCAAAACAUCUCUCAGAACGCCUGAAAAACGCAGAUAGGGAUCAAUUUUACUUUGUGCCUUAUAAUCCAGAGUUAGUCCCCUUCUAUACUUGGUCCCUUGUAAUAUUUUUUUAUAUAGUAUAUUUAAUAUAUAUAUAUGGAUCAUUUUGUGUAGGGGUCAUUAGGUGUUAAUAAUUGUGAGACCAGCUAAGGAGACUGUCUAUUACAUGGAUUCAUUGCCAAACCGCUCUGUUGACGAGGACAUGAGAAAUAUAGUGAAUACGUAAGUUUAUUAAUCAAAACCUAAGAUUUUUAAUUUCUGCAUUUGAAUGAUACGAUGACUUUUUCAAAUACCGAUGUUGUAGUGAAAACACAACGACGGUAUAUUAUAACCGACGUUUGAAGUCAUUUACAACGUCAGUAUUUUCUUGAACCUGUCAUCUUAAUUUAAAUACCAUUUCAUUUGUGUUUUUCAUUUUAGCACGUUUUAAUUUUUUUCUGUUCAACUUUCAUUUGAAAACAACUUUGGUUAUACGUCGUUUUUCUUUGUCACCGACGUUAGAAUGAUACACAACGACGGUUCUUAUUUUCCGACGUUUGAAAUAAAAUACGACGUCAUGUGUUUUACAAAACCGUCGUCGUCACUUCUUUACCACAAUGGUUAAUAGUUUUGAUGCUAAUUUUUAGUUUUGUCAUUAACACUUUUUAUUUUCUUGGAACAGUUCAAUCAAAAUGUAUAACUCUCACACAGGCAAACAAUCAUCACGUAAAUCACCCAUAUGGAAAAAUCUACAAGGCAUUCCUAGACAACCAACAAAUGUAGAGUGUGGUUAUUACGUGAUGCAUUUCAUGAGAGAUAUAAUUCAUGAUCCAGGCUUAGCAUUUGAGAAGAAGGUAAAAUUUAAGGUAUGAUUUCUUUAAUUUAAUACCACGACGUGUUCUUUCCAAACCGUCGUUUUAUUGCUUUUAACACGUCGGUUUUUGUUCUUUAUUUGCAGUUUGACAAGAAAAAAGAACCAGUUGUGUAUACUGAAGAACAUAUUGACGAAGUCAGGCUGAAAUGGGCAGAAUACGUGAACAAGCAAUUACAGAACAAUAAGUGAUAUAAUUUAGUUAAAAAAUGUUUAGGUUUAUUUUAAUUUUUUUGAUAAUGUAUAUAAACAUAUUUUUGAUAAUUAAUUGAACAUUCAUAAAAAAAAUCAAAUGAAAUAUAUUUUUGUUUCUAGUUUUUUUUUUUUUUGGUAUCAAAUAUUUAUGUCGUUGAAUGAAAUAAAUUGAAAAUAAAUCACAAAAAUUUAAAUUAAUUUUCAAAAACCGACAUCUCAUUCUAAUUUACACGUCUAAUAUGUAUAAACAACCGCUAUCUUACUAUAGUGGGAAAGAAAACAUCGACGACAUUUAACAAAAACGUCAUUUAAGGUUGAUAUACACGUCGGUUAAUUUAUAAAAACUGAAAUCUACGAAAAAAUUUGAAGAGACAUACAACGUCCGUUAUAGGUUAAAAUGUGACGUUGUAUUUAUAAACAACGUCGUCAUCAACAUAAUAAUCGACGGUGUAAAUUAUACCCAUGUCGGUUAUUCAUAAAAGAUUGACGUUGUAAUCCCUUAACCAUGGCGGUGUCUAAUAUCUUCUAGGACGACGUCAUGUAUUAUUUAACGUCGUUGUAAACUAAUGCAACAUCGGUUAUGUACAUUUGUCAUUUAAUUUUUGUAUGACUUUUAUAUUUUAUUCAUAAUAAUUUCAAAACAAAUUCCAUAAAAUAAACUGACAACUACUAUGCACUCAUUGAAAGAUUUAUCUCCCCUAAAUCUUUAAAAAAUUUAAUGUUAAAUUUUUUUUAUUUUUAUUUAAUUACUAAUAUUCAUAAUAUAUUCAAAAACAAAAUUCGAAAAAUAAACCGACAAAUUCUAUGCACUCAUUGAGACAAUAUCUACCCCCUACAUGCAUGAAAAUUUUAAUUUUAGAUUUCAAAAUUAGAAGUGAUAACAAAAGUCAAAAAGAUUUAGAGACAAAGCACAAUAGUCAUUAUACUUUCCAUAACAUAACCCUAAGGUUUAUGUGAUCCAUGGUGGUCAUAAAAUUAAAAAUUCUUUAAUAUAGAUUUUAGCGUACUAAUAUAGAAGGCAUUGUUGUAAGGAGUCCGUAGCAAUUUUCGGUUCAUUUUUCUCAUACUUGUGUAUUUUUUUAUAAUUAUUGUAAAAUUUAGGGUUUAGGGUUUAGGUUUUAUUGAAACGACGCUGGUUUGCUCUUGCUCUUUUAGCAGUAAGUACACGAUGUUAUCGGCUUUGGUGAAGUUAUAUAAUUUGAAAGCAAAACAUGGGAUGAGUGAUGCUUCAAGGAGAUUUGCUUCCAUAAGGAAAUAUACUACCUUCCUCUAUGUACGAGGCCAAAAAGACAUUGUCUGCUUUAGGGAUGAGUUAUGAGAAAAUUCACGCAUGUCCCAAUGACUGCAUCUUGUGAAGGAUUAUGAAGAUUCAACUAAUUUUCCUACUUGUGGUGUCUCAAGGUGGAAGGAAGGCAAAGAUUCAAUCUUGAAAGAGGGUGUGCCAGCGAAGGUGGUGUGGUAUUUUCCUCCAAUUCCAAGGUUUAAAAGGAUGUUUCAAUCACAUAAGACAUCUAAGAGUUUGACUUGGCAUGCUGCUAGAAAAUCAGUUGACGGUCAAAUGUCUCAUCCAGCGAAUUCCCCGUCUUGGAAACUUGUUGAUGAUAAAUGGCCCGAGUUUGGUAAAGAGCCGAGAAACUUGAGAUUGGCUCUCUCAUCUGAUGGAUUCAAUCCCCACAGUUAUUUAAGUAGCAAAUAUAGUUGUUGGCCAGUUAUCUUAGUUACAUAUAAUCUCCCACCAUGGCUAUCCAUGAAACGGAAGUUCAUGAUGUUGACCUUAUUGAUUUUCGGUCCUAAACAGCCUGGAAAUGAUAUAGACGUCUACUUAGAGCCUUUGAUUGAUUAUUUAAAAUCUCUGAGGGAUGAGAUUAGAGGAGUGUAUGAUGCAAAUAUAGGAGAAUACUUUACACUCAGAGGUGUAUUAUUGUGGACAGUUAAUGAUUUUUCUGCCUAUGGGAACUUAUCUGGUUGUGUCGUUAAAGGAUAUAAAGCUUGUCCAAUAUGCGGCGAUGAUACACCUAGUCACAGGUUGAAAAAUGACCACAAAAUUUGUUACAUUGGGCAUAGAAAAUGGUUACCAAUCAAUCAUCCAUAUCGGAGGCAGCGUGCAACUUUUAAUGGGAAACUUGAAUAUGGCACGCCAGGGAAGUGUUGGUGAGAAUGAUGGUGACAGAGUUUGUUGGAAGAAGAAAUGAAAAUUCUUUGAUCUCGAGUAUUGGAAAUACCUUCAUGUGAGGCAUGUCCUAGAUGUUAUGCAUAUUGAGAAGAAUGUUUGCUAUAGUAUCAUUGGUACAUUGCUGGAGAUCCCUGGAAAAAAUAAAGAUGGAAUUGCUGCUUGGUUAGAUUUAUUGGACAUGGGGGUCAAAACUGAUUUGCAACCCGAGUAUGGACAAAGACGUACUUGCUUGCCUCCAGGGCCUUGGAAUUUGUCAAGAGCAAAGAAGAGAGCGGUUUGCAAUUCUUUCUAUGGUAUGAAGGUCCCUGAAGGUUAUUGUUCAAAUAUAAAAAAAUCUUGUAUCUUUAAAAAAUUCAAGACUUCUUGGACUUAGAUCUCAUGAUUGUCAUACCUUGAUGCAACAAUUGCUCCCUAUGGCAAUUCGUUCUGUUUUAGAGAAGCCUGCAAGGUAUGCAAUAACUCGAUUGUGCUCCUUCUUCAAUGCUAUAUGUGGAAAGACGGUAGAUGUUUCCAAGCUAGAUAAGUUGGAAGAAGAUGUAAUAGUUACUUUGUGUUUGCUUGAGAAGUACUUUCCCCCUUCAUUCUUUGAUAUCAUGGUUCAUCUAGUAGUACAUCUUGUCAAAGAAGUUCGUUUAUGUGGCCCAGUAUAUUUUAGAUGGAUGUAUUCAUUUGGAAGGUAUAUGAAAGUGCUAAAAGGGUAUGUUCAAAACCGUAUUCGUUCGGAAGGUUGCAUUGCUGAGCGGUAUAUAGCUGAAGAAGCUGUAGAGUUUUGCACCGAGCAUUUAUCUAAUGUUAAUACAGUUGGAGUGUCUUCAAGCCAGAAGAUGGGAGUUUCGAAGCCAUUAUCAAGUUGCACAGUAAGCUUAGUUGGUAGGGACUUGUUAAACCAGGCACAUUUAUAUGUCUUGGAGAAUACGGAGGAAGUCCUACCUUAUAUCGAGUACGUGUGACUUUUAUUUUUCAUAUGGAGCCAUUUUAAAUAUUAUUAUUCCUUAUGUUUAUCUUAUAUACAAGGAACUAUAAUGCUUGAUUUUUUCGUGUCAAUGUAGAGAACAUAUGAUCCACAUCAAGACCACUUAUCCAAAAUUUAGAAAGAGAACAAAGUGGCUUCAAGAUAAGCACAAUAGCACUUUCAUUCAAUGGCUCCACUUUAAGGUAUAUAUAUGUUAUUGAAUGACAUGCAUAUUCAACUUUAGUUUUCUUCCAUUCUAUAUGUUAGAUUGAAUUAAGAUAUAUAUGAUUAAUUUGUAGGUUCAAAGUGAACUUAAUGGGGAAGAGCAUAAUGGCGUAUCAGAAAAUUUGAGGUGGCUAGCAGCUGGUCCAAGCAUGGCAGUGCCAUCAUAUAGGAGCUAUCUUAUUAAUGGUGUUAAAUUUAACACCAAGGCACAAGAUGAUGUCCGAACUGUCCAAAAUAGUGGAGUUUAUUUACUUGCACAUACUAUGCAAGUUGCUAGUGCCAAGGAUAAAAACCCUAUUGUCUCCAAUAUGGGUUUUUAUGGUGUUAUUCAAGAAAUUUGGGACCUUGACUACCAAAAGUUUAGAAUCCCAGUCUUGAGGUGUGAUUGGAUAGAUAACACUUCGGGCCUUGUAGUCGACGAACUUGGAUUUACCCUUGUAGAUCUUAGUAAAAUUGGACAUAGGAAUGACCAAUUUGUUAUGGCUUCUCAAGUCAAACAAGUAUUUUAUGUUGACGACCCAAUGCAUCGUGGUUGGUCGGUAGUGUUAUCAAUGCCUAAUAGAGAAUAUAAUGAUGUUAUUGGUAAUGAUGAUGUGCUAGGUGAUACUAGAAUUGAGUGUGAGCCAUUUACUAGAGGGAUACCAAAUGUUGACACAUUUGAUGACCUAGUGGGUGAGUUUGGAAAUGAAAAUAUUAGAGAUGGGUGUGAAGAUACAUAGAUUGAUUGAUUGUUGUAAUGUAUGACAUUAGUUAUUCAGUUAAUUGUAUGAUAUUAAUUAAUAAUUAUGUACUACAUUUUUAUUCUUAUCAUAUUUUCAUUAUGCAGGCUUUGGGCACGACAAAUCAAAAAUAAAAAAAGCUGGGUUAAAGCUGUAAAGUAUGACGGUUCGGUAAAAAAAUUGGAAACGCAGACAUCUAAGAUAAAAACAACGUCGGGUUUCAAAAGGCAAAAGACCGUAAAACAAAAAAAACAGACAUCUGAAAAAGAAAUCAAGGUGGUUUGCCUAAAAUAAAUCGUCAUCUAAAUCUCGAAAUAAAGGCCGUUCAGUUCAAUUCACUGUCGUGACAGAUGUUCUGCACGUUGGCUAGUCUAAAGCAAUUGACGUCUUCGCGCAUACAUACGUCACUACAAGGAAAAACCCUUUUGGCGACCACCACGUUUGGUCGCUAAAAGCUGUCAUUUUGUCGCCAAAACCUUUUAGCGACGAAAACAAAUUUUCGUCACCAAAACCUUUACGCGACCAAUUUGUUUCGUCGCCUUUACCGUAAGAGUUGGUCACCUAAAAAGAUGGGUUCCUGCGAAAAUACCAAAAUUUGCCGCAAACUGAGGAAUGAUUGGGCGACCAAAUAGGUUGUUCGUCACCGAUAGGUUUCGGUGACUACAUGAUUUCGUCGCUAAAGCUUACUUAGUUGGUCGCUAAAAUUUGUAUAUUUUAAGUGUUUUUAAUUAUUGAAUUUAUAUUCUGUUUUGUGAUAAUAUUUAACCUUUUUUGCAUUAACAUAUUGUAAUUUUGAAAAACAAUAAAUUUAGGUAAAUAGAUCAAUAGUAAAUGACAUGAAUAAAAGUUUCUCUCAUUCAAAAGUACACAAGAGCAUACUAGUUAUUCAAGUACACAUAAUAUAUCCAAAAAUAGUGAAUAUAAACGAGUGAAGAACUCUUCACUCAAAGACUGGAGGCCAAGCUCCAUAUAUUCUUAUGACAGGACCCGCCUCGAAUUUCCCGAAACCUAAGACGAAUCCUGUGUAAAUUCCAGACAUCACCCCGAUGUCGGGCCUACUUCUAAAACUAUAUCCUUUUUUCCCAAAAGGAAUAAGGGCACGAGACUUUCUACCGAAAUUUCGGCAAAGUCUCCCCUGUAAAUUGAACAUUGCCCAAAAUGUCAACCUGCACAAAAACACAUUUAAUAUCCCAACAGGCAGCACUCACAAUAUAAUUUCAUGCAAUUCACAUAAACGGCCUUCGGCCUUCCAAUAAUUCUCAACAAACUACCAAGCACGCUAUCAAAUCAAUUCAUGCCUUAAACAAGGCAAACAAUAAAUUCAAAUACGAAUUAUGACUACUAAAUUUCAACAUGCAUCAUUUAACUUUUCCAAUCCCAAUAUACGAGGUUUUAACAUCCUAACACAAUCACAUCUAUGUCUGCGGCUGCACCUAAUAAUCUUAGGCUGCCUAGGUACCCUCACUGAGGGAUCAAGUCACACGUAGUUCUUUCCUACUAAAACCCGAUUCCAACACAUACAAUACCUUUAUUUAUCUCUCUAUUAUUCAUAUAAUCUCCCCACACGCCGGUACUACCAACGCCACGUAUGGCGUUUGUCAACACGCCGGAUAACCUACGUCACGUGCGACCUCACAUAAUAUCACAAUAUCUCCCCAUACGCCGGUACAACCAACGCCAUGUAUGGGGUCUGUCAACACGCCGGAUAACCUACGCCACGUGCGACCUCAACAUACUAUCACAAUAUCUCCCCAUACGCCGGUACAACCAACGCCACGUAUGGGGUCUGUCUCAACGCCGAAAAAUCCUACGCCACACGAGACCUCAACAUCAUAUCACAAUAUCUCCCCAUACGCCGGUACAACGAAAGCCACGUAUAGGGUCUGUUAACACGCCGGAUAACCUACGCCAAGUGCGACCUCAACAUACUAUCACAAUAUCUCCCCAUACGCCGGUGCAACCAACGCCACGUAUGGGGUCUGUCUCAAUGCCAGAAAAUCCUACACCACGCGAGACUUCAACAUCAUAUCACAAUAUCUCCCUAUACGCCGGUACAACCAACGCCACGUAUGGGGUCUGUCGACACGCCAAAUAACCUACGCCACGUGCGACCUCAACAUAUUGUCACAUAAUCUCCCCAUACGCUGGUACUACCAACGCCACGUAUGGGGCCUGUCCGCACAUCGGAUAACCUACGCCACGUGGGACCUAACAUUCACAGGGUGGUACUUAUAGUGAAAUCAUAAUCCGGGGAGGUAAGUGCUAUUCUAAACUCUUUUCAUACAUUUAUACCUAUAUUUAAAUAUAUAAGUUCAAUUAACUAUUAAUUAUAAAAAUGAAUUUCAAUAAACCAUUUAAUUCAUAUGCAUAAAAUUCUAUCACAAAGCCAUGCUAAUUAUUUAAAAAUAAAGUCCAUUCACUAAAGUCAUAGCCGAACCCAAAGCUUACUUCCAUAACUCACCCAACUCAAAUCAUUCCAUAAUUUCAAUUAUUAACAUACUAUCCAAGAGUUUCCUACGAUAAUAAUAAACACUCUAAAAAUCUCAACCUAGUCAACAUACCUCAACAACGCUCAAGACUUGUCAUUAGGGUCAUUAUAAUCAUCCUAGGAAGGUAAAACUACCUCGAAAGACUCAAGGUCAACCAAGGGUCGAACUACCCACACUUGGUCAAACAGGCCCACGGGGCCAACGACCCCCAAAUUCUUAUCCGAAGGUUCCUAUGGGUUCUACAAGGUAUAGGACACUCGUCCUGCAAGUUUAGUCCAGAUCGGACGGUCAGAUCGCUCACGAUCGCACGAUCUGACGGUUAUUAUAAAACAUAAACUUUAAAUUAUUAAAUCGGAACAUCUGUGGCUCCAAUUCACGAUCCUAGAAAUACCUAGAUUAACAUAUAUUAAAUUCAAGACCAUCCAACGGUCCCAACCAAUCGAACUCGGAUAACGCGCAAUAGGCGGUAUCCGUUUGAUAGUCAAACGACGUCCAAAUUGAGAUCUGCGAAAUCCUACGCACUCGUGACAGCCUAAGGAUCUCAUCGAGACAAAGUGCAACUUCACCACCCUCACCCACGCGCCGCCACACGCGCCGGUAGCGCUGGGUGCCCAAGGCGAUUACGCAUCGUCGAAAAAUCUCAAAACCACGUCUCCAAACUCCUACUCUUGGUAUAACACCAUAUUUGGAGCCACUUUUGUUAUUGGACGUACCCCAAAAACUGACCGGAGGUGGCCAGAAUCGCGAUCCGAAAAUCGGCCGAAUUUAAAUUCGUAAAUCGAAUUACUUACGCUAGGAAUCGAUCGAAUCCUACCCAACAGGCAGCUAGAGCAUGAAAAGUAGGUGAGAAACCAUACCUCAUUCAUCGGAAUCGGUGGCCGGAGGAGGGAGAUCAACGUCGGAGAAGUUCGGGCGACACCGGCCGCUUCUUCUCCAUUUUUCAGCGAUACCGCGGCUGCUAGCGGCGGGACCUGGCUGGGGUUGGAAGAGGAUGACGACCCGGUCCUUUUGGUACCGGCCCCGUCGCCAUUGGUGGCCAGAGGAGAGAAUGGCUGGCCAAAAUGUGGCCGGCUGUCGUUGCAUGCACGAGAGAGAGAGAGAGAGACCAGGCGGGGGAGAGAGAGAGAGAGAGAGAGAGAGAGAGAGAAAUCUGAUUUUUAUAAAAAUCCCAUUUUAAAAUAAUUACGAUUGUGUCACUGAGUUUCUUUUGAUCAUAUCUCUCUCGUUACAACUCCGAUUCGAGCCCACCACAUGUCUAUGAACUCAUCUCGCCGUGCUCUAUGCAACGGUAUAGUUGAAAUUCCCAAAUUCCUUCCCGGUCAAAAAGUCAACUUUAAGCCUAAUAAAAAUUUCUAGGGGUAAAAAUGGUAUUUUCUCUGAAUAAAUUAGUAUUUACUAAUUUAUUUAGGACCGGGUCAUUACAUCUUACCCUUGGUAAACCCAAGUUCUGUAGUAAUUAUUUCCCCACUCUAGGACCGGGUUUCGACUAAAAAAGAUGCAUGUAUUUGCCUUUUGUAAUUCCAAGUUUUGUGGUUGUGAUCUUUAACACCUGUGGAUAGGGACUGUGAGUAUGUGAUUUAAUAUCGCGGAAUUCCCAAACACUCUUCCUGUAACAUCCCACAUCGACCAACGGAGAGGGGGUGAUGUGCCUUAUAUAUACAUGCCCACCUCCAUCUAGAACGAGGCCUUUUGGGAGCUCACUGGCUUCGGAGUCAUGGGAACUCCGAAGUUAAGCCUAGUUGGGGCUAGAGCAAUCCCAGGAUGGGGGACCCACUGGGAAGUUGCUCGUGAGUUCCCAGAAACAAAACCGUAAAGGCAAAGAAGGGGGCCCAAAGCAGACAAUAUCGUGCUACGGCGGAGCCGAUCCCGAGAUGUGACACUUCCAAUUGUUGCUUGAUCUUCUCAAACUCAUCAAUCAUCUUCCCUUACGAAAGAAACAAAACAAUGAAAUGUCAAUGGUCAAGAAGAUGCCAAAACCAAGAAAAUUUAAAUAUAAAACUAUAUAUAGACCAAAAACAAACAAUUUUCAACAACAGAAUUACAAGAAAUCUUGCCCAAAAGCUGAAAUUCACAAUCUUAACUAAAUAAGCCAUUAAAAAGUGUUUGGAUCUACAUAAGAAAAAUGAUCAUUGGUAAUCAAUAUUUAAGAAUGUUUGAGAAUGGUAUUUGAACAAACUUAAUAAAAUUUGAAUUCAUUUUUCAUACCUCUCAAUAUCAACUGUCUAAAGCAUACCUUUGUGAUAAUAACAAAUACCACAAAUGACGGAGGAUACCUUUAUGAUAAUAACAAAUACCACAAAUGAAGAAGGAAAACAAUUCCAAAAAAUCAAUGUAAAGACUAACAUCAUGCAUAUCACAAACCCAUUAGAAAACAUAAAUCAUAAAAUCCAAAGUAUAAUCCACACCUUAACCAACAUGGGUUGCAAAACUUCUCAACACAAUACAAAACACGUAUGUCAUUUUAAUACCUUUAAACAAACAACACCACAAUGACAUUGACAACCACUAUAGCUGUUAAUAAGAAAACAAAUGGAACUGAGUGUAAUGAGAAGAAGAGGUUCUUACCUCAAAUGGUCCUCUGUCCAAAAUCACAAACCAAAUCCUUCCACCUCCUCAAAUAAUCUGACAUGCAAAAACAAGAUAUUACCUCAGUAAAGUUAGACUCCUAAAUGACAUUGUUCUAAACACAUUAUAAGAUAAAGGGAACCACAAACCCAAAUAAGGCAAUCACUCAUUGGUUUUUAAUGUUUUCAAUGCAAAUAGAAACACUGAACGACAACUUUUCAGUUUCCACUAGAAUGCAAUGAAGAAUUGAAAUAAAACGAGAUCUAACUGUAGAAAAAGAGGAUUUAAUUGAAAUAAAAUAACAUGAAAAAUUCUUUAAAAGUGAAAACACAAGCUAACAGAGGAUGAUCCUAGUGAAAAACUAGAAGUCUUGAAGAUAUUUCUUUAUCAUAUUUUCAAGCCCAAGACACAGAGUCUGCUUAAGCACAUAGCCUGACAUUCCUAAUUUUCUAGGCACUUCAAUUUGGUCUUCAAACAUUGAUAAGCAAAAAGAUAAUUCAACAAAAGGGGUAUGAAGUAGUUUUCAGUAAAUCAUAUAUGACCAAAUAAAUACUUUGUUAAACAAUUUGGGCAGGAACACUUCAACUUGGGAAAUUCACUAAAAAACCAGUUUGAGUUGAAAUAGUGUGAAACUUUCCAGAUCAGAACUAGACACAUAAAACUUCAUCACAUCAAAAUUUCAUGGCAUUCGAAGUUAAGGAAGCAUGUCAAAAAUAAAAUCCAAAACAGACUAGGCUGCAGAGUUUUCUGCUUCCUGCAACAAAACAACUACUUUAAAAAUUUGCCAAAAUUCCAAUUUAACUCCAAUUUGUAUGAAACCAAGUUUGACAUGCUCAUUGAAAUGUCUAAUUAUAAAAAAUCCAGAUCAAAAUAUAAAUCCGAACUAGGUCUUCUGGUCCAGAACAUAACACAAGAUCACAGAUUUCUGCAUAACCUCAGAUUUCAUCAACCAACCCAAAUCUUUAAAAAUACACCACUUAUCAGCUUUAAACAUCAAAACACUAAAUCAUACAAAUGUUUCUAUUUACUUUUGAAAGAGUAUUAAUAUGAAUUGACCAACUACAAUUAAAAAUACAUAAAGGCAAAGCUUAAAUUGAAUAACCAACUAUGAAAUUUUUACAACAAAAACCACAAUGGCAGCUUCAACAAUUACGCACUCCUGCACUAAACAACAAAACUCUAGAAGAAAUACAAAGUGUUUAUAAAAAAAUGGACAAUUUGAUAUAUCAUUGAAGAAACGUACAAGACUACAGUGCAAUAUUGAGUUACAAAGCACAACCAAUUAAAUAUAGGGAAAACAGAGGAAAAAGCUACUACAAAAUCAGAGAGAGAGCGAGAGAGAGGUUGUCAAAAUGUGAUUCCAUUCCACAUCGAUGUACCCAACCAAUUCAGUGGAAAAUUAAGGCCUUUCAGUUAAAAUUAAAAAAAAAAAAAAAAAAAAGAGUUUUCAGUAUAAAAAACCAUUGUCAAGAUAUACAAGCAUUUCAGUUUCUUAAAUGAAUAAGGCCUUCAUUUGAUGCUAAAACCAGGUACAUAGUUAGCACUAAAAUCAUGGGUUGUCAAAAACUUGCAUGUAUGUAGGAUUUUCACCCUUUUACAUUUUUCCAACCAAAAGAAAUUUAGAAAUACUUGAAAUAUAAUAACUAAAAAAAAGAAUAAAAGUGACAUAAAAUUAUAAACAUGUUUAGCAGCUUCCAUGUGUUUCAGGAAAGGAUGUGACCCCCUGUAUGAUCAAACUCUUUCUUUUUUAUGUUCAAAGCAUUGGCCUUUCAGUGUUUCUGUUUUGAUUACAUACAGGAAUUGUUAUAUUCUUCCUAUGUAAUACUUAGAAUAAAUUUCCAAUCAAACAUGAACUAAUAUCAAAUUAACCAUAAAAAAGUAUUAGUUUUAAUGUUUUCAAUGCAAAUAGAAACAUUUAAGGACAACUUUUUCAGUUUCCACUAGAAUACAAUGAGGGAAAUGAAAUAAAAAGAUAUCUAAAUGUACAAAAAGAGGAUUGAAUUGAAAUAAAAUGACAUGAAAAAUUCUUUAAAAGUGAAAACACGAGCUAAGAGAGGAUGAUCCUAGUGAAAAACUAGAAGUCGAGAAGAUAUUUCUUUAUAAUAUUUUCAGGCCCAAGACUCAGAGUUCGCUUAAGCACAUACUAGGCACUUAGUCUUCUACCAUUGCUAAGCAAAAAGACACUUCAACAAAAUGUGGAUGGUUUUCCUAUAGUUGCAAUAGCUCUGUGAUACCCUUGAACCCAUUGAGACCCUACAAAAAUGCCACAGGAAAUAGAUAGAGGAUUGAAAGUAUAGUGAUCCAACCAUACAAAUUCAACCCAUCUACUUCCUUGAAGUUCUGUAAACUGCAUUUUGAGUAAAUGUUCCUCAAGACAAUAGACCAGACCCGUAAAGUGUACAAGUUGCCUAGGAAUGACAAAAAGACAACUGAGAAAUCAGGCUCUGAAGAUUUGAUUACAUGGGUGAAAGAAAUAACCACCUUAGAGAAUGAGACACAUGGUGAGAUGUCGCCUAUUAUUAUUGCUUAAGCUAACAGCCAUCUUAAGUAUCAUCCUGCACAUUUACAGAGCACAAAAACAGAGAGAGAAGGCUCAAAGCCUCAAACAGAGCAACAUUCUAAUAUAUCAUUCCCUAAAACAAAACAAAAAAGAUAGGAAAAAAAUUAAAGCAUUCAACUUUUAUGACACUGACUCUCAUCACAAAGGUACUUGAGAUAGAUGAAUUAUUCAUCACAGAAAGUGUUUCAAAUAGGCUACUGCAAAACAUAACAAAAUUUGUUAGACACGAUAUUUUGGGAGAGCUUGAGACCAAAUUAGUCUGCAAACUCAAAAUAGUCUAUGACUUCUCCCUUUAAGUUUCUCUAAUCAUCAAAAAACAACAACAUUAUUUUUCCUAGUUAAAUUCUCCCAAACAAUAAAAGCAUAAGCUCCUUUGACCAAAAAAAAACACACAAUAAUAAUAACUAAAAUAAAUCAUCAUCUUACAGACAAAAGCAAAGAAACCUUGAAACGAAUACACACCCACAUAACCCACUUCCAACUUCCAAUUCUUAUACUUCAAUUAUGUGCAAAUCCAAUUAGGUUUGACUACAAACUCGUCUAAUAAAUUAAAGAGUAGUAACUGAUUCUAAAUAAUUCAAAAGUCUACUAUACUUAGGAGAAUCACUCAUGUACCAGUUUUGUACUUGUCAGUCCUUCAUUGUUUAACCUUCUUUCAUUCAACAUUAUCAUUAAGGACCAAUCCACAUGGUAUGAAGUAGUUUUCAGUAAAUCAUAGAUGACCAAAUAAAUAUUUCCAUGUUGCAAAACUCAAAAAGCACAUCAUACAGAGCAAAUGGUCUUCAUACCUAAUAUAAAGGUUGUAACACCCCGACUCGAAAUUUAAUUCAUAUUUUAAUUUACUUAAAGUGAAAUUACGAAUUUACCCUUGGGGUAGGGGUAAAUUGGUCAUUUUCUUAUCCGGAAGGAGUUCGGGACCACGACUGGUAUUUUUGGGUAGGUCGUACUGAGACGAAUUUGUGGACAUGUGGUAGGCUUGAAUCGGAGUUGUAACGAAGAUUUGGCGGUCAAAAUAAGUUUAGUGGCAAAAUCGUAAAUAUUUCAAAAAUUUUGGUAACAUCUGAUUUUUUCACUUUCUACCCCACUCUCUCUCUCUCUCUCUCUCUCUUCUGAUUCUCCCCCUGCGCGCGCGAACACCCCCCCCCCCCCCCCCCCGCGCUACUGUUCACCGAACCAGAAACCACCACCCCGCCACCAUUUCCGGCCUCCCUGAUCGACGACACCAGUCCCGAUCGAUGCCUCUCGAAGUCCCGAACCCAAACCACCCAGUUUCCCCGUUGGAAAACUCGAGAAUUGCCGACGCAUUGACUGGUUCAAACCCGAGUUUUCCAGAUGUCGCACCGUCGCCUUCGCCGCUCAAUUCUGUUUGGGCCUAAAUUUGACACACCAAAGAGAUCCAGAAACAGGCCCGUGGUGAAAUACUUAUCCAGUCCCAAAAAACCCAAAGCGUAGAAAGCUGUCAUAUUGGGCCUUUGAAGAUCAGCCCACAAAAUAUUGUUUAAACUCAAGCCCAAGAGACUAAAGACACAUUCACGUGGCUACCUCACCUCUCUGGAAAGUCAGCAAUUCCAACUAGAGUUUUUAUGUGAGAAGGGACGUUUCUGAAAACACUGCCGAGAAAGAAAAAUCAAAGGGGCGUCUAUGAUCAGAGACUUUUUGUUCCAAAGCAACACACCAUCUUCUAAAAAGAUUUCGCAAAUCACGUUUUCAAGAGCAAGAGACAGGGAGUUGUUCAGAAAAUACAAAAGAAAAAUCAAAACCGCCAUAGGAUCAGCUCACACAGACGGUGGCAUUAAAAUAGAAAAACCGUCAGCCAGGAAACCAGGGAAGGGAUCGCUAUAGGAAGUGACCAUUGGGAGUCUAUCUGCCAUAAUUGAUAAAAAUCUUUCCUGCUUUACGUUUUGAGAAAUCUUUUGCCGCCCAUUAUUAAAAUUUAAAACCACCUUCAAAAGGAGGGUCUCUUAUAAAAACAGAAGCAGGCAAGAAAGAAAGGACACUCAACUCAUCAACCAAAAAAACAACAGCAAGAAAAACAGCCAAGAGCUCACUUAAAUUCCAAGAGAAACCAACCUUAAAUCAGAAUUCCAAGGUUCAGACUUAGAAAAUAAAUUUCCUAGAACGAGAUCCCUCGUUACAAAUUUGGUUCAGCAAAAGCCAAGACAAACAUAGUUUGAGUUUUCACAACUAUGAAAACCUCAACAAAUUUUACAGCAUGGUUCCAGCUUGCUAAAUCCUCGAGAAUAGCCACUUCUGUCCCUUCAGACUGAAGAAGUCACAGUUCUGCCCACUCAAGAGCCUCCCAAGGCUUGAAGUAGAUUGAAGCUCUGCCAAAAUCGAACUUUGGUAUCGAUUUACAGCUGAAGCCAAGCAGCUAAAGUUGUUGACAGUACAGUCCAGCAUAGACAUACCCAGUCCAGCCCGGAUCAGAAGUUUCUACCCAGGCAGAAAUGGGAUUCCAGCCAUCCUUUUGCCUUUCUAGAGUUGAUUUCUCCCUUCUUAAUUUUGUAAAAGGCAGUUCUGCCUGAAACAGUACUUUAUUAUUAUCUAUUCUGGCCAGAACAACCAUUUUUGAUACUGAGAUAAAUUGUGAAAGUCCUCACCAGUCUGAGGCAAGAAAAGAACUUACUUGGGAGAUAUUCCUCACCCAAAUUCACAAUCGUUUGUUUUAGAAGUCAGUAACUUGAGGCGCAAGUUAUCCAUUCUAAAAAUAAGUCUGCUAGAAUUUACAUUGCUAGCAGUGGCACGCUCGCACACCAAAGAAAGCUGACUUGUCGACCAACAAGUGGUCUCCAAGCCAGUGGGGAACUUCGCCCUUCCACAUCAGGAGUUAAACACGAAAACGGGUGAACAAUUUGGCACGCCCAGUGGGACUUCUCAGUAUACAUACUCUGACAGAGUCAUUCACAGAUUUACAAAAGCCGGAAGAUCUAGUCAGAACCCACACCAGACAUGGAGAAAAACAAGAUGGUUCUCAGAGAAGGCCUCGAAUCGGAAGAAAGCGACGCUAGGCAGUCUGCCCACGGCAGUACAGGAAGCAGACGUUCCAGGACUGGCUCCAAAAGGAUGAGUCAAAUAAAGGAGUCAGUACUCUGACAAGAGAUCACAGUACAAAGGAGCCAGGACACUCUCGAUAACAUGACAGCCAUGAUGCAAUGGCAGGUAAACAGACAGUUCCGGAAGGACCGAGAAUCCGCCAUGGCCAGAAAUCCUAACCUAGAUCCUGUAAUCCAGCAGUUGGAUCUUCCUUAUGGCCCUCCGCCAGGACUAAUAUGGCCAUACCAGGAAAAUCCUCUAGUUGCACAGAUGGCUGGAGUGCCAGGCCACACAGAAAUUCAGGCUGAUCCGAGGGAGAGAGCCCUUCCUAAUCAAGAACAUCAGGCCCCAGCCCAGCCAGAUAACCUGACACUGGCUCAGAACCAGCUAGGACCUCAGCCCAAUCCACAUCAUGCAGCCCCGCAUGAUCAACCUUUGGCGCUUCUGCCUGAACCACCGGCAGUAUUGCCAUAUAGACCCAGAAGGAUGGACCCUAAUCCAUUCCCUCCACCUGCAAGAGGGAGGAGAGGCCGAGGGGGAAACAACCUUUUUGCUAAUCAUGACAGGAAUAGACAGGGGGCAAACUGGAGGAAUCAUCCAGAAGUCGAAGAGCAGGAAGAACACAGGGAGGAAGUUCCACCCAGACCACUCAGGGCAGAACCCAGGUUUGAUUACGUUCAGCCAGAACAGGGACAAAAUUUUCCCCCAGUCAAUGCUUUAAAUGACGUAGGGGCAUUGCGAAGAAUGGUCAGAGAGAUCAUGGAACCCGAGGCUAGAAUAGGGGAAAGGCCUACUUACAGAAAGCCAUACCCAGCCUACAUCGAUCAAAUACCGUUGUCUCCAGGUUUCAAAGUGCCAAACUUCACUUUGUUCAACGGGGAAGACCCCCAUGCUUCCUCAGUCGAACAUAUAGGCAGGUUCUCCGUCCAAUGCAUAGCUAUAGAAAACAACCCUCUGCUGAAAUUAAGGCUUUUUGGCAACUCUCUCUCUGGGCAAGCUUUUACCUGGUACACCAGCCUGCCAGCUAACUCUGUUCAAACCUGGGAACAGAUGGAAAAUGUCUUCCAUGACUACUAUUACAGGAUUCAGCCAGAAGUCACCAUCAGUGAUCUAGCUGCCCUCAAGCAGAAUGAAGAUGAACCGGCGCAAGAUUUUAUAACCAGGUUCAGAAGGCUCAAGAUGAAGUGCCGAAUCCCAAUGGAAGAAAGACACUUCAUCCAGAUGGCCCAAGCCGCCCUUAAAAUCUCCCUCAGGAAAAGGUUCGACGGGAUAUUGUUCAGAGAUCUGGCAGAACUGGCUGAUAAGGCAUCCAAAUAUGAAGAGCUACUCAGGGAAGAGCAGCAAAGGAGGAACUCCUCCAAAGGUACAUACUACAAAACCCCUUCUUCUUCAGUCCACCUGAUCGAGGUGGAGUCGCAAGAAGAUACAGAGGAAUCAGAGGAGAAAGAGGUUUCAGUGGCAGAAAUGGCAAAACUGAAACAUCCCAUCAGUUGCAAAGCCCUCACAAAGCCACCCAAAGACCAAAAGCCACCACCAUUCACAGGAGGAUUCGUUCCAAACAAACCAACACAAAACAAGGUUUACUCUUUUGACUUAACCAAGGUCGAUGCCUUGUUCGACGAAAUGCUACUGCAGAAGGCAAUAGAGACGCCUCACAGAAUACCGAAGCCGGAAGAACUCAAAGGCAGACAGUACUGCAGGUGGCACAACUCUUGGAACCAUUCUACCAAUAGUUGUGUCGUUUUCAGGGACGUAGUACAAGAAGGAAUAACGGCAGGAAGGUUGAAGCUGGCAGAAAAACCACCAUCCGUCACGACGGAUCCUUUUCCUCAACCGCAAGUCAAUAUGGUCAACUUAAAUUGGCCAGAACAGAGGAAAACCGACCCUAUCACAGAUGCUGGUUGCAGCAGAGGCAGAAGAAUCAUAAGGGAGACCAGUCAGAUACCAAGAGCGACCAUCUCGGCUGGGGUAGUGCUCUGCAGUAGGUGCAAGUGUGAAACAGAGCUAGAGGUGGUCCUAGACAAGCAAAAUCAGCCCACACCUAGUGUCUUUGACAGAAUUGGAACUAUAUCCCAAGACAAGACAAGGCAGAAGAGCUGUCUUAGGCCUACACACUACGGCGAGAGGAGGAUGGAGCAACCCAGGAAGGAAAUAUCAGUCAAGACGCCCGGAAACGAAAGACCCUUGGCAACGAUCAUAGAAGGGAGGUGGUAUUCCGUAGGAAGAAGCGGUAGACCGACUCUGGAGCUGACCAGAACCCAGAAAAGAAGAAUCCAGAGGCAAUACUGCACAUAUCUUAAAAGCCAAGACAAUACGCAGGUACGUUCACAACCCAGUUCUGCCAGGAAAGGAAAGAAUCCUGAAACACUUCCCCAGACAGAACAGAAAGCUUGCCAGUCAAGGGAAUUGCUGAAAACAGAGCAGCCAGCCAGGUCUCCUAUCCAUAUAGCCUCGUCGUCCGGCAGCCAUCCUGACACCACGCGGACAUUAGAGAAAUCCGGGUCUACCCCGUUACAAAAAGAAGACGAACGCUGAGGAAUAUGAAGAAGAGCAAUUAGACUAUGAACCUUCUGCAGAUGAUCAGAAAGAGCCCCUCGAAGUAGCAGAACAGGAUGACUGGACGGAAGAAUAUGGGGAAGAAUUAAUGGAAUUUGGUGAGGAAUUGGACCCAGAAACAGAAGCUUUUGGCGCAGAAUUAGAAGACCUCCUACAGGGUGAUCUGGGAAUUAACAUGGUAUUCAUCCUACCAGGUGAAUUCAGGGCUACCGAAGGACAAAAAAGCACUCUGGAAGGGGACGUUUUCUCCCAGGAGAGCUUUGAGUGUAGGUUGGCAGAAGCAGAGGAGCCGCCAGAACCGCAAGCAAACGACCCUAGGACAGGCAGAACAGCCAAUAAACCAGCUACAGAGCAGGCUUGUUUCGCCAAGCCAACCAGAGAAAUGGCAAAUCACCUCAGACCGUUGUUUAUAACGGCAAAUCUUGGAGGUAUUCCUAUCUCCAAGAUCAUGGUAGAUGGAGGUGCAGCCAUUAAUCUAUUACCCCACAGAAUGCUGACCAAGUUGGGCAGGACAGAGAGGGAUCUAAUUCCAACAUGAUUAACCGUCACCAACUUCGCUGGGGGCAUCACCAAAAUACACGGCAUCUUAGAUGUAGAUGUCGUAGUCGGAAGCAAAGAGUUGAAAAUAGCGUUCUUUGUUAUAGACACUACCUCCACCACCUACAAUGCACUACUCGGCAGGGAUUGGAUUCACCAGAGCCUUUGUAUCCCUUCCACCCUCCACCAGCAGUUAGCAAUAUGGAAUGAAGAAGGCUGCAUGGAGAUUAUAGAGGCCGAUCCACGGCCAUUCCUACCCUCUGCCAUGUGCUUUGAAGCAAGGUAUUAUCAUGAUGACCUCGGUCCCUACACUUUCCUUGGAGUCAAUCAGAACGGCCGCCCCCAUGGUGUCACGGCCCAAAGACUCAUUGAAGAAGGUCUAGCCAGUUCUCUAGAGGACUGGAAUAGACUUUCUUGUGCCGAACUUCCAGAAUUCUGAUGUUUAGUCCCAAUCAACUGGACAAGGAUCGAGCUGCAACAAUCCGAUCCAUCACAAAAAGAUUGUUGAUAUACUGGGGAGAAAGGAGACUUUUCAUACAGAAUCCAGCCAUUAAUAUGGCAGAAUUCACCCAUGAAAGCAUAAAAGAACAAGAGGAAGAAGUUUUACAGGAGGAAGUGUUGGAAUUUGCACCGGCAGCACUAGAUGACUCCCUGCCAGAAGUAGAGGACCCUCUACAGGAGAUAAACUUAGGGACAGAAGAAGAUCCAAGGCCUACUUUCAUCAGUACACUGUUAAAGGAACCACUCAAGGCUGAACUCACGGCACUUUUGCAGGAGUUCAGAGAUUGUUUUGCCUGGCAUUACCACGAGAUGCCAGGAUUGGACAGGCAGUUAGUGGAGCACAAGCUGCCAAUUAAAGAUGGCUACCUUCCAGUCAAACAGGCCAGAAGAAGAAUGUCUAUGGACAGAGAACUAAAGGUCAAAGAAGAGAUAGAAAGGUUGCUCAAGGCAGGAUUCAUCAGGCCAGCCGUCUAUGCCGAUUGGUUAGCAAAUAUUGUACCUGUUCUCAAAAGAAAAACAGGGGCAGUUAGAAUCUGCGUAGAUUACAGGAAUCUGAAUGAGGCAUCUCCUAAAGACGAAUAUCCUAUGCCAAUGGCAGACAUGUUAGUGGAUGGAGCCGCUCAUAACCAGAUGCUAUCUUUCAUGGACGACAAUGCAGGUUAUAACCAGAUUAUGACGGCAGAACAGGACAUCCACAAGACAGCCUUUAUGUGUCCAGGACAUAUAGGUGCUUUCGAGUAUACUGUAAUGCCUUUCGGUUUGAGAAAUGCGGGAGCUACCUACCAAAGGGCAAUGAAUUCUAUUUUUCAUGAUAUGAUAGGACAUUCUUUGGAAGUAUACAUAGAUGACGUGGUGAUUAAAUCCCCUGAGGAAGGAAAUCACGUAGCAAGUCUGAGAAAGGCAUUCCUGAGAAUGAGGCAGCACAAGCUAAAAAUGAACCCCAAAAAAUGUGUUUUUGGAGUCCAGGCAGGGAAUUUCUUAGGAUUCUUGGUCCACCAGAGAGGUAUAGAGGUUGACAGAAAUAAAGCAAAAUCCAUCAUAGAAGCUCUACCACCUCGGAACAAGAAGGAACUUCAGAGUCUCUUAGGAAAAAUCAAUUUCCUAAGGAGAUUCAUAUCCAGUUCUGCAGGAAAAAUCCAACCCUUUUCCUCCCUGUUGAGACUGAAGCAGGAACAGACAUUCAAAUGGGAAGAACAGCACCAACAGGCUUUCCAGGAAAUAAAGCAUUACCUCUCAAAUCCACCAGUUCUGUCCCCACCAAAAAGGGGUAGACCCCUCAAACUUUACGUAUCUGCAUCAGAAGUAUCCAUUGGAAGUCUGCUAGUUCAAGAUAACAAAGAAGGAAAAGAACAGGCGGUCUACUAUCUAAGCAGAACGUUGACAGAAGUGGAAAGAAGGUAUUCCGCAAUAGAAAGGCUUUGCCUAGCCUUAUAUUUCACUGCUGUGAAGCUCAGGCACUACAUGCUGCCACAUACUAUCUACAUCAUUGCCAAAACCGACUUAAUCAAAUACAUGCUAACAAGACCAAUGCUGAGGGGCAGAAUUGGGAAAUGGACUUUGGCUUUGACAGAAUUCACCCUCAGGUAUGUCCCCCAGAAAGCUGUCAAAGGGCAAGCUGUGGCAGACUUUUUGGCAGAUCACCCGGGAGAGGAAAUUGAAAACAUGGAUUCUUUGGACAUAGCAAAUGCAGAUCUGUUAACUAGAGCUCAUGUUUGCCUUAACAAUCCAAUUUACUCGAUUCAUCUCACACCUUGGAAAUUAUAUUUUGAUGGAUCGAAGACAGACAAGGCUUCAGGAGCAGGGAUUGUUCUGGAAGAACCAUUAGGGGUCAGGCAUUGCUAUUCUUUCCAGCUAGAUUUCCAAUGCACCAACAACAGGGCCGAAUAUGAGGCUUUGAUUAUAGGGCUCGAAGCUUGUCCUAAAACAGAUUGCUGGAGAAUAUAAGUGUCUGAAUCCCUCUCUGGCUGUAUAUCUAGUGGCAGCUAGAAAUCUGCUAACAGAAUUUAGAGAAGCUACUUGGGAGCACAUCCCAAGGGAGAAAAACUUUGCAGCCAAUGAACUGGCUCAGGUGGCAUCAGGCAUACAAAUGCCCGAAGACUGCGUCCAAAGGAUCAUCAAGAUAGGAAGGAAAAGUCUACCAUCUGUUUUGACGAGAGGAAUGGAGAUAGAAGUCAAUUCUGCCUCGAUCACUGGAGAUGAUUGGAGGGAGCCUAUCAUGACUUACUUACGAUAUCCCACUCUGCCCUCUGAGAAAAGAGUCAGAAUCAUGGCUACAAACUACCUCAUGUGGAAUGAAGAUUUGGUCCGAAAAAGUAAGGAUGAGGUACUAUUAAGGUGCCUCGGGAAGACAGAAUACAUGAAAGUCAUGGGAGAAACCCAUGAGGGGGUCUGUGGAGCUCACCAAGGGGGAAGAAAGAUGUGCUGGUUAAUCAGAAGAUAUGGCUACUUCUGGCCAACCAUGAUGAAGGAUUGCAUCGACUAUUCCAAAGGAUGUGAAGCCUGUCAAAGGCAUGGCCCAAUCCAGCAGGCUCCUUCGGUUCCCAUGAAUCCAGUAGUAAAACCAUGGCCUUUCAGGGGAUGGGCAAUGGAUCUCAUUGGCAAAAUCUAUCCAGCCAGCAACCAGCAGCACUGUUUCAUCAUCGUUGCCACAGAUUAUUUCACCAAGUGGGUAGAAGCCAAGCCAGUAAAAACCACAACAUCUCAAGAGAUCAUCACCUUCAUAGAAGAACAGAUCAUACAAAGGUUUGGCAUUCCAGAAUCAAUCACAACCGAUAGGGGUUCUUCUUUCAUAUCUAGGGACAUGCUAGAUAUGGCAGAAACAUUCAAGUUCAAACUGCUUCAAUCUACUCCUUACUAUGCUCAAGCUAAUGGACAGGCAGAAUCAAGUAACAAGGUGAUUAUCAAUAUCAUUAGAAAGAUGCUAGAGAAAAAUCCAAAGCAAUGGCACGAGAAGUUGUCAGAAACUUUGUGGGCAUAUAGAACUUCGAAGAGAGAAGCGACUGGCAUGACCCCCUAUGCUCUAACCUACGGCCACGAUGCAAUUCUUCCCAUGGAGAUAGCAGUCCAGUCUCUUAGAAUUGCUCACCAGCAUGGUCUCACUGGGGAGGAUUACUCUCAAGCCAUGUUACUGGAAUUGGAAGGAUUGGAUGCAAGCAGAAUUGACACCCUCAACAAACUCUUAGCAGGAAAACAGGCUGUAUCGAGAGCCUACAACAAAAGAGUCAAAAACAAGAGUUUUGAAGAGGGAGAGAUAGUCUGGAAGGCAAUUCUGCCCCUUGGAGCACACAUAGCUGGGUAUGGGAAAUGGUCACCUACAUGGGAUUCACAGGCUGUACAAACGGAUCCUGGGAUAGAAGAGGAACAAGAUUGACCUUUUUGUUUCUUGAAAGGGAAUCUUGUUUAGAUUUGUUUUUACUUUAAAGUUGUUCUGUUUUUACUGUACUUUCAAAACCGUGUCCGGUUAUUGCAUCAAGAAUAAAAAGCAGUAAAAAUGCUUUGAAAGCUUAUAUAAAAAUAGCCACCUUUGCGGCAAAUUAUUCGAACAAAAGAAAGAAGAAGCUAAAAUCCUAGCUUUCUAAAAGUCUCCUGUAGGUUCGCUUUCUUGACAGACAGUUCUUUCUGGAGCAACACCCCCUGGUGAAUUGAAGCCUCUGCAAUUUCCAAAGCUGGCCUGGAAGCUGCAACCAUACUUUGCACAAGGAAGGUGGCCUUAGUUUUGGAACUCAGUCCAGCCCCAAGUUUGUUCUGCACCUCCCUACACUCUGCCAGCUGUUUUUGGAGUUCUUCAAUCUGCUUCUCCAACUUAUCCGCGGUAGCCUUAGCCUCCUUAUAUCCAGCCACCAUCUGAUCCAGUUCUGUUUUCUGCCUGGCAAAGUCAGCCAGAUUAGCUUCAUGUGUGGCCUUGCAGAACUCAGAAGUUUUGAACGUAGGCCUAAGAUCUUCAUAGCGAUCAUGCAGAUUAAGCACAUCUCUGGCCAGGCUUAGGCCCAUCUCAAGAAUAGGCCUCGGAGCCAUGUUCUGUCUAUGCAGCAGGUCCAGGUCCUUCAUCAGCUGAUCAAGAGCCCCUGUAUCUUCAUCAAAUUCCAGCUCAGUGGACUGCCAGAUUUUCAACCUCUCCAUGGCUUCCUCCACCGCCCUAGAUUUUGCCUUGCCUGGAGGAGAACUGAGUUUCUCCAGUCUGUCCAAUUGGGCAUCCAGAUCCAUGGCUUCAAACUCUUCAAGUUCUGGAUCAGCAAAAGAAGCCGUGGCAGAUGAUCCUGGAAAGGAAUGAAUAGGCAUCUGCAGAAGAGAACAUAAGCUAAGACCAGGCAGAAAGUGGAAGAUAAAGGAGGCUCAAAAGUUAUGAAAACUUACAGCGACAAUGGGAGGCUUCAGAGGGCUGGACACCGCAGCCAGGGCACCAGUAGCUUUAGGCACUUCCACCUGGAAAGACUGCAAAUGUAUAAAAGACAGAACAGACAGAACAGCAGGAAAACAUGAACAGUUGAAGGGGAAAAUUACCACAACCACAGGAGCAGCUGCAGUCGUUCCCACCUCAGCCUCCGGGACCACAACGGUUAAUUCUGCCUGAUCCACGGGGUCUGAUGCAGAUGGCUCCACCUGAUCCUCGGCCUCUGGAGCGGCAGUAGAGUGUUCUGCCUCAGCAUCCUCAAAAAGAGCCAGUUCUGAGCUGGUCAGCUCAGCACUCGGACCCUUUUGUUGCUUCUGCGCCAAGGCAAUGCUCUUCGCUAUCACCUCAGCAGGAAUUUCAUCCUACAAGAAGGGGGUCAGAACAGAAGGAAUGAAGCAAAAGAGGAACUAAUGCGAGUCACAGACUAAAACUCACCUCGUCUUCCACCGCUGCCACCUUCUCUUGGGGCACCUCCUCCAGCUCUCGCAGCUCUUUUUCCUGCUCCACCUCCUCAAAGGCUUCUCGCAGCUCAUCGUCCGUCCCAGAAGUAGUGGCUGGGAUUGCUGCGGCUUCUUCUGCGGCAAAGUAUUCCACUUCACCCCUCUUCUUAAGCUUUUUUAACUUAGUAGUAGGAGGAGAAGGACUCCCAGCUGGACAGAACAAAAGGAAAAGAUUAGAAAAGAGAAAACAGAAUAAAUCUAGAGAGAACAGUUGGAAUGCUCCAAACUUACCAGGAAUGCCAGGCCGCGCGGUAUUAUCCAGAAGGGGAGCAGGCCCUUUUCUUUUUCUUCUACCAGAAGGAACAGCCUCGGCAGGGGUUUGUUCUGCCUCAACAUCAUCCUCUUCAUCAGCAGAAGGGAGCUCCAAAUCCCCGGCGGCAAUGACAGAAGAGACUGCACCAAGCAGUUAGAGGUUAGAAGCCAAUCCAACAGGAAAAGACAGAAGAAAAUUAAAAAGGAAAGGUUUACCAAUCACUUCUCCAGCCUGGACAGACUGUCCACCCACGUUCUUUGUCAGGGAAGGAUCUAAUAACAGGCAGAACAUAGGUUAAAAACAAAUUAUCAAGACAGAACAAGUCCCAGACAGAAUCAAGUAUCUACCUUCUAUGAUUUGUGCAUUAAUGUCCUUGAUGGUCUGGAUCAGAUGCGCUUUGGCCUCCCCCUCCGCAAAAAGAUGCCAGUUCUCCCAACCGUCAAAAAGCGUCUUGAGGGCAGUAACAGAAGCUGGUAGAUUUUGGAAUCUGGUUUGCCACCAGGCGUCAAAAUCAGCAGAACUGCAGGAAUUUGGCUCCCAUGAGGGAUAGAGGGCAUCCGUGCUAUUAUUUAUCUUGUUCACUGCACACCGGGCAUCCUUGUGCACCUCCAGAUCAUCUACAUCCCUCCAAGAAGAGGCCCGAUUGCAACUCCGAUAUGAUUUCAACGGUAUGAGCUGAGGGCAGCCAAGCUGCCUUGCACAGAAGUUGGGAUGAUAGACUUCUGCCCCCAGAUGGUAGUUUGGAGGUUUGCCCCCGCCAUGGGGCAGAUCUCUGGGCAAAGUAAUGCCCAGAAAUUUCUUCCUGAAAUCUGUUCUGGCAGCCUCGUCUUCUGGUUCUUUCUCGAAAAGCCGAGAUCCAGUCUGGAACCAAGGAUAGGUCCUUCUGAUCACCACUUGCCACUGAGCAGCCGACCUCUUGGUACAAUGCCUGAAGAGCAUCAAAUACUCCUCAAGAGAGCGCUUGGGCACUUCUGCCUAUAUCAGGGGAAGGACCAGAACUUGGUCUUCAGGCAGAACUAUGUCUGGAAACCUUAACUCGGGGAAAUAUACCUGCAGCCAGAUCUGGAUCAUCCAGAAUGCGCCAGGAGCAGACAGGUUCAAUGGAUUCUCAAGAGUGGCAGUAUACAGAUUCUUGAAAAGGUGGGCCAGAACUGUUGGUCCAAGCCCCACAUCAGUAUGAUUGUGAAGUGCUUCUGCCAGAUGUCUGUAUUCAAGCAGAACUGCCGAAGACCGAUUGGGGAAGACAAAUCGGUUCAGCCAAUACAGAAGGAACAACAUAUGUUGCUGAUCCUUGUCCUUCUCAGCGCUGAAUCUCUUCAGAUAGUUGGAGAAGGAGCAGUUCUGGUUGAUCGUGGCUGGAGAGAUAGUGAAGGGAGUGGCCACUUUCUCUUGGUUCUUUCGCCUGUGAUAAUCCCCAACAGCAUCAACAGGUCUGCCAUGGGGCCUAAACCCAAAAAUCUGAGCCAUGUCCAGCAGAGUUGGAGCCAUGGGACCUACACGGAAAUCAAAUGUGUUGCUGGCAGAAUUCCAAAAACACAAGGCAGCAGCAAGCAGGUUCUCAUCUCUGUUGAUCGACUGCUUGGACAGAAGAAUGGCGUCAUAGAGCCCAGCUCUCCUCCAGUGACCCCCAUAUCUCGGGAGAAGUCUGUCAAUCCAGUCUGCCCAUUUGACUGGACUGUUCCUCACCUCGCUGGACGGGAAGGAUCGACUCAAAUUCUUGCUAACCCAAGAAUGAGAAGCCAGGGCGGAAGUACUCUCGAAGCACAAAGGAGCCUCGGCGUCCUUUUUCAGCAGUUCUGCCGCCUCAGCCGGAACAGGGCCAAACCAGUGAGGCCCCAGCACCAGGGUAUUCUCGAACAAAUGAAGAACAUUUUCAUCCAGAUUCUUCUGAGCAAAAGGAUGGAGCUUGCUCCUAACCUCUAUUGCGUGGGCAUCAAUCCCGCUCCCAGUGAUGUAAUCAGGAGGGAUUGAAGCUGAAGAAGACUGAGCAUGGGACCUGGGGGAAGACAUUUCGGAUUCAAGGAAGGAAGCAGAGAGAAAAGGGGGAAGUUCGAAGGAAACGAUGAAAACCCGAAGAGAAGUUCCAAGUUUGAAAGGCUAAGAGGCAGUGGGUCUGAAAUUUCUUUUUAAAAGGGAAGGCUCGAAACGUGAGAGGAAGAAGAAGAUACGGCAGCUGGUGAUUAUUGGCUAGUAACUAGCCAAAUAAAUAGCCGUUUUUCUUCUCCCACGAACUCUAGAUCAUUAUGGGCGGACGAGACAGACGCACGAAGCGGAAAAGACUGGCGCGCAAAUUCAUGGCAAAAACAUUAAGUCUGAAAAACCGUUCCAAAAACAAGUUCAGACUUAAUGGGGGCAUUGUUUGGGCCUAAAUUUGACACACCAAAGAGAUCCAGAAACAGGCCCGUGGUGAAAUACUUAUCCAGUCCCAAAAAACCCAAAGCGUAGAAAGCUGUCAUAUUGGGCCUUUGAAGAUCAGCCCACAAAAUAUUGUUUAAACUCAAGCCCAAGAGACUAAAGACACAUUCACGUGGCUACCUCACCUCUCUGGAAAGUCAGCAAUUCCAACUAGAGUUUUUAUGUGAGAAGGGACGUUUCUGAAAACAUUGCCGAGAAAGAAAAAUCAAAGGGGCGUCUAUGAUCAGAGACUUUUUGUUCCAAAGCAACACACCAUCUUCUAAAAAGAUUUCGCAAAUCACGUUUUCAAGAGCAAGAGACAGGGAGUUGUUCAGAAAAUACAAAAGAAAAAUCAAAACCGCCAUAGGAUCAGCUCACACAGACGGUGGCAUUAAAAUAGAAAAACCGUCAGCCAGGAAACCAGGGAAGGGAUCGCUAUAGGAAGUGACCACUGGGAGUCUAUCUGCCAUAAUUGAUAAAAAUCUUUCCUGCUUUAUGUUUUGAGAAAUCUUUUGCCGCCCAUUAUUAAAAUUUAAAACCACCUUCAAAAGGAGGGUCUCUUAUAAAAACAGAAGCAGGCAAGAAAGAAAGGACACUCAACUCAUCAACCAAAAAAACAACAGCAAGAAAAACAGCCAAGAGCUCACUUAAAUUCCAAGAGAAACCAACCUUAAAUCAGAAUUCCAAGGUUCAGACUUAGAAAAUAAAUUUCCUAGAACGAGAUCCCUCGUUACAAAUUUGGUUCAGCAAAAGCCAAGACAAACAUAGUUUGAGUUUUCACAACUAUGAAAACCUCAACAAAUUUUACAGCAUGGUUCCAGCUUGCUAAAUCCUCGAGAAUAGCCACUUCUGUCCCUUCAGACUGAAGAAGUCACAGUUCUGCCCACUCAAGAGCCUCCCAAGGCUUGAAGUAGAUUGAAGCUCUGCCAAAAUCGAACUUUGGUAUCGAUUUACAGCUGAAGCCAAGCAGCUAAAGUUGUUGACAGUACAGUCCAGCAUAGACAUACCCAGUCCAGCCCGGAUCAGAAGUUUCUACCCAGGCAGAAAUGGGAUUCCAGCCAUCCUUUUGCCUUUCUAGAGUUGAUUUCUCCCUUCUUAAUUUUGUAAAAGGCAGUUCUGCCUGAAACAGUACUUUAUUAUUAUCUAUUCUGGCCAGAACAACCAUUUUUGAUACUGAGAUAAAUUGUGAAAGUCCUCACCAGUCUGAGGCAAGAAAAGAACUUACUUGGGAGAUAUUCCUCACCCAAAUUCACAAUCGUUUGUUUUAGAAGUCAGUAACUUGAGGCGCAAGUUAUCCAUUCUAAAAAUAAGUCUGCUAGAAUUUACAUUGCUAGCAGUGGCACGCUCGCACACCAAAGAAAGCUGACUUGUCGACCAACAAGUGGUCUCCAAGCCAGUGGGGAACUUCGCCCUUCCACAUCAGGAGUUAAACACGAAAACGGGUGAACAAUUUGGCACGCCCAGUGGGACUUCUCAGUAUACAUACUCUGACAGAGUCAUUCACAGAUUUACAAAAGCCGGAAGAUCUAGUCAGAACCCACACCAGACAUGGAGAAAAACAAGAUGGUUCUCAGAGAAGGCCUCGAAUCGGAAGAAAGCGACGCUAGGCAGUCUGCCCACGGCAGUACAGGAAGCAGACGUUCCAGGACUGGCUCCAAAAGGAUGAGUCAAAUAAAGGAGUCAGUACUCUGACAAGAGAUCACAGUACAAAGGAGCCAGGACACUCUCGAUAACAUGACAGCCAUGAUGCAAUGGCAGGUAAACAGACAGUUCCGGAAGGACCGAGAAUCCGCCAUGGCCAGAAAUCCAAACCUAGAUCCUGUAAUCCAGCAGUUGGAUCUUCCUUAUGGCCCUCCGCCAGGACUAAUAUGGCCAUACCAGGAAAAUCCUCUAGUUGCACAGAUGGCUGGAGUGCCAGGCCACACAGAAAUUCAGGCUGAUCCGAGGGAGAGAGCCCUUCCUAAUCAAGAACAUCAGGCCCCAGCCCAGCCAGAUAACCUGACACUGGCUCAGAACCAGCUAGGACCUCAGCCCAAUCCACAUCAUGCAGCCCCGCAUGAUCAACCUUUGGCGCUUCUGCCUGAACCACCGGCAGUAUUGCCAUAUAGACCCAGAAGGAUGGACCCUAAUCCAUUCCCUCCACCUGCAAGAGGGAGGAGAGGCCGAGGGGGAAACAACCUUUUUGCUAAUCAUGACAGGAAUAGACAGGGGGCAAACUGGAGGAAUCAUCCAGAAGUCGAAGAGCAGGAAGAACACAGGGAGGAAGUUCCACCCAGACCGCUCAGGGCAGAACCCAGGUUUGAUUACGUUCAGCCAGAACAGGGACAAAAUUUUCCCCCAGUCAAUGCUUUAAAUGACGUAGGGGCAUUGCGAAGAAUGGUCAGAGAGAUCAUGGAACCCGAGGCUAGAAGAGGGGAAAGGCCUACUUACAGAAAGCCAUACCCAGCCUACAUCGAUCAAAUACCGUUGUCUCCAGGUUUCAAAGUGCCAAACUUCACUUUGUUCAACGGGGAAGACCCCCAUGCUUCCUCAGUCGAACAUAUAGGCAGGUUCUCCGUCCAAUGCAUAGCUAUAGAAAACAACCCUCUGCUGAAAUUAAGGCUUUUUGGCAACUCUCUCUCUGGGCAAGCUUUUACCUGGUACACCAGCCUGCCAGCUAACUCUGUUCAAACCUGGGAACAGAUGGAAAAUGUCUUCCAUGACUACUAUUACAGGAUUCAGCCAGAAGUCACCAUCAGUGAUCUAGCUGCCCUCAAGCAGAAUGAAGAUGAACCGGCGCAAGAUUUUAUAACCAGGUUCAGAAGGCUCAAGAUGAAGUGCCGAAUCCCAAUGGAAGAAAGACACUUCAUCCAGAUGGCCCAAGCCGCCCUUAAAAUCUCCCUCAGGAAAAGGUUCGACGGGAUAUUGUUCAGAGAUCUGGCAGAACUGGCUGAUAAGGCAUCCAAAUAUGAAGAGCUACUCAGGGAAGAGCAGCAAAGGAGGAACUCCUCCAAAGGUACAUACUACAAAACCCCUUCUUCUUCAGUCCACCUGAUCGAGGUGGAGUCGCAAGAAGAUACAGAGGAAUCAGAGGAGAAAGAGGUUUCAGUGGCAGAAAUGGCAAAACUGAAACAUCCAAUCAGUUGCAAAGCCCUCACAAAGCCACCCAAAGACCAAAAGCCACCACCAUUCACAGGAGGAUUCGUUCCAAACAAACCAACACAAAACAAGGUUUACUCUUUUGACUUAACCAAGGUCGAUGCCUUGUUCGACGAAAUGCUACUGCAGAAGGCAAUAGAGACUCCUCACAGAAUACCGAAGCCGGAAGAACUCAAAGGCAGACAGUACUGCAGGUGGCACAACUCUUGGAACCAUUCUACCAAUAGUUGUGUCGUUUUCAGGGACGUAGUACAAGAAGGAAUAACGGCAGGAAGGUUGAAGCUGGCAGAAAAACCACCAUCCGUCACGACGGAUCCUUUUCCUCAACCGCAAGUCAAUAUGGUCAACUUAAAUUGGCCAGAACAGAGGAAAACCGACCCUAUCACAGAUGCUGGUUGCAGCAGAGGCAGAAGAAUCAUAAGGGAGACCAGUCAGAUACCAAGAGCGACCAUCUCGGCUGGGGUAGUGCUCUGCAGUAGGUGCAAGUGUGAAACAGAGCUAGAGGUGGUCCUAGACAAGCAAAAUCAGCCCACACCUAGUGUCUUUGACAGAAUUGGAACUAUAUCCCAAGACAAGACAAGGCAGAAGAGCUGUCUUAGGCCUACACACUACGGCGAGAGGAGGAUGGAGCAACCCAGGAAGGAAAUAUCAGUCAAGACGCCCGGAAACGAAAGACCCUUGGCAACGAUCAUAGAAGGGAGGUGGUAUUCCGUAGGAAGAAGCGGUAGACCGACUCUGGAGCUGACCAGAACCCAGAAAAGAAGAAUCCAUAGGCAAUACUGCACAUAUCUUAAAAGCCAAGACAAUACGCAGGUACGUUCACAACCCAGUUCUGCCAGGAAAGGAAAGAAUCCUGAAACACUUCCCCAGACAGAACAGAAAGCUUGCCAGUCAAGGGAAUUGCUGAAAACAGAGCAGCCAGCCAGGUCUCCUAUCCAUAUAGCCUCGUCGUCCGGCAGCCAUCCUGACACCACGCGGACAUUAGAGAAAUCCGGGUCUACCCCGUUACAAAAAGAAGACGAACGCUGAGGAAUAUGAAGAAGAGCAAUUAGACUAUGAACCUUCUGCAGAUGAUCAGAAAGAGCCCCUCGAAGUAGCAGAACAGGAUGACUGGACGGAAGAAUAUGGGGAAGAAUUAAUGGAAUUUGGUGAGGAAUUGGACCCAGAAACAGAAGCUUUUGGCGCAGAAUUAGAAGACCUCCUACAGGGUGAUCUGGGAAUUAACAUGGUAUUCAUCCUACCAGGUGAAUUCAGGGCUACCGAAGGACAAAAAAGCACUCUGGAAGGGGACGUUUUCUCCCAGGAGAGCUUUGAGUGUAGGUUGGCAGAAGCAGAGGAGCCGCCAGAACCGCAAGCAAACGACCCUAGGACAGGCAGAACAGCCAAUAAACCAGCUACAGAGCAGGCUUGUUUCGCCAAGCCAACCAGAGAAAUGGCAAAUCACCUCAGACCGUUGUUUAUAACGGCAAAUCUUGGAGGUAUUCCUAUCUCCAAGAUCAUGGUAGAUGGAGGUGCAGCCAUUAAUCUAUUACCCCACAGAAUGCUGACCAAGUUGGGCAGGACAGAGAGGGAUCUAAUUCCAACAUGAUUAACCGUCACCAACUUCGCUGGGGGCAUCACCAAAAUACACGGCAUCUUAGAUGUAGAUGUCGUAGUCGGAAGCAAAGAGUUGAAAAUAGCGUUCUUUGUUAUAGACACUACCUCCACCACCUACAAUGCACUACUCGGCAGGGAUUGGAUUCACCAGAGCCUUUGUAUCCCUUCCACCCUCCACCAGCAGUUAGCAAUAUGGAAUGAAAAAGGCUGCAUGGAGAUUAUAGAGGCCGAUCCACGGCCAUUCCUACCCUCUGCCAUGUGCUUUGAAGCAAGGUAUUAUCAUGAUGACCUCGGUCCCUACACUUUCCUUGGAGUCAAUCAGAACGGCCGCCCCCAUGGUGUCACGGCCCAAAGACUCAUUGAAGAAGGUCUAGCCAGUUCUCUAGAGGACUGGAAUAGACUUUCUUGUGCCGAACUUCCAGAAUUCUGAUGUUUAGUCCCAAUCAACUGGACAAGGAUCGAGCUGCAACAAUCCGAUCCAUCACAAAAAGAUUGUUGAUAUACUGGGGAGAAAGGAGACUUUUCAUACAGAAUCCAGCCAUUAAUAUGGCAGAAUUCACCCAUGAAAGCAUAAAAGAACAAGAGGAAGAAGUUUUACAGGAGGAAGUGUUGGAAUUUGCACCGGCAGCACUAGAUGACUCCCUGCCAGAAGUAGAGGACCCUCUACAGGAGAUAAACUUAGGGACAGAAGAAGAUCCAAGGCCUACUUUCAUCAGUACACUGUUAAAGGAACCACUCAAGGCUGAACUCACGGCACUUUUGCAGGAGUUCAGAGAUUGUUUUGCCUGGCAUUACCACGAGAUGCCAGGAUUGGACAGGCAGUUAGUGGAGCACAAGCUGCCAAUUAAAGAUGGCUACCUUCCAGUCAAACAGGCCAGAAGAAGAAUGUCUAUGGACAGAGAACUAAAGGUCAAAGAAGAGAUAGAAAGGUUGCUCAAGGCAGGAUUCAUCAGGCCAGCCGUCUAUGCCGAUUGGUUAGCAAAUAUUGUACCUGUUCUCAAAAGAAAAACAGGGGCAGUUAGAAUCUGCGUAGAUUACAGGAAUCUGAAUGAGGCAUCUCCUAAAGACGAAUAUCCUAUGCCAAUGGCAGACAUGUUAGUGGAUGGAGCCGCUCAUAACCAGAUGCUAUCUUUCAUGGACGACAAUGCAGGUUAUAACCAGAUUAUGACGGCAGAACAGGACAUCCACAAGACAGCCUUUAUGUGUCCAGGACAUAUAGGUGCUUUCGAGUAUACUGUAAUGCCUUUCGGUUUGAGAAAUGCGGGAGCUACCUACCAAAGGGCAAUGAAUUCUAUUUUUCAUGAUAUGAUAGGACAUUCUUUGGAAGUAUACAUAGAUGACGUGGUGAUUAAAUCCCCUGAGGAAGGAAAUCACGUAGCAAGUCUGAGAAAGGCAUUCCUGAGAAUGAGGCAGCACAAGCUAAAAAUGAACCCCAAAAAAUGUGUUUUUGGAGUCCAGGCAGGGAAUUUCUUAGGAUUCUUGGUCCACCAGAGAGGUAUAGAGGUUGACAGAAAUAAAGCAAAAUCCAUCAUAGAAGCUCUACCACCUCGGAACAAGAAGGAACUUCAGAGUCUCUUAGGAAAAAUCAAUUUCCUAAGGAGAUUCAUAUCCAGUUCUGCAGGAAAAAUCCAACCCUUUUCCUCCCUGUUGAGACUGAAGCAGGAACAGACAUUCAAAUGGGAAGAACAGCACCAACAGGCUUUCCAGGAAAUAAAGCAUUACCUCUCAAAUCCACCAGUUCUGUCCCCACCAAAAAGGGGUAGACCCCUCAAACUUUACGUAUCUGCAUCAGAAGUAUCCAUUGGAAGUCUGCUAGUUCAAGAUAACAAAGAAGGAAAAGAACAGGCGGUCUACUAUCUAAGCAGAACGUUGACAGAAGUGGAAAGAAGGUAUUCCGCAAUAGAAAGGCUUUGCCUAGCCUUAUAUUUCACUGCUGUGAAGCUCAGGCACUACAUGCUGCCACAUACUAUCUACAUCAUUGCCAAAACCGACUUAAUCAAAUACAUGCUAACAAGACCAAUGCUGAGGGGCAGAAUUGGGAAAUGGACUUUGGCUUUGACAGAAUUCACCCUCAGGUAUGUCCCCCAGAAAGCUGUCAAAGGGCAAGCUGUGGCAGACUUUUUGGCAGAUCACCCGGGAGAGGAAAUUGAAAACAUGGAUUCUUUGGACAUAGCAAAUGCAGAUCUGUUAACUAGAGCUCAUGUUUGCCUUAACAAUCCAAUUUACUCGAUUCAUCUCACACCUUGGAAAUUAUAUUUUGAUGGAUCGAAGACAGACAAGGCUUCAGGAGCAGGGAUUGUUCUGGAAGAACCAUUAGGGGUCAGGCAUUGCUAUUCUUUCCAGCUAGAUUUCCAAUGCACCAACAACAGGGCCGAAUAUGAGGCUUUGAUUAUAGGGCUCGAAAUGUUGGUAGAAUUAGGAGUCCAGUCCGUGGAAAUCUUGGGAGAUUCCAUGCUUGUCCUAAAACAGAUUGCUGGAGAAUAUAAGUGUCUGAAUCCCUCUCUGGCUGUAUAUCUAGUGGCAGCUAGAAAUCUGCUAACAGAAUUUAGAGAAGCUACUUGGGAGCACAUCCCAAGGGAGAAAAACUUUGCAGCCAAUGAACUGGCUCAGGUGGCAUCAGGCAUACAAAUGCCCGAAGACUGCGUCCAAAGGAUCAUCAAGAUAGGAAGGAAAAGUCUACCAUCUGUUUUGACGAGAGGAAUGGAGAUAGAAGUCAAUUCUGCCUCGAUCACUGGAGAUGAUUGGAGGGAGCCUAUCAUGACUUACUUACGAUAUCCCACUCUGCCCUCUGAGAAAAGAGUCAGAAUCAUGGCUACAAACUACCUCAUGUGGAAUGAAGAUUUGGUCCGAAAAAGUAAGGAUGAGGUACUAUUAAGGUGCCUCGGGAAGACAGAAUACAUGAAAGUCAUGGGAGAAACCCAUGAGGGGGUCUGUGGAGCUCACCAAGGGGGAAGAAAGAUGUGCUGGUUAAUCAGAAGAUAUGGCUACUUCUGGCCAACCAUGAUGAAGGAUUGCAUCGACUAUUCCAAAGGAUGUGAAGCCUGUCAAAGGCAUGGCCCAAUCCAGCAGGCUCCUUCGGUUCCCAUGAAUCCAGUAGUAAAACCAUGGCCUUUCAGGGGAUGGGCAAUGGAUCUCAUUGGCAAAAUCUAUCCAGCCAGCAACCAGCAGCACUGUUUCAUCAUCGUUGCCACAGAUUAUUUCACCAAGUGGGUAGAAGCCAAGCCAGUAAAAACCACAACAUCUCAAGAGAUCAUCACCUUCAUAGAAGAACAGAUCAUACAAAGGUUUGGCAUUCCAGAAUCAAUCACAACCGAUAGGGGUUCUUCUUUCAUAUCUAGGGACAUGCUAGAUAUGGCAGAAACAUUCAAGUUCAAACUGCUUCAAUCUACUCCUUACUAUGCUCAAGCUAAUGGACAGGCAGAAUCAAGUAACAAGGUGAUUAUCAAUAUCAUUAGAAAGAUGCUAGAGAAAAAUCCAAAGCAAUGGCACGAGAAGUUGUCAGAAACUUUGUGGGCAUAUAGAACUUCGAAGAGAGAAGCGACUGGCAUGACCCCCUAUGCUCUAACCUACGGCCACGAUGCAAUUCUUCCCAUGGAGAUAGCAGUCCAGUCUCUUAGAAUUGCUCACCAGCAUGGUCUCACUGGGGAGGAUUACUCUCAAGCCAUGUUACUGGAAUUGGAAGGAUUGGAUGCAAGCAGAAUUGACACCCUCAACAAACUCUUAGCAGGAAAGCAGGCUGUAUCGAGAGCCUACAACAAAAGAGUCAAAAACAAGAGUUUUGAAGAGGGAGAGAUAGUCUGGAAGGCAAUUCUGCCCCUUGGAGCACACAUAGCUGGGUAUGGGAAAUGGUCACCUACAUGGGAUUCACAGGCUGUACAAACGGAUCCUGGGAUAGAAGAGGAACAAGAUUGACCUUUUUGUUUCUUGAAAGGGAAUCUUGUUUAGAUUUGUUUUUACUUUAAAGUUGUUCUGUUUUUACUGUACUUUCAAAACCGUGUCCGGUUAUUGCAUCAAGAAUAAAAAGCAGUAAAAAUGCUUUGAAAGCUUAUAUAAAAAUAGCCACCUUUGCGGCAAAUUAUUCGAACAAAAGAAAGAAGAAGCUAAAAUCCUAGCUUUCUAAAAGUCUCCUGUAGGUUCGCUUUCUUGACAGACAGUUCUUUCUGGAGCAACACCCCCUGGUGAAUUGAAGCCUCUGCAAUUUCCAAAGCUGGCCUGGAAGCUGCAACCAUACUUUGCACAAGGAAGGUGGCCUUAGUUUUGGAACUCAGUCCAGCCCCAAGUUUGUUCUGCACCUCCCUACACUCUGCCAGCUGUUUUUGGAGUUCUUCAAUCUGCUUCUCCAACUUAUCCGCGGUAGCCUUAGCCUCCUUAUAUCCAGCCACCAUCUGAUCCAGUUCUGUUUUCUGCCUGGCAAAGUCAGCCAAAUUAGCUUCAUGUGUGGCCUUGCAGAACUCAGAAGUUUUGAACGUAGGCCUAAGAUCUUCAUAGCGAUCAUGCAGAUUAAGCACAUCUCUGGCCAGGCUUAGGCCCAUCUCAAGAAUAGGCCUCGGAGCCAUGUUCUGUCUAUGCAGCAGGUCCAGGUCCUUCAUCAGCUGAUCAAGAGCCCCUGUAUCUUCAUCAAAUUCCAGCUCAGUGGACUGCCAGAUUUUCAACCUCUCCAUGGCUUCCUCCACCGCCCUAGAUUUUGCCUUGCCUGGAGGAGAACUGAGUUUCUCCAGUCUGUCCAAUUGGGCAUCCAGAUCCAUGGCUUCAAACUCUUCAAGUUCUGGAUCAGCAAAAGAAGCCGUGGCAGAUGAUCCUGGAAAGGAAUGAAUAGGCAUCUGCAGAAGAGAACAUAAGCUAAGACCAGGCAGAAAGUGGAAGAUAAAGGAGGCUCAAAAGUUAUGAAAACUUACAGCGACAAUGGGAGGCUUCAGAGGGCUGGACACCGCAGCCAGGGCACCAGUAGCUUUAGGCACUUCCACCUGGAAAGACUGCAAAUGUAUAAAAGACAGAACAGACAGAACAGCAGGAAAACAUGAACAGUUGAAGGGGAAAAUUACCACAACCACAGGAGCAGCUGCAGUCGUUCCCACCUCAGCCUCCGGGACCACAACGGUUAAUUCUGCCUGAUCCACGGGGUCUGAUGCAGAUGGCUCCACCUGAUCCUCGGCCUCUGGAGCGGCAGUAGAGUGUUCUGCCUCAGCAUCCUCAAAAAGAGCCAGUUCUGAGCUGGUCAGCUCAGCACUCGGACCCUUUUGUUGCUUCUGCGCCAAGGCAAUGCUCUUCGCUAUCACCUCAGCAGGAAUUUCAUCCUACAAGAAGGGGGUCAGAACAGAAGGAAUGAAGCAAAAGAGGAACUAAUGCGAGUCACAGACUAAAACUCACCUCGUCUUCCACCGCUGCCACCUUCUCUUGGGGCACCUCCUCCAGCUCUCGCAGCUCUUUUUCCUGCUCCACCUCCUCAAAGGCUUCUCGCAGCUCAUCGUCCGUCCCAGAAGUAGUGGCUGGGAUUGCUGCGGCUUCUUCUGCGGCAAAGUAUUCCACUUCACCCCUCUUCUUAAGCUUUUUUAACUUAGUAGUAGGAGGAGAAGGACUCCCAGCUGGACAGAACAAAAGGAAAAGAUUAGAAAAGAGAAAACAGAAUAAAUCUAGAGAGAACAGUUGGAAUGCUCCAAACUUACCAGGAAUGCCAGGCCGCGCGGUAUUAUCCAGAAGGGGAGCAGGCCCUUUUCUUUUUCUUCUACCAGAAGGAACAGCCUCGGCAGGGGUUUGUUCUGCCUCAACAUCAUCCUCUUCAUCAGCAGAAGGGAGCUCCAAAUCCCCGGUGGCAAUGACAGAAGAGACUGCACCAAGCAGUUAGAGGUUAGCAGCCAAUCCAACAGGAAAAGACAGAAGAAAAUUAAAAAGGAAAGGUUUACCAAUCACUUCUCCAGCCUGGACAGACUGUCCACCCACGUUCUUUGUCAGGGAAGGAUCUAAUAACAGGCAGAACAUAGGUUAAAAACAAAUUAUCAAGACAGAACAAGUCCCAGACAGAAUCAAGUAUCUACCUUCUAUGAUUUGUUCAUUAAUGUCCUUGAUGGUCUGGAUCAGAUGCGCUUUGGCCUCCCCCUCCGCAAAAAGAUGCCAGUUCUCCCAACCGUCAAAAAGCGUCUUGAGGGCAGUAACAGAAGCUGGUAGAUUUUGGAAUCUGGUUUGCCACCAGGCGUCAAAAUCAGCAGAACUGCAGGAAUUUGGCUCCCAUGAGGGAUAGAGGGCAUCCGUGCUAUUAUUUAUCUUGUUCACUGCACACCGGGCAUCCUUGUGCACCUCCAGAUCAUCUACAUCCCUCCAAGAAGAGGCCCGAUUGCAACUCCGAUAUGAUUUCAACGGUAUGAGCUGAGGGCAGCCAAGCUGCCUUGCACAGAAGUUGGGAUGAUAGACUUCUGCCCCCAGAUGGUAGUUUGGAGGUUUGCCCCCGCCAUGGGGCAGAUCUCUGGGCAAAGUAAUGCCCAGAAAUUUCUUCCUGAAAUCUGUUCUGGCAGCCUCGUCUUCUGGUUCUUUCUCGAAAAGCCGAGAUCCAGUCUGGAACCAAGGAUAGGUCCUUCUGAUCACCACUUGCCACUGAGCAGCCGACCUCUUGGUACAAUGCCUGAAGAGCAUCAAAUACUCCUCAAGAGAGCGCUUGGGCACUUCUGCCUAUAUCAGGGGAAGGGCCAGAACUUGGUCUUCAGGCAGAACUAUGUCUGGAAACCUUAACUCGGGGAAAUAUACCUGCAGCCAGAUCUGGAUCAUCCAGAAUGCGCCAGGAGCAGACAGGUUCAAUGGAUUCUCAAGAGUGGCAGUAUACAGAUUCUUGAAAAGGUGGGCCAGAACUGUUGGUCCAAGCCCCACAUCAGUAUGAUUGUGAAGUGCUUCUGCCAGAUGUCUGUAUUCAAGCAGAACUGCCGAAGACCGAUUGGGGAAGACAAAUCGGUUCAGCCAAUACAGAAGGAACAACAUAUGUUGCUGAUCCUUGUCCUUCUCAGCGCUGAAUCUCUUCAGAUAGUUGGAGAAGGAGCAGUUCUGGUUGAUCGUGGCUGGAGAGAUAGUGAAGGGAGUGGCCACUUUCUCUUGGUUCUUUCGCCUGUGAUAAUCCCCAACAGCAUCAACAGGUCUGCCAUGGGGCGUAAACCCAAAAAUCUGAGCCAUGUCCAGCAGAGUUGGAGCCAUGGGACCCACACGGAAAUCAAAUGUGUUGCUGGCAGAAUUCCAAAAACACAAGGCAGCAGCAAGCAGGUUCUCAUCUCUGUUGAUCGACUGCUUGGACAGAAGAAUGGCGUCAUAGAGCCCAGCUCUCCUCCAGUGACCCCCAUAUCUCGGGAGAAGUCUGUCAAUCCAGUCUGCCCAUUUGACUGGACUGUUCCUCACCUCGCUGGACGGGAAGGAUUGACUCAAAUUCUUGCUAACCCAAGAAUGAGAAGCCAGGGCGGAAGUACUCUCGAAGCACAAAGGAGCCUCGGCGUCCUUUUUCAGCAGUUCUGCCGCCUCAGCCGGAACAGGGCCAAACCAGUGAGGCCCCAGCACCAGGGUAUUCUCGAACAAAUGAAGAACAUUUUCAUCCAGAUUCUUCUGAGCAAAAGGAUGGAGCUUGCUCCUAACCUCUAUUGCGUGGGCAUCAAUCCCGCUCCCAGUGAUGUAAUCAGGAGGGAUUGAAGCUGAAGAAGACUGAGCAUGGGACCUGGGGGAAGACAUUUCGGAUUCAAGGAAGGAAGCAGAGAGAAAAGGGGGAAGUUCGAAGGAAACGAUGAAAACCCGAAGAGAAGUUCCAAGUUUGAAAGGCUAAGAGGCAGUGGGUCUGAAAUUUCUUUUUAAAAGGGAAGGCUCGAAACGUGAGAGGAAGAAGAAGAUACGGCAGCUGGUGAUUAUUGGCUAGUAACUAGCCAAAUAAAUAGCCGUUUUUCUUCUCCCACGAACUCUAGAUCAUUAUGGGCGGACGAGACAGACGCACGAAGCGGAAAAGACUGGCGCGCAAAUUCAUGGCAAAAACAUUAAGUCUGAAAAACCGUUCCAAAAACAAGUUCAGACUUAAUGGGGGCAUUGUUUGGGCCUAAAUUUGACACACCAAAGAGAUCCAGAAACAGGCCCGUGGUGAAAUACUUAUCCAGUCCCAAAAAACCCAAAGCGUAGAAAGCUGUCAUAUUGGGCCUUUGAAGAUCAGCCCACAAAAUAUUGUUUAAACUCAAGCCCAAGAGACUAAAGACACAUUCACGUGGCUACCUCACCUCUCUGGAAAGUCAGCAAUUCCAACUAGAGUUUUUAUGUGAGAAGGGACGUUUCUGAAAACAUUGCCGAGAAAGAAAAAUCAAAGGGGCGUCUAUGAUCAGAGACUUUUUGUUCCAAAGCAACACACCAUCUUCUAAAAAGAUUUCGCAAAUCACGUUUUCAAGAGCAAGAGACAGGGAGUUGUUCAGAAAAUACAAAAGAAAAAUCAAAACCGCCAUAGGAUCAGCUCACACAGACGGUGGCAUUAAAAUAGAAAAACCGUCAGCCAGGAAACCAGGGAAGGGAUCGCUAUAGGAAGUGACCACUGGGAGUCUAUCUGCCAUAAUUGAUAAAAAUGUUUCCUGCUUUACGUUUUGAGAAAUCUUUUGCCGCCCAUUAUUAAAAUUUAAAACCACCUUCAAAAGGAGGGUCUCUUAUAAAAACAGAAGCAGGCAAGAAAGAAAGGACACUCAACUCAUCAACCAAAAAAACAACAGCAAGAAAAACAGCCAAGAGCUCACUUAAAUUCCAAGAGAAACCAACCUUAAAUCAGAAUUCCAAGGUUCAGACUUAGAAAACAAAUUUCCUAGAACGAGAUCCCUCGUUACAAAUUUGGUUCAGCAAAAGCCAAGACAAACAUAGUUUGAGUUUUCACAACUAUGAAAACCUCAACAAAUUUUACAGCAUGGUUCCAGCUUGCUAAAUCCUCGAGAAUAGCCACUUCUGUCCCUUCAGACUGAAGAAGUCACAGUUCUGCCCGCUCAAGAGCCUCCCAAGGCUUGAAGUAGAUUGAAGCUCUGCCAAAAUCGAACUUUGGUAUCGAUUUACAGCUGAAGCCAAGCAGCUAAAGUUGUUGACAGUACAGUCCAGCAUAGACAUACCCAGUCCAGCCCGGAUCAGAAGUUUCUACCCAGGCAGAAAUGGGAUUCCAGCCAUCCUUUUGCCUUUCUAGAGUUGAUUUCUCCCUUCUUAAUUUUGUAAAAGGCAGUUCUGCCUGAAACCGUACUUUAUUAUUAUCUAUUCUGGCUAGAACAACCAUUUUUGAUACUGAGAUAAAUUGUGAAAGUCCUCACCAGUCUGAGGCAAGAAAAGAACUUACUUGGGAGAUAUUCCUCACCCAAAUUCACAAUCGUUUGUUUUAGAAGUCAGUAACUUGAGGCGCAAGUUAUCCAUUCUAAAAAUAAGUCUGCUAGAAUUUACAUUGCUAGCAGUGGCACGCUCGCACACCAAAGAAAGCUGACUUGUCGACCAACAAGUGGUCUCCAAGCCAGUGGGGAACUUCGCCCUUCCACAUCAGGAGUUAAACACGAAAACGGGUGAACAGAUUCCGGUGAAACAGGUGAGCGUUCUUCCUCUUUUUACAUGCUUUAACUGUUUCUGGGGUAGGUUGGGCUCGAUUUUGCAUUUGAGAAAAUGAAUUCGAAACAUAGGUUUUGGCCGGAUUUCAAAGUGAAAUUCCGGCCAGUUGACGUCCGAAUUGGACCUCCAUGUAGUUGAAUGAUGUGAUCCUGACCUCGAGUAGAAGCUAGGGUAGGAAGGGUGAGCUCGGGUGUGGAGUUUUUCUGUCGCUGAAAUUUACUCUACACACCCACGCGCUUCCGGCGCAUGUGGCGGCUCGUGGGCAAGGGUGGUGAAGCUGCAUUUUGUCCCGAUGAGAUUCUUAGGUUGUCAUGAGUGCGUAGGAUUUCGCGGAUCUCAAUUCGGACGUCAUUUGACUAUCGAACGGAUUUUCGCAUAUUGUGCAUUAUCCGGGUUCGAUAGGUUUUGACCGUUGGAUCGUUUCCCAAUUAAAAUAUGUUGUUCUAGGUAUUCCUAGGAUCAUGUAGGACUCAUGGAUCGUGAAUCGGAGCCCCGAAUGUUUCGAUUCAAUAAUUCAAAGUUUAUGGGUUCGCGAUAACCGUCCAAUCAUGAGCGAUUCCUAAACCUAUAACCGGACCUUAGGAUAUCUCGUUCUACGUACACGCACCGGGAACUUGGGGAUUUAACUAUUUAAAUUGUGUUUUCCGUUUCGAAGUAAUUUUAUAUUAAUUAAGGGUUCGUAUCUCGAAAUAGGUGCUCCGACUGCACGUACUCAACAGGCAGGACCCUCUCGUGGUCAGGCAGCGUGGAAAUACUUGUGAGUAGACUUUGUUUUCAAUCAUACGUAUGGUUUUAUGGAUGAAAGAUUCAUGCAUAAUGUUUUAAAUGGUAUAUUGAAUAUAUUAUAUUCAAAUGUUGAAUUUGAUGUUUGUAUCGCUUUGGCAAUAUACUGUGGGUUUGACAUAUUUGAGUAUAGAGAGUAUGUUUGUAUGGAUUUUGGGGAAGUUCUAUAUAUAUUGUCUGUAGGUGGAAUACUUGGGUUGUUGAGGUGAGUUUGUGGAAGAACUUGAGUAUGAGGGGUUGUUUUGAGAAGUUGUAUGAUUACACUAUGUAAGUACCUUCCCCAGUUACUAGGCUUUCCACACGUGGCGUUGGAUGUUCCGGCUUGUGAGACACUUUCCAUACGCGGUGUUGGACGUUCCGGCGUAUGGGAAGAUUCUGUAUAUUGCUUGGGAUCAUCACACAUGGCGUUGGAUGUUCCAGUGUGUGAUGAUCCAGUCUGCGUGCGUAGGACUUAGUAUUGGACCGCUCAUCCCUAGAUGCAGGAUAGCACCUGGAAAUCCUGCGGGCUAGUCAAACGAUCCCCCAGUUGGAUUGUUUCCCCGGUACCUAGGUAGUGUGAUGAGUAUAUUGUAUAGAUAUAUAUAUAUAUAUAUAGUUGUGAGCGUGAAGCAAUUAGAGUCUAUACAGUGGGUUGGUAGGAGCAGUAAAAUUGUGGGAAUCAGGUUUAUGGAUGGAGUGAUUUGUGGUUUUAAAAAGUUUUCAAUGAAAUAUGUUUUUGAGCAUUUAAUUAUGAAUUGUGAACCUGCAUGUCUUUAGUAUUAUUUUUACAUGGUGGGGUUACUAUGUUGUUUUAACUGCAAAUCUUGUUUUUGUCCACUCACAUGUUUUCUGUUUUGCGCCCCACAGCCAGUACUCACUCCGGGAAGGUUGCAAGCAGUGUUCGAAGGCCAAAUCGUUUACAUCAGUAGAUUAGGCUUCGAGUAAUUUCCUUCUACUCAACUGUUCUUGUAAAGAAAUUCAGUAGAUGCUCUGUUAUUGCCCAUGUUAGAUUUUACUUGUGAGGCCGGAGGCCAUUUAGUAAGUUUUGUUGUAUGUUGAAAGCAUGCUGCUGGUUGGGAUUAUUUUUAUGUAUGUUGCAGGUUGAAAUUUUUGUGGGGUUUGCUCAAUUUACAGGGGAGACUCUGCCAAAAUUUUGGUAGAGUCUCGAUUUUUAGUCUGUGGGCCCGGCAUCGGGGUGAUGUCCGUAAGAAAGACGGGGUCCGCUCCGGGGCAGGUCCUAUCAGCUUGGUAUCAGAGCAUUAGGUUCAUUUCCCUUCGACUUUUGCCCUUUUGUUGCAUUGUUGAUCUAAUGAUUUUAUGGUUUCUUUGUGUAGAACCAUGUCAACUCGCAAAGCAAGAACAUGAGGUUGCGGUCAGAGAUGGGGGCCAAAUCCGCCACUUCCAUCUCCGUCACCACCUCCUUCACCACCAGUGCCUUCGCCUCCACCAUCUCCACCUGCAGGAGAUAAUGCUGUGGAUUUGAGGCAUGUACUUAGCCAGUUUACCCGCCCAUGGCUAUAGCCUUACGGGGAAGGCGUGGUACAGAAAGUUCUGAAAUUAAAAGGGUUAAGGAACUUGGAGCAAGAGAGUUCAUGGGUAGCACAGACCCAGCAGAAGCUGAAUCUUGGAUUACAGAUGUGGAGCGAAUUUUUGAGGUUCUGGAGUGCCCAGUUGGGGAUAGAGUUCGCUUGGCUACUUUUCUACUGAAGGGAAAUGCAUAUCAUUGGUGGAAAGCUGUAAAAAGGGGUUAUGAGAACCCGGCUACCAUAAACUAGGAGGAAUUUCAGCGGGUCUUCUCAGAGCAGUUUUACCCACCUUCCUACAGACAUGCAAAGAAGUCAGAGUUCCUAUAUCUGAAACAGGGGUCUAUGUCAGUGGUGGAGUAUAAACACAAGUUUAAUGAGCUGUCUAGAUUUGCUCCAGAGCUGGUGGCCACUGAGGAGGACAGAUGUAGACGGUUUGAGGAAGGAUUAUGGUGGGAGAUUCAGGCAGUGGUUACUGCCAACACUUAUCCAAAUAUGAGGGCUUUGGCUCAGGCAGCUGAAACGGUGUCGAGGAAACUCAGUGGUAGUGCUGGCAGGCGCUGCAGAGAUACACCAGGAAUUGGUGGGCCCAAUCAAGGUCCAUCAAAGAGAGGAGGAUCUAGCUCUAAUUCUGCUAGUGGAGGAUGGUCAGGAGGACAGGGAUCUAGUUCUAGUAGUGGGAGAUCCGGUUCUCGUCCAGCAUGAACUCAGUAUUCAAGGCCGCAGUCUACAGCUAGCAUGGCCAGGGCUCCUUCCUGGCAGACUGGGUUGACAUGUUUUAAUUGUGGACAGGUUGGGCACAUGGUGAAAGAUUGUCCUAGCUAUACUCAGGGAGGUGGACAGAGUCAGAGUAGUAGCCUGACAUGCUACUUUUGUAGGCAAGUGGGGCACACCAAGAGAAGCUGCCCAAUUAUACUCCAGAGUGAUACAGCAGUCCAGGGGACUAGGGCCCAGUAGGGGCAGGGUAUUAUGGGUUAGAAUCAGAGUCAAGGUGGUGCUUCUUCUUCUGCAGCAGGAUCAUCCAGUAGCAGGGCACCAUCAUCUUUUAGAGGCAGGAGUGGUAGGUAAUCAAGGGGUCAGCCUGGGCGUUCCACUACUCAGGCCCGAGUGUUCUCUAUGACUCAGCAGGAAACACAUGCCACCCCGGACUUGAUUACUGGUAUGAUUUCGAUCUUUGGUUAUCUUGCACGUAUUCUAAUUGAUCCGGGGGCCACACACUCCUUCGUAGCACACAACUUCGUACCGUAUGUCACUGUUAGACCCACACCUAUGACAGGAAGUUUUAGUAUUUCCCUACCUACGGGAGAAGUCUUGUACGCAGACUGGGUGUUCAGAAAUUAUUUUGUCCAAGUGGACGAUGCAUGGUUGGAGGCCAACUUGAUUCCUUUAGAUUUGGUGGAUUUGGAUAUUAUAUUAGGGAUGGAUUGGCUAGAGAAGCAUCAUGCAUCAGUGGACCAUUUCCGGAAGGAAGUAACACUUCGGAAUCUAGGGCAACCUAAAGUUACCUUCCGUAGGGAGCGUAGAGUUCUCCCUACUUGUCUUAUUUCCGCUAUCACAGCCAAGAGGUUACUCAAGAAGGGUUGUGAAGGAUAUUUGGCUCAUAUUAUCGAUACUCAAGAGAUCACCCUGAAUCUGGAAGAUAUCCCUGUUGUUUGUGAUUUCCCUGAUGUCUUUCCAGAUGAUCUCCCUAGUUUACCCCCUGAAAGGGAAAUCAAAUUCACUAUCGAACUUCUUCCAUGCACUAACCCUAUCUAUCAAACUCCCUAUAGGAUGGCACCAGCUGAGCUCCGGGAGUUGAAGACUUAGUUGCAGGAGUUAGUGCAUCUUGGGUUCAUCUGACCCAGUGUUUCUCCGUGGGGUGCACCGGUGUUGUUCGUGAGAAAGAAAGAUGGGACAAUUAGGUUAUGUAUUGAUUACCGACAGUUGAAUAAGGUGACAGUACGUAACCGGUAUCCUUUGCCUCGGAUUGAUGAUUUUUUUGAUCAGUUGGAGGGUGCUAAGUAUUUCUCUAAGAUUGAUCUGAGAUCAAGAUACCAUCAGUUGAGGAUCAGGGAAGAGGAUAUUCCUAAGACCGCAUUCAGAACGCGGUAUGGACAUUAUAAAUUUCUAGUGAUGCCUUUUGGACUGACAAAUACUCCAGCAGCGUUUAUGGAUCUCAUGAACAGAGUGUUCCGAACAUACUUGGAUCACUUUGUGAUUGUGUUCAUAGAUGAUAUCUUGGUUUACUCCAAGACUUUGGAAGGGCAUAAGAAGCAUCUAAGGUUGGUAUUGAGGACUUUUAGGAGGAAGCAGCUUUAUGCCAUAUUUAGUAAGUGUCAGUUCUGGCUGGACAGAGUGGGAUUCCUUGUACAUGUAAUUUCAGCUAAAGGGAUUUAUGUGGAUCCACAUAAAGUUGAAACUAUUGUGAAUUGGGUACAACCCACAAGUGUGACAGAAAUACGGAGUUUUCUGGGGUUGGCAGGCUACUACUGUCGAUUUGUGGAAGGGUUCUCUUCGAUUGCAGCACCUCUCAUGCGGUUGACAAGGAAAGAUGUUACAUUUGAGUGGACGGAAGAGUGUGAACAAAGUUUUCAGGAAUUGAAGAAGCGGUUAACCACCGCACCUGUUUGACUCUUCCGGAUAAUUCGGGGCAUUUUGUGAUCUGCAGUGAUGCAUCUUUGCAAGGCUUGGGAUGUGUUAUGAUGCAACAUGAUCGGGUGAUUGUUUAUGCCUCGAGACAACUCAAGAAUCAUGAGUAGAAUUAUCCUAUCCAUGAUUUGGAACUUGCUGCAGUAGUGUUCGCUCUCAAGAUUUGGCGGCAUUAAUUGUAUGGUGAGACGUGUCAGAUUUUCACUGAUCACAAGAGCCUCAAGUACUUUUUCACUCAAAAGGAGCUUAAUAUGAGACAACGGCGUUGGCUAGAAUUGAUUACGGACUAUGACUGCAAGAUUGAGUAUCAUCCAGGCCGAGCGAAUGUGGUUGCUGAUGCACUGAGUAGGAAGACUACUGGAAGUCUCAGAACAGCCUAUCUUCCGUUGUUGGUGGAACUACGGAAGGAUGGAGUAGAGUUGGGAAUGACUCAACGAGGUGGAAUCUUUGCUAGCUUACAUGUGAGACCUAUUCUGGUGGAGCGGGUAAUUGUAGCCCAGUUGGGAGAUCCAACCCUUUGUAGAAUAAGGGGAGAAGUGGAAAAUGGUACACGGAAGGAUUAUGCAAUAAGGGGAGAUGGAGCGUUGGUAACAGGAACUUGUCUCUGUGUACCUAAGAACGAUGAUUUGAAAAGAGAAAUCAUGGAGGAAGCUCACUGUUCCACUUACACUAUGCAUCCGGGAAGUACCAAGAUGUAUCGGACCCUACGAGAAUAUUACUCAUGGCCGCAUAUGAAGGGAGACAUUGCCAAGUAUGUGAGCAGAUGCUUGAUUUGUCAGCAAGUAAAGGCAGAGCGACAGAAACCUUCGGGACUUAUGCAACCACUUCCGAUUCCUGAAUGGAAGUGGGAACGUAUUACCAUGGAUUUUGUUUUCAAGCUUCCCCGUACUUCUAAGGGACAUGAUGGAAUUUGGGUGAUAGUUGAUAGACUCACCAAGUCAGCUCAUUUCCUACCUAUCAAGGAGACUUAUUCUUUGACGAAGUUGGCAAAACUCUUUGUGGACGAGAUUGUGAGAUUACAUGGAGCACCUGUGUCCAUUGUAUCGGACAGGGAUGCUCGUUUAACUUCUCGAUUCUUGAGGUGUUUGCAGGAAGCUAUGGGUACUAGGUUGCAGUUCAGCACAGCUUUUCACCCACAGACUGAUGGGCAAUCAGAAAGGACCAUCCAGACUCUGAAGGAUAUGUUGAGGUCAUGUGUGUUGCAGAUGAAAGAUGCAUGGGAUGCUCACCUUGCCUUGGUGGAAUUUGCAUAUAAUAACAAUUAUCAUGCGAGUAUUCAGAUGGCUCCUUAUGAGGCAUUGUAUGGGAGGCAGUGUAGGACUCCUAUUUGUUGGAAUGAGGUGGGUGAUAAGAAAUUGGAAAGAGUGGAUAGUAUUCGAGCAACAACUGAGAAGGUGAAGAUGAUUAAAGAAAAGCUGAAAACCGCACAAGACCGACAGAAGAGUUAUGUGGAUAACCGGUCCAAGGAUCUUGAGUUUGUAGUUGGGGAUUGGGUGUUCCUGAAGUUAUCUCCUUGGAAGGGUGUGAUGAGAUUCGAGAAACAUGGGAAGUUAAGACCUCGUUACAUUGGACCCUAUGAGGUCACUGAGCGCAUCGGACCUGUUGACUUGCAUUACGUGCAGAACUAUCUCGGGUCCAUGAUGUGUUUCAUGUAUCCAUGCUUGGAAAUACAUGCCAGAUCCUUCUCAUGUUCUACAGUAUCAACCUGUGGAGUUAGAAGAAGAUUUGUCAUAUGAAGAGAAGCCUAUGCAGAUCCUGAAAAGGAAAGAGCAAAUGUUGCGCUCCAGAUCUAUUCCGGUAGUGAAGGUUUUGUGGAGAAGCCAAACUGUGCAAUAAGCUACAUAGAAGCCCGAGGCGCAGAUGCGGGCCAAGUACACUUAUCUCUUCCAUUGACAGGAAUGUGAAUUUCGAGGAAAAUUUUUUUAUAAAGGGGAUAGAUUGUAACACCCCGACUCCAAAUUUAAUUCCUAUUUUAAUUUAUUUAAAGUGAAAUUACGAAUUUACCGUUGGGGUAGGGGUAAAUUAGUUAUUUUCUUAUUCGGAAGGAGUUUGGGACCACGACUGGUAUUUUUGGGUAGGUCGUACUGAGACGAAUUCGUAGACAUGUGGUUGGCUUGAAUCGGAGUUGUAACGAAGAUUUGGUGGUCAAAAUAAGUUCAGUGGCAAAACCGUAAAUAUUUCAAAAAUUUUGGUAAAAUCUGAUUUUUUUUUUUCAGUUUCUACCCCACACACACUCUCUCUCUCCCCUGAUUCUCCCCCUGCUCGCGAACCAGAAACCACCACCCCGCCACCAUUUCCAGCCACCCCGAUCGACGGCACCGGUCCCGAUCGACUCCUCUCGAAGUCCCGAACCCGAACCACCCAAUUUCCCCAUCGAAAAACUCGAGAAUCGCCGACGGCAUCGACUGGUUCAAACCUGAGUUUUCCCGACGUCGCGUCGUCGCCUCCGCCGCCCGAUUCCGAUGAAACAGGUGAGGGUUCUUCCUCUUUUUACAUGCUUUAGUUGUUUCUGGGGUAGGUUGGGCUCGAUUUUGCAUUUGAGAAAAUGAAUUCGAAACCUAGGUUUUGGCCGGAUUUCACAGUGAAAUUCCAGUCAGUUGCCUUCCGAAUUGGACCUCCCCGUAGUUGAAUGGUGUGAUCUUGACCUCGAGUAGAAGCUAGGGUAGGAAGGGUGAGCACGGGUGUGGAGUUUUUCCGUCGUCGGAAUUUACCCUAUACACCCACGUCUACCGGCGCGUGUGGCGGUGCGUGGGUGAGGGUGGUGAAGCUUCAUUUUGUCCCGAUGAGAUCCUCAGGUUGUCACGAGUGCGUAGGAUUUCGUGGAUCUCAAUUCGGACGUCGUUUGACAAUCGAACGGAUUUUCGCAUAUUGUUCGUUAUACGGGUUCGAUAGGUUCUGACUGUUGGAUUGUUUCCCAAUUAAAAUAUGUUGUUCUAGGUAUUCCUAGGAUCAUGUAGGACUUCACGGAUCUUGAAUCGGAGCCCCGGAAGUUCCGAUUCAAUAAUUCAAAGUUUGUGGGUUAGCGAUAACCAUCCAAUCGUAAGCGAUUCCUAAACCUAUAACCAGACCGUAGGAUAUCUCGUUCUACGUACACGCACCGGGAACUUGGGGAUUUAACUAUUUAAAUUGUGUUUUCCGUUUCGAAGUAAUUUUAUAUUAAUUAAGGGUUCGUAUCUCGAAAUAGGUGCUCCGACUGCACGUACUCAACAGGCAGGACCCUCUCGUGGUCAGGCAGCGUGGAAAUACUUGUGAGUAGACUUUGUUUUCAAUCAUACGUAUGGUUUUAUGGAUGAAAGAUUCAUGCAUAAUGUUUUAAAUGGUAUAUUGAAUAUAUUAUAUUCAAAUGUUGAAUUUGAUGUUUGUAUAGCGCUUUGGCAAUAUAUUGUGGGUUUGACAUAUUUGAGUAUAGAGAGUAUGUUUGUAUGGAUUUUGGGGAAGUUCUAUAUAUAUAUUGUCUGUAGGUGGAAUACUUGGGUUGUUGAGGUGAGUUUGUGGAAGAACUUGAGUAUGAGGGGUUGUUGAGAGAAGUUGUAUGAUUACACUAUGUAAGUACCUUCCCCAGUUACUAGGCUUCCCACACGUGGCGUUGGAUGUUCCGGCGUGUGGGAAGAAUAGGUUACUAUUAGUCUCACACGUGGCUUUGGAUGUCCCGGCAUGUGAGACACUUUUCAUACGCGGUGUUGGAUGUUCCGGCGUAUGGGAAGAUUCUGUAUAUUGCUUGGGAUCAUCACACAUGGCGUUGGAUGUUCCGGUGUGUGAUGAUCCAGUCUGCGUGCGUAGGACUUAGUAUUGGAGCUACACAUGGCGUUGGAAGUUCCGAUGUGUGAGCUAUGGAGUUUCGUCCCCCGGUUGGACUGCUCAUCCCUAGACGCAAGAUAGCACCUGGAAAUCCUGCGGGCUAGUCAAACGAUCCCCUAGUUGGAUUGUUUCCCCGGUACCUAGGUAGUGUGAUGAGUAUAUUGUAUAGAUAUAUAUAUAUACACAAUUAGAGUCUAUACAGUGGGUUGUUGGUAGGAGCAGUAAAAUUGUGGGAAUGAGGUUUAUGGAUGGAGUGGUUUUAAAGAGUUUUCAAUGAAAUAUGUUUUUGAGCAUUUAAUUAUGAAUUGUGAACCUACAUUAGCAUUAUUUUUACACGGUGGGGUUACUAUGUUGUUUUAACUGCAAAUCUUGUUUUUGUCCACUCACAUUUUUCUGUUUUGCGCCCCCCAGCCAGUAGUCACUCCAGGAAGGUUGCAAGCAGUGUUCGAAGGCCGAAUCGUUUACAUCAGUAGAUUAGGCUUCGAGUAAUUUCCUUCUACUCAACUGUUCUUGUAAACUAAAUUCAGUAGAUGCUCUGUUAUUGCCAUGUUAGAUUUUACUUGUGAGGCCGGAGGCCAUUUAAUACUUUUUGUUGUAUGCUGAAAGCAUGCUGCUGGUUGAGAUUAUUUUUAUGUAUGUUGCAGGUUGAAAUUUUUGUGAGGUUUGCUCAAUUUACAGGGGAGAGUCUGCCAAAAUUUUGGUAGAGUCUCGAUUUUUAGUACGUGGGCCCGGCAUCAGGGUGAUGUCCGUAACAAAGACGGGGUCCGCUCCGGUUUUCGAGGAAAUCUGGGGCGGGUCCUGUCAAAUGCACCAUAUGAAAGAAGUUGUGAGAGGAGGACUUUGUCAAUUCAAUGGUUGAGGGGUUGCAACGACCUUGUUAUUAAGACCAAAAAUAAAAAUAAAAACUCAGGCCAUCAGAAAUCUUGGGGGAAGAAAAUGGGUAUGUUCAUAUGAGUGCUUGGCCAACGUCGGUGACUGAUUGCUUUGUCGGCGUCGGAGCAGGUUAGGGUGUGCGAGAUGAAGGGAGUGGGUAUGUGAACUGAAUGAGGGAAAUAACAAGCGUGUUGGAAUGGGUUUAAUUUAAUUCUUAGCUCAUACUAAUCUGCGACCAAAACUAGUGGUGGCCAAAUAACUCAAAAAUUUUAAGUGCGAAUUUUUGCUUUGCGACGACGCUGGCAAACAUAGCGACAAAAAAAUUUUGUCACCUAGAAUUUUUUCAAUUUCGUUCGCACUCUAUUCAAUGAAUGGCGACCAAAAUUAUUUUUCAUCGCCACUUGCAACCAUAGCCACGAAAUCAUUUCGUCGCCCUUCUGAAGAAUUUGGUUGCAAUUCAUUUUGUUCAUGUCUUGGGUGAUGCCUUAAUAUCACAAAACCUUUGGCGGCCAACUGCAAAAGGUUUGUCGCUAAUUUCCUUUUUGAGCGACCAAAAUUGGGUUGGUCGCUGAAAAUUUCGUCGCUGAAGAGGUUUUUUCUUGUAGUGCGUCAAGGCGGGUUAAACAAGCGACUUUUAAAAGGACAACCACGUCAUUAUGUAAUCAAAACCGACAUGGUAAGCAAUUACAACAUCAAGCACCUGGAUCUCUAGACAUAGUGAAAUAAAUAACCACGUCAUUUAUUUUAAAGAAACAGUCGUUGAAUAUAUAAUCCAACAUGAUUUUACCACCAUUACCUAAGCAAUGGGGUUUUAUUAUCUUUUAAGUUCAACUCAUCCAAGAUUAAAGAAUCUCUUAAUUACAAUCUCUUUCUCACCUCACAGGGUCAAACAAACCCCUUUUACAAGUUUGAAUGAAACAACUCUGAACAAAAAAUCUUCCUGUUCGAGAAGGAUAUACAAUUGAAGCUCACACAAUGAUAACUCUCCUUUCUGAGUAGGUGAUACAUAAGUCAUUUGGACACUAGAAUUCUUGUAUGAAUUUGAAAAUGAUAUUAAGAGUAUGAUGAACGCUUGUAAGCUUGGAUGAAUAUAUUGAGUUGUCUUUUUUUUACAAGCAUAGAAAUAUAGUUGUUGGAAAAAUAAUGUCGUUGGAAAAGCUGUUAGGAAUAUAGUUGCUGUCCUUUUCGUUUCAUUUAUUUUUCUAUUACUCCAUUUACUUAAACUUACAAUGUAAAUAAGGAAGUACCCACAUUUGGAUUCAAAUAAAAAUACUAGAAAAUCAAAUUCCCACCAAAUCAAAAUAUAAAAAAUUAGUUUUAGUUCAAAAUACGAUUUAGACUAAAAAUGAUGGCUCAUUAAGUCUCUAAGGUCAAUCUAGGUAAAAAGUUUUAGUUGUUCAAUCCACAAAGAGUUUUACAAGAAUAACCUAACUCUUACGUAUUGAAGAAAUAUUUGCUUGAGUAUCGGCUUCUUGCUUCAAUAUUCCAAAUGUCUUCCAGUGUGUACACUAUUUUUGAUCCAUUUAGGAAUAUCUGCUCCUUACAACCUAUCGCAGUUGAAAUACAUUAGAUAAAUAAGUAAUAAUUUAUCAUCAUCAAAAUAUGUUAAAAUAUUUAUUAUGCAUUUUAACAUUAAGUUUCAUAUUAAGUUAUCAUUCAACACAUCCAGAUUAACUAUUAAGCUCAACUUAACUAUUCAAAAUCACAUCAAUAUGAAAUUCCAGAGAAGGUGAGAAAGAAUUAAGAGAGGGAGGUUAACUUAGGGUUAAACAUAAAUAUUAUAAUUAUAUUUAUUUAUUUAUUUAUUUAAAUAUAAACAUAUAUAUUUUCGGGUCGUAUUCAGGGAUGGGGACGCUAAUACCAUCCCCUCCCCAUACCCGCUAGGGAUUUUUCAAGUUCGGGGAUCCCCAUACCCGAUACUCGUUUGGCCUCGAAAUCUCCCCUUGUUAAGGUUGAGGACCCGACCCCCUCUUACGGGAAUUUUUGCCAUCCUUAGAUAUAGUUAAUGGAUAGUUUUGUUUUGGGCUUAGUCAUAUGUUUUUGAAUUUUUGUUAGCUUGAGGUCAAUGUGCCUUCACAAGGGCUUUAAGGCUUGUUUAAUUUGUAUUUUAAUUUAUAUUUCUACCCUUUUAUAACUAAAAACACAUCAAAAUUCCUCAAAAAUAAAAUUCGAACAUGAGAUCUUAGAUAAGAUCAUAUCCAUCAACCAGCAAUGUCGAUGUGGGAACAAAUAUUUCAGGGACCAAUGAGUGGGUGACAUGUGGAAAAGGGAAAUUCCCUAUGUCAAAUAAUCAUCCUAAUUAAUUAGGGAGAUAAUAUUUGAUUUAAGAUCUACAUAUCUCCCUAAAUUAAGGAAGAUAUUUCCACCAAAUCUCCUUGAUUAAUUCCAAUAUCCUAUUUUUGGGUAAGAAUAUUCCUGAUUAAAUAAGGAUUAUUCUUCAAACCUUAGAAGGCAUGAGCUCUGCAAAUACAUGAGUACACAACACACAUGAGGUAAUUGUAAACUCAAUUUCGAAAACCCUAGAGAACUCUCUCUCUCUCUCUCUCUCUCUCUCUCUCUCUCUCUCUCUCCCCUUCACACGGCUCCGACCAAAACACGCACAGCUUCGGCCACCCGGCUCUCCCAAUAAGAGAAGACCUUCCUAAGAUCCAAUUAACUAACUUAAGCAUCAGAGGGCCUUUAGUCAACACACCCCCCUCCCCGGGUGUGGUCCAUUAACCUAUAUUUGUUUUACAUGAAGUGAGAAGGAAGAAGAAGAAAGGAGUUCGAAGGGUGAAGAAGAAAGGAGUUCAAAGGGUGAAGAAGAAAGGAGUUUGAAAGGUGAAGAAUCAAUCCGGAAUAUUCCCAUGUGUGGAUACUUGCACAAAUAUUUUGGUGCUUUCAUUGAGAGCAUCGAGUUAUACUCAACACGUUGCUCUCGAAUCAAAGAAAUCUGUUACACUCAAUCAAAGCUUUCCAAACAACCAUGGUUAGGAACAAGCGCACGAGAAGCAAGGUCGUUGCGACAACACAAUCCGUGACAGACCCUAGCCAUCGCAAUGACGCGGUGUCGAUCCAACCAAAAAGCUCCAUCGCCGAAACCACGACUUUUCCUCCUGGCCCCAUGGCCGUGGGUACGACUCUACAAGCUUGGCUUUUGAGCUUUUGAGCUCUAUAUAUUAAAAAAUUAGCUUAUCUUGUGACAUGUAUUAUCAAUAUAUAUAUAUAUUUAUUUAUUUAUUUAUUUCUCUUAUCUAGAUGUCCGCAUGUUAUUAUCGUGCGGAUGCCAUUGUAAACAAGGAGAAAAAUCAUAGAAGGGUAGUAGAACAUACACGGUAUCCGCACAAUAAUAACAUCCGGACGUCCACAUAAGUGAAUAUAUAUAUCAGUCCCCUUCUAUUGAGGGAUCCUAUUAUUCAACAGAAAAAUACAAUUUCAAGUCCAAAGAUGAAACUGCACAAUACUAUGAAGAUCGUGCCACAAAAUCAUGUAAGAACAAACAAAAUUGAUCUCGACAUAGGAGAAAUAAGAUCGAACUGAAGCACAAAAAUUGCACGCCAAAACUGACCUUGAUUCUGCAUGCAAAAGCAAAAUUACGAAGAAAACAUAAAAAUCAAUAUAAAAACACAAAACAUAAUCAAAAUAAAAUAUAAAAACGAAGAAAAUCAAACGAAAACAUGCUAGAAGAUCAGAGCUCCAAUCGUAGCUAAACGAACCAAAGCUCCAAAUCUUAUAAGCAAACGAAAACGAAAGCAAACCAGAGCUCCAGUUUCAAAUCACGCGUACUUUAAACAUACAGGGGUAAAAAAGUCAUUUACUUUGUAAGUUUUAAAGUUGGGCCAGGCUUUUUAAGAAGAAUGGUAGCAUUGUCUUUUCGGUUAUUAUUUUAAGCUGGGCCAACGAAUCUAGGCCUCCACUUUGGCCUAAUCCAAAACAACAAUUCAUUCCUAGUAUUAAAACCCAAACAAAAACAUCAAUUUUGCUUUUAUAUAAGGGUAAAGUGUCGUUUUGCCCCUUGAACUAUGGCCUAAUCCAAUCUUUAUGUUUUGGUUGUAGCCCCACCCUCUGUAACAACCCGACCCUAAAUUAUUAGUUAAACAUUAAAUUAUUCAAGGAAAAGACAAUUUUACCCCGGUAAUAUUGAAAUGAUUUAAGAGUGACUUUUGUUCGGGAGAGAUUAAAUGAUUAAAAUAAGAGAAAAUAAAUUUAAAUGAGGAAUAAAUUGAAAUAAACAACAAAUAAAAUGAUUUGAAUUAAUUAAGGUUUUUGAGAAAUUAAAAUAUUAUUUAAUAUUAAAAGGGGCAAAAAGGUCAUUUUUAGCUCAGGAAGGAAUUUAGAAAUUUUGAUUGGACAGCCAAGAAACAGGUGUUGUUGGACAGUUUUUUCGUAAACUUUCGCCUGUUGGUUCUCCCUCCUCCGGCCACCGUUUCAUGCGAGUGAGGUAUGCUUUCUCACCUAUUUUUCAUGAUCUAGCUGAUGGUAGUUCAAGCCUAGGUAGUUCGAUUUUCGAAUUGGAUUUCAGCCGGUUUCGGGACCUCAAUUCCGGCCACUUCCGAUCACUUUUUGGGGUAGGUACAAGAACUAAAGUGGUUCCAAAUAGGGUGUUUUACCUAGAGUAGGAAGCUGGGUUUCCAGUUUUGAAGAUUUCCGAUUGCCGGAAUUUGAUCAAGCCACCCACGCGCUACUGGAGCAUGUGGCGGUGCGUGGGUAGCAUAGUGAAGUCACUUUCAAAGCCUAAAAUGAUCUCUUGGUCCUCAGGAGUGCGUAGGAAUUCGCGGAUAUUAAUUUGGACAACGUUUGAACCCCGAACGGAUCUCGCAUAUUGUGCGAUUUCCGGGUUCAAUACGUUUGAACCGUUGGAUUGUAGUCAAUUUUAUAUAUGUUGAUCUAGACAAUUCUAGGAUCGGGUAGGAUUCGACAGAUAGUAAAUUGGAGCCCCGGAUACUCCGAAAAUGCCAACCCUAAGGUUAGGUUUACCGUAACUGUCUGAUCGUGCGAUCGUGAUCAAUCCUACCGUCCAGUCGAGACCAAACUCUUGGGACAUGUGUCCUAGGCAUGUUAAGACCUCUUGGAACUCUUGGAUCAGAAUUUUGAGGUCGUGGACCCCACGGGGUCCCGGGUUGACUUUUUGGGACUUAUCGCUUUUUGAGUCCCGAGGCACUUCUAGACCGUUCUAAUCAUUGGAAAGGCUUACAUAGGCUUGAGAAUGACUUCAAAUACAAUGCACGUACCUCUAGGAGUCCAGGGCCAGGACUUUAGAUUAAAUAAUGAGGAUGAGCUCCAUGUGAUAUGUUUGAGCCUUUAGAAAGCUCAUGUACGUGCGAGUGUUCACUUGGUUUAGUUGUAGUUUUAAUUUCAAGAUUUUAUGUGAUUUCGAGAUGAGUAUUUAAUUGUCUGCUUAUUUAUCACCUGUUUAUAUAUGUUCAUAUGGUUAAUUGUGUUGUAAGAGUAUAAACAUAAUAUUGGAAUGAUGUGCUAAGCAGAGAUCGAGAUGGUUAACAAACUAGCUAAGUAUUUAGUAUAUAUAUAUAUUCAGUAGUUGAAAAGGAUGAAUCUUAGCUUUUGGCUUUUAUCAGAUUGUGGUAUAUAUAUAAAUAAAUAAAUAUUAUAUAUAUAUGUAUAUAUUUUGAGUUUAGUUGAGAACCAAUUUAUUGAAAGUUUAUAUAAAUGACGAGUUAUGGUUUUCAAACUCACCGCGGGGGUACCCCCCCACCCCCCAUUGCCUUGAGACAGUUUGUUAUUUUGAUAAUGCCCCACGAGUUUUGGGGGACGCCUGACCGUGUGGUGCGAGGAAUGCGGCUCGGAUUGAAGUGUAUCUCCGAGACCUGUGAGGAUUGCGACUCAGAUUAAAGUGUUAUCUCUGAGACCUGCGAGGAAUGCGGCUCGGAUUGAAGUGUUAUCUCCGAGACCUGCGAGGUUUGCGGCUCAGAUUGAAGUGUUAUCUCUGAGACCUGCGAGGAAUGCAGCUAGGUUAACUUUAUGUUUUCGAGACCUGCAAUGAUGGAAUUGACAGUAUUAAAAGAAUUGAUGAAUUAGAAAUGUGGGUACGCCUAGGUGGAGAGAAUUUAAGCUUUAAAACAUUUUUAAUGUAAAAUUGAGGAACUUUAUACAGUUACUAUUAUUUUCUUAAUCGAUAUACUUAUGUCACAAGAGAAAGAUGGAUAUAUAUAUAUUAUUUAUAUAUAUGUUUUACGUAAGUUUCGAUGCAAGAGUAUAAGGGUUUUCAAAACUUAUAAAUCUUUAACUUAUUUUAUUUCAUUUUAUUUUAUUUUAGUAUGUUUAUUUAUCUUUAUCUUUUAUUGUUUUAUAUAGUACUAAAUAUCUUAAGUUUUUCUAGCAUAUUUUGUCCCACGAGUCUUAGAGUUAUCCGAACCGUGGGUGCGAGGAUUGCGGACCAGGUUGACCAGAUGUCUCCUGAGUUUAGCGAGGAUUACAGGUCAGAACGUGUCACCAUUGGUGUCACGAGGUAUUGAUGGUUAUGGCUUUCCAAGCAUGGUUACUUGAUAUAAAUGUUUUUAUUUCUUCGUUUGAUUGUAUAUUGCCAUGUGAGAAAUGCCAGGAAACUUGAAACAGAAAGCUGAGAUGAAAUUUGAGAACUAGAGUGGUUUUGCAAUUAAAGAACUACGUGUGGCUUGAUCCCUCAAUAAGGGUACGUAGGCAGUCUAUAGUUACAAGGUGCAGCCACGAGUUAGAAUGUUUGAGAUUACCAAUGCAUUUUUGUUGUUCUGAAAGUUGAGAUGAAUUUAUUUGAUUUAUUGCGACCUGAGAUCAAAAUAUUAUGUUGCUUAAUUUGUUUGGAUAUAAUUGAAUGCAUGUUGAACGAUUGAGUUAUAUAAAUGUUUGAUGACAUGUGGAAAUUUUGGGAAAUGAGUAAAUUACAAGGGAAACUCUGCCGAAUUUUCGGCAGAAGAUAAUCUUAUUUAAAAAGUGGAUUUUUAGUUAGAAGGGCAGUUUGGUCUUUGUGCCCGGCAGUUUGGUUUUUGGUGACACAGAGCUUGAACAGAGGAAGCAAUGGAGGUCUUUUGGUUGUGGGGUUUUCGCAGGCGGAGGAGUAUGGGUUUGGGUGCGAAAAUGGAAACAAUAAAUGGAAUUUGUUUUAUUGAAGAAUUUUUUUGAUUGAAGAAUUUGUUUUAUUGUUUAUUUUAAACAAUAAAUGGAAAUACAAAUGGAAGGACUAUAAUUCCCUCAACAAACAAAUCACAUGGCCACCUAAUCAAUAUUUAGAUAGAAAUAUAGAUGAAAUCUCAAGAAAUCUAACGGCAAAUUUUAUAUUGACUAUUUUAAACGAGUAAAAAAACUAAAUCAAGAGACGAAAUAAUUCAAGGGAGUAAAUUUGAAUUGCCUAAUAAUUUAGGGGGCAAAACGGCUAAAAAUUCUUUAUAUAAUACAUAUAAAUUUCAUUAGCAGCAUGCAAAACGAAGAUUUUAUGUGAGCAUUAUUCUUGACUCGAUGCAUUGCCCAUGGAUUUCUUCUAGCAACCAAAUAUCUAUCUGACCAUAUCGUAUCAUAUUUUAUGAAAACGCGGCUUUGACCGUUGACCGAAGUACCAGAGACAAAUUGUAAAGAAAAAUAACCCCAUGCGGAUCAGAGUGAGACAAAAACGUAAUGAGACAACCUCAAGACUCCAAGGAUACUGUGUCUAAUUAAUUAGUACACACUAGGUACGUAGUGUUUGUACAUUUCUCCUCCGAUGCCAUUAUUUCCCCGCAAAGCCCACGAAAUUACCUUUUAUCUUCAAUUCAGAGCAUGCAAUUGGCCUUCUCGUCAUGAAUAUCUGGUCUGCUCUGCUUACACAAGUUCAAUAAACUUAGACUUGGGAACAACCUAGUGACAAAUUAUUUAGUGUUAACCUCUCUCCUUAUUGCAUGCCAGCCCAAAGCCAAGAGGAUAUAAAGGGUCAUAUGAAUUGUCUCCAGCAUUCACAGGCAGCUGUUCAACCCUUUUAAACCAUGUCACUGGGAGCUGGCCCUCGAAAUCGUGAUCUCCAAAGAUAACAUCUGCAAUUCCAUCUCCUUCAGUACCAGGUAACCAGGCAGCAACAAGAGCAUCUAUCUUUUCCAAUAGCCAGGGCUCUAAAACUAAGGGUCUUCCAGAAAUCAGAAUUACCAAUGAGGGGAUUUUGUCAGCAACUGAGCUUAUGAUAUCAGCUCCAUUCAAGGGGAUCACAAGCUUUGAAUUGUCGCCCUUGCCUUCUGCAUAUGGAGCUUCACCAACAGCUACAAUCGCGAAAGUGAUAUCUUGCCGUGCUAAGGUCUCUGUCGAGGGAUACUUCUCAUAAAUGAUUUCUGUAUCAUCUCCAACUGCCUUCUUAAUAGCUUCCAAGAUGGUUGUCCCUAAAAAUGUAAAUGAUCUAAUUAGUGAGUUGCACAUGUGCAAUUAAGGCAUUGAAAAGAUACUAGCAUGCAAAUUUACCAUCUAUCAAUUUCUUGUUUUCAACAAAAUUGAGCCAUGAAGAAAAAAAAAAUUUCUAUAACCUGUUUAUAAUGGUUUUCAAAAGUAAAGUUUGCAAAAUUCUGCUUCAAAACUUGAAAAAUGAAAUUGUUUGAAAAAACAUGAUGCAUGCAAAUGAAAUUCUAAUCUUAUUAAGAUAUAUAUACACACACACACACACAAAUAUGUCACAUUGAUUAUGAUAAUCAACAAUUAGGCUUUCAGUCAUAAAAAUAGUAGAAAAAUAGCAACAUAAUUCCAUACCAAUUGUUAUCCUUCCACUGCUACCAUAUUUUGUAGCUGUCCACCCUCCACACUGAUUUCCAAGAUCAUCGGCAUGAGUUCCAGCAAUGAGUAUUCUUUUAGCCUUUCUUUCUAAGGGAAGAAAAGGUUCCAUUGGAUCCUUUCCAUUUUUCAAAAGAACCAAUGACCUCCGAACUGCUUCACGUGCUAAAUCUCUGUGCAUCUGCACGAGAAUCAUGGAAAUAGAAACUGUUUCAUAAGUACAAGAUGCUCAAAACAGAAUAUAUGAUCAAUGGGCCAUUUUCAAAUGAUAACAUGCAAAACAUGUGGCGGUUUCAAUGACGGGAAAAUGAGACGUGCUGCUCUGAAAAUUACCUUGCAACCAACUAUUGUUAGUGUUUUUCAUAUAUGUGUAUUCAGAUUUUGCAGAAGGAAAAUAAGUGGAAGAAGAAGCAGGAAGAAUUUAGCAGAGAAUCUGUCUGCUAUACGUGUAGCAGCAGAGUAUUCAUUUCAAUCUAUUUUCUCUUUUUAACCUCACACACAUAGUGUGAGGAAUAUUUCUGUUAUGCACAGUAGCUGGAUCUCUUACAUCACAAGAUGAUCUCAGCCGUUCACUUAGGUAACCAAUGGAGAACUUACACUUGUCAAAAAACAAGGAUAAAAAGAAAUACUGAUUAAACUAACUCUUAAGUCAGCUUAAGGCUUAUAAUUCAACACUCCCCUUUAAGUCUUGAGCUGAUUUAACUCCAAGCAUGCUCCUGAGAUAAUUGAAUGGAUCCUUAGCCAAAGGUUUGGUGAAAAUGUCAGCUAGUUGUUCCUUAGUAGGACAGUACACCAAGUCAAUGAUGCCUUCUUGAAGUGCAUCUUUGAUGAAGUGAUAUCUUCGAUCAAUAUGCUUUGUCUUCUGAUGGAACACAGGGUUUUUUGUAAUGGCAAUUGCAGAUGUAUUGUCACACUGCAAUGGGGUUGCUUCUGUCUGAAGUUCUCCAAAAUCUUCUAACACGAAUCUAAGCCAAAUGGCCUGAGCAGUAGCCUCGGAUGCACUUAUAUAUUCUGCCUCUGCUGUGGACAGCGCCACACAAUUCUGCUUGACUGAAGCCCAAGAGAAGACACCACUGCCAAAGGAGAAUGCAUAUCCAGAAGUGCUUUUGCUGUCAUCAAUUGAUCCUCCCCAAUCACUGUCACAGAAGCCAAUCAGCAUUGCAUUCCUUCCUUUUACAUACUCUAGACCAUAGUCUAGAGUCCCUUUCACAUACCUUAGCACUCGUUUAGCAGUUCCAUAGUGCUUAUUUGUGGGGCAAUGCAUGAAACGAGCAAGCAGACUAGAAGCAUACAUAAUGUCGGGUCUGGUGGCAGUUAGGUACAAGAGGCUACCUACGAUGCUUCUAUAUUGCUCUUCACUUGCUGCUCCACUUCCGUCAUCCUUAACUAGCUUUUCAGUUGCUACAAGAGGUGUAGUUACAGACUUACACUCAUUUAGGCCAAAUUUGUUCAAUAGAGAACCUGCGUACUUCUUUUGGUGAAUGAAUAUGCUUGAAUUCGUUUGAACCAACCCCAUGCCAAGGAAGUGAUGUAGAAGGCCCAAAUCUGUCAUCUCAUAUUUCAUCAUCAUCUCUUCCUUGAAUUCAUCUAACAAUUCUUUGCAACUCCCUGUAUACACAAUGUCAUCAACAUAAAUUGAGACAAUGAGAAUAUUUCUAUCUCCUCUUGACUUGGUAUACAAAGUAGCUUCACUUAGGCUUUUCUUAAAACCACAUUGCAUGAAGUAGGUGUCUAUCUCUCCAUACCAAGCUCUAGGUGCUUGUUUUAAACCAUAAAGAGCCUUGUGCAGCCUAUAAACUUUAUCUUCCUUGCCUUUGAUUACAUAACCCUCCGGUUGGUCUAUAUAGACCUCUUCUUGCAAUACACCAUUUAGAAACGCUGAUUUUACAUCAAGCUGGUACAGCUUCCACUCUUUCUGAGCAGCUAAGGCAAUGAGGGUUCUAAUGGUGUCCAAUCUAGCCACAGGAGCAUAGGUUUCAUUGUAAUCCAGUCCAGGUUUCUGAGCAUAUCCUUUUGCAACUAACCUUGCCUUGUUCUUUUGAACUGAACCAUCCAAGUUUAGCUUGGUUUUGUAAACCCAUUUGACUCCAAUAACUGGUUUCUCAGUUGGUCUGUCAACCAAUUCCCAAGUACCAUUUUUCUCAAUCAUUUGGAGUUCAUCUUCCAUAGCUCUUAGCCAUGCCUUGUCUUGAGCUGCCUCUGCAUAUCUUUCUGGUUCAAUGAUGCAGAGAUUGCACUGUGCAAGCACAUCAUCUAACUUUCUCCACUUCAAUGGUGAGUGAUCAUAAGCUUGAGUGUUCCUUUCUUCACUACUUAUGUCACUUGAGAUAUGUUGUGAUGAUGCUUGAAAGAAUGAUGGACUCCUUUCAUAUCGGGUUUGAGUCUGAGGUGUUAGUGCAACAUUUUCAGCUCCAUCUCCUAUAUCAAAGUCAUGCUCACUUAGGCUUUCAUCAGGAAAUGGUGUCACAACUUUAUUUGAGUGCUCGGACCAGUUCCAAGACUUCUCUUCAUCAAAGAUAAUGUCUCUUGAUAAGGUGAGCUUCUUGGAGGUUGGAUCAUAGAUCCUAUAGCCUUUCUCACAGGUUGCAUAUCCUACAAACACUCCUUUCACACUCUUAGGCUCGAGUUUAUGUCUUAGUUCAUUAGGCACAUGAACAUAACAUAAAGAGCCAAAGACUUUCAGAUGAGCAAUGCCCUGCUUUCUUCCACUAUAAGCCUCAAAAGGUGUGACAUUGUUCAACGCCUUGGUAGGGCAUCUAUUCAAGAUAUAUACAGCUGUGUGUACAGCCUCUGCCCAAAGAAAAUAAGGUAUUUCCUUCUCAUGUAGCAUAGACUUGGCCAUUUCAACCACUGUCCUGUUUUUCCUUUCUACCACUCCAUUUUGCUGAGGAGUAUAAACCAUUGUGAGCUAUCUUUGAAUCCCAUGAUCUUCACAAAACUUUAUGAACUCAGAAGAUAGAAAUUCUCCACCUCUGUCACUUCUCAAGCAUUUCACUUUGUGUCCAGAUUGCAACUCAGUCAUAGAUUUAAAUUUCUUGAAACAAUUGAAAGCUUCAGAUUUGUUUCUUAAGAAAUACACCCAACUCAUCCUUGUACAGUCGUCAAUGAUCAACAUGAAGUAUUUAUUUCCUGCCACAGAUUCAGUUUUCAUAGGCCCACAAAGAUCAGUGUGAACUAACUCAAGUGGAGAGAUUGCUCUUUGAGCUUGAUUCUUUGGAAAAACAUCCCUGUGUUGUUUUCCAAACUGGCAGCCUUCACACACAACAUUUUGCUCUUCCAAUUGAGGUAAUCCAUGUACCAUAUCUUUGUCUCUCAACUACUUCAGUCCUCUAAAGUGUAGGUGUCCUAGCCUUUUGUGCCAAAUCCAUGUGCUAUGUGUAAUACUAGCCUUCAUGAGCAGUUGAUUCUCAGCUAGGAAUGACAGGGGAUAGCAUCUGUUUUUCAUCAUUUGGACUUUGAUAAUGAGGCUGUUCAUUGAGGAGCUUUCAAACACCUUGCACAUUCCAUCUCCAAACACCAAACAAUAUCCAUGCUCAUCCAUUUGUCCAACACUUAACAGAUUCUCUUUUAAACCCGGAAGAUACAUUACUUCUCUAAUGUAUUUUCUUCCUUUUGUUGUGUCAAUAACUAGUGAACCCAUGCCAGCCACAUUCACAAGAGCACCAGUUGGCAUCUGCACUUUUCCAGCCACAUUUGUCCUUAUAUCAACAAGCAAAUCCACAUUUCCUGUCAUAUGAUUGCUACAGCCACUGUCAAUAUACCAAUCCCCAUUCGGUUUUGACUCAGUGGUAGUACAGUUUGCAUAAAACAGGUUUCCAGUCACCUCCUUUUGACUUGCACAGUUUGCCUUUUGCACAGCCUUCUCUGCAAUGCACUCUCUAGCCAAGUGACCAAACCUGUCACAGUUGUAACACUUUGGCUUGCCUUUAUACCUGCAUUCUCCAAAGUGAUACUUGGAACACACCUUGCAUUGGGGUUUUACAGCUUCUUGACCUGUAGAUGAGCUGUGAGGCUGUGCAGAAUUAUUCCAUUGAGGCUUGCCUUUCGAUUCCCAAGGUUUGCCUUUUGGAUUCUAAUUUUUCUGAGCCUUGGAUGGACCAGAAUUAGUUGCAUUUUUAUUCUGACCUCUUGAACUCACUGUGAAUAAGGCAAAAGCUUUCUCAGUUGCAUCUGCAUUGUGCAACUCAAAUCGCUGCUCUUGACUUUUCAGAAUAGCAAUUACCUCUUGCAACUCCACAGUCUCUAGACUCUUAGUGUUUUCAAUCACUAAACAAAUGGGGUCAUAAACCUUGCUAAGACUAAUCAAAACCUUUUGCACAAGCCUCUCAUUCGAGAGCACUUCACCAUAUGUUUUCAUUUGAUUAAUCAGAUCAUUCAGUCUAGUAAGAUAAGUAGACAAUGACUCACUAUCAUGCAUCCUAGUAUAUUCAAAUUCUCGUCUAAGAUUUUGAAGUUUUACCGAUCUAACAUGAUCUCCACCAUGAAAUUCUCCAUGCAAUAGCUCCCAAGCAGCUUUGGCAGAGUCUGCAUUUGCUAUUAGUGGAAAAAUCUGAUCUGAGACUGCAUUUUGGAUAAUACCCAGAGCCUUUGCAUCCUUCAUGAGGAUUGCAGCUGCUUUCUCAUCAUCUUCUUCCUCUGAAGUCUCCUCAGUUGCCUUCUUCUUCUUCUUCGAAUCUGAAACUGGAAUUCCCUUCUCUACCAGAUUCCAAAGCCCAUAUGAUUUGAAUAUGGUCACCAUCUUAAUCUUCCAAAACUCAUAAUUUUCACCAGAGAAAAUUGGAGUUCUCACAUCUGAGCUUCCAGAUCCAGCCAUGGUUGAUCUCUGAUUCUUCCAAAAACGAGUUGCUUUCAGAUUGAGAAGAAAACUCAAAUUUCCCAAUGAUAUCUUCUUAUUUCACAGAUUGAACGCCCAGCUCUUUAGACAAUCCAACCUGGCUCUGAGGCCAUGUUAGUGUUUUUCAUAUAUGUGUAUUCAGAUUUUGCAGAAGGAAAAUAAGUGGAAGAAGAAGCAGGAAGAAUUUAGCAGAGAAUCUGUCUGCUAUACGUGUAGCAGCAGAGUAUUCAUUUCAAUCUAUUUUCUCUUUUUAACCUCACACACAUAGUGUGAGGAAUAUUUCUGUUAUGCACAGUAGCUGGAUCUCUUACAUCACAAGAUGAUCUCAGCCGUUCACUUAGGUAACCAAUGGAGAACUUACACUUGUCAAAAAACAAGGAUAAAAAGAAAUACUGAUUAAACUAACUCUUAAGUCAGCUUAAGGCUUAUAAUUCAACAACUAUGUCCUGCAAAGAUGUAUCAGUGAAGGGAUGUUCAAAAAGACCAGCAACAAACUUCACUCUUAGUAUUCUCUCAACAGCAUCAUCUAUCCUGGACAUUGGUAUCUCCCCAGAUUCCACAAGAUAUAUUAAUUCCUCAAUGAAUUGUUCAUAUCUGAAAGGAACCAUGACCUGCAUACCUUCUGAAUUAGACAAAUGUAGGAAGUAAAGAUCAAGGAAAGCAAAUAAUUGUUAGGCUUAUAAACUUGGAGUUCAUAUGUACCAUGUCUAUUCCUGCAUUAAUGGCUAACGAAAUGCAUAAACGAUAGUUUGAACCUUCAGGUUCACAAAGUUGGUCAAUUCCAUCCCAGUCAGAAAUCACAAAUCCCUGCAGCAGAGUACAAAAUGAUGCUUAUCUAGACAUACAACAUUUAAUGUUAAAGAAACUCUGCACUUUGAAUAAACCAAUAAAAUAUAUGGAAGGUUACUUGAAGUUCAUUCAAAUGUUUGCAAAGUUGCAUCUUACUGAUGACUAGGGAGCAUUCUGGAUAUCAAAAUUCUAACAUAUUCCAUCACAAUAUGCAAUAUUAUCUUUGUGCUGAAAUGACUGAUUAUAAUUAGUUGAGAACAGACUAAUAGGAAUUGGUAGGGGUAGGUCUUCGGUCCCUCUUUUCCAGUAGGAAAUAGUGCAGAUUAUGUGGGUUCCUUACCCUAAAACCUAGCUUAUCUUUCAAGAUUUCUGUGAGGAGAAAACUGUGUCCAUGUAGUCUCUGUCCAUUCCAGCUGUUAUAGGACACCAUAAUAGUGGAAACUCCUUGAGAAAUACAGUCUAGAUAAGGGCGCAUAUGAAUUCUCUCUAAGUCGUCAUAAGAGGAUAUAUUAUUGCCCUCAUUGACACCUUUCUCUGUACCCCCUUCUCCAACAAAAUGCUUGGCAGAUGCAAUAAUGUUGUUUCUGAAAUAUACAAAAGUAAGAAAAAGUUCAAAUAUCUGAGAUUACUUCCAAUGGGACUUAAGUAUUUGAAUGCAAGAACAUGGUAAGCAUAAGUUGUGAACCUCCAAGAACUCGAUUUUUCCUCAAUUAGUAUACAAUUUUGAAAAUAAUUAUUUGAUUUUAUUUGAAACAAAGAUGAUUAAAGACAUGUUAUCAAAUUCAGAUAAGAUGCAAUAUGUUUCAUGAAAGAAGUAUGCAUGGAAAAUUAUUGACUAAUAACUCUCCUUUCACUUUCUACCUUCCUGCUGUUAGAAUUCUCAGUUUAUAUCUGUAUUUUCAGAUUAGGAAGAGGUGCUCAUUCUAGAGCAUUCUAGAGAGAGUGAAGAGAAAAAUAGGAAUGCACUGUUCUAUUGAAUUCAGCAAAUUCUGCAGCUCACAUAGUGUGACUGACAGAGAGAGAAGUGUGAUUCUCUCUAACAGAAUUACAGCUGUCACCCUAUUAGGUGAUUACACAUGUCAUACCAAAUCUAAGCUAGAGAAUCCACCUAGACUAUGAUCUAAUGGUUCUCAUUACAUCAUUUAAAUAGACUUAGCAGGAAAACAGAAAACAGAAGAUGACUUCAGCUCUAAGAAAUCUGCGGAAGGAUUAUAUUUCAACACUCCCUUCUAAUCCUUUAGCUGAUUUCACUCCAAGCAAGCUUCUCAGCCUUACAAACCGAUCCUUAGGCAGAGCCUUAGUCAAAAUGUCUGCUAUCUGAUCUUCUGUCUUGCAGUACACCAGUUCAAUUUCUUUUGCUUGAAUGGCUUCCCUUAUAAAAUGAAAUUUCCUGCUGAUGUGUCUUGUCUUUUGGUGAUGAAUUGGAUUCCUUACCAUUGCAAUUGCAGAGGUGUUGUCACAUAGAAUUGGAGUCCCUUCUACCUGUUCUUCACCAAAAUCUUCAAGCACAAAUCUGAGCCACUUAGCUUGUGAAGUUGCUUCUGCAGCACUCACAUACUCAGCUUCGGCUGUAGAUAGAGCAACUGUGUUUUGCUUGAUGGAAGCCCAAGAGAACAUGCCUGAGCCUAGUGUGAAGGCAUAUCCUGAGGUGCUCCUCAUAUCAUCCUCACUCCCAGCCCAGUCACUGUCACAGUACCCAAUUAGAGUAGUUGUUUUCCCCUUUUCAAAUUCAAUUCCAAAAUCCAAUGUGCCUUGUAUGUAUCUCAGCACCCUUUUAGCAGUUCCCAUGUGUUUCUUUGAGGGAUUGUGCAUAAACCUAGCAAGCAAGCUAGAUGCAAACAUGACAUCUGGUCUUGUGGCAGUCAGAUAAAGCAGACUUCCUACAAUCUGUCUGAAUUCACUUUCAUCUGCUGCUUCACUCCCAUCUUCUCUACACAAUUUCUCAUUCAACACUAAUGGAAUUGCCACUGACUUACAGUCUCUCAUUCCAAACUUCUCAAGAAUUUUCAUGGCAUAUUUCUUUUGAUGAAUGAAAAUAUGCUUAUUAGUUUGUUCCACUCCCAUGCCAAGAAAAUGGUGCAACAGACCCAAGUCUGUCAUCUUAUAGUGUUGCAUCAUAUCUUGUUUAAAUUCUUCAAGCAUUUUAGGGCAGCUUCCAGUAUAUAUAAUGUCAUCUACAUAAAGUGAGACAAUGAUAAUACCUGAGGUGUCACUUGUUUUGAUAUAGAGAGUAGCUUCACUUAAGCUCUUCUUAAAACCUGCAGUGUUGAAAUAGGCAUCUAUUUCAUCAUACCAGGCCCUUGGGGCUUGUUUCAGUCCAUAUAGAGCCUUGUUCAACCUGUACACCUUGGUUUCCUUGCUCUCUUGAACAUAUCCUUGAGGUUGUUCAACAUAAACUUCCUCCUUUAGAAUGCCAUUGAGAAAGGCAGACUUCACAUCCAGUUGAAAUAGGUUCCAUUCCUUUUGUGCUGCAAGGGCUAUCAAAGUUCUGAUGGUGUCAAGUCUUGCCACAGGGGCAAAUGUCUCAUUAUAGUCGAUUCCAGGCUUUUGUGAAUAGCCUUUAGCCACAAGCCUAGCUUUAUUCUUCUGCACAGUACCAUCUAGGUUCAGUUUGACCUUGUAGACCCACUUAACACCAAUUACUGGUUUGUUAGAUGGCCUGUCAACUAAUUUCCAAGUAUUGUUCUUCUCAAUCAUCUCCAAUUCAGCCUCCAUUGCACUUCUCCAUGAUUCAUCCAAAUCUGCUUCUUCAAAGCUGUCAGGUUCUACAAUGCACAUGUUGCAUUGUGCCAUUAUGUCAUUAAUGCUCCUCCACUUGUGAGGUGUGUGAUCAAACCUUUGAGUCUCAUCAAGCAUUUCUUCCCCUUGAGGUGCAAUUUCUUCUUCCAUCUGCAUUUGAGUAUCCAAAAACUGAGAUUGUUCAUCUAAUAGCCUCUGUUCAGUUUCUGCAGUACCUUGAUUUCCAUCUGGCAUAGGCAUUCUCACAUCUGCCUUGCUAGGAUUCUCCCACUUCCAUGAGGCUUCUUCAUCAAAAUAGACAUCCCUAGACAAGAUAAUCUUUCUAGUCUUAGGAUCAUAGAGUCUAUAGCCUUUUUCACACAAUCCAUAGCCCACAAAAAUGCAUUUGUGACUGUUUUCUUCCAACUUGUGUCUCAAAACAGAAGGAAUAAGUACAUGACAUAGGCAUCCAAACACUUUCAAGUGUGCAAUACCUGGCUUUCUUCCUGUGUAGGCCUCAAAUGGUGUCAUUUUCUUAAGAGACUUAGAAGGACACCUGUUGAGAAGGUAGACUGCUGUAUGAACAGCUUCUGCCCAAAACUCAUAUGGAAGACUCUUCUCAUGUAGCAUAGACUUUGCCAUCUCAAUUACAGUCCUGUUCUUUCUCUCAACAACUCCAUUUUGCUGAGGGGAAUAUGCUACAGUCAGCUGCCUUUGUAUUCCAGCCUCACUGCAGUAUGCAAGAAAUUCAUUUGACAUGAAUUCCCCACCUCUGUCACUUCUAAGUGAUUUCACCUUGUGUCCAAUCUGCAGUUCUGUCAUUGCUUUGAACUUCUUGAAACAUUCAAAAGCAUUAGAUUUAUUUCUGAGAAAAUAAACCCAAGCCAUUCUUGUAUAGUCAUCAAUGAAUAACAGGAAAUAUCUGUUUUCUGACAUUGAUGCAAUAUGCAUUGGACCACAGAUGUCAGUGUGAACUAAUUCAAGUGGAAACUGGGCUCUCCAAGUAGAUUCUGCAGGAAAUGAGUCUUUAUGCUGCUUUCCCAGCUUGCAGCCUUCACAAACUGCAAAAUCCUUCUCCAGACUAGGCAGUCCAUGAACCAUGUCUUGAUUUGCCAACAUCCUGAUGCUUUGAUCAUUAAGAUGGCCCAGCCUUUUAUGCCAAGUCUGCAAACUGUGAGUCACACUUGCUCUCAGCACCAACUGAGUAGCAGGUACCAUUGUGAGAGAGAAACACCUAUUGCUAGUCAUUGGAACCUUAGCUAUAGGAUUUUGCAGUGAGCAAUCAUCAAAAAUUGUCACCAUUCCCUUUCCAAAUACUAAACAAUACCCAUGUUCCAUCAUCUGACCAACACUGAGCAAGUUCUCUUCUAAACCAGGCACCAACAUCACUUCUUGAAUGUGUUUUCUGCCUGUCCUGGUUUCUAUCACAAGUGUGCCUUUUCCUGCAACUUGAACUGUCUCUCAAGUCCCCAUUUUCACCUUAGAAGUUACAUCCCUUCGAAUAUCUAUCAGUAGCCUUUCAUCUCCAAUCAUGUGGUUGCUACAACCACUGUCCACAUACCAAGAAUUGUUCACUUUCACACCUGUCACGGCAUUGCAUGCAUAAAACAAUGUUCCAGUUACUUCAACCUGAUUGGCAUAAUUCACCUUCUGCACAGGUUGAUUUCCAUGGCAAUCUCUAACCAUGUGACCAAACUCUCCACAUCCUCUGCAUUUUGGUUUUCCUUCAAACCAACACUUGCCAUAAUGCAGUUUUUCACAGUGCUUGCAGGGUGUUUUAGUUCUUUCAUUUGAUGCAUUUGGUUUGGAAUUAGAAUUGGACUUGUUAUUCCAAUUCUUCCCACUUUCCUUCCAGUUCUUCUGAGACUUGUUACCUCCAGAAGAACUUCCAUUCUUAGAGCUUUUACUCUCUAUGUUCAGGCUAGUAAAAGCCUUUUCUGUGGAGUUUUCAGUGUGCCUAUCCAAUCUGAGCUCAAAGUUCUUGAGAGACGCAACCACUUCUUGAAUUUCAAGAGUGUCAAGAUCCUUUGAAUGCUCAAUCACAGAACAUAUAGAGUCAUAAGAUCUAGGCAAGCUAAUAAGCAAUUUCUGCACAACUCUUUCUCUAGGUAACUUUUCACCAUAACUUUUCAUUUGAUUAAUCAGAUCAAACAGUUUAGCAACAUAACCAGAGAAUGACUCACCAUCCUUCAUACGAGUGUAUUCAAACUCUCUACGUAAGCCUUGUAGUUUCACACUUCGUACCUGUUUAUCCCCUCUAAACUCCUGCUUCAGAAUAUCCCAUGCACCUUUUGAGGUUUCUUCAUUCACUAUUCUGGGAAAAAUUUGGUCUAAGACUGCACCUUGGAUCAGUCCAAGUGCACGAGCAUCUUUCAUCAAAAUCUCAACCGAUGUAGACUUCUCUUCUUCAGCAGCUUUAGAUCCUUCUUCCUUUCCUUUUUCCUUCAUUGGAUCUGAAGCAUCAAAGCCAUUUUCAACCAAAUCCCACAAUCCAUGAGAUUUCAGAAUGGUCUUCAUUCGAAUGCUCCAAAACUCAUAGUUUUCUCCAUUGAACACUGGUGUACUAAACUCAGAAGAGCUUGAUCCUGCCAUGUUAGACAUGAGACGCAGCUAGAAAGGCUUCGUGAAAUUUUGAGUGAGCUCAACGUCAGCUCAGCCAAGCACCAGCUCGAAUCUCACAGAUUCACGCCCAAUAAACAAUCAAACCUGGCUCUGAGGCCAUGUUAGAAUUCUCAGUUUAUAUCUGUAUUUUCAGAUUAGGAAGAGGUGCUCAUUCUAGAGCAUUUUGCUAGAGAGAGUGAAGAGAAAAAUAGGAAUGCACUGUUCUAUUGAAUUCAGCAAAUUCUGCAGCUCACAUAGUGUGACUGACAGAGAGAGAAGUGUGAUUCUCUCUAACAGAAUUACAGCUGUUACCCUAUUAGGUGAUUACACAUGUCAUACCAAAUCUAAGCUAGAGAAUCCACCUAGACUAUGAUCUAAUGGUUCUCAUUACAUCAUUUAAAUAGACUUAGUAGGAAAACAGAAAACAGAAGAUGACUUCAGCCCUAAGAAAUCUGCGGAAGGAUUAUAUUUCAACACCUGCUACAAAAGGGUAGCCCUUUGGGUAUCCCUGGGGUGGCUGCCCCUGCAAGCCUGAAACAAUAGAAGUCAUCUUGCUUACAAUUUCUGUGUCUUCACUGUAACUCUCGUAGCAUCUUCCCUAUCUGGGAUCUUUGCACACCUGUCAAACUCAGAAUCCAUUCAAGUGAAUUUCUUCACAAACCCAUUCAAUUCAUGCCUCAAUUUAUUAUCUUACAUUUAUACCUACAGUUUUAUAUGCUACAAAUUUACCAAAAUUCAUGGCUUAAAAGAGUGUAAAAAGAACAAGAAAGACCCAAAAGGUUGUAUAAUUUAUUUAUUUAUUUAUUUAUUUUUCCACAUAAGAAACAAAUUUUGGAGUUUGAAGUUUUAGUAGAUACGCCAUAAAUUUUGCCAUCUGAUAAACUGCAGUCUGAACUUGAAUCAAAUAACGAGUACCGAAUCCAUAAUGACUUACAGCCACACAAGGAGCGAAAGUAUAGUGAAUGCCACAAGCCCUGGCUUCAAGGGCAGUUACCACACCAAUCCUUCGAGCAAAAUCUGCAUCUCUAUCACACACAAACGCACACAAAGUUCAAAACUUUGUGGAAAUGGAAGACUACCAAGACACUUUCUUCUUCUUUCGUUCUUAUGUUUUUCUUCUUUACUGUGAUUCUGUAAAUCAUCGCAAAUAAAAUAUUAAACAACAAAUAGCCAAAAGAGAUUGAUAACCUGGUAGCACAUUUAGGAGAACAUACUUUUCUUUCACAAAAGGGUAAAACCAUGAUCCAUUGUUUAGUUUGCAAGUCAUAACCAUACAUGUCAUGUCUGAGUCGUUACAAAUCAGGAUUCCAAGUUUCAAACAACUGUGUUUCAUCAGAUUUGAACUUAGAAACUCCUCCAACACAAAGUUGAGAUUACCUUAUAUCAUUAGACCAAAUGGUCAGUGCUACAAAUUUAAUCUAAUUAUAGUUUUUCCACUAUUCUCUUAGUGAUCAAACAAGAACAUCAAAAAUUUAAAACCAAUCAAGAAACGUAUCAUUAAUGAAUAAGCAGUCUUGAAAAAUGAAACACACUAACCUAGUGGCGCCAAGACCAACAUUGUGAGGGAAUAUGGUGGCACCAAACACAUUACCAUUCCCGUGAACCGCAUCAGUCCCAUAUAUGAGGGGGAUCCCAAGCCUAGACUCCAGCGCUGACCUCUGAAACCCAUCUACCAUAUCCGCCCAGUCUGACGGAGAAGCCUUCUCAACCGGCAAGCUGCCCAAGGCACUGAAUAUGCUCCCUGCCAUAAUAAUAUAUAUACUCCAUGAAGUCUACCAUCAAUUACAUUUACAUGGGACCAAAAAAAAGUCUAUACCAGAUAGAGAGAGAGAGAGUACCGAUGGAGAGGUCUUUAAUGGCAGCUGAGGUGGCGACCUGGCGCUCGAUUUGGGUCAUCUGGCCGACCUUCUCUUUCAAAGUCAUACGAGAAAGGAGUUGUUUGACGUGAGCUUCAAUGACUUCAUCCUCUACUUUGGCCAUCUUGAGCCAACUAACCAACCUCUUUCUUCUCAGCUGCUUUAAUGGGUUCUUCUACUCUAGAAGUUGCAGUUUAAAGUUAGGUUGCAGUGUUCAAUGAUGUUCUAUAUAUGAUAAUCAAGAUGCUUUAAAACCUCGAGCCAAGGAAACAAUAUAUUUUUUUUAAAAUUUUCAAGUUUUUUUUUUUGGUAAUAAAAAUGGUGGCAAAGCGUGCGACCACUCUGAGCCGGAACCUGUUUACGGAUAAAGCUCUCUCCAGAGGGUGUUUUUCAUAAGCUUGAGUUUCGAAUGUUGGACCUCACAGAGUAUCCGGCUAAUAUUCGCCCAAGUUUUUAAUACUAGUGGAGAAGUGAAAAGAAGAAUUAUUAUUUUUUAAAUAUCCUCCGUACACUUUGUAUGUUAAAUUAGUUUAAACAAUUUGAAAAUUAUUCUUCUUUUUCAUUUGAGCGGGCAGAAGGUUGUGUUUGGGCCUAAUUUGGCACACCCAGUCCAAUAUCAAAAGCCUAUGUCAAUUUUGACAACCACCAGCACUUAACCUAUUUUUGGAAACCCACAAAACAUAAGCACCACUUGGGCUUGAUUAAAAGAAGUUGGGAAAGCAGCCCAAAAAUGAAAAACCUAGCCUAGGACCUAUCAACCUUCGAGAAUAAACUUGGGCUUCGGAAAACAAAAAGAAAUCAGCCCAUUGUCCCAAAAAACUCAACCUAGGCUUGGGAUGAUUAAAUGAGAAGAAAAAGCCCAAAAUAAAGGCAAACCCACGUAACUACCUAAACUUUGAAAAGUCAGCAAUCUCAACUGAGUUGAUGGGAAUUAAUGAAAACAGGUCUUAAACAGGCAAAAGUCUCCAGCCUUUCUCAGACAAAAGAAGACCAAAAUCCUUUUUCUAUAUUCAGAAAAAUUUCUGCUUCAGAGCAGGCACCAUUUCCAAGGGAUAAGCAGAUUUACGUUUUUCAAAGAGAUAAGUAGGAUGCAAGGAGUUGUUCAUCUGGAAGAUCAAAACUAACCAUCACGGCAGUUUUGAACUCUUGCAAAAAGCAGUUAAAAAUUAAAGAAAGGAUUAGGUUUUCUUUCAAAGAAAAACAGGGAAGUGACUGCUUUAGAACUGAUUAUUGAUGGUUUACUUGCCAGAAUAGAUAACUUCCCUUUUCUUUGACACUUAAAAAAAUAAAAGAUCUUGUAUUUUAGAAAAACUGCCGCCCAUUUUAAAAGAUUAAAAAUCUCACUCCAUCAUUUUCUAUAAAUAUGAGAAAAGGUGAAUAGAUCAAAGGACAACCAAAAAAAUAAAAACUUAGAAAUGAUCAAUUGAUCUCAAAACCUUCAAAACACUGAAGCAACCAAAAGCUCAUUGAGCCACAAGAAAGAAAUCAGCUACAAUUCAGAAUCUCCAACUUCAGUUUAAACUUAGAGAAAUAAGUCAUUCAAAACAAAGCUUCUCUCGUUUCAAAUUUAGUUCAACACAAACCAAAUCAAGCAGAGUUAGGGUUUUACAAAUAUGAAAACCUCAACAGAUUUAUGGAGAGCCCUGAUCAAGCAAAACAGGUACCACAGUGCAGCUCUGCCAAACUCGAACGUUGGUAUCAAUUUACAGCUGAAACUUGACAGUUGAAGGUGUUGAUAGUCUAGUCCAGCACAGGCAUACCCAGUCCACCCCGGAUCAGAAGCAUCUAUCUAGACAGAAAUGGAAGCCUAGCCAUUUUUUUGUCUUUCUUAGAGUUGGUUUUCCUUUUUUGAGCUUUGUAAAGAGCAGUUCUGCCUAAAACAGUUCACUUUCUUAUCAUUUAUUUUGGCCAGAACUACCAAUCUUGUAUUGUGAAAAUUGUGAAGUCCUCACCAGUCUGAGGUAAGAAAAGAACUUACUUGGGAGAUAUUCCUCACCCAAAUUCACAAUCGCUUGUUUAAGAAAUCAAUAAUUUGGGGCGCAAGUUAUCUUUUAAAGAAGUUUGCUAGGAUUUUUCAUUGCUAGUAGUGGCACGCUUGCACAUUAAAUAAAGUUGACUUGUUGACCAGUCAAUGAUUUUCAGGGCAAUAGGGAACUUUACCCUACCAUCACAGGAACAAACAUAAACCGGGUGAACAGGUUGUGCUUGUGGACAUCCUAGUUCUUUUUCUUUUUUUAAGUAUUCUAGUCUUGUUCUGUUUCAAGAAAUCAUUGAACAAGUGUUGCAUUUUCCUUUUGUGACUUGCCUUUUGUGAGGUAGUGCGCAUCAAGUGUUGUGACUUACCUCUCUCUCUCUCUCUCUCUCUCUCUCUCUCUCUCUCUAAUUAUUCAUGCUUGUAAGUGUUAGAAUAUUAGGAAAAUUUGGUAACAAUCAAAUAAAAUGGAAAAUAAUAAGGAUAUAGAUGGCAACGGACCGGGUAGGGACUAGGUAUGACAAUUCCAUCCCCUUCUUUGCUUUCCAUCCCCGCCUCAUCCCCGAACCCAUCCCCGGUUAAUAGGUUCUGGGGAAUUCCCGCCCCCGUCCCCGUCGGGGGGACUAUCCCUCAUACCUAUCCCGAAUCCCCAAUUUUUUUAUUUUUUUUUUUUGCAUAAAAAUAUUUAUCAUACAUUUUAACAUUAAGUUUCAUAUUAAAUUAUCAUUCAACACAUUCAGAUUAACUAUUAAGUUCAACUCAACUAUCCAAAAUCACAUCAAUAUGAAAUUCCAGAGAAGGUAAGGAAGAAUUAAGAGAUGGAGGUUAACUUAGGGUUAAGCAUAAAUAUUUUAUUUAUUUAUUUAAAUAUAAACAUACACAUUUUCAGGUCGGGUUCGGGGAUGAGUAUGCCAAUACCAUCCCCUCCCCAUACUCGCCAAGGAUUUUUCAAGUUUGGGGAUCCCCAUACCAGAUUCCUUUUUGGCCUCGAAAUCUCCCCCCGUUAAGGUUGGGGGCUCGACGAAGACCCGCCCCACGUGAAUUUUUGCCAUCCCUAGAUACAGUUAAUGGAUAGUUUUGUUUUGGGCUUAGUCACAUGUUUUUGAAUUUUUGUUAGCUUGAGGCCAAUGGGCCUUCACAAAGGGCUUUAAGGCUUGUUUAAUUUGUAUUUUAAUUUAUAUUUUUACCCUUUUAUAACUAAAAACACCGCAAAAUUCCUCAAGAAUAAAAUUCAAACAUGAGAUCUGAGAUCUGAUUAGAUCCACCAACCAGCAAUGUCGACCAUGUGGGAACAAAUAUUUCGAGGACCAAUAAGUGGGUGACAUGUGGAAAAGGGAAAUUCCUUAUGUCAAAUAAUCAUCUUAAUUAUAUCCUAUUUAAUUAGGGAGAUAAUAUUUGAUUUAAGAUCUGAAUAUCUCCCUAAAUUAAGGAACAGAUUUCCACCAAAAUCUCCUCAAUUAAUUCCAAUCUCCUAUUUUUGGGUAAGAAUAAUCCUGAUUAAAUAAGGAUUAUUCUUCAAACCAUAGAAGGCAUGAGCUCUAUAAAUACAUGAGUACACAACACACAUGAGGUAAUUGUAAACUCAAUUUCGAAAACCCUAGAGAACUCUCACUCUCUCUCUCUCUCUCUCUCUCUCUCUCUCUCUCUCUCUCUCUCUCUCUCUCUCUCUCUCUCUCUUCUUCACACGGCUCGGGCCAAAACACACAUAGCUCCGGCCAAUCGUCUCUCACAAUAAGAGAAGACCUCCAUCCUUUCCAUCACUUUGUUGUAUCCUCCUAAGAUCCAAUAAACUAACUUAAGCACUAGAGGGUCUUUAGUCAACACCCCCCGGGUGUGGUCCAUUAACUUAGAUUUGUUUUACAUAAAGCUAUAAGAAAGAAGAAGAAAGGAGUUCGAAAGGUGAAGAAUCAAUCCGGAAUAUUCCCCAGUGUGGAUAUUUGCACAAAUAUUUUGGUGCUUUCAUUGAGAGCAUCGAGUUAUACUCAACACGUUGCUCUCGAAUCAAAGAAAUAUGUACACUCUCUCAAAGCCUUCCAAACAACCAUGGUUAGAAGCAAGCGCACGAGAAGCAAGGUCGUCGCGACAACACAAUCCGUGACAAACCCUAGCCAUCACGAUGACACGGUGUUGAUCCAACCAAAAAGCUCUGCCACCAAAACCGCGACUUUUCCUCCGAGCCCCAUGGCCAUGGGUAUGACUCUACACACUUGGCUUUUGAGCUCUAUAUACUAAAAAAUUAGCUUAUCUUGCGACAUGUAUUAUCAAUCUAUUUAUUUAUUUAUUUAUUUCUCUUAUCCGGAUGUCCACAUAUUAUUAUCGUGCGGACGCCAUUGUAAACAAGGAGCAAGUCAUAGAAGGUAGUAGAACAUACAUGGUAUUCGCACAAUAAUAACAUCCAAACAUCCACAUAAGAGAAUAUAUAUAUAUCAAUCCCCUUCUAUUGAGGGAUCCUAUUAUUCAACAGAAAAAUACAAUUUCAAGUUCAAAGAUGAAAUUGCACAAUACUAUGAAGAUCGUGCCACAAAAUCAUGUAAGAACGAACAAAAUUGAGCUCGAAAUAGGAGAAAUAAGAUUGAAACAAAGCAUAAAAAUCGCAUGCCAAAACUGACCUUGAUUCUGCAUGCAAAAGCAAAGUUACGAAGAAAAUAUAAAAAUCAAUGUAAAAACACAAAACAUAAUUAGAAUAAAAUUAAAAAAAACGAAGAAAAUUGAACGAAAACAUGCCAGAAGAUCAGAGCUCCAAUCGCAGCUAAACGAACCAGAGCUCAAAAUCUUCAAAGCGAACAAAAACGAAAGCGAACCAGAGCUCCAGUUUCAAAUCGUGCGUGCUUUAAACAUACAGGGGUAAAAAAGUCAUUUAUUUUGUAAGUUUUAAAGUUUGGUUAGGCUUUUUAAGAAGAAGGGUAGCAUUGUCUUUUCAGUUAUUAUUUUAAGCUGGACCAACGAAUCUGGGCCUCCUCUUUGGCCUAAUCCAAAAUAACAAUUCAUUCCUAGGUAUUAAACCCAAACAAAAAUACUCUAUGUCUCAAAUACUAAUUAGUAAAGAUACUUAUGUUUAAUAUCUAAUUUUGCUUUUAUAUAACGGUAAAGUGCCGUUUUGCCUCUUGAACUAUGACACAUUUUGAACUUACCCCCCUGAAUUAUUUUGUUUGCCAAUUCAGCACUUGAACUCAUUAAAAAUAGCCAAUGUUGCACUCAUCGUUAGUUUUUUGAGAAUUUCAUCCACAUUGCCGUUGUUGAGGCCCAAAAAUCCAAGGGGCUAGGCCCAGAUUUAUUCUCGGCCCAACACGGAUAAUUGAACACAAGGGGAGCCUGAUCGAGACUAAAGAGAAUUUGUAGGACACAUAAACUCAAGGCAAGGGCCACGUGUCAAGUCAAGCAAGCACGCGCAAAAGAGCCAAGAGCAUAUCAAUUUUAUAAAACCACGCUCACUUACCUAUUCGGUGUUACUUGGCCUGAUCAUAGCUUAUCGCAACACAAUAAAACUCAGGCACAGGUAUAAAUGGCCUGCAAAGAACCAUUAUCCUAAUAUCAAGCUAUGCCACAAGCUUAAGUGGGUCCAAGCCACGAAAUUAAUCGGGGCUUGCUAAGAAGGUUGUGGUAUGGAAGGUGACAAGCGAUCACAAGGCCCAUUGAGGGAUCGAGGAACGAAAGUUUUAAGCCACUUGGGGGCAUUAAAACUCAAGCCCGUUCCUAGAGCCCAAAUACAUGGGUUAGCAUGAGAGAAAAGGGAAAAUGGUUCAAAGCCUUAGGAAGACAUCUAGUAGCCUGCCAUAAUACUUAAACCAGCCCACAUCAAUAGAAUGCCCAAAAUUAAUAGAGUCAUUUCCAGCAGUUUGACAAAACCUAUCACAAGCUGGAAAUAAUAGGCCAAUAACCCAAUACCAUGCGCAAAAGCCCAGCCCAACAACUUGUAAAAAAAUAUGGCACCGAGUUCCACCCCUGUUAGAAUUCCAAGGAUGGUCAACAAAGAAGCCAUGGCAGGAACCAUAGUCUGAAAUAUCGAUAAUAUCGAGGAUAUUUUGGUUUUUUCGAAUCAUGGAUAUUUCAGAACAUAUCCAUGUACAUAUCGUAUAAAUAUCGACAAUAUCGACGAUACUGUCGGAAAAUAUCGAUGUCGAUAAUUUCGCUCACAUUUCAGCAAUAGUUUGUCAAAAUAUCGGUGUAAUAUCGCUAAAAUAUCGAAAAUAUCGAUGUAAGGAAAAAAAAAUGGGAAAAAUGGGAGGAAAAAGCACAAUGAACCCCUCCCAUUUUACUCCUCCAACACCUUAACCACCAUAUCACUUAUGUUUUUGUGAUAAUAUGCUCAAAUAUUUAUAUUUAUAUGGGUGACAUGUUAACAAUUACAUGCAAAACUAUUUUGGGGAUUUAUCAUUUGAUGAUUACUCUUCACAAUACACUUACUCUACACAUAGAGAUGAUGAAGUUAGUGAAAAAUUUGAACCUCAUAGGAACUCUAUGUGGUACUAAGUCACUCAUGUAUCUUACCAUGCAAUGUAUAAAGUGUAAAAUAUUGUAGUAAAUCAUUAUAUAUAAAUGAUUAUGGUGUGUUUAAUCUUUUUUCAUUAAUUACUAUAUAUUUUUUACACUCACAGUGUUUGCCCGCUUGCUGUAUAAUCAACUUAAAUCAGUUAAAUCCAUCAUGCAAUGCAUUUCCUUCUAAUUUUUUGUGAUAAACUAAUAGAUAAUUGACUAAAUAAACAUUCUCCAAAGUUUCAAUAAAAAUUUCCAAGAUUUUCUUACAAUUUCCGUGGUUUUUAUUCAAUUUUUAUCGAUAUCGAUAAUAUCCCGAUAUUUCCAUCGAAAUUUCCAUGUUUUUGGACUACCGAUAUUUCCGAUAUCAUCGAUAUUUUAGACCUUGGCAGGAACUGAAGGAAAUCCACGAAGAAUCUGAAAUUUUGAUACGAUGAAGCUAAGUGACUCACGAACGUCCUCCAACUAGAAUUACUCCAAAAUUCGUCCAUUUGAUUAUUUUUUGCUCCAGAGAGAGUCGAAAGUCCUAUAUUGAAAUAUAAUUUAAAGUGCCAAAAUUCUUCUAAAAUAUUAAUCAAAGUAUACUAAGAAUGAGGUUAAAUAUAUAAUAUGAAAUAUACCAUCAAUAGGAUCGCAUUCAAACACCUCUGGAGCAUCAUAAUCAUGCUCAUCCUCCAUAAUCAUGUUAUGGAGGAUGAUGCAAGUCAUCAUAAGGCUCUGAAGCACCUCCUUUUCAAGCAUACAAGAAGUACCCCUAAUAAUUGCCAACGAGCUUGCAAGAUACCAAAACACCUUUACACGUGUUUCUUAUAACCUUCUUGAAAGUUAGCAAAGCUUUUUUCCUUCUGCAAUUGGGGAUUUGGAAUUGUUUUGACGAAUGUUGUCCACCUCUGAUAAAUUUCGUCUGCUAGGUAGUACACACCCAAGUAUACAGUAUUGUUGAUUCGAUACGUGAUCUGGGGGAAAUGACCUCUCAAGACAUUGUUGAGUAUUGGGGAUUGACCAAGCAUAUUGAGGUCAUUUUGAGAUCCGCCAACUCCUAAAAAGGCAUGCCAAACCCAAGUGUCGAAUGAUGCAACGGCCUCCAGAAUUAUACUUUUUUGGCCAUUCCUAUUCCCAUAAUCCCCUUGCCAAGCAGUUGGGCAAUUUUUCCACUGCCAGUUCAUGCAGUUGAUGCUUCCAAUCAUGCCUAGGAAACCUCGAGCCUUGACUUUUAGUAGAAGUCUUCAGAGGUCCCUAGGCGUAGGUUUGCGGAGGUACUCCCUAGUGUUGAGAUUUUCUAUUAUAUCACAGAAUCUGACCAAGCACUCUAGGAUUAUUGAUUUCCCCAUCCUAGCAAUCUCAUCCACCUAGUCUGCAAAUGCCCCAUACGCAAGCAUCCACAAAGUAGCUGUAAGUUUUUGCUCUUGAAGAAAACCCAAAACCCCAACAACAUCGUACUUCUGAACGAAGUAUGUGUCGUAAUUGCAAACAUCAUACAUGAUUUUUUGGAACAAAUAGGGCUGCAUUCUAUAUCUCUCUCGAAAACAAGAAACAUGAUCUAUCGAAUUUGGGAUAAAGUAAUCUUCCAAGAGAUUCUUACUCUGAGAAUGCCUAUGUCUAUCCACGUUCGGGGCACGACGACCGUGGUGUUGCCUUGAUUGAUUGAGCAUACACACCACUAAAACAACUUCUUCCUCCUCUUCAUCCAACUCAUGAUAUUCUUCAGCAUAUCUGCGCCUAAUUUGUUCAUCUUCUCAUUGUUACCUCUCCAACACCCUUCUCCGGUUAGACAUUGAGAAUAGAAUGUGUUUUGUAAAAUUUGAGAAAUGAAAGGAUAGAGAAGAUAUGGUGUGAGAGGUCUAAGUUGAGGGUGUAGUUUUAUAGAGGGAUUUAGAAGAUAGAGAUGACACGUGGUGCAAUUUUAGAGAAAUAAAUUUUUUUUAUAAAAAUAAAAUUUAGUAUUAUAUUUAAAUGUCUCUUAUGAUUGAAAAAAAUUCUUGAGCGACAGGCAUUGUCCCCACUUCAAUUUUCUGAGCAUGGAAUUGGCCUUUGCACCAAUGAUCACAUGGAAAAAAGUAAUUAGCAAUAUACAAAAUGAAAACGAUGAUCAGCAAAUGCUCGAGGCCAAUAAGUAGUGACAAUAAAGCACCACACAAAAUGCAAAAGGCAGCAAUAUAAAUGCAAAGGACUUGCUUCAAUGAAUUGAAGAAGUGUCUUAAAAUCUCUUGGCAGAUCCUUAUGUGCCUUUCUCGUAAUAGCAAUUGCAGUUUCUCUUGUUCUUGGUCUAAAGUUUUGCCUUUUCCUUGUUUCUCAAUUAACCAAUUGUUCGGGGCUGUUGAAAAUCACUGCCGGGCUAUGCGAAGAGAUUACGGCCAGGCUUGCGAGGAGAUUGCGGUCGGGAUAUUAAAGGUUGGCGGCCCGGGACUUUGAACUCAAUACGGCCAGAUCUAGAUUGGCAGAGUUUCGGCCAGGGUAUAGUUGGAAUGCGACCGGGGCUAGGAGCUGAAAAAUACGGUCGGGCGAGGAGAUUGCGAUCGGGACAGCUAGAGGAGAUCUUGGAAAAUUUCGGUCGGAUUUUCGAAUGGGAGGUGCGGCCGAAAAUCUUGGAGCGUUCGUGGCCGGGCUGCGUAUUGCAGCUGGGCUUCUUUUUGAAUGGGACAAAAGUCACGGCUAAGUGUUGUGAUUGAGGAAGCGAAUGAGGUUGUUUAAGACUAAAAUAUUGCGGCCAGAUUUGCUGGGCCGUGCCCGAAUGUGGCUGAAGGCUCGAAAUUGAAUGAAUAAUGAGUUAGUGAAACUUGACAAUCAAUAUUUAAAGGUCUUGGCGGCUGGGUCCUUUUGUUAGUCUCCAAGUGGAGCUUUGGAUUGUUGCAAGUUGUAAGAUCCCACAUCAAACCUAUGGAGAGGAGGUAAUGUGCCUUAUAUGUACACACCCGCAUCCAUCUAGCACGAGGCCUUUUGGGAGCUCACUGGCUUCGGAGUCGUAUGAACUCCGAAGUUAAGCGAGUUGGAGGCCAGAGCAAUCCCAGGAUGGGUGACCCACUGGGAAGUUGCCCGUGAGCUCCCAGAAACAAAACCGUGAGGGCCAGAGAGGGGGGGCCCAAAGCGGACAAUAUCGUGCUACGGCGGAGCCGAUCCCGGGAUGUGACACAAGUGUUGCGCCUGGAGGCUCCAAAGCUUAACCCCUCCAUAUCCUAUUUUCUGAUAUUAUAUUACAAAUAUAUAUAUAUAUUUGAAAUUUAAUAUAUAUCAGAUGGGUGGCAAUGUAAGAGAAAUCGGAGGCCUAAGUUUAAGCCACCAAUUCACGCCCAAGAUUUUCUGAGGAUUAUAUGCACACGACGGAGGCCUCACAAAGAAAUAAAUGAAGGGAUUUUUUAUAGUAACUCCGAGUGUGCCAAAGCAAGGAAGAAUCAAGCAUGUCAGAAUAUCUCAAUCAAUGCAAUCCUAUGGAUUUAAGGGGGCCUUGGAAGGAAAUAAGUUUUAAAAGAGUUGACCUUUGGCUAUUCAAUGGCCAGCCCAUGGGCCGAUGAGUGCCCUAUAUAAACCUUGCUCGACAAAGGCAGAAAACACAACAUCAGACAAAUAAACUUAUCUUUCGUCUCGCACUUUUCUUUUCCUAGACUUAGGAUUUUAUUUUUCAAGCACCUAGUGUAGUGAGUUCUUCAUAUUUCUAGUGUAAGUUUUUUUUUUUCUUGUCAUUUAAAUUCUUGUUCAAUUUAUAUUUCUUGUCGUUUAAAUUCAAGUUUAUUUCGAUUCCUUUACAUUUCAUUGUUAUCGCACUUCAAUUAAGUUUAAUUUCAAGUUCGUUUAUUUUAUGGUUCUUAUUGUUCUUAUCGCUUUUAUUUCAUUCUUGCUUUAUUUAUCGCACUUCAAUUCUUGUCUUUACGUUUAUACGCAUAUUUAGUUUAAUUGCAUUAUUUUUACAUAAAGCCCUAAAAAUCACAAAAACAUCCGUAUGAAACCUAACCAUUCUCGAGCCCGAGAAAGUGAAAGAAUCUAGGCGAGGUUCCUUGCUUGGCCGAUCAAUCGUUUGGUUAGAAGUUAGAAGCGCAACACAUCCAUCUAUUCACAUUCCAUUCAAGCCCAAAUUCGGAGCUUGGUGGUGGCACACCCUGCAUCCAAAAGAAGAAGGACUAAAAGUUCCUUCCGUCGGUCGCCCUGGCUGAAAAGAGGAAAACAUAAUUUGGCACGCCCAGUGAGACCACUAGGUUUUGUAUGGUCGUAAACACUAGGAGGAAUCCUAGAAGAGAUCAAGAAUUUGAAGAAUCUAGACUUCGGUCAGAAUCAGAGACAAGCAUGGCUAGUUCACUCCUCACAAAUACUCAGCCACAAAAUGUUCCGAUCGCUCAACAUGAGCAAAAUGGCCCUGGCCGAGCAACGGCCCUCGCCCAUGACCAAGUGUUAGUUGAAGAUAUUACGGAAGUCGCUGGAGGACCAGUCUUGAGGCCGAAUCUGGCCACUUCCUUGGAACUCCAACAACUCAUGUGUGAAGUGGAGACAAUGGCACAGAAGAUGGCCACUCAAAAUGAUCAGUUAAUCUUCUACAAUAACAGAUACAAAAUCAUUUACGAAGAACUUGGAGGAGGCUAUGAAAAAAAGGGCAUGUAGAGUAGAGGCUUGACAUUUUAUUGUUUUAAAUUCACAGGUUGCUCACUCUAAUUUUUUAUUGAACUUGGAGUUGGAAAAAAAAAAAAAAAACAUUGAUUUGAUAUAGGUGUCCACUUCCAGAGAACUAUGAACAUAGAAAAACAGAGAAAAAAGAUAGAAGAAAACAGAGCCCCAAAAAAAAAAAAAAAAAAAGUUUAGCUAAGUUGAACCAGUAAGCCAAUUUCGGCCCGGCCAGUAAGCCCAGUAAGCCCAGCCCAGUUAGGCUCAUUUUUUUAAGGGUUUAGGCUGGUAGCAGGCCACCAAAUAUUCAGAGCUUUUCCUACAUGAUUUGAGGCACCACUUCCCUCUUGUCACCUGCUUUUUGACAAAGAAGGCAUGUGCCAUCAUUUCCCGGCAAAGCCCACGAAAUUGCCACAGGGUAGAAGCCAGCAAACAAUAAUAAAGUGGCUCUCAAACAAUAAUUUUGACCAAUAUUCAACAAAGAAUCUUCAACAUGUCAUUGUCCCCCACUUUCAAUUCAGAGCAAUGAUCACUUGGAAGAAAUUCAUUGGCAAUAUGCAAAAGAGGGUCCAAGGGAUUUGGCAUAUAUCUAUCAAGCUCCUGUCAAACGCGGCUUUGAGAUCCAAGUCGUCGUGACAAUAGAAUUGCAGCAGCUGCUUGACCAAAGCUAGCUAGCGGAUUGAAGAAGUGUGUCUGAAAAUUUAUCUCUCCAUGGCAAGCACUUGCAGAUUAUGUGUUCUCGUUAUAGCAAGUGUAUUAUUGCUUGGUCUUGGUGGCUUGUUUGCCUAUUUGCUUUUUGGUACAUUAGUCAGUGGUACAGGGAGCCAUGGUAAGUGCAUCCCGUCUGCCUGCGGUAACAUCCACUACAUAACCACCCCUUUUCGACUAGCCAAAGAUCCAAACUGCAAGAACUGGGAUGGGAAUUACCACCUCUUUUGUCACAACAACCUCACAGUAUUGGAAGUAGAUUCAGGAAACUACUCUGUGCAGGCAAUCAACUACGACAACUUCACAAUCCGAGUUGUAGAUCCUGGCAUUCGCAACAAUGAUUUCUCCUCCAUCCCCCGUUAUUCGCUUUCCAUUUACAACUUAACUUCUCAUCUUCGAUUAUCCUCAAGUACAACACCUAUAACUUUCUUUAAGUGUGCAAAAGCAGUGAACUCGUCUGUGAUGAGAACGUAUAAUUAUGUCAAGCAAGGGAAUAUAACGGCAUCAGAUAUGGAGGAUGCGUGCAGAAUAGAGUGGACGACUUUGAUGAGUAAGUCAUUCUUAUACGAAAAGGACAAAAACUUUUCUUAUCAUGACAUACAAAGCGCACUGGGGUAUGGCUUUGAGCUUCAAUUCCGCUUUCGCAGGACCAGCUACAAAUUAGGUUUGUGAAAUCUAUCACAUGUAUGACUUUCUGAAUUUCUUACUCAAACUUUCUAAAUUUCUCCAAAUGUCACAUGUGUAAAUCUAUCAUCUAUAACUUUUAAUUACAAUUUAUUCCUCAUUUUCAAUAAUUUGUUUUGUUUAGUUUUACUUGAAAUAAGGCGAUAUAGGGCUGAAAAUGAGAAAGACAUAUGGAGAAAAUUGGUCAAAUUUUCUUCGAAAAUAAAAUUUCUAAAAAUUUUAAAUAGUUUUAUUACUUGUAUUUUGUCUGGCUAAUUUAAAUUCCCCUCUCUCUUCUUCACCUUCCUCAUAUGCUGUAGUCUGCUAAUUAGUCUUAGUCAACCAUUAAGCAGGGCAGAGUAUAUAUAUAUCUGUGCUUCGAAAUUUCAAACUUAUGUCAAGCCUUUGAUUUUAGUAACUUUUUCGUGUAUCUCUUGCAGCUAUUUACUGGUUGCUGACGUUAGUCGGUAUAUUCUUCGGUAAGAGUUUGCAUAUUCCUUUAGUGCAGAAUUGUAUUUCCUAUCAGUCAGUAGAAAAAAAAAAAUGGAAGCAAAGAGGAAGGUUUUUAAUAUAUUAUAUCCAAUAAAGCAUGUCAUUUGUGAUUCUUUUUGUGAUGUUGCUUUGCAGGUUCAUAUUUCCAAAUAAGAUGUAUAUUUGGGGUUCCAUUUCUGGCUGCUUUUCUAAUCUACAAACGCCGAAAAAUGCAUUUGUCAAUGUAUAGCAACAUAGAAGAUUUCCUACAAAGUGAUAACAACCUCAAUCCGAUAAGGUACUCUUACUCAGAUAUUAAAAAGAUGACCAGUAGAUUCAAUGAGAAGUUGGGUGAAGGAGGUUAUGGCACUGUAUUUAAAGGAAAGUUACGCAGUGGCCGAUUUGUAGCAGUUAAAAUGUUGGAGAAGCCUAAAGCUAAUGGACAAGAUUUCAUAAGUGAGGUAGCUACUAUUGGGAGGAUUCACCAUUUUAAUAUGGUUCAACUUGUUGGUUAUUGUGUUGAGGGAUCAAAGCGUGCCUUAAUUUAUAACUUCAUGCCAAAUGGAUCUCUUGAUAAAUACAUUUAUUGCAAAGAAGGAAGCAACCCCUUAAGUUGCAUGAAAAUGUAUGAGAUUUCUCUUGGAGUGGCUCAAGGGAUUGAAUAUCUACAUCGAGGUUGUGACGUGCAAAUUCUACAUUUUGACAUCAAGCCUCACAAUAUUCUUCUGGAUGAGAAUUUCAUCCCAAAGAUUUCUGACUUUGGGCUUGCAAAGCUAUAUCCGGUAGGUAAUACCAUCGUCUCUUUGACGGCAGCAAGGGGAACAAUGGGAUACAUGGCUCCUGAGUUGUUUUACAAAAAUAUUGGAGCUGUCUCAUACAAAGCUGAUGUCUAUAGUUUUGGAAUGUUGUUGAUGGAAAUGGCAAGUAGAAGGAAGAAUUUGAACGCAUCCACAGAGCAUUCAAGCCAAAUUUAUUUUCCUCGUUGGGUCUCAGACCAAUUUUGCAUGGGCAAGGAGUUUGAGUUGGAUGAUGCUACAGAAGAGGAAAAGAAAAUAAUAAAAAAGAUGAUUAUAACUUCUUUAUGGUGUAUACAAUUGAAGCCAAGCGAUCGUCCUUCGAUGAACAAAGUUAUAGAGAUGCUUGAGGGAGAGGUUGAAUGCUUGCAGCUUCCUCCCAAGCUUCUUUUAUAUCCACAACAAGAGAUGCCCAGAGACAAUCUUCAUGGUAAUUCGAAUCCAAUGUGUUCUAACACAGAGCUAACAUGUAGUACUUUGUCAGCUAGGUGAUGAGUAGGACUGAAUUAGAGUUUUAACUUUAAUUUCAGUUUUAUUAUUAUUUAAGCUAAUAAGGGAAAUAUAUGAGUUCAAGUUGCAUAUAUACAUUAAAAAUACGUUUUUAUUUUGAACAAAUACUUGUGUGGUUUUGCUCCGCUGCCACCACAAGCAUCACCAUCGUUGUCACAAUCACUACCACCACCAUUGAGUCAUAUCUCAUAUAUUUUUUUUUGUUUUUUUUUUUUUGUUUUUUGAAAAUGCUAAGGAGACCACCUUUAGCAAAAAAAUUACAUGUAACGGGGGAUAGCAAUAUUUUGCUAUUCCCAAUAAAUAACACAAUGACCCAUGGAAAGGUUAUCAUAUGUGUCAUUGCGUUAUUGGUUGGGGAUAGCAAAAAGUGUUAUCCCAUUACGUGAGAGUUUCCCCUCCAUCUUUAGAGCAUCCACAAUCAUGCUCCCUAUUUUUUAGUUAAAUUUUAGCUAAAAGCAUAUAAAAGUUAUUUUAGGAGCUCUCUACAAAAUUUAAAUUCCAAUUAUGCUCUCUAGUUUAGGGAGUCAUAAAUGCUAUAAUUCUUUUUUAAUCGAUCUCUAUUAAAAAAAAAAUUAACAUUAAUUAAAGGUUUGAAAUACUCAUUAAAUAAAGCACCAUUAAAUUAUAAGGAGCCACUAGGAGUGCUUUCUCUCUCCUCAGAUUUAGGAGCUCCUAGAGGUCUCUCUAUUUUAGGGGAGGUGGAUAUGGAGCAUGGUUGGAGUUGUAUUUUUCCAAAUCCCCCCUAAAAUUUGUCUAAUGAGGUUGUUUAGGGAGUUCAUUGUGGAUGAUCUUAGAGACCAACUUGUGUACCAUCUCUCUAAUAGAGAUGGGAUCUAUGGUAUUAGUGGGCUCCACCUCCAUUAAAGCAAAAAAACUUAUAUGUAAUGGGGAUAGCAUGUGUAUUAAAAAGAUGGUACACAAGUUGAUGAUGUCAUCUUAGCAUGAUCACAUGGAAGAAAGUCAUUAGCAAUAUGCAAAAGAAAAAGAUGAUCAGGAAAUGCUCGAGGCCAAUAAGUAGUGACAAUAAAGCGCCACACAAAAUGCAAAGGGCAGCAAUAUAAAUGCAAAGUAGUUGCUUCAGUGAAUUGAAGGAUUGUCUUAAAAUCUCUUGGCAGAUCCUUAUGUGCCUUUCUGGUAAUAGCAAUUGGAGUUUCUCUUGUUCCCCUGCUAUUCAUUGUCACAUAACUUUCUUCAAGUGUGCAAAGGUAGUGAACUGUGAGAGUCGUAUUUAAAAAUUUUAAAAAAAAAUGUUUAUUAAAGAGGAAUAAAUAUUAUUAUAUAUAUUAAUAAGUAAUUAUCUUGGAUAUAUAUAUAUAUAUUGUUUUACGUUUAUACUACUAUUCCAGUAACCCACCAGUACAUGUCUUCAUGAUAUCCAUUCUCAUCUUGUAAUGACUUGGAGUGGAAGAAAAAUUACUUGGGCACCAAGAUUAAAACGUGCUGACUAUUUAAAAGUUUAGUGAUAAAAUAUUUAUUCUAGUAUAAAUAGGGAGCUUAUAUUUACAAUUUGUUUACUACUACAUCUAGAGAUAACAUGCACACAACAUGAUAGUUGUUUGAGAGGACUAAAGAGAGAUGCAAGGAAAAUAUGAUAUUGCAUGAGACAGAGAACUUUGCUUGUGUUUUACUAAAUUGGAUUUAUGCUUUGAAAUCGAGGUAGGGGUUUCUUGGGGGGGCUUUUACGGGGAUUGAUUUAAUUAAAUUUCAUAAGCACUAUAUUAUGCAUAAUAUUAUAAUUUGAUGGAUGUUCUUGAUAUUGGGUGUUUACGUGUUGUUAAUUAUUUAAUUAAUGUUGGCAUAACUUGACAGGACCCGAUCCAAAUUCCGCUUUAGAAUCCGAGCCGAACCUUGUACGUGUCCGACAACUACAGGGUAAUCAUUUAAAUAUGUACAUUAGUGAUAUUUAAAUGAUUACAUUGUUUUUGUGAGAUAUGUGAAAAGAAGAACUAUAUCAUGUUGGAAAUUAUUUGGAGUUCUUGGGUUGAGAAAAUAAUGGUGGAAAAGAGGGUAAUGAGAAUGAUCUUUUGUGUAGUAGAAUCUAACUCUUGGUAGGUACCAGAUCUCAAGGAUCCCACAGUGCACAUGAUUUUUAUUGGGUGAUGCGGGACUGGCGACAGGGAGUUAGACAAAAUGACUAACAAAAGGGGAAUUAUGGAAUGGUUGAAAUGAGUGUUAGUUCAUAUAAAUGGGACAUUCAGGACCAAGUGGUAUAAGCAUGGUAUAGGGUGUGCAAGUCUGCUUGUCUAGUUAUAUGAAUUAACGGGAGUAGAUGAAGAGCAUUAAUGCAUUAAUAUUAUUAAUGUGAUAUAUUUGGCUGUGUAAUUGCAUGUCACUUAAUUUAGUUAUAUCAAUCUACUGUGGUAAGGUCUCAUGUCCCCACUGAGCGACACCGACACUCUUUCUCUUCUGUUCUCUCUGCACCGGCCACGGCAAGGCACGCCACCGGUCCCAAUCGAUUCACCUCGACGUCCCGAUCAAGUCUAGCCGGUUUCCCCGUCGGAAAUCACGAACUCCGGCCACGAGCUCGACUGUUUUGAACUGGAGCUUUCCCGUCGUCGCGCCACCGCCUCUGCCGCCCAAACUCGGUGACUGAGGUAUGGUUUCUCAUCCAUUUUCCGAGUUCUAGCUGACUGUGGUAUAGGUUUGGACCGAUUCGUUGUCUAGAAAAUCGAUUAGAAAACCUAGGUUUUGGCCGGAUUUCAGAGUGAAAUUUCGGCCAGUUGCCGCCCGAAUUAGACCUUCCCGUAGUUGAAUAAAGUGAUCCUGACCUUAAGUAGAAGCUAAGUUAGGAAGGGUGAGCUCGGGUGUGGAGUUUUUCCGUCACCGGAAUUUACUCUACACACCCACGCGUUGCCGGCGCAUAUGGCGGCUCAUGGGCGAGGCUGGUGAAGCUGAAAUUUAACCCGAUUAGAUCCUUAAGUUGUCACGAGCGCAUAGGAAUUCCCGGAUCUCAAUUCGGAUGUUGUUUGACUAUCAAACGGAUUUUCGCAAUUUGUGCGUUAUCCGGGUUCGAUAGGUUCCGACCGUUAGAUCUUUUCCAAAUUAAAAUAUGUUGUUCUAGGUAUUCCUAGGACCGUAUGGGACUUCACGGAUUAUGAAUCGGAGCCCAGGAUGUUCCAAUUCAAUAAUGCAAAGUUUGUGGGUUAGCGAUAACCGUACAAUCGUGAACGAUUCAUAAACCUGUAAUCGGACCUUAGGAUAUCUUCUUCAACGUGCACGUAUUGGGAAUUUGGGGAUUUACGCAUUUAAUUUGUGAUUUCCGCUUCGACGUAAUUUUAUAUUAAUUAACGGUUCGUAUCUCGAAAUAGGUGUUUCGACUGCACGUACUCAGCAGGCAGGACCCUCACGUGGUCAGGAGCGUGGGAAUAUUUGUGAGUGGACUUUGUUUUCAAUCAUAUGCAUGGUUUUAUUGAUGAAAGAUUUUUGCAUAAUGUUUUAAUGGCUUAUUGACUAUAUUAUAUUCAUGAGUUGAAUAUGAUGUUUGUAUAGCGCUUGGCAAUAUAUUGUGAGUUUGGCAUUGUGGGUAUUGAGAGUGCAUUUUAUAAGGAAUUUGGGGAAGUAUCUGUAUAUAUGUAUAUUCUCUAUAGGCGGGAUAUUUGGGUUGUUGAAGUGUGUUGUGGAAGAACUUGAUUAUGAGGGGUUGUUGAGAGAAGUUGUAUGAUUACACUAUUAGACUUUCCACACGCGGCGUUGGAUGUUCCGGCUUGUGGAAAGAAUAGGUUAUCAGUCUCACUCGAAGCGUUGGAUGUUCCGGCAUGUGAGACACUUUCCAUAUGCGGCGUUGGAUGUUCCGGCGUAUGGAAAGACUCUGUAUAGUGUUUAGGGGCAUCACCAUGGCGUUGGAUGUUCCGGUGUGUGAUGAUCCAGUCUGCGCGCGUAGGACAUAGUUUGGGAGCUACACAUGGCGUUGGAUGUUUCGGUGUGGGAGCUUUGGAGUUUCGUCCCCCGGUUGGACCGCUCAUCCCUAGACGCAGGAUAUCACCUAGAAAUCCUGCGGACUAGUCAAACGAUCCCCCAGUUGGAUUGUUUCCUCGGUACCCAGGUAGUGUGAUGAGUAUAUCGUAUAGUUAUGUAUAGUUAUAUAUAUAUAUGUAUAUGUAUAGUUGAGUGAGUGAAAAUUUGAGUUUUUCAGUGGGUUGACAGGAGUUGUAAGAUUGAGAGAAUGGGGUUGAUGAAGGAGAUGAUUUGUAUUUUGAAGAGUUUUUAAUGAAUCAUGUUUUGAGUAAUUAAAUAUUGAAUUGUGAACCUGCAUGACUUGAGGAUUAUUUUUACAUGGUGGGGUUACUAUAUUGUUUUUAACUACAAAUUUGGUUUUUUUCCACUCACAUGUUUUCUAUUUUGCGCCCCCCCAGCCAGUAGUCGCUCCAAGAAGCGUGCAAAUGGUGUACGAGGCUCGAACUGUGAAUCUUCCUAGUUAGGGUUUGAGUAAUUUCUUCUACUCAACUGUUCUUGUAAUCUAAAUUCAGUAGAUGCUCUGUUAUUGCCCAUGGUAGAUUUUACUUGUGAGGCCAGAGGCCAUUUUAGUAUGACUUGUUGAAUUAUGAAAGCAUGCUGCUGGUUGGGAUUUUAUUUUAUGUAUGUUACAGGUUGAAAAUUUUUGUUGGGUUUGCUUAAAUUACAGGGGAGACUCUGCCAAAAUUUUGGUAGAAAGUCUCGGUUUCUUAAUAAGUGGGCCCGACAUCGGGAAGAUGUCGGAACAAAGAUGGGGUCCGCUUCGAUUUCUGGGAAAUUCUGGGGCGGGUCCUGUCAGCUUGGUAUCAGAGCAUUAGGUUCAUUUUCCUUCGACUAUUGCACUUUUGUUGCAUUGUUGAUCUAAUGAUUUUAUGAUUUCUUUGUGUAGAAUCAUGUCAGCUCGCAGAGCUAGAACAAGAGGUCGCGGUCAGAGAUGGGGCCGAAUCCUCCACCUCCAUCUCCAUCACCCCCUCCUUCACCACCAGUACCUUCGCCUCUACCAUCUCCACCUGCUGGAGAUAAUGCUUUGGAUAUGAGGCAUGUGCUCAACCAGUUUACUCCACAAUGGCUACAGCUUCACGGGGAAGGCGCGGUACAUAAAGUUCGGAAAUUAAGAGAGUUAAGGAACUUGGAGCAAAAGAAUUUGUGGGUAGUACAGACCCAGCAGAAGCAAAAUCAUGGAUUACUGAUAUGGAAAGAAUUUUUGAGGUUCUGGAAUGCCCAGCUGAGGAUAGAGUCCGUUUGGCUACCUUUCUACUCAAGGGCAAUGCUUAUCAUUGGUGGAAAGCAGUAAAGAGGGGUUAUGAAAAUCAGGCUGCUAUAAACUGGGAAGAAUUUCAGCGAGUCUUUUCAGAGCAGUUUUACCCACCUUCUUAUAGACAUGCAAAGAAGUCAGAGUUUCUCUACCUGAAACAGGGGUCUAUGUCAGUAAUGGAGUAUGAACACAAGUUUAAUGAGUUGUCAAGAUUUGCUCCAGAGCUGGUUGCCACAGAGGAGGACAGGUGUAGACGAUUUGAGGAAGGUUUAUGGUGAGAAAUUCAGGCAGUGGUUACUGCUAAUACUUAUCCAAAUAUGAGGGCAUUGGCUCAGGCAGCUGAAAUGAUGUCAAGGAAACUCGGUGGGAGUGUUGGUAGGCGCCGUAGGGAUACACCAGGAAUUGGUGGGCCCAGUCAGGGUCCAUCAAAGAGGGGAGGAUCUAGUUCCAGUUCUGCUAGUGGUGGAUGGUCAGGAGGACGAGGAUCUAGUUCUAGUAGUGGGAGAUCCGGUUCUCAUCCGGCUUGGACUCAGUAUUCAGGGCCACAGUCUACAGCUAGCACCGCCAGGGCUUCUUCCAAGCACACUGGGUUGACAUGUUUUAAUUGUGGACAGGUUGGGCACAUUGUGAAAGAUUGUCCCAGUUAUACCCAGGAAGGUGGACCGAACCAGAGUAGUAGCCUGACAUGCUACUUUUGUGGGCAAGUGGGGCAUACUAAGAGAAGUUGCCCAAUUAUACUCCAGAAUGAUGCAGCAGUUCAGGGAACUGGGGCCUAGCAUGGGCAAGGUAUUAUGGGUCAGAAUCAGAAUCAAGGUGGUGUUUCUUCCUCUGCAGUAGGGUCAUCCAGUAGUAGGGCACCGUCAUCUUCUAGAGGCAAAAGUGGUAGGCAAUCAAGGGGUCAGCCUGGGCGUUCCACUACUCAGGCCCGAGUGUUCUCUAUGACUCAGCAGGAAGCAUAUGCUACAUCGGACGUGAUUACUGGUAUAAUUCCAAUUUUUGGUUAUCUUGCACGUGUUCUAAUUGACCCGGGGGCCACACACUCCUUCGUAGCACACAAUUUCAUACCGUAUAUCAGUAUUAGACCCACACCUAUGACAUGAAGUUUUAGUAUUUCUCUACCUACGGGAAAAGUCUUGUAUGCAGAUCGGGUAUUCAUAAAUUGUUUUGUCUAAGUAGAUGAUGCAUGGUUGGAAGCGAAUUUAAUUCCUUUAGAUUUGGUGGAUUUCGAUAUUAUAUUGGGGAUGGAUUGGCUAGAGAAGCAUCAUGCAUCAGUGGAUUGUUUCCGGAAGGAAGUAACGCUUCGAAGUCCAGGGCAACCUAAAGUUACCUUCCGUGGGGAGCGUAGAGUUCUCCCUACUUGUCUUAUCUCUGCUAUCACAGCCAAGAAGUUACUCAAGAAGGGAUGUGAAGGGUAUUUGGCGCAUAUUAUCGAUACUCGAGAGAUCACCCUAAAUCUGGAAGAUAUUCCUGUUGUUUGUGAUUUCCCUGAUAUCUUUCCAGAUGCUCUCCCUGGUUUACCUCCUGAAAAGGAAAUCGAGUUCACUAUUGAACUUCUUCCGGGCACCAACCCUAUUUAUCAAACCCCCUAUAGGAUGGCGCCGGCUGAACUCCGAGAGUUGAAGACUCAAUUAUAGGAGUUAGUGGAUCUUGGGUUCAUCAGACCCAGUGUUUCACCGUGGGGUGCACCUGUGUUGUUCGUGAGGAAGAAAGAUGGGACCAUGAGGUUAUGUAUUGAUUACCGGCAGUUGAAUAAGGUGACGAUACGUAGCUGGUAUCCUUUGCCUCGGAUUGAUGAUUUGUUUGAUCAGUUGAAGGGUGCUAAGAAUUUUUCUAAAAUCGAUAUGAGAUCAGGAUACCAUCAGUUGAGGAUAAGGGAAGAAGAUAUUCCUAAGACCACAUUCAGAACGCGGUAUGGACAUUAUGAAUUUCUGGUGAUGCCUUUUGGACUCACGAAUGCUCUAGCAGCGUUUAUGGAUCUCAUGAACAGAGUGUUCCGACCAUACCUGGAUCACUUUGUGAUUGUGUUCAUAGACGAUAUCUUGGUGUACUCCAAGACUUUGGAAGGGCAUAAGAAGCAUCUGAGGUUGGUAUUGAGAACUUUGAGAAGGAAGCAGCUUUAUGCUAAAUUUAGUAAGUAUCAGUUCUGGCUGGACAGAGUGGUAUUCUUAGGACAUGUAAUCUCAGCUGAAGGGAUUUAUGUGGAUCCAUAGAAAGUUGAAGCUAUUGUGAAUUGGGUACAACCCACCAGUGUGACAGAAAUACGGAGUUUUCUGGGUUUGGCAGGUGACUAUCGUCGAUUUGUGGAAGGGUUCUCUUCGAUAGCAGCACCUCUCACACGGUUGACAAGGAAAGAGGUUGCGUUUGAGUGGACAGAAGAAUGUGAACAAAGUUUUCAGGAAUUAAAGAAGCGAUUAACCACCGCACCCGUUUUGGCUCUUUCGGAUAAUGCAGGAAACUUUGUGAUCUACAGUGAUGCAUCUUUGCAAGGCUUGGGAUGUGUUCUGAUGCGACAUGAUCGGGUGAUUGCUUAUGCCUCAAGGCAACUCAAGAAGCAUGAGCAGAAUUAUCCGGUUCAUGAUCUGGAACUUGCCGCAGUAGUGUUCGCUCUCAAGAUUUUGCGGCAUUAUUUGUAUGGUGAGACGUGUCAGAUUUUCACUGAUCACAAAAGCCUCAAGUAUUUUUUCACUCAAAGGGAGCUUAAUAUGAGACAACGGCGUUGGUUGGAAUUGAUAAAGGAUUAUGACUGCACGAUUGAGUAUCAUCCAGGCCGAGCUAAUGUGGUUGCAGAUGCAUUGAGUAGAAAGACUACUGGAAGUUUGGCUCAUCUCAGAACGGCAUAUCUUCCGUUGUUAGUGGAACUACGGAAGGAAGGUGUAGAGCUGGAAAUGACUCAACAGGGUGGAAUACUUGUUAGUUUACAUGUGAGACCCAUUCUGGUGGAGCGGAUAAUUGUAGCCCAGUUGAGAGAUCCGACACUUUGUAGAAUAAGGGGAGAAGUAGAAAAUGGUACACGGAAAGAUUAUGCAAUAAGGGGAGAUGGGGCGUUGGUAACAGGAACUCGCCUCUGUGUACCUAGGAAUGAUUAUCUGAAAAGAGAAAUCAUGGAGGAAGCUCACUGUUCCACUUACACUAUGCAUCCAGGAAGUACCAAGAUGUAUCGAACCCUAUGGGAAUAUUACUCAUGGCCGCAUAUGAAGGGAGACAUUGCUAAGUAUGUAAGUAAAUGCUUGAUUUGUCAACAAGUGAAAGCAGAGCGACAGAAAACUUCAGGGCUUAUGCAACCACUUCCAAUUCCUGAAUGGAAGUGGGAACGCAUUAUCAUGGAUUUUGUUUUCAAGCUUCCACGUACUCCCAAGGGACAUGAUGGAAUUUGGGUAAUAGUUGACAGACUCACCAAGUCAGCCCAUUUCCUACCCAUCAAGGAAACUUAUUCUCUGACGAAGUUGGCAAAACUUUUUGUGGACAAGAUUGUGAGAUUACAUGGAGCACCUGUGUCCAUUGUAUCGGACAGGGAUGCCCGAUUCACUUCUCGAUUCGGGAAGUGUUUACAGGAAGCUAUGGGUACUAGGUUGCAGUUUAGCACAGCUUUUCACCCACAGACUGUUGGACAAUCAGAAAGAACUAUCCAGACUUUGGAGGAUAUGUUGAGGUCGUGUGUGCUGCAGAUGAAAGAUUCAUGGGAUACUCACCUUGCCUUGGUGGAAUUUGAGUACAAUAACAGUUAUCAUGCGAGUAUAAAGAUGGCUCCUUAUGAGGCGUUAUAUGGGAGACAAUGUAGGAUUCCUAUUUGUUGGAAUGAAGUGGGAGAUAAGAAAUUGGAAAAAGUGGAUAGUAUCCAAGCAACAACCGAGAAGGUGAAGAUGAUUAAAGAGAAGCUGAAGAUCGCACAGGACCGACAGAAGAGUUAUGCAGAUAAUAGGUCCAAAGAUCUUGAAUUUGCAGUUGGGGAUUGGGUGUUUCUAAAGUUAUCUCCUUGGAAGGGUGUGAUGAGAUUCGGGAAACGUGGGAAGUUAAGCCCUCGUUAUAUUGGACCCUAUGAGAUUACUGAACGCAUCAGACCUGUUGCUUAUAGACUUGCAUUAACUGCAGAACUAUCUCGAGUCCAUGAUGUAUUUCAUGUAUCUAUGCUUCGGAAAUAUAUGUCAGACCCUUCUCAUAUUUUAGAAUAUCAACCUGUGGAGUUAGAAGAAGAUUUAUCAUAUGAGGAGCAACCUAUGCAAAUCCUGGAUAGGAAAGAACAAAUGUUGCGCUCCAGAUCUAUUCCAGUAGUGAAGGUUCUGUGGAGAAGCCAAACCGUGGAAGAAGCUACAUGGGAGCCUGAGGCGCAAAUGAGGGUCAAGUACCCUUAUCUCUUCCAUUAACAGGUACGUAAAUUUCGGGGACGAAAUUUUUAUAAGGGGGGUAGAUUAUAACACCCCGACUCCAAAAAAUUAAUGUCUAUUUUAUUAAUUUAAAAUAAAUUUCGAAUUUACCCUUCGAGUAGGGGUAAAUUGGUCACUUUCUUAUCCGGAAGGAUUUUGGGACCACGAAUGAUAUUUUUGGGUAGGUGGUACUAAGACGAAUUCGUAGACACGCGGUAGGCUUAAAUCGGAGUUGUAACGAAAAAAUUACGAUCAAAACAUUAUCAGUGGCAAACUUGUAAAUAUUUCAAAAAGUUUGGUAAAAAUCAGAUUUUUCACUUCAGCUCUCUCUCUCCUCGUGCGCGCUCGACUCUCUCUCUCCUCAGUCUCUCUCUCUCUCCGACACCGACACUCUCUCUCUUCGGUUCUCUCUACACCAGCCACGGCCAGGCACGCCACCGGUCCCGAUCGAUUCGCCUCGACGUCCCGAUCAAGUCUAGCUGGUUUUUCCCGUCGAAAAUCACGAACUUCGGCCACGAACUCGACUGGUUUAAACCGGAGCUUUCCCGUCGUCGGGCCGCCGCCUCCGCCGCCCAAACUCGGUGAGUGAGGUAUGGUUUCUCAUCCAUUUUUCGAGUUCUAGCUGACUGUGGUAUAGGUUUGGACCGAUUCGUUGUCUAGAAAAUCGAUUAGAAAACCUACGUUUUGGCCGGAUUUCAAAGUGAAAUUCCGGCCAGUUGCCGCCUGAAUUGGACCUUCUCGUAGUUAAAUAAAGUGAUGCUGACCUUGAGUAGAAGCUAGGUUAGGAAGGGUGAGCUCGGGUGUGGAGUUUUUCCGUCACCGGAAUUUACUCUACGCACCCAGGCGCUGCCGGCGCGUGGGCGAGGCUGGUGAAGCUGCAAUUUAACUCGAUGAGAUCCUUAGGUUGUCACGAGCGCAUAGGAAUUCGCAGAUCUCAAUUUGGAUGUCGUUUGACUAUCGAACGGAUUUUCGUAAUUUGUGCGUUAUCCGGGUUCGAUAGGUUCCGACCGUUAGAUCUUUUCCGAAUUAAAAUAUGUUGUUCUAGGUAUUCCUAGGACCAUAUGGGACUUCACGGAUUAUGAAUUGGAACCCCGGAUGUUCCGAUUCAAUAAUGCAAAGUUUGCGGGUUAGCGAUAACCGUACAAUCGUGAACGAUUCAUAAACCUGUAAUCGGACCUUAGGAUAUCUUCUUCAACGUGCACGUAUUGGGAAUUUGGGGAUUUACGCAUUUAAUUUGUGAUUUCCGCUUCGACGUAAUUUUAUAUUAAUUAACGGUUCGUAUCUCGAAAUAGGUGUUUCGACUGCACGUACUCAGUAGGCAGGACCCUCCCGUGGUCAGGCAGCGUGGGAAUAUUUGUGAGUGGACUUUGUUUUCAAUCAUAUGCAUGGUUUUAUUGAUGAAAGAUUUUUGCAUAAUGUUUUAAUGGCUUAUUGAAUAUAUUAUAUUCAUGAGUUGAAUAUGAUGUUUGUAUAGUGCUUGGCAAUAUAUUGUGAGUUUGGCAUUGUGGGUAUUGAGAGUGCAUUUUAUAAGAAAUUUGGGGAAGUAUCUAUAUAUAUGUAUAUUCUCUAUAGGCGGGAUAUUUGGGUUGUUGAAGUGUGCUGUGGAAGAACUUGAUUAUGAGGGGUUGUUGAGAGAAGUUGUAUGAUUACACUAUGUAAGUACCUUCUCCAGUUAUUAGACUUUUCACACGCAGCGUUGGAUGUUCCGGCGUGUGAGACACUUUCCAUAUGCGGUGUUGGAUGUUUCGGCGUAUGGAAAGACUCUGUAUAGUGUUUAGGGUCAUCACCAUGGCGUUGGAUGUUCCGAUGUGUGAUGAUCUAGUCUGCGCACGUAGGACAUAGUUUCGGAGCUACACAUGGUGUUGGAUGUUCCGGUGAGGGAGCUUUGGAGUUUCGUCUCCUGGUUGGACCGCUCAUCCCUAGAUGCAGGAUAGCACCUAGAAAUCCUGCGGUAGUGUGAUGAGUAUAUCGUAUAGCUAUGUAUAGUUAUAUUUAUAUAUAUAUGUAUAUUUAUAUGUAUAUGUAUAGUUGAGUGAGUGAAGAAUUUGAGUUUUUCAGUGGGUUGACAGAAGUUGUAAGAUUGAGAGAAUGGGGUUGAUGAAGGAGAUGAUUUGUAUUUUGAAGAGUUUUUAAUGAAUCAUGUUUUGAGUAAUUAAAUAUUGAAUUGUGAACCUGCAUGACUUGAGCAUUAUUUUUACAUGGUGGGGUUACUAUAUUGUUUUUAACUGCAAAUCUGAUUUUUGUCCACUCACAUGUUUUCUGUUUUGUGCCCCCCAGCUAGUAGUCGCUCCAGGAAGCGUGCAAGUGGUGUACGAGGCUCGAACUGUGAAUCUUCCUAGUUAGGAUUUGAGUAAUUUCUUCUACUCAACUGUUCUUGUAAUCUAAAUUCAGUAGAUGCUCUGUUAUCGCCCAUGGUAGAUUUUACUUGUGAGGUCGGAGGCCAUUUUAGUAUGACUUGUUGAAUUAUGAAAGCAUGCUGCUGGUUGGGAUUUUAUUUUAUGUAUGUUACAGGUUGAAAUUUUUUGUUGGGUUUGCUUAAAUUACAGGGGAGACUCUGCUAAAAUUUUAGUAGAAAGUCUCGGUUUCUUAAUAAGUGGGCCCAGUAUCGGGAAGAUGUCGGAACAAAGACGGGGUCCGCUUCGGUUUCCGGAAAAUUCCGGGGCGGGUCCUGUCAUUUCAGCUCCAACUCACCCUUAGGGAUGAUUUCCUCUAAAACUCACACUAAACACAUCAAAAUGACCAAUUUCACAGAAGAAACUAGCAAAAACCAUAGGAAUACAAUAUAGAAAAUAAGCAUAAAUAUAGAGUGAUCAAAUACCUCAAACCUAUCUUUUUCUAGUUCUUGAGCAAAACAGAAAUAAAACAAGUUAGAAAACAAAACUAGAAGUUAAUCUAGGCCACUUUCGUAGGGAAUCACAAUGGCACUAAACAUGUGCCACAAGCCUUUAAACCUCUAAGUAUCCCCAGUAGGAGGAGUUGUGUCUCCUUAGGAUUUACAAUUUACGAUACUCAUAAACACUUACUCUCUGCAAAACAAAAACUUUAAAAUACUACUUUAAUCUAACUAACAAAAACCAAUGUAAGCAGAAGCCUAACUCAAGACUAAAAUUAUGUCGUUCAAUUAAAUGCACCAAGUGUUAAGUGUAGAGCCAAACCUCAAAAUACUUUGGCUUAAAGGCAACCAUACCUCAAUGUCAAGGAUAGAAUUCGUCUUAACUCUAGGCCUCAAAGGGAAUCACUCUUAUUUUCAUAUAGAAACUAGGCUUACUUUCUCAUCACGCAUAUGCAUAUGAGAAUAGAGUUUAUGUAUAGAGAAUCAAGAAUUAUCGCUUAUGAAUUUUAAGAAAUAAAAGCUCAAUUUCUGAAAAUAGACCUCAUGAAAAGAAUUAAAUACUAAGAAUGUAGGUAGAUUCCUUCACUUCCAAGCAAGAUGUACCAAAAGAUCCCUAAGUGAAAAUUUUAUCAUAACUUCCAAACGAAAAAUCCAAUAUGGAUUCAACACAAAAAACUGAAGAAGAAAACAUGGGCCAAAUCUUCAUCUUCAUUACUAGAAAAGACAGUUUUAAGCAAACAUAAACCUCACGUUAUUUUAGACAGAAAAACAGAGAACUAAAAAGGAAAAUGCUAAAAUGAACAAAAACACACAAAAAAGUCAAUUCCACACCCCCAAACCUAAACUAAACAUUGUCCUUCAAUUGCAAGGCAAAGAUAGAAUGCAAACAUUGGUACCGAAUCCACGACUCUCGAGGGGUCUUCAAAGUAAAGUUUUAAGCGAUUACCAUUGACUUUAAACUUAUACCCAAUCCUCUUGUUCUCAAUUUUGACCAUACCAUAAGGAAACACUAGCUUCAUUGUGAAUGGACCCGUCCAUUUGGACCUUAGUUUACUUGGAAAAAGCUUCAAACAUGAGUUACAAAGCAAAACUUUCAUAACCAGUGUAAAGUUGAAUCGCUUUAUGAUGAUAAAGCUUGGUCCUUUCCUUAUAGAUCUUCCCAUUUUCAUAGGCUUCAUUCCGUAGCUGAUCUAGUUCACUCACUUGCAUCUUCCUCAUGUCUCCAGCCUUCAUCUCAAAAUUCAGUCGCUUAAUUGCCCAGUAGGCCCUAUACUCCAAUUCAACCGGUAAGUGGCAAGCCUUGCCAAAAACAAGUCGAUAUGGGCUCAUACCAAUAGGAGUCUUAUAUGUUGUGCGAUAGGCCUAAAGAGCGUCAUUCGAUUGCAAUGCCCAAUCCUUUUCUUGUAGUUUCUACGGUCCUCUCCAAGAUUGUUUUAAUUUGCCGGUAGCUUAACUCGACUUGUCCCAAUGUUUGAGGGUGGUAAGGAGUUGCUACCUUAUGGGUGAUAUUGUACUUUUUCAACAAAUGCAUCAAAAGACUCAUUGCAAAAGUGACUCUCCCCAUCACAAUUUUGCUAUCACUAGUCUUGGUCACAAUCGUUUCAAUCCACUUAGGCACGUAAUCAAUAGCGACAAGGAUAUAAUUGUACCCAUAAGAUGAUGGAGACGGACCCAUGAAGUCUAUACCCCAAACGUUGAAUAAUACCACUACCAGAUUGCUUGUGAGCGGCAUCUCACUCCUCUUGCUUAUGUUCCCAUAUAUUUGGUACCUGUCGCAGUGAGCAACAAAAUUACACGUAUCUUUGAAUAAGGUAAGCCAAAGGAAUCUAGAUUGAAGAACUUUAAAAGCAGUCUUUUUACCACCAAAAUGUCCCCCACAAUUUAAUUCAUGACUAAAUUUUAAUAUACUUUGCUGCUCAGAUUUUGGGACACAACGCCUUAUUAUUUGAUCAGGACAAUGCUUAAAUAAAUAAGGUUCCUCGCAAAAAUAAUGCUUAACCUUAGCUAAAUAAUUACCAAUAUCUGCAAACCAUGGCUCUUCUCCAUGCGCAUGCAGAGAAGAGUUGUUCAUGAGGAAAAGCGUCGAGGAUGGGUAGGAUAUCACCAUAGCCAGCCACCUCCUUGGUGGUGCCACCCAUUCCUUGGCCGGGCACAAGCUCCAACCACGAUAAGUGAUCAGCUACUACAUUCUCGCUCCCUUUUUCGUCCUUAAUUUCCAAAUUAACCUAGGCUUGACAUCCUUUUUGGUUAGCAAAUAUUUCAAUGUCGCAUGAUCAAAAUAGGUAAUAAUAUUAUUAGAGCCACUUAAAUAAGAGUGCAGUUUCUCCAAUGCAAAAACAACAAGUAGUAAUUCUUUUUCAAUGGUAAAAUAAUAAAUUUGAGCAUCAUUAACGGUGCAACUCACAUAAUGAAUAACACAAGGCACUUUAUUUACCCUUUGUCCUAGAACAACACCUAUGGCAUAAUCAGAAGUUUGACACAUUAUUUCAAAGGGUAACGACCACUUAGGAGGCAUAAUAAUAGGUGCCAUAGUUAAUUUCUCUUUCAAAGUAUUGAAGGCAUUAAGGCAAUUUUUAUCCAAAAUUAGAAACAGCAUCUUUGGCCAAUAAAUCGCACAAGGGGCAAGUAAUUUUGAAAAAAAAAUAUUUAAUAAAUCUUUGAUAAAAUCUUGCACGACCCAAGAAGCUUCGCACUCCCUUUACAGAAGUAGGGACAACAAUUUUUCAAUUAAAUUAAUUUUUUCCUUGUCAACUUCAAAACCUAGAAAUAAUAUGUGCCAAAACAAUACCUUGCCUUACGAUGAAGUGGCUCUUCUCCUAGCUCAAUGUCAAGUUAAUCUCUACAUGUCUCUUAAGCAUCAAGGUUAAAUGUUCAAGGCAAUUACAGAAAGAACUUCCAAAAACAGAAAAAUAAUCCAUAAAUACCUUGAUAAACCUAUGUACAAGCUUAGUAGUUGAAGUUAAUUCUGCAAUAGUUGGGGACCUGAUCAUUUUUUCUAUAAAAAUAUUGUUUACUUAGAUCAUUACACUAUUCCAUGGUGUUACUAAUCCACGUAUUAUAAUAUAAGUGGGUGACAGGAUUUAUAUAUCAUGGAUCCAAUAUCAAAGGCGGAUCUACAUUUGGCCUGGAGUGGGCUCCAACCUAGUUCUGAAUAGGCUCAGUUGUACAAGCCCAACCUAGGUAAAUCAAAUAAUAGCACACCCCUCUAUGUAGAAAUAAGCCCACUUAUGAACCAUCUCUACACCCUACAACAGACGUAGAUUUUUUCUUUCUUAUUCUAGUCACCCAUAACUCCAUAUUUGGCAUCAAGGGGGAUUCAUUCAUGAAUAUCUGGUCUGCUCUGCUUACACAAGUUCAAUAAACUUAGACUUGGGAACAACCUAGUGACAAAUUAUUUAGUGUUAACAUCUCUCCUUAUUGCAUGCCAGCCCAAAGCCAAGAGGAUAUAAAGGGUCAUAUGAAUUGUCUCCAGCAUUCACAGGCAGCUGUUCAACCCUUUUAAACCAUGUCACUGGGAGCUGGCCCUCGAAAUCGUGAUCUCCAAAGAUAACAUCUGCAAUUCCAUCUCCUUCAGUACCAGGUAACCAGGCAGCAACAAGAGCAUCUAUCUUUUCCAAUAGCCAGGGCUCUAAAACUAAGGGUCUUCCAGAAAUCAGAAUUACCAACGAGGGGAUUUUGUCAGCAACUGAGCUUAUGAUAUCAGCUCCAUUCAAGGGGAUCACAAGCUUUGAAUUGUCACCCUUGCCUUCUGCAUAUGGAGCUUCUGUUAGUGUUUAAUAAGCUACUGAUAAAAAUGGAGGAAUACUGAGAAUAUUGAAGAAAAGAGUGAAGAGAAUAAUGAUGCUCUGUAAAAACGUUUUCGUAUAUUUGUUGUUGUGUAUUUUCGAGCUGUAUCACUCACAGCUCAUAUUACAGUUAGAAGAGAGAGAGAGAGCUAGACAAAUCCUAGCUUCAAUCUCAACCAUCCAACUACACUAUGGGUAAGAUUAUGACACCUGUCCAGUCAAGUCCUAUGAGACUUAACAAACCGUUUUGACUAUUAUAGACAGCUUAGCCUAUGAGCUAAGUAUAACACUAAACCAACAAUUACAUACUAAAUCAGUUUACCAUUUUGCACAUUAACACUCCCCUUCAAAUUGUGAACUGAUUUCACCCCAAGCAAUUCUCUGAGAUAAGAGAAUUGUUCCCUUGCCAAAGCCUUAGUGAAGAUGUCAGCUACUUGCUCCUUUGUAGGACAAUAAAUCAAGUUGAUUACACCCUGUUGUAGAGCUUCUUUGAUGUAGUGAUACCUCCGGUUUAUGUGUUUGGUUUUCUGAUGAAAGAUCGGAUUCUUGGUGAUAGCAAUGGCUGAGGUGUUAUCACAGUUUAGGGGUGUUGCCACAGUCUGCAUUUCACCAAAAUCUUCUAACACAAACCGUAACCAAGUAGCUUGUGCAGUUGCCUCUGAUGCACUCACAUAUUCUGCUUCAGCUGUGGAUAGAGCAACACAUUGUUGCUUCACAGAUGCCCAAGAGAAUACUCCACUACCGAAUGUAAAAGCAUAUCCCGAUGUACUCUUCAUAUCAUCUUCUGAUCCAGACCAGUCACUGUCACAGAAGCCUACCAAAACCGAUCCUUCUCCUUUCUUAUAUUCCAAACCAAAGUCAAGUGUACCCUGAACAUACCUUAGUACCCUCUUGGCAGUUCCAUAAUGUUUAUUUGUGGGGGAAUGCAUAAAUCUAGCCAACAGACAAGCAGCAUACAUUAUAUCCGGUCUAGUUGCAGUGAGGUAGAGUAGACUUCCCACUAGUUUUCUGUAUUCAGCUUCAUUUGAAGCUCCACUUUCAUCAUCUCUCUUCAAUUUGUCAGCUGGUACAAGAGGAAUACCAACCGGUUUACAGUCCCGCAGACCAAACCUUUUCAAAAGUGUGGAAGCAUAUUUCUUCUGGUGUAUGAAAAUGUAGUCUUCACUUUGGAUAAUUCCCAUUCCUAGAAAGUGAUGUAGCAAACCCAAAUCUGUCAUCUCAUACCUCUGCAUCAUAUCAGUCUUGAAAUCUUGCAUUAGUUCUUGAGAAUUCCCUGUAUAGACUAUAUCAUCCACAUAGAUAGAUACUAUGACCAGAUCCGAGGUUCCCCUGCCUUUAACAUAUAAUGUUGCCUCACUUGUGCUCCUUUUAAAGCCACAUUGCACGAGAUAAGAGUCUAUUUCUCCAUACCAGGCUCUAGGAGCCUGUUUCAAGCCAUACAAGGCUUUGUGCAAUUUAUACACUUUAUCCUCUUCACAUUGCACAAUAAAACCAUCGGGCUGCUCUACAUACACCUCCUCUUGAAGCACUCCAUUCAGAAAAGCUGAUUUCACAUCUAAUUGAUACAUUUUCCAACUAUUCUUUGCAGCCAAGGCAAUGAGAGUUCGUAUAGUAUCCAACCUUGCCACUGGUGCAAAGGUUUCAUUAUAAUCUAUUCCGGGCUUUUGUGCAUAGCCCUUUGCAACUAGUCUAGCUUUAUGCUUUUGAAUCGAACCAUCCAAGUUCAACUUAGUCUUGUACACCCAUUUUACUCCAAUUAUAGGUUUGUUGAAAGGUCUAUUUACCAAUUCCCAAGUCUGAUUCUUCUCAAUCAUGUUCAUCUCAUUUUCCAUUGCCUUCUUCCAAGCUUCAUCCUGUGCAGCUUCAUCAAAGUUCUCAGGCUCCACUAUGCAUGAAUGGCAACUUGCAUAGAUCUCACUCAGAUUUCUGUACCUCAAAGGUGUGUCAUCAACCGAGGGAUCAUCUGCAGGUUCUUCUUCUGUUUCAGGUGCUUGGAAAACAGGUUCUUCUUCUGAUUCAGUUGUUCUCAUAUCUGAGAGUUCAUCCGCAGGAAGUGGAAUGCAGAUUUCUUUCACUUUGUGUUGCUCCCAAUCCCAUUUGCCAUGCUCAUCAAAAACCACAUCCCUUGAAAGCAAAACCUUCUGAGUUGCAGGAUUCAAUAUUCUGUAUCCCUUCUCACAUGUACCAUAACCAAUAAAAACUCCUAUGGCACUUGUUGCUUCUAGCUUAUGCCUUAACUUUCCAGGAAUAAGUGAGUAACACACUGAGCCAAACACCUUGAGAUGUUUAACUCCAGGCUUUCUCCCACUAAACUUCUCAAAAGGUGUAGUAUUCUCCAAAGCUCGGGUUGGACUUCUAUUAAGUAAAUACACAGAGGUAUUCACUGCCUCACACCAAAGCGUGUAGGGAAGCUCCUUGUCAUGAAUCAUGCACUUUGCCAUUUCUACAAUGGUUCUAUUUUUCCUCUCCGCAACGCCAUUUUGCUGUGGAGAAUAAGCUACUGUGAGUUGCCUUUCUAUUCCCAGAUUUUCACAAAACUGAAGAAAAUCAGCUGAGAUGUAUUCUCCUCCCCGAUCAGUCCUCAACCUCUUCACAUGGUAUCCGGAUUGAAGCUCCACCAUAACUUUGAAUUUCUUGAACACAUGGAAUGUCUCGGACUUAUUUCUCAGAAAAUAAACCCAGCACAUCCUUGAAAAAUCAUCUAUGAAUGUGAUAAAAUAUUUAUUUCCACCUAGGCUUGCUGUUUGCAUUGGACCACACAAGUCUGAAUGAAUCAAUUCUAAUGGCUCCUUGGCUCUCCACUUUGAUUCCUUAGGAAAUGGCUCCCUGUGACCCUUCCCAAGUACACAACCGUGGCACAACACUUCACCAUUUUGGAUUUCAGGCAGCCCCAAUACCAUUGCUUGGCUCUGCAGCAGCUGGAGGCUUCGAAAGUUUAAGUGCCCAAACCUCUUGUGCCAUACCUUGGAGCAUUCUUGCACAUUUGUUUUCAAGGCAAUCUCCUUGAUUGUGUUGAAAGUUAAGGGAAAACACCUGUUCCCCUUUUGCUUUACACUUACCACCAUGUUACUUAGGGAACUAUCAUCGAAGAUGUCAACCUUGUGAUUUCCAAAUACAAGAAAAUAGCCAUGCUCUGUCAUCUGUCCUACACUUAGCAAAUUUUCAGCUAGACUAGGUACAAGCAUAACCUCCUUUAUAUACCUCUUACCCUUCAUUGUUUCAAUGAUCAGUGUCCCUUUUCCUGCCACUUCAACUAAAACUCCAUUGCCUACUUGAACCUUUGCUUUCACUCCUCUGACAAUGUCUACAAGCAAGUCUUCCCUGGAUGUCAUAUGAUUGCUACAUCCACUAUCUAUGUACCAUUCAUCACUCAUCUUCUUUACUUCUCCAGAAUGAUUAGCAAAGAAUAAGUUUCCGGUUUCUUCAACCUGAUUAGCAAAGUUCACCUGCUGCACAGCCUUGUUUGUAUGACAAUAUUUUGCAAUAUGCCCAAUUUUGUUACACUUGUGACACUUGACCUUGUUCUUAAACCAACACUCUCCAUAGUGCAAUUUAUCACAGAAUUUGCAUUUAUUUCCAGUGUUGUCUGUCUCAUUUUUCACAGAGGAAUUAGACUUAUUACCUCCAUCACCCUUGUUGCCCCAUUGCUGCCCCUGUGGUUUGGCAUUCUUCUGAGACUUACUGGUGUGACCAUUAGACCGUGUUGCCUUUGAUCCAACGUUGAAGCUAGCAAAAGCCUUCUCUGCACUAUUGUCACCAUGCCUAUCAAGCCUCUGUUCAUAUCCUUUUAAAAUGGCAACAACAUCCUGAGCAUCAAUAGUGUCUAAAUCUUUUGUAUUCUCUAUCACAGCUGCAAUACUAUCAUAGGACUUAGGCAGACUAAUAAGUAGUUUCUGAACAAUUCGUUGAUUGCUCAGAUCCUCACCAUAGCUCCUCAUUUGGUUGAUCAGAUCAAACAACUUAGCAAUAUAUCCAGACAAAGAUUCAUUAUCACUCAUCCGAGUAUAUUCAAAAUCACGCCUAAGACCCUGAAGUUUCACAGAUCUUACCUGCUUAUCACCCACAAAUUCUUGUUUCAGAAUAUCCCACGCAGCCUUUGCAGAUUCCUGAGUUGCAAUUCGUGGAAAAAUUUGAUCUGAUACAGCCCCUUGGAUGAUACCCAGAGCUCUAGCGUCCUUCACCAAGUUCUCACGCAUCAGCUUCCUCUCUGCCUCCGUGAGCUCCUCCGCCUCCUUCGUCGGAGUUUUGUACCCAUUCUCCACAAGAUCCCACAGCUCGUGCGAACGGAAGAUGGUUUUCAUUUUGAUUUGCCAGAAAUCAAAAUUUUCACCAUUAAAAAUGGGUGCCCUGAGUUCUCCUCCUCCAGAUCCAGACAUGUUAGUCUAGAGUACUGAUUUGAGCUCAAGAAUCACACAACAAGCUUUUGCUCAGAGAUUCAAACCCAACCUCACAGUCACAACGCCCAGAAAUUCAGACCCAACUAGGCUCUGAGGCCAUGUUAGUGUUUAAUAAGCUACUGAUAAAAAUGGAGGAAUACUGAGAAUAUUGAAGAAAAGAGUGAAGAGAAUAAUGAUGCUCUGUAAAAACGUUUUCGUAUAUUUGUUGUUGUGUAUUUUCGAGCUGUAUCACUCACAGCUCAUAUUACAGUUAGAAGAGAGAGAGAGAGCUAGACAAAUCCUAGCUUCAAUCUCAACCAUCCAACUACACUAUGGGUAAGAUUAUGACACCUGUCCAGUCAAGUCCUAUGAGACUUAACAAACCGUUUUGACUAUUAUAGACAGCUUAGCCUAUGAGCUAAGUAUAACACUAAACCAACAAUUACAUACUAAAUCAGUUUACCAUUUUGCACAUUAACAGCUUCACCAACAGCUACAAUCGCGAAAGUGAUAUCUUGCCGUGCUAAGGUCUCUGUCGAGGGAUACUUCUCAUAAAUGAUUUCUGUAUCAUCUCCAAAUGCCUUCUUAAUAGCUUCCAAGAUGGUUGUCCCUAAAAAUGUAAAUGAUCUAAUUAGUGAGUUGCACAUGUGCAAUUAAGGCAUUGAAAAGAUACUAGCAUGCAAAUUUACCAUCUAUCAAUUUCAAAUUGAGCCAUGAAGAAAAAAAAAAAACUUCUAUAACCUGUUUAUAAUGGUUUUCAAAAAUAAAGUUUGCAAAAUUCUGGUUCAAAACUUGAAAAAUGAAAUUGUUUGAGAAAACAUGAUGCAUGCAAAUGAAUUCUAAUCUUAUUAAGAUAUAUAUACACACACACACACACAAAUAUGUCACAUUGAUUAUGAUAAUCAACAAUUAGGCUUUCAGUUAUAAAAAUAGUGGAAAAAUAGCAACACUGUUCCAUACCAAUUGUUAUCCUUCCACUGCUACCAUAUUUUGUAGCUGUCCACCCUCCACACUGAUUUCCAAGAUCAUCGGCAUGAGUUCCAGCAACGAGUAUUCUUUUAGCGUUUUUUUCUAAGGGAAGAAAAGGUUCCAUUGGAUCCUUUCCAUUUUUAAAAAGAACCAAUGACCUCCGAACUGCUUCACGUGCUAAAUCUCUGUGCAUCUGCACGAGAAUCAUGGAAAUAGAAACUGUUUCAUAAGUACAAGAUGCUCAAAACAGAAUAUAUGAUCAAUGGGCCAUUUUCAAAUGAUAACAUGCAAAACAUGUAGCGGUUUCAAUGACAUGAAAAUGAGACAUGCUGUUCUGAAAAUUACCUUGCAACCAACUAUGUCCUGCAAAGAUGUAUCAGUGAAGGGAUGUUCAAAAAGACCAGCAACAAACUUCACUCUUAGUAUUCUCUCAACAGCAUCAUCUAUCCUGGACAUUGGUAUCUCCCCAGAUUCCACAAGAUAUAUUAAUUCCUCAAUGAAUUGUUCAUAUCUGAAAGGAACCAUGACCUGCAUACCUUCUGAAUUAGACAAAUGUAGGAAGUAAAGAUCAAGGAAAGCAAAUAAUUGUUAGGCUUAUAAACUUGGAGUUCAUAUGUACCAUGUCUAUUCCUGCAUUAAUGGCUAACGAAAUGCAUAAACGAUAGUUUGAACCUUCAGGUUCACAAAGUUGGUCAAUUCCAUCCCAGUCAGAAAUCACAAAUCCCUGCAGCAGAGUACAAAAUGAUGCUUAUCUAGACAUACAACAUUUAAUGUUAAAGAAACUCUGCACUUUGAAUAAACCAAUAAAAUAUAUGGAAGGUUACUUGAAGUUCAUUCAAAUGUUUGCACAGUUACAUCUUACUGAUGACUAGGAAGCAUUCAGGAUAUCAAAAUUCUAACAUAUAGUCCAUCACAAUAUGCAAUAUUAUCUUUAUGCCGAAAUGACUGAUUAUAAUUAGUUGAGAAGAGACUAAUAGGAAUCGGUAGGGGUAGGUCUUCGGUCCCUCUUUUCCAGUAGGAAAUAGUGCAGACUAUGUGGGUUCCUUACCCUAAAACCUAGCUUAUCUUUCAAGAUUUCUGUGAGGAGAAAACUGUGUCCAUGUAGUCUCUGUCCAUUCCAGCUGUUAUAGGACACCAUAAUAGUGGAAACUCCUUGAGAAAUACAGUCUAGAUAAGGGCGCAUAUGAAUCCUCUCUAAGUCGUCAUAAGAGGAUAUAUUAUUGCCCUCAUUGACACCUUUCUUUGUUCCCCCUUCUCCAACAAAAUGCUUGGCAGAUGCAAUAAUGUUGUUUCUGAAAUAUACAAAAGUAAGAAAAAGUUCAAAUAUCUGAGAUUACUUCCAAUGGGACUUAAGUAUUUGAAUGCAAGAACAUGGUAAGCAUAAGUUGUGAACCUCCAAGAACUCGAUUUUUCCUCAAUUAGUAUACAAUUUUGAAAAUAAUUAUUUGAUUUUAUUUGAAACAAAGAUGAUUAAAGACAUGUUAUCAAAUUCAGAUAAGAUGCAAUAUGUUUCAUGAAAGAAGUAUGCAUGGAAAAUUAUUGACUAAUAACUCUCCUUUCACUUUCUACCUUCCUGCUACAAAAGGGUAGCCCUUUGGGUAUCCCUGGGGUGGCUGCCCCUGCAAGCCUGAAACAAUAGAAGUCAUCUUGCUUACAAUUUCUGUGUCUUCACUGUAACUCUCGUAGCAUCUUCCCCAUCUGGGAUCUUUGCACACCUGUCAAACUCAGAAUCCAUUCAAGUGAAUUUCUUCACAAACCCAUUCAAUUCAUGCCUCAAUUUAUUAUCUUACAUUUAUACCUACAGUUUUAUAUGCUACAAAUUUACCAAAAUUCAUGGCUUAAAAGAGUGUAAAAAGAACAAGAAAGACCCAAAAGGUUGUAUAAUUUUUUUUUUUUUCCACAAAAGAAACAAAUUUUGGAGUUUGAAGUUUUAGUAGAUACGCCAUAACUUUUGCAAUCCGAUAAACUGCAGUCUAAACUUAAAACAGAUAACGAGUACUGAAUCCAUAAUGACUUACAGCCACACAGGGAGCAAAAGUAUAGUGAAUGCCACAGGCCCUGGCUUCAAGAGCAGUUGCCACACCAAUCCUUCGAGCCAAAUCUGCAUCUCUAUCACACACAAACGCACACACAGUUCAAAAGUUAGUGGAAAUGGAAGACUACCAAGACUUUUCUUUUUGUUUCGUUCUUAUGUUUUUCUCCUUUAUUGUCAUUCUGAGUCGUCAUAAAUCAGGAUUCCAAGUUUCAAACAACUGUGUUUCAUCAGAUUUGAACUUAGAAACUCUUCCAGCACAAAGUUGUGAUUACCUUAUAUCAUUAGACCAAAUGGUCAGUGCUGCAAAUUUAAUCUAAUUAUAGUUUUUCCACUAUUCUCUUAGUGAUCAAACAAAAACAUCAAAAUUUAAACCAAUCAAGAAACGAAUCAUUAAUGAAUAAGCAGUCUUGAAAAAUGAAACACACUAACCCAGUGGCGCCAAGACCAACAUUGUGAGGGAAUAUGGCGGCACCAAACACAUUACCAUUCCCAUGAACCGCAUCAGUCCCAUAUAUGAGGGGGAUGCCAAGCCUAGACUCCAGCGCUGACCUCUGAAACCCAUCUACCAUAUCCGACCAGUCCGACGGAGAAGCAUUCUCAACCGGCAAGCUGCCCGGAGCACUGAAUAUGCUCCCUACCAUAAUAAUAUAUAUACUCCAUGAAGUCUACCAUCAAUGACAUGGGACAAAAAAAAAAUCUAUACCAGAUAGAGAGAGAGAGUACCGAUGGAGAGGUCUUUAAUGGCAGCUGGGGUGGCGACCUGGCUCUCGAUUUGGGUCAUCUGGCCGACCUUCUCUUUCAAAGUCAUACGAGAAAGGAGUUGUUUGACGUGAGCUUCAAUGACUUCCUCCUCUACUUUGGCCAUCUUGAGCUAACUAACCAACCUCUUUCAUCUCAGCUGCUUUAAUGGGUUCUUCUACUAGAAGUUGCAGUUUAAAGUUAGGUUGUAGUGUUCAAUGAUGUUCUAUAUAUGAUAAUCAAGAUGCUUUAAAAGCUCGAGCCAAGGAAACAAUUUUUAUUUUUUAAUUUUUUUAAUUUUCAAGUUUUUAAUACUAGUGGAAAAGUGAAAAGGAAGAAUUAUUUUUUUAAAAUAUCCUCCGUACACUUUGUAUGUUAAAUAUUUGAAAAUUAUUCUUCUUUUCCGUUUGAGCGGGCAGAAGGUUGUGCUUUGUGGUCGUCCUUUUUUCAAGUAUUCUAGUCAUGUUCUGUUUCAAGAAAACACUGAACAAGUGUUGCCUUUUACUUUUGUGACUUCCUUUUGUGAGGUAGUGCGCAUCAAGUGUUGUGACUUGCCUUGUUGAAUUGUAAGUCUCUAGCUGAUUAGAAUUAGUGAAAUAAGCUAUGAGUUUAAUUGUGUAUUCACUUGAGCUUUAUUAUUGCCAAGUGUGAGGCCAAGAAUGUAAGGCAAACAAUGCCAUGUGUGAUGAUCCUAAUAAAUAUCUAGAUGUGUGGCUGAGAUCUUUUUUGAUGUAAGAAAAAUGAUCCAGCUAUGACUGCUAACAGAUAUAUUCCUUGCACGAUGUGUGUGAGAAAGUUUUGUUUUAUGAAGUAAGAAAGCAAUAUUCUCUGUUGCUCUCUGGAGAGAUGAGAGAACAUUCAUUCUCUUUGUGAUCUUUGUAUUUUUUCUUUCUACUUUAAUCCCCUUCUUCAUUUUCAUAUCCAUUGAAACUCCAUAAACCAGAAUCAAAGGAACACUAACAUGCCUCACUCUCACUCUCUCUCUCUCUCUCUCUCUCUCUCUCUCUCUCUCUCUCUCUCUCUCUCUGUAUAUAUGUAUAAUUAUUCAUGGUUGUAAGUGUUAGAAUAUUAGGAAAAUUUGGUAACAAUCAAAUAAAAUGGAGAAUAAUAAGGAUAUAGUCAAUGGACUAGUUCUGUUUUGAGCUUAGUCAUAUGUUUUUGAAUUUUUGUUAGCUUGAGGUCAAUGGGCCUUCACAAGGGCUUUAAGGCUUGUUUAAUUUGUAUUUUAAUUUACGUUUCUACCAUGUUAUAACUAAAAACAUGCCAAAAUCACUCAAAAAUAAAAUUCAAACGUGAGAUUUGAUAUCUGAUCAGAUGCACCAACCUACAAUGUCGACCCUGUGGGAACAAAUAUUUCAGCGACCAAUGAGUGAGUGACACGUGGAAAAGGAAAAUUCCCUAGGUCAAAUAAUCAUUCUAAUUAAAUUCUAUUUAAUUAGGGAGAUAAUAUUUGAUUUAAAAUGGGAAUAUUUCCCUAAAUCAAGGAAGAGAUUUCCACCAAAUCUCCUUGAUUAAUUCCAAUCUCCUAUUUUUUGGGUAAAAAUAAUCAUGAUUAAAUAAGGAUUAUUCUUCAAACCCUCGAAGGCACGAGCUCUAUAAAUACAUGGCUACACAACAUACACAUGAGGUAAGUCUAAACUUAAUUCUGAAAACCCUAGAGAACUCUCUCUCUCUCUCUCUCUCUCCUUCACAUGGUUCCGGCCACCCGUCUCUCUCCGUGAUAGAUGACCUCCAACCAUUUUGUUACUUUGUCGUAUCUUCCUAAGAUCCAAUUAACUAACUUAGGCAUCGGAGGGCUUUUGGUCAACACCCCCUGGGUGUGGUCCAUUGACCUAGAUUUGUUUUACAGUAAGCGAGCAGGAAGAAGAAGAAGGGAGUUCGAAGGGUGAAGAAUCAAUCAGCGAAUAUUCCCCCGUGUGGAUAUUUGCAUAAACAUUUUGGUGCUUUCAUUGAAAGCAUCAAGUUAUACUCAAUGCAUCGCUCUUGAAUCAAAUGAAUCUAUUUCCUCAUAUUCAACACUGAACCAAAGCCUUCCAAACAACCAUGGUUGGAAGCAAGCGCACGAGAAGCAAGGCUGUUGUGACUCCGAGACGUACCCUAACCAUCGCAAAGACGCAGUGUCGAGCCAUCCACCACGCUCCGCCUUCGAAACCACGAAUUUUCCUCUUAGCCUCGUGGCCAUGGGUACGACUCCACAUGCCAGCACCAUGGCUAUCACCACUGUUCCAAACAUCACUUCUGCUCCUUCACUAGCCCUGUGGCCGAGAGCACCUUUUCGGCACACACCAUCGCACCUCCUCGUGGCCUCACGUCCAGCACUAACUUGCAGCAGCAAAACCUUGCGGCCGGAUCCAACAACCAUCCCUUUGGCCCCAUGGUCAAACUAGGGAAUUACCCUCAGGGGUCCACAGUUGGAUCCAAAGCGCAUAUUCAAGGUGGUGUCACCACCGUCCAUGGCUAUUUUGCCUCCACCAUAAGUCACGACCCAAUCUUGGAGCAAGUACUACCAUUCCCUCAUUUGCCGGUGCACUUGACAUUUGCUCCCUAUGCCUCCAACAAAACCCUAGCCCAUGUGCAAUUGGGCUCCAUACAAUUCUCUCUUCUUGAUCCUCGCAAUCAACCAUACCUCAAUCUCAAAGUCGACGAGUUAACUUAAAGAAUAGACAGCCAAAAUAACUUGGUUGGACAACUUCUCAAACAAAUUGAUUUGGUCUGAGACCUUGGCCUUAGAUUCCAAAGCGAAGAGAGAAUUAUGGAUAAAUGCACCAGCAAGCAGUUCAAGAGGUCUCAAUUAGGUCGAGCAAGAACCAGCAGGUGAUGAGGAAAAUAAGAACGCGUUUUUCAGCACUAAGGCAUGUUGCAAGCAUUAACAAGCCCUAACCAAAGUAGAUCAAGCCUCCAUUCAAGAUUAGGUGUAACACCCCGACUCCAAAUUAAAUGUUUAUCUUAAUCGAUUUAAAUAAAGUUACGAAUUUACCCUUGGGAUAGGGGUAAAUUGGUCACUUUCUUCUUCCGAAGGAUUUUGGAACCGUGGAUGGUAUUUCUGGGUAGGUGGUACUGAGACGAAUUCGUAGACACGCGGUAGGCUUGAAUCGGAGUUGUAACGAAAAAGUUACGGGCAAAACAUUGUUAGUGGCAAACUUGUAAAUAUUUCAAAAAAUUUUGGUAAAAAUCAGAUUUUUUCCUCAGUUCUCUCUCUCUCCUCGCGCGCGACACUCUCUCUCUCCUCAGUCUCUCUCUCUCUCCCUGACGUCCUCUCUCUCUCUCUCUCUCUCUCUCUCCUCGGUUCUCUCAGCUCCGGCCACGGCAGGACCCGAGACCGGACACAAAACAACUGGCCAGACCUCGCCGACGUUCCCCAGUCCACCUCUAGCCGCCAGCCGCCGCCUUCGCCGCCCAAACCCGGUGAUUGAGGUAUGGUUUCUCAUCCAUUUUUCGAGUUCUAGCUGAUGAUUGUAUAGGUUUUGAUCGAUUUUGAGUCUAGAAAACCGAUUAGAAAACCUAGGUUUUGGCCGAAUUUCAAAAUGAAAUUCCGGCCAGUUGCUGGCCGAAUUGGAACUUCCCGUAGUUGAAUGAAGUGAUCCUGACAUCGAGUAGAAGCUAGGGUAGGAAGGGUGAGCUCGGGUGUGGAGUUUUUCCGUCGCCGGAAUUACUCUACACACCCACGCGCUGCCGGCGCGUGUGGCGGCGCGUGGGCGAGGUUGGUGAGGAUGUAAAUUAACCCGAUGAGAUCCUUAGGUUGUCACGAGCGCAUAGGAAUUCGCGGAUCUCAAUUCGGAUGUCGUUUGACUAUCGAACGGAUUUUCGCAUAUUGUGCGUUAUCCGGGUUCGAUAGGUUCCGACCGUUAGAUCUUUCCCGAAUUAAAAUAUGUUGUUCUAGGAAUUCCUAGGACCGUAUGGGACUUCACGAAUUCUGAAUCGGAGCCCGGAUGUUCCGAUUCAAUAAUGCAAAGUUUGCGGGUUAGCGAUAACCGUAAAAACCGUGAACGCUUCCUAAACCUGUAACCGGACCUUAGGAUACCUUCUUCAAUGUGCACGUAUGGGGAAUUUGGGGAGUUAAGCAUUUAAUUUGUAAUUUUCGCUUAGACGUGAUUUUAUAUUAAUUAACGGUUCGUAUCUCGAAAUAGGUGUUUCGACUGCACGUACGCAGCAAGCAGGACCCGCACGUGGUCAGGCAGCGAGGGAAUACUUGUGAGUGGACUUGGUUUUAAUCAUAUGCAUGGUUUUAAUUGAUGAAAGAUUUUGCAUAAUGUUUUAAUGGCUUAUGGAAUUUAUAUAUUUUAUUCAUGAAUUGAUUUUGACGGUCGUAUAGCACUUGGCAAUAUAUUGUGAGUUUGGCAUUUUGAGUUUUUGAGAGUGCAAUUAUAUGGAUAAUGGGGAGGUAUAUUUAUAUAUUCUCUAUAGACGAGAUAUUGGGGUAGUUGGAGGUUGUUGUGGAAGAAUGUGGUUUUGGAGAGAAGUUGUGUGAUUACACUACGUAAGUACCUUCCCCAGUUACUAGUCUCACUCGCGGCGUUGGAUGUUCCGGCGUGUGAGACACUUUCCAUAUGCGGCGUUGGAUGUUCCGGCGUAUGGAAAGACUUUGUAUAGUGUUAGGGUCAUCACCAUGGCGUUGGAUGUUCCGGUGUGUGAUGAUCCAGUCUGCGCGCGUAGGACAUAGUUUGGGAGCUACACAUGGCGUUGGAUGUUCCGGUGUGGGAGCUUUGGAGUUUCGUCCCCCGGUUGGACCGCUCAUCCCUAGACGCAGGAUAGCACCUGGAAAUCCUACGGACUAGUCAACGAUCCCCCAGUUGGAUUGUUUUCCCCGGUACCUAGGUGGUGUGAUGUGUAUAUCGUAUAGAUAUUUAUAGUUAUAUUUAUAUUUAUAUAUAUGUAUAUUUAUAUGUAUAUAUAUAGUUGAGUGUGUAAGGAAUUCGAGUUUGUGUAGUAGUUUGACAGGAGUGGUAAGGUUGAGAGAAUGAGAUUCUUUUUGAAAGAGAUAACUGAUGUUUUUAGAAAAGUUUUAAUGAAACAUGUUUUGAGUAAUUAAUUAUUGAAUUGUGAACCUGUAUGACUUGCGCAUUAUUUUUACAUGGUGGGGUUACUAUAUUGUUUUUAACUGCGAAUCUGGUUUUUGUCCACUCACAUGUUUUCUGUUUUGCGCCCCCCAGCUAGUAGUCGCUCCAGGAAACGUGCAAGUGGUGUACGAAGCUCAAUCGGUGCAUCUUUCUAGUUAGGAACUGUGUAAUUUCCUCUACUCAACUGUUCUUGUAAUCUAAAUUCGGUAGAUGCUCUGUAUUGCCAUGCUAGAUUUUACUUGUGAGGCCGGAGGCCACUCUAGUAUGACUUGUAGAUGUAUGAAAGCAUGCUGCUGGUUGGGAUUAUUAUUUUGUGUGUAUGUUGCAGGUUGAGUAAAUUUUGUUGGGAUUGCUUAAAUUACAGGGGAGACUCUGCCAAAUUUUUGGUAGAAAGUCUCGAUUUCUUAGUAGGUGGGCCCGACAUCGGGAUGAUGUCGGAUCAAAGACGGGGUCCGCUUCGGUCUUCGGGAAAUUCCGUGGUGGGUCCUGUCAUUAGGUCCAAUGUUUAUGAGAGGCUGGGAGCACAAAAAAGCAUUCAUGAGAAGCUAGGGCCUUAAGGAGGUCAUCCCAUCGACCCUCGUCAAAUACGCGAAGAAGGAUGCUCACUGGCUCGCUUUGAAAAUGCUAGCUCACAAUGACAAGCCGAAGAGAACCCCUCAUAAGCUCAGUCUAUAAUACGCCACACAAGCAAGACAAUAGAGGAGGUCAGCCACCUAGAGGCAAUCAAGGAGUAGACCAGUACGCUCACUUCGUGGGAGACACAUACGUGAACUGUAAGCCUUGUGAACAGAACAUGUCGGGAAGCUCUGGAAUAACUGACUUCGAGACUUGAAAAUUGGAGGAGAUUUGGAGGAUGCUCCACGCAAGGAGAUUGACCAAGUGAACUUCUUUUCAUUCACUAGUGAGAUUGAGCAUGCGGCCCUGAGAGCCAUCUUUCAUGCCAUUCAAAUGGGAUUUAGAUCCCAAGAGCCAUCUGAAGCAUUUCAAAAGUGUCAUGAUUCUCUACAAAUCCGAGGAUGUGCUAAUGUGCAAGGUAUUUGCAAUGACCUUGAGAGGAGCAGCUCAAGCCUGGUUCCAUACCUUUUCGUCCGGGUCAAUCAACAACUUUAAAGAUCUAGCAGUCAUCUUCAAAAAGAAGUACACCUCCUACCAGAUGAUCAAGAUGCAACUUGACCACCUAUUCAACCUACAAAAGAAGUUCAAGGUGGAAAAAACUAACAUUAUGCGAUUCGAUGAUUGGAUUGCAUCCUCUGCUUUCAAGAAGGGCUUGCUAACUAAGCAUGACCUAUACCAUAAGCUAACCAUAGCUCUCAGCUAGACUCUGGCAGAAGUCUUUGCGACCACGGAUUGCUAUACAUUCUGGGAUGACGUUCGGAUUGCGGCCAAAAACUCCGCCAAGCAAGUCGACUAGCCAGCAGGUCAGAAAUGAGAUAGAGCCAGCAGCAGGAACCAGAAGGAAAGCUCAAGUCGUAACCCCAAGGGAGAGCCCCAACAUAUGAGAGCUACACUAAGUUCUUCAUCCCUAUGCAUCAAAUCUUAGCCAAAGUGAAAGACAAGGCUUGGUUGAAUAGACCACCACCCUUGAAAUCCAACUAAGAGAGAUACCAGUAGGUACUAUGCCUUCUAUGGGACACACGGGCAUUAUACAAAUAAUUUCUUUGUUGGAAAAAGCACAUCGAUGUGCUGGUUAGAGAGAAGGCCAUUGUAUGAAGUUCGUGGCAAAGAAGGUUAUCUAGUAGAUUGAGGACCGCGAUGCAGCCAAUGAGCCUCCCCAGAAGGUCAUAAGGAUUAACACAAUCCUGGUCGACUCCGAGUAGUCUAAGCUGACCAGUAAGGAAAAGAAAAGGAAGAUUAAGCAAGCAACUGUGAUGUCCCAAGCCUUAUCAUGAUUGUCUUCCAGAAGAAAGACUUGAUUGGGCUUGAUCUGUUGCACAAGAUGCCCUCGUCAUCAGCAUCUAGAUUGUGCAGGUUGUGAUCGACCGACUUCAUAUGGAUGAGGGCAGCGUUGCCAAUAUCUUGCAGUUGCGGUUGUACAGGCAGAUGGGCAUGGAGACCAGGAUCAACAACCCAACCAGGUCGCUAACUAGCUUCAAUAGAGAGACCUCGGUUACUAUGGGCAUGAUAGACCUUGAUGUUUACUCUUUCUGUUGACCAGCUUAUAAACAUUUAUGAUCAUUGAAGAAGUCCCCCUACAAUGGCAUUCUGGUAGACCACGGAUUGGCAAGAUCAAAGCCGUCACAUCCGCCACACAUUAGAAAAUCUGCUAACCAAUUCAACGGGGUGGUGUCGGUCUGAUCAACAGUGAUUAGGCAAUGGAGAGAAGGUGUUCAGCCCAAAGGUUGAAGAAAAGAAAGCAAGCCCAAUUUAUACCAGUAAGCCAAACAGAACAAGGAGUAGAGGAAAUAGAUCCAAUUCUUGACAGUCGAGCAAGGACCAAGAUGCGAGAAUUCGUUUGGAGGUCUUUCUUGAAGAAGGAUGGAGCCCCAAAAAGGACAUAGAGCGAGUACCCCUCGAUCCUGAUAAGCCAAAGAGAAAAAUGAAGAUCGGCUUGCGCUUAAGCGUACAAUAAAAGCUGGAGCUGACCAUCUUCCUCUAGAACAACAAAAAUGUGUUCUAACAUGCUUGGAAUCAAUCUGCGGAUCAUCUAUAAUCGCUUACAUGUCAACACAGCCAGCAAACUAGUAGGGCAGAAUAGACACAACUUCGCUCCCGAGCCGUCUUUCCAGUGACAUUGGUGACCAUUUCAGUCGAUCCAUGUAUGGAUUGCAAUCCUCUCCUCAUGAUAUUGCUGAUAGUAUAGGUUUUUCGGAUCGAUUUUAGUUUUUGAGAGUUGAUUUACGUACCCAUUUUAGGUCGGUGGUUUAACCAUGACUUCACCUAGUUCCAGCCACUUUGUGGCAAUGGUCUAAGACCAAAAGUUGUUCCUCGAGCAAGGACCAAGAUGCGAGAAUUCGUUUGGAGGUCUUUCUUGAAGAAGGAUGGAGCCCCAAAAAGGACGUAGAGCGAGUACCCCUCGAUCCUGAUAAGCCAAAGAGAAAAAUGAAGAUCGGCUUGCGCUUAAGCGUACAAUAAAAGCUGGAGCUGACCAUCUUCCUCUAGAAUAACAAAAAUGUGUUCUAACAUGCUUGGAAUCAAUCUGCGGAUCAUCUAUAAUCGCUUACAUGUCAACACAGCCAGCAAACUAGUAAGGCAGAAUAGACACAACUUCGCUCCCGAGCAGUCUUUCCAGUGACAUUGGUGACCAUUUCAGUCGAUCCAUGUAUGGAUUGCAAUCCUCUCCUCAUGAUAUUGCUGAUAGUAUAGGUUUUUCGAAUCGAUUUUAGUUUUUGAGAGUUGAUUUACGUACCCAUUUUAGGUCGGUGGUUUAACCAUGACUUCACCUAGUUCCAGCCACUUUUUGGCAAUGGUCUAAGACCAAAAGUUGUUCCUCUAGUAGUGAUUGACCUAAUGGUAUGAAGAUUAGCCGGUGAUUUGGAGAUUGGUCGUCGCUAGAAAAUCUCUCAAGCCACCCACCUCUGCCGGAGGUGUGUGGGCCACCUUGUAGUGGCCCAUUAUGUUCUAAAAUGUUCCCCACGUUGUCUCGAGCAUGAAAGUAUGCUCGGAUUUGAAUUUGGUUACCGUUUGACUAUCAAACGGAUAUUGCGCCUAUUAUGCGAUAUCUGGAUUCGAUAGGUUUGAACUGUUCGAUCGGUUCCAUUUUCAAAUAUGUUCUUCCCUAUACCUUUAGGAUCUAGUAGGAACUUGCAGAUCGAGAAUCGGAGUCUUGGAUACUCCGAGUCAAUGAUUCUAGGGUUAGACGAACCGAUGCUUUUUGAUUGUGCGAUUGGCUUAGAUUCAAUCACUCGAUUGAGACCGAACCCUCGAGACAAUGAUUUUGUAUAUUGAAUAUUAUGUUUUGGGUUAUACUAUUUUCGAACGAGUUUAUGAGUUUGACUUUUUCUUUAAUAUGGUUUCUGUGGAUUUCAUAAGGGAGAGUGUAUUUUAUUAUAUAUAUUUGUUUAUGAAAUUGAAUUUUAGAUUUUGGCUAAUGCACGCCAUUAUAUGUACCUCUCCUUGGAUAUUGAUAUUUAGAUACAAUGGAUACUUGGAUAUGUCGAAACUCGAGCACCCUUCGAGGGGUGUGCCGUAGGCCCUUGACAGGCAGUUUGCACGUGUAAGACUUGUUUCAGCCGCACGUGCAAUGUGUUGCCGGCAUGUAUGCUGUAGAGCAAUAGUCCCCCCGGUUGGACUGCUCAACUCUAGUCAUAGGAUAAUGUGAUGCUAUCCCGUGGUCUAGUCAAUAAGGAUUAAAAAGAAUAAGUUGACAUUGUUUUCCAAGAAUUUGAGAAGUAUAAAUUUUAUGGUUUUCCUUAUCAUAUGUUAUGACAUGAACUUACUGAAUUGACUUAUUUUCAAGUAUCGGAUGGUAUAUAUGCACGUAUAUAAAAGGAUUUUGUUGCACAGUGUUUUGACAAUAUUUUCUAAAGCGGAGGAGGUUAUUUAUGUUGAAUAUAAAUUAUGUUUAACGCUUUGUUUUCAUCCACUCACUUUUUUUGUUUUGCGCCCCCUAGGUUCUAGAUAUCUGAAGUCGAGACCACCACGUCGAGGCAUCAUCGUUGUCCGCUCCGUAAGCUCACACCAUAGGAACUUUCCUUUAUCUUUCUCUACUUUCCUUUUUUCCGGGUUAUAAACUUAAUCUUUAGUUACUCUGCUUGCUUGUUUUGAGUUUGGGUAGAGGGCGUAAAGUCCAUUUGAAAAGUCUUAACGGUCGUGUGUGCUUUAACUUGUGCAUGCUGAAAGUUUGGACUAUUUCUGUACUUGUUUGCAGGUACGGUAUUUUGGGGAAUGUUCCAAUUAUGGGGUAGACUUUGUCGAAAUUUCGACAGAAGUCGAAGUCUUUAUUAGUUUAAAUUAGGGAAAAAGAAUGUUUUAGAAAAGUGAGUCCGAUAUCGAUUAGAUGUAGGAUGGAAAGCAAGGUUCGUCACGGAUUCUGAGGGGAAAUCCUGGGUAGGUCCUAUUAGAGAGCAUGCCAGUCAACUCAGCAUUCUUCUUCUCCAACUCUUCGAGCUGAGCAGAAGAGGGGGCAACUCAGCCUUAACAUAAAAAAUCACUCCCUUUUGAAAUAAAGCGACUGCCACUUCCUUUUGCUUCUCCAAGAAAAGGCUUGGCGUAAACAGACGGGCUUGAUAAGAAGUUCUUCUUAAGUAGAUCACACACACACACACAUCCCUAGCAAAGUUAGGCUUGUCAACCUUUGGAUCAACAGUCCAUGCAUCUAAAGGACCCUUCCCCUGAGCAGAUGACUACCAAGUCUUUUUCGUUAGUGACAUUAUCACAUCGAAGAAAGUCAAUGAUUUAGACCAGCUCCAAGCUUGACCUCUCUCAACUCGGUAGAUGCAGAUGACUCAAACUUCUGUGACAAAAGUCAGCAGUCCUCUGCUUCUCGGCAGGUGAAGUAGAUCAAGAGAAUAUGUCUUGGCAGGGCAGAUCACAGCUUUAAAGUUGAAGACUUGAGCAAAAUGUCGUGGACUUUAUGCACUCCACCAACCUUCUUAUUGUACAUGCCUACAAGAUGCUUGACCUUGGCAGACGACAAAGCAGUUCUCUGCUUCUUGGCAGGUAAACUAGAUCAAGAGCAUACGUCUUUGCAGGGCAGAUCACAGGUUUUGAGCUUUUUAGUUGAAGACUUGAGCAAAAUGUCGCGAGCGUUAUGCAUGCCACCAACCUUCUUGUUAUCCAUGCCUACAAGUUGCUUGACCUUGGUAGGCGAAAAAUAAGCAGCUCUCACUUGAGUCUUCUUAGCAGACAACACCUCUUUUGAAGAAGACUUGAUCACAGUGAAAGGAAGUCUCGGCUUCUUUCUUAAUAAAGACGCAUCUCUUGCUCCUGAGGUUGUAGCUUUGUCUUUGGAAGACUUAGGAGCAACUUUCCUCUUUCUAAGGGGGUUCGGUCAAGGACUACUCCCAUUUGUCAGUUAGAUCAUCCGAAUCAGGACCAUACUGCUUCUACCUUGCAACUUCCCUGGUAGGGGUAGGCGACCAAACUUCUUUCGAUGCUCGCUCAACAACCAGCACCAUUUGCAAAACCUUGCAGGGAUAUUCAAGGCUCGAUGGACCUUAGCCAUGUCCAGUCCGAGAUCCAGCUUCUUGCUGAUAUCCUUCUCUACAAGUAAAGACAGAAGUCAGUGAGUCACACAUGAAAGAAUUCAAAUAAAAUUGAAGCAAAUUAAUAUAGUAUGACAUACCAUUGCAGUAGGUGAUGGGAACGAGUAGAAUGUCGCCUACGUCACCUUCCCACCUUCCGCUCACCUCCUUAGCUGAGAUUGUCAAACAGCUUAGGAUUGCACACAUAAAGUUGGGCAUACUUCUUGCAAUGUCUCACAUUGAAGAAGUAAAAGAACUCUCGUAUAGUCAAGCCCAGCUUAAAGAAGCAGUUUAGGUUAUUAAAGCAGAUGAUUACCUGUUAUAUGUUUAAAGUACAUUGGCUUGGGGUACACUCCAUGACACAAAAUGCCUUCCUAAAAAACUUCGACAGGGGAAACGUGAAGCCUAAGGAAAACUAGAAGGGGUAGAAGGUGAUGAUCAUGGCAUCCGGAUCAUUCGGGUCCAGCGAGGCACGUCAACAAUUCAAGGAUUCGACAACCAGACAUGCAUGUCACCUGGUAUAACUGAGGAAUAGGUGGGUGCCACUUCUAGAAGUGAGCCUCAGUUAUGACAUAAUGCAAGUUCGCCACGAAUCUUUUCUUAUACACCUUGGAACCACCCCACACGUACAAGGGCACUUGUGAUCUAGGUGAUCGGCUUCCCUUGUGAAAUGACAUGGUUGUUGAACAUCUACAAAAAGGAGAAAAUAACAAGUUAGAUAGCAAGUCAAAAUCCUAACUUGCGGUGCAAGACAAAAAUAACAAAAAGGAGAAGGCCACGCAGUCCAAGCAGGCAAUGCAGCCUCUUGGCCAGAGCCGAGCGACAACCUAUCUAGCAGGUCACAACUUAUCUAGCUCCAGUAAAAAAAAGGGCUAGCCAUCAUCCGGUGACAACCACCAGCACUCACAAUUAUAUUUGCAGCAUAGCCCAGUUGCUAAACUGCAGCAAAAGUCGCAGUCCAAUAGCCAGGCUCAUGCCGUACACGGCAAAAGAAAAAAAAAGAAAAAAAAAUAAAGCGGUCGUAAUCACUGCCAUCAGAAGCGGCCACAGUUGCGCUGCCAUAGUCUAAUCGUUCUAGCCACCACGCUCCCUGCUAUCAUAAAACAACAAUGACAAUUAACUGGUCCUCGCCGGCAAGAGCAAAAAAAAAAAAAAAAAAAAAAAGUCACUGCAGCAGCCACCAGCGACCACUGCCACAGUCACAGCUGGUCACCCUAGCUGCCCCAUACAAUCAUGACGACAACUGACCGGGCCUGCGCCAGCUGGUCCUCGGCACGAAGUUAAAUGAAAAUUUAAAAAAAAACAAAAAAACAAAAAGACAAGCGUGACCUACCUCAGUGUGCACGACAACUCCUCUCCUCAACAAGUAGUACACUCAAGCAAGAUCUCUCUCACAAGUUAGAAAUUAGAGGAAUACAAGUUUUCAAUUUGAAGAGAAGCCUUGUAUUUAUAAAGGUUGGGCAUCUUAGGUCAAAAUGAAAUCACAAGCCUAUUCCAAUUGGGAGCCCAACUCCAAGAAGAAACCAAAAACCUCUUCUAGUCAGGAGCCCAGUUCAUAAAAGGAAGCCCAGACACAGUUGGAAAGCUCGAUAAAUAUUUCUCACAUCCUCCAUGUCAUGCAUGUGCCAUGCAGAAGUUGGAGGGCAUUUGUGGGAACAAAUAUUUCGGUGACCAACGAACGAGUGACACGUGGAAAAGGGAAAGUCCUUAUGUCAAAUAAUCAAUCUAAUUAAAUCCUAUUUAAUUAGGAAGAUAUUAUUUGAUUUAAGAAGGGAAUAUCUCCCUAAAUCAAGGAAGAUUUCCACCAAAACUCCUUGAUUAAUUCCAAUCUCCUAUUUUUUUGGUAAGAAUAAUUCUAAUUAAAUAAGGAUUCUUCUUCAAACCCUAGAAGGCAUGAGUUCUAUAAAUACAUGGCUACACAACACACACAAGGUAAUUCUAAAAUCAAUUCUGAAAAUCCUAGAGAACUCUCAUUCUCUCUCUCCCUGCACGCCACUCUUUCUCUCUCUCUCUCUCUCCUUCACACGGCUCUAACCAAAACUGAUAGGACUCGGCCCAAAUUCCACUUUGGAAUCCGAGCCGAACCCUGUGCGUGUCUGACACCUGGCAAAUGCCGGGCACAAAUGACCAACUUGCCCUUCUAACUAGAAACCAAUUUUUACUAUCAAUUAGACUUAUGCCGAAAAUUCGACAGAGUCUCCCCUGUAACUUGCUCGUUUCCCAAAAGUUUCCACUUGUAUCCAAGCAAUCAAGCAUCAUAUCAUUUUGGCAUCAGCCUCAACAAAUCAAAUAAAUCAUUCUUCUAAUAAAAUUCGAUUCUAAAUCUUAGAACAUUCCCAGAACAAUGUUAGGUUUCAAAAUAACUUAACUGGACUGCUUUCAAUCACUUGACCUCGCGGCUGCAUCUAGAAUUCUAGGUUUCCUACGUACCCUUAAUAAGGGAUCAAACCACACGUAGUUCUUUCCCUUUAAUAAUGUAAUUGAAUAUCUUAUUCAUUCAUCAUAUUGCCAUGUGUUUUACAAAUCAAACUGAAUUCUCAUGUGCGUGAUGUACUCACAUAUUCACAACUCUAAAACAAUACUUUGCAACUUCCCAAUACUCUUAACAGUCAUAUACUGAUUAUAAAUAAGCCAUACAUUGAACUCCCUCUACAUAUUUUGAUCGUAACUUCCUCAAUACAACUCGGAUUUGAGCCCACUGUGUGUUUACGGACUUAUCUCGAAGUGCUCUACAUAACAGUUUGAUCGAAAUUUCCAAAUUCUUUUUCGAUAAAAAAGGUCAACUUUUAAACCCAUUAAAAUAUUCAGGGGCAAGAUAGUCUUUUAUCAUAAUAAAUUAAUAAUUAAAUAUUAAUUUUAGUUCUGGUUGUCACAAAAACACACUCGACUCCGACCACCUGGUUUUCUCCAUGAGAGAAGAACUCCAUCCUUUUCGUUACUUUGUCGUAUCUUCCUAAGAUCCAAUUAACUAAAUUAGGCAUCGGAGGGCCUUUCGCCAACACCCCCAUGGGUGUGGUCCAUUGACCUAGAUUUUUUUUAUAGGGGGCGUAAAGGAAGAAGAAGAAGGGAGUUCGAAGGGUGAAGAAUCAAUCCGUGAAUAUUCCCCGGUGCAGUAUUGCACAAAUAGCCCCAACCCCACCUUCGAUCCUUCUAGUCUCAACCACCUCCACAACCACCGCCACCUAGGUCGGCUCCGCCCAAUCCUAAGCCCCGAUCGCCACCCCAGCCUUUUGCACCUUCCUCAACCACAUUUGAGAAAAUCUUCGUAGCCUCUACCAGUGCCACCCAUGGUCUGAGCUCUUUGACCACUCCACCUUCGCCAAGCAUGAGUCGCUCUUGGACACCACUAGUCGGAUCCACAAGAACUAGUCCAAGCAUGAGGUUUGAUAUAUUCUCUCUCUCUCCCUCUCUUUUCAUUUUUUUUGAAACAAAUUCUCUUUGUUUUCUUUGGUAACACAGAGGAUCCAAAGAUUAGUAUUGGAUUUAUUCUUAUUUAAUUAAUUAAUCAGCCAUAGACUAGAUUAUAUAUGACUUUGGUGAGCCUAAUUUUCUGUGCAUGAUAUGCCAAAAGACAGAGUUGAGGGUUAUAAACUUGUAUGUGUAAUUUGGGAUGAGGUUUUGAUGGUUAAGAUAUGGAAGAUGUCCUAAGUCUGCAGGGAACUCAAAUUUGGGAUAGGUUAUAUAUACUUGUAGGACAAUGAGUCUACUGGAAAAUACGUGUACUUGUGGCAAUGUGCUUGUGGUAUUCAUGUAUUGAAUGAUUACAGAACAGUCCAGCAACUGGAAUAUAGGUCCUUACAAGCAUCAAAAGUUGGAAAAUGAGUGGAAUUGGAGACUCAUAUAUAAUGUUAGGAUAUGUUCACAUGUUAGGAUUUCACUUUUUGUACACAUUGCAUUGCAAUUUCAUUUAAUUACAUUUGGCUAAAUUGUUUUAUUAUUGGAUAUUGGUAUGAUUUUUGAAGUCAAUGAAAAUUAUACAAUUGUGUAAUCAAUGGAUAUGCAUUUUUUACUUUGUUUCGUUGCUUAUUUUCAUGAUGAAUUUGAUUUUCGGUUUUUGUUUUUGUUUUUUUUGUUCUUGUUAUUUUGGUUGCAACUUGAUUAGAAAUUGCAGCGCAGUUUCUGAAUGUUUAAGUUAAAAUUAUUAAGCCCAAUGAUGAUUGGAUAUUAAAAAGAAGUCUGUCUGAUUUUGAACCUAUAUGUUUGUUUGACUUAGUUUUAAUACUUUGAUCAUAGCGCUUGCCUUUUUGUUGCUUUACAAUUUUGUUUAAUUUAUUCACAAACAUUUCUUUGCGGUUUCUGUUUAAUGCUUUUUUGUUUUGUUUAUUUUGUUACUGUUAUUGUUAUGUUUUUAUUAGAUUGUACAUUGAUCAUUGUUAUUAAAAUACACAAUGCAUUACAGUUUAUAUUUCUAUAGAAUUGGUUUUUUUUGUUGUUGUUGCAAUUUCUUUCAUAUUUGGAAUCAUGAAAAAAGAACUGCUCAGUUUUGCACACACAACAUUGCAGUUUUGCACACAAUGCGUUGCAGUUUUCAUUUAAUUACAAUUGGCUAAAUUUUUUUUAUCUUUGUAUAUUGGUAUGAUUUUUGAAGUUAAUGAAAAUAGUACAAUUGUGUCAUCAAUGGAUAUGCCUUUUUGACUUUAUUUAGUUGCUUGUUUUCAUGAUGGCUUUUUUUUUUACAUUGUAGAUUGAUCAUUAUUAAAAUACACAAUGCAUUGCAGUUUUUUUAUUUUUUAUUUUUUAUUUUUUAUUUUUUUAUUUUAUAGAAUUGGUUUUUGUUGCAUUUUAUGUUUUUGUUUGCUAUUUUUGUUUACAUCAUUGAUAUGUACAUUGUUUUGCGUUGCAUAAAUAUAGAGCAUGAGGGAUUUGAUACAAAUCUUGUGUGAAUCAGUGUUGAAUUUUUUUUUUUCAUUUAAAAAAGCUGUUUAAUGUUAAUAUAAUAUUGCAUAACUGAACAAAUAUCACAAAAACAAGGUUGGUGUAGUGGUUUGUGAAUGAAGAUUUUCUCCUUUGAGGGUUGUGUAAUUUUGAGGUUUUUGACUUCAAAUGAAAUAAUGAAAUAAUUUAAAUAAGCUUCAGUGCCAUUCCUUCUAAUUUAUAGGAUUUAGUAAUUUUAGGUACAUUUAUUAGUCUUUGACCUCAAGUAAAUUAGGUGAAAUUUAUUUUUUGUCUAUCACAAUAAUAAACUCUAUAAUUAAUGACUAUAAACCAAAGCUCGCAAAAAUAUUUUGUAGUUCUCUUCAGGGUGCAAACAUAUACAAUUUACAUAUAAGAAGAACAAUAAGAACAAUAAAUAAGAAUAAAAUAUUGGUACAAUAAAGUAAAUUCAGGACCUCUACUUUGAUUUAUGAUACAACUUGGCUUUUGAGCUUGUUAAUAUGGUGAUGUAUAAAUACAAGUUAGUCAUGGUUGAUAUAUACCAAUAAUAUUGUGAUAUGUAUUAUCAAUCUAACUGUUACAUACACACAUAUAUAUAUAUAGUUGUUUCUUUUAUCGGGAUGUCCGCACGAUAAUAAUAUCCGAACUUCUGCAUAAGAGAAUUUCUAUAUAUAUACAUCUCCUUCUAUUAAGGGAUUCCCUAAAUAAUUUUAUUUGAGGGACACCCUUUAGGGUCCCUUACGAAUUGUUUUUUAACAAUUAAUCCAAACAUCUAUUUUUUAAGUCUACAUUCAUAGAUCAUUUUUGUAAAAAAUUAGACACAUUGAAAACGGUUUUGACAUCCAAUUGUAUCAUACAAAAUCAAUACAUGAGGCUUCAAGAAAGUACUAAAAUUUCAAUAACCCAAUUACGUGGUCAAAUGAUAUCGGAUUCAAGUGAUUUUUAGUAGAGAUGAUCUUUGAAUGAUUAUCUAAAAAAUAGAGAUUUGGAUUGGGAAAAUACAAUGUGGAGUGAGCCCUACAAGGGUGCCCCUCAAAUAAGAUCCCUCAAAUAAUUUUACAAGGGAUCCCUCAAAUAAUUUUAUUGAGGGACACCCUUUAGAGUCCCUUACGAAAUUUUUUUCAAUCCAAACAUCUAUUCUUCAAAUCUUCAUUCAUCGAUCAUCCUUUCAAAAAUUCAUGUAAAUUGAAAAUCAUUAAAGCAUCUAAUUGAGACCAACAAAAUCAAUGAACACGGUACUUCAAGAAAGUACUUAAAUUUCAAUAAUUUAAAUGAUUAGUCAAAUGAUAUCGGAUUCAAGUGAUUUUUUGUAUAGAUGAUCUUUGAAUGAAUAUCUACAAAAUAGAAGGUUUGGAUUAGUGAAAUACAAUGUGGAGUGGGCCCUACAAGAGUAUCCCUCAACGAAAGCUCUCUGUAUAUAUAUAUGUGUAUUUAUUUAAUGAUAUAAGUUACUUAAUCAUCACAUAUUAUUUUUUUCUUUGACGCCGGCAAUUGUCCCCACAUUUCAAUUCUUACAUCCAUUUAUAUAAUACAUAUAAAUGUCAUUAGCAGCAUGCAAAACGAAGAUUUUAUAUGAGCAUUAUUUUUGACUUGAUGCAUUGCCCAUGGAUUUCUUCUAGCAACCAAAUAUCCAUCUGAUCAUAUCGUAUCAUAUUUUAUGAGACUAUGAUGCGGCAUUAGACCAGAAAAGGUCACCAUUAGACCAGAAAAGGCUAUCAUUUCUCCUCCUGUGCCAUCAUUUCCCCGCAAAGCCCACGAAAUUGCCAAAAAAUAGAAAGCUAGCAAACAAUAAUAAAGUGGCUCCCACACACUUAACUAAACAAUAAUUUGGGCUAAUAUUCAACAAUAAUUACCUGUUAUUUAUUUAUUUAUAAAGAAUCUUCAACAGGCCAUUGUCCCCCACUUUCAAUUCAGAGCAUGCAAUUGGCCUUCGCAUCGAUGAUCACUUGGAAGAAAGUCGUUGCCAAUAUGCAAAUGCAGGUCCAUCGAUUUGACAUAUAUCUACCGAGCUCCUGUCAAACGCGGCUUUGACCUCUAAGUCGUGCAAUAGAAAUGCAGCAGCUGCUUCCCCAAAGCUAGCUAGCGGAUUGAAGAAGUGUGUCUAAAAAUUCUCUCUCCAUGGCAAGCACUUGCAGAAUAUGUGUUCUCGUUAUAGUAAGUGUAUUAUUGCUUGGUCUUGGUGCCUUGUUUGCCUAUCUUUUUUGUGGUACAUUAUACCAAAUAAAUAGUACAUUAUUUACGGAGAGCCAUCCUAAGUGCAUCUCAUCUGCCUGCGGUAACAUCCACAACAUAACCAGCCCUUUUCGACUAGCCAACGAUCCAAAUCAAAGCAACUGCAACUGGAAUUACCACCUCUUUUGUCACAACAACCUCACAGUAUUGAGAGUACAUCGGGGAAACUACUCUGUGCAGGCAAUCAACUACGACAACUUCACAAUCCGAGUUGUAGAUCCUGGCAUUCGCAACAAUAAUUUCUCCUCCAUCCCCCGUUAUUCGCUUUCCAUUUACAACAUCACUUAUUACAAUGAUUUUGAAUUAGCAUCAAGUACAACACCUAUAACUUUCUUCAAAUGUGCAAAAACAGUGAACUCAUCUGUGAUGAGAACGCAUAAUUAUGUCAAGCAAGGGAAUAUAACGGCAUCAGAUAUGGAGGACGGGUGCAGAAUAGAGUGGACGACUUUGAUGAGUAAGUCGUUCUUGUACGAAAAGAACAGAAACUUUUCUUAUCAUGACAUACACAGCGCACUGGGGUAUGGCUUUGAGCUUCAAUUCCGCUUUCGCAGAAUAGAGUGGACCCGCUACAAAUUUGGUUUGUGAAUUACUUGCUAUAUUCCAAGUCUACAAUUUCUUACUCAAACUUUCUGAAUUUCUCCAAAUGUCACUUGUUUAAAUCUAUCAUCUAUGACUUUUUGUUACACUUUAUUUCUCAUUUUCAAUCAUUUGUUUUGUUUAGUUUUACUUGAAAUAAGGCGAUACAGGGCUGAAAACCAGAAAGACAUAUGGAAAAAAUACGUCAAAUAUUCUUGAAAAUAAAAAUUCUACCAAUUUUAAAUAGUUUUAUUACUUGUAUUUUGUCCGGCUACUUUAAUUGCUUUCUCUCUUCUUCACCUUCCUCAUAUGAUGUAGUAUGCUAAUUAGUCUUAGUCAACCAUUAAGCAGGGCAGAGUAUAUAUAUUUGUGCUUCGAAAUUUCAAACUUAUGUCAAGUCUUUGAUUUUGGUCACUUUUUCUUGUAUCUCUUGCAGAUAUUUACGAUUGGCUGAUACUCGGUAAGAGUUUGCAUAUUCCUUUAGUACAGAAUUGCCUAUCAGUCAGUAGAGAAAACAAAUGGAAGCAAAGAGGAAGGUUAUGACGCACAUAUAUUAUAUCCAAUAAAACAUGUCAUUUGUGAUUCUUUUUGUGAUGUUGCUUUGCAGGAGCAUAUCUCCCAAUAAGAUCUAUAUUUGGGGUUCCAUUUCUGGCUGCUCUUCUAAUCUACAAACGCCGAAGAAUGCAUUUGUCAAUGUAUAGCAGCAUAGAAGAAUUCCUACAAAGUGAUAACAACCUCAUUCCGAUAAGGUACUCUUACUCAGAUAUUAAAAAGAUGACCAGCAGAUUCAAUGAGAAGUUGGGUGAAGGAGGUUAUGGCUCUGUAUUUAAAGGAAAGUUACGCAGUGGUCGAUUUGUAGCAGUUAAAAUGUUGGAGAAGCCUAAAGCUAACGGACAAGAUUUCAUAAGUGAGGUAGCUACUAUCGGGAGGAUUCACCAUUUUAAUAUGGUUCAACUUGUUGGUUAUUGUGUUGAGGGAUCAAAGCGUGCCCUAAUUUAUAACUUCAUGCCUAAUGGGUCUCUUGAUAAAUACAUUUAUUACAAAGAAGGAAGCAACCCCUUAGGUUGGAAGAAAAUGUAUGAAAUUUCUCUUGGAGUGGCUCAAGGGAUCGAAUAUCUACAUCGAGGUUGUGACAUGCAAAUUCUACAUUUUGACAUCAAGCCUCACAAUAUUCUUCUUGAUGAGAAUUUCAUCCCAAAAAUUUCUGAUUUUGGGCUUGCAAAGCUAUAUCCUGUAGGUAAUACCAUCGUCUCUUUGACGGCAGCAAGAGGAACAAUGGGAUACAUGGCUCCUGAGUUGUUUUACAAAAAUAUUGGAGGUGUCUCAUACAAAGCUGAUGUCUAUAGUUUUGGAAUGUUGUUGAUGGAAAUGGCAAGUAGAAGGAAGAAUUUGAACGCAUCCAUAGAGCAUUCAAGCCAAAUUUAUUUUCCUCUUUGGGUCUCAGACCAAUUUUGCAUGGGCAAAGAGCUUGAGAUGGAUGAUGCUACAGAAGACGAAAAGAAAAUAAUAAAAAAGAUGAUUAUAACUGCUUUAUGGUGUAUACAAUUGAAGCCAAGCCAUCGUCCUUCGAUGAACAAAGUUAUAGAGAUGCUUGAGGGAGAGGUUGAAUGCCUGCAACUCCCUCCCAAGCUUCUUUUAUGUCCAUGAUGUAGAACAAAUGGAUGAAUGGAUUGAAGAAGAAUUGGAGCGAAGAAUGGCAAAAGGACGCAGCAGGAAUUUACAGAUUUGAUGUCCGAUUGGGUCGCAUAAAAUUUUCUUGAAAAGGAGCGACGCCACGUGUCCAACUCACCACUUUUUUGUGACAUAAGGUAGAUUUUGGGCUUUCAAAAAUGCAUUUAAAGAUUGUAAUUAAUUUAUAGACUUCCUGUUUAUUUUGUUUUAAGCUUUCAAUAACUCCCUAGGGCUGUCCAAUUGGUGAGAAUGAUGUAUUUAGAUGGCUGUCAUGUAUGGUUGAACUCAACUCAUGUUUUAUCAAAUAAUACAGACAAUGAGAAUUUUCUCUCUAACUUUCUAGUGGAUUCCAGGUUUAUGUUCUUUUUCUAAGUUACGCUUGUAACCUAUUUGCUUGUGCUGCGUCAGUCCACAACAAGAGAUGCCCAGAGACCAUCUUCAUGGUAAUUCGAAUCCGAUGUGUUCUAACACAGAGUUAACUCGAAACUUUCUGAAUUUCUCCAAAUGUCACUUGUUUAGAUAUAUGAAUUUUUGUUCGGCUUUAUUUCUCAUUUUCAAUCAAGGGAUACGUGAAAUAUUAUUUAAAAAUAAAAAUUCUAACAAUUUUAAAUAGUUUUAUUACUUGUAUUUUGUCUGGCUACUUUAAUUCCCUUCUCUCUUCUUCACCUUCCUCAUAUGAUGUAGUCUGCUAAUUAGUCUUAGUCAACCAUUAACCAGGGCAGAGUAUAUAUAUUUGUGCAUAGAAAUUUCAAACUUAUGUCAAGCCUUUGAUUUUGGUCAGUUUUUCUUGUAUCUAUUUCUCUUUGCAGAUAUUGAAGAUUUCCUAAUACUCAGUAAGAAUUUGCAUAUAGUUUUAGUGCAGAAUUGACUUUCCUAUCAGUCAAUAGAAAAAAUAGAGGUUAAUUUCAGUUUGGUACAAACUGAACUCUCACCCUUAAGGCAUGUUUGUCCCUACACUCUCAAUUGUAACAAUGAAGUAUUUUAUGUUCGAACCCCUACGUCUCCCAACCACCUACUGAGCCUUAUCCAACCCGCUGCGAAUGAGUUUGUGUGUAUAGCUACGACGUGUAAUAUUUAUAAGGUCUUUAAAAUGUCUGCAAGCUAAUAUUAUCUAGGAUAAAUUUCCAUAUAAAAAAAAAUUCCCUAAGGAUAAAUUUAGUAUAAUGUUAAUUAUUAUUUUAUUAUGGAUUUGUAUUUUUAAUUUUUUUUGGUUAUAUAUUAAGGAGUUGUAUUAUUAUUCACUAUUGAAAUUUAAUAUUGUUCAUUAUAUGUGAUACUAAGUUUGAACUUUAAUAGGAAUUCUUUUUAUGUGGUACUAAGUUACUCAUACAUUUUAUCUUUGUUUUUUUGGUCAAGCUCAUAUAUCUUAUCAUAUGUAUCAAGUGUAAUAUAUUAUAGUACAUUAUUAUAACUAAAAAAUUAUGGUGUGUUAAAUUUUCUUUCACUAAUUACUACAUAUUUUCUAAAGUCACAGUAUUUGUCAAGUCGCUUCAUAAUCAACUUAAAUCACUCAAAUCCACCAUGCCAUGCAUUUCUUUCCAUUUUUUUUUGGUGAUAAAAUAAUAGACAAUUAACUAAGUCAACAUCCUCUAAAGUUUCAAGGCCAAAAGUUACUUUUGGUCCCUGUAGUUUGACAUUUCAACCACCUUUGAACUUGUAGUUUGAAUUCCGUCAAUUUUUCCAUUGUAGUUUCGUAUUUGUAGCAAUUCAAGGACAUGUUAGUAUUCUUGUCAAUUUCUUUAACGAUGCAAGGGGCAAUUUCGUCAACCCAAAACCCUUGAGCAUAAAAGCUUGUUUGAAAUUCUCCCCGUUUCAUAUUAGGGCUCAAAAUUCAACCACUAAUCCCAAUUUUUGAAUAACCCUAAACCCAAAUGACCAAUUUCAAGCCCUAAUAUGAAAUUAGGGUAGUUCCAGACGAGCUUUUAUGCUUAAGGAUUAUGGGUUGAUGAAAUUGCCCCUUGCGUCGUCCAAGAAAUUGAUAGGAAUACUAACUUGUCCUUAAAUUGCUACAAAUACGAAACUAUUGGGUCAAAAUUGACGGAAUUGAAACUACAAGGUCAAAAGUGGUUGAAGUGCCAAACUAUAGGGACCAAAAGUGACUUUUAGCCACGUUUCAACAAAAACUUCCAAGUUUUCUCCCAAUUUCCAUGAUUUUUAUUCAAUUUUUAUUGAUAUCGAUAUUUCCAUUGAUAUAUCCGUGCUUUUGGAUCACCGAUAUUUCCGAAACUCUCGAUAUUUUAGACCUUGCUUCUAGCGAUAUCUAUGGUAGCACUGCCACUCUCUCCUCCUUGUCCCACCCCAGCCCGACUGCUUCCUCCCACACCUCCACCAGCCCAAUGAGCACAACCUAGUAGCCUCACUCCAAACCCCGACCUGUUAGACCCCGACAAUCCAACACUCUCGUUGGUUUAGGUAUUGCAUGAAUUUUUUUUCUUCACUUUUUUGAGAGUGCAGAGACAAAUACAGGGUACCAAACUGAAAUUAAUCCAAAAAAAAACAAAAAACAAAAAAUGGAAGCAACCUGAAGAAGGUUAUGACGCACAUAUAUUAUAUCCAAUAAAGCAUGUCACUUGUGAUCCUUUUGUGAUGUUCCUUUGUAGGAGCAUUUUUCCCAAUAAGAUCUAUAUUUGGGGUUCAUGUCUGGCUGCUCUUCUGAUCUACAAAUGGCGAAGAAUGCAUUUGUCAAUGUAUAGCACCAUAGAAGUUAAAGGAAAGUUAUGUAAUGGUCGAUUUGUAGCAAUUAAAAUGUUGGGGAAGUCUAAAGCAAAUGGGUAAGAUUUCAUAAGUGAGGUAGCUACUGUUGGGAGGAUUCACCAUGUUAAUAUGGUUCAACUUGUUGGUUAUUGUAUUGAGGGAUCAAAGCGUGCCCUUAUUUAUAACUUCAUGCCUAAGGGGGCUCUUGAUAAAUACAUUUAUUCCAAAGAAGGAAGCAUAUCUCCAAGUUGCAAGCAAAUGUAUGACAUUUCUGUUGGAGUGGCUCUAGGGAUCGAAUAUCUACAUCGAGGUUGUGACAUGCAAAUACUACAUUUCGACAUCAAACCUCACAAUAUUCUUCUUUAUGACUGGCGGACUCAGGAAUUUUUUAGAAGAGGGGCAACAUUUAAAAGGCAAAAAGUAUGUGAGGGAAAUCCAAGUGCAAGGAGUCCAUGAACCCAUCUACAAUAAUCAACAGGGAAGAGAGAAACUUUGAAUAAAUAAACAUGAAAUUUGCAUAAAAUAAAAUAAAAUUAUAAGUUGAGAAACUAAGAAAGAACAUAUGCCAAAUAAGGGGGAUUAAAGCUCAUAGAUAUUUAUGAAGUAGAGAUACAUCAUUAAGGGAAUUUUGGGAGAUAACAAGUUUAUGUGAAACAAAAAUCAAAUUGAAUAUUACAAAAUCUCUUUUAGACAUAUACUCGAACACAUGGUGGGCACCAGCAGAGGGGCAAAUUCCAACCACCCCAAAGGAUUUUCCGACGAAGGGAGGUGCUGCUCCCUCAUGUGUAGGUCUGCCUUUUCAUCUGAAAGAUUUCUGACUUUGGGCUUGCAAAAUUAUACCCAGUAGGUAAUACCAUCAUUUCUUUGAUGGCAGCAAGGGGGACAAUGGGAUAAAUGGCACCUGAGUUAUUCUUAAAAAUAUUGGAGCUGUCUCACACAAAACCGAUGUCUAUAGUUUUGGAAUGUUAUUUAUGGAAAUUGUGAGUAGAAUGAAGAAUUUGAAUGCAUCAAUAGAGCAUUCAAGCCAAAUUUUUUUUCCUCUUUGGGUCUCAGUCUGCAUGGGCAAAGAGUUUGAGAUGAAUGAUGCUACAGAAGAGGAAAAACGAAGAAUAAAGAAGAUGAUUAUAGCUGCUUUAUGGUGUAUACAAUUGAAGCCAAGCGAUCAUCCUUCAAUGAACAAAGUUACAGAGAUGCUUGAGGGAGAGGUUGAAUGCCUCCAAGCCCCUCCCAAGCUAUUUUUAUGUCCAUAAGAAAUGCCAGAGACAAUCUUCCUUGUAAUUCAAAUCAAACGUGUUCGAACAGAGAGCUAACAUUCACAACAUAACCAGCCCUUUUCAACUAGCCAAAGAUCCAAAUCAAAGCAACUGCAUGAACAAGGAUUACUACCUUUGGGAUUACGACGUCUUUUAUCACAACAACCUCAUAGUAUUGGAAGUACAUUCAGGAAACUACUGUUUGUGCAAAUAAUCUCGCGGGAGAAUAUUUUCUUUGUGAUUCUUCAACCUUCGUUCUUCCUUCUCUCUCUUCCUCAAUUCUCGUAGAAAAGACCAGAGUAAAUAGACCAUACCUGGGGGUGUUGGCCAAAGGCCUUCCGAUGCCUAUGUUAGUUCGAGUGUUUGUAGGAAAACAAUAGCUAACAAAAGUGUACGGAGAUGUAUGUAUGGUGUGAACUGGGUGGCAAGCGCCGUGUGAAGAAAAUAUGGAGAGUGGAGAGUAGAGAGGUUGACUGCAAGGGUAUUGCCGUUGGCUAGAGAGAGAGAGAGAGAGGGAGAAAGCUCCAAGUAUUUUUCUAGGGUUUGAGUAGGUUUAGGUGUACCUUGAAUGAUGAAUGAAGCCAUCUAUUUAUAGGAGCCUCGAUUUUGUAGAGAAUAAAACUCUGAUUAGGAAGGAGUUUAUUCUUCACCCAAGUUCGUAGAGAUUGAGUCCAUUAGGGAUUUGAUUGGAAUCCAAAUCUCUUAAUUUGAUGAUGAUUAUAUCUCAUUAUUAGGAUAAUAUCUGAAUUAAUGAUAUUAUCUUAUUAAAUACAAAUAAUAUCCUGUAAUUCAGAUAUUAUCCUUAUUAAAUAAUUUGCGAAAUAAAUUCGUUCAAUUAAUUAAUUUAAGGGAUAUUCUUCUUUUCCACGUGGCGUGCUAUGAUUGGAGACGAAAAUAUUUGCUCUCACAAAUGCCCCCCAGCUAUCACGUGGCGCUUGUGUGGCAUGUAGGAGAUGAACUUAUUUUUCGGGCUCUUCAACUGCGUCCGGGCUUUGUUCUGUGAGUUGGACUCUUUUUGCAGAUUGGAUUCCCAAUUGGAGUGGGCUUCUAACUGUUCUUGGAGUUGGGUUCCCAGUAGGAAUGGGCUUGUGAUUUCUUCAUGACCUUGGACCCCUAACCUGUAUAAAUGCAAGGCCUUUCUUCACUCUUCUUCACAUCACAAACUUAACUUCUCUACUUUCUAGCUUGAGAGAGAUCUUGGAGAAUUUGUACUGCUUGUCGAAGAGAGGAGUUGUCGUGCAUCCCAAGGUAUGUCGAGCAGGUUAAUAUUGUUUAUUCUUCGUCUUUUCUUCUUCGCGGAGAGGACCAGUUGGAUUGGACCAGGCAGGUUGUCAUUCUAACUAGUAGCCAAAGACAAUUGGAGCCACGGUGGCCACUAGUGGCUGCUAAGUGAGUGCCAGGAGGAAGUUGGUGGUCUGCCCCCUGUCCAGGAUGUUGAGAGAUGGAAGCAGAAUGGUCUAAACUAUGAUGAUCUAACUAUUAGAUAGGAGGAGUGCUCUGACGGAUCCCCCUAAAAAAGGAAGUCAAAUGUCACGUCUUCAAGAAAUGAAGUUGCAACUUCGCCGAUGAAGGAUGUGUCUCCGUUGAGGAAAAAGCCAAGGAUCCCUUCUGUUGAGAAAAUCAAGUAGGAGUUGUUCCCCCAUCAUCAGCUAAGGUUAAACAUUUUGUUGGUGCAGAUAACAAGAAGAUUAACGGUAUGCCCAAUAUUAGGGAUGUUCCGCUCAAGCCUCUUACUGACAAGUUUGGAGACCGUGAUCUGCUCCGUGAAGUGGUCCGCUCGAGAACUAUUUUACUUGCUAAGAGGCAAGGAGAUGCAGAUAUUCCUCUCUGAGGUUCGAGUCGUUUGUACCAGUAAAAGGAUGGAGAUUGAACUAGAAGGUCUGCUCAUCCGCCCAACCAUCACGAUCCAGCUGUUGAGUCACAAGCAUUAAAGUAAGGAGUUGAUUCAGCGUCGUUGAUUCCUUUAGAGGUGAGGAUGGCGGUGGCUAGGGGUUCUUCUGCAACGUCAGCGGCUAAUCCCAAGGUGAACAAAUCCAGGCAUGCAGGGGAUGCAGGCGUGUCUGAUCUGCUGAAGACGAACUUCCUGUUAAGCCCGUCUGCUUUCUUUAGGAUGGUUAAUCAUAUCUAUGAGGCUGGCGAUCUUAGUACCUUCUCAAGUCUUUCCUUGGAAAAACAAAGGGAAGCAACAUUUCAUCUGCUUCAAAAAUAAGUAGUUUUUGCUGCUGAAACUAUUCGAAACUCGUCUGCUGUUGCCCCUUCUUUUGCUGCUGAAUUGGUUAGUCGAAAAGAUGCUUACUUCCAUCUUAAGCGCAACAAUGCAGACAUCUUUCUUAGCUAUGACAAGCUCCUGCCUAGAUUUCACGCCUACCACAAGUCAGCUGAAAAAUUCAAGUUCGAAGCUACCAUGGAUGCAUACAAGCUGAGCUACUUGGAUUGCACAAAUGGAAAUGAUCCCUUCUAUGCCAUUGGAGAUGGAGACAUCAAGAUGCUCUAUCCUGACUUGCUCCCUGUGCAAAGUGAGCAGGUUAAUGCUGUGAAUAUGGAAAGAGAUGAAAAGCAGGAGGCCAAAGAGACGAUAGCUGAAGAGGAUGCAGCUGAUGAGGUGGUGGCAGAUGUCACAGAUCAGGCAGUUGGAGCUACUGAGAGCGUGGCUAAUCAGGCUGAUGCCAAAGAGGUUGUAGAUCAGGAAUCUCUUAUCAACGCCUCAGAGUAGACGAAUGCUUCUUUAUUUCUUUUCAUCUUUUAUAAUCUGCUUUUUGUUUGUUUAGAAUAAUUGGUCUUGGUUGGUCACUUUGCUAUGGAAAUUUCAAUUUUUUUUUUUCAACUUCAAUUUGUGUAUUGUCUUGUGAACUGCUUGAGUAACCGACUAGUGUCUUAGUUGUGCAUUUCCCAUAGGAUAUUACAAAAGCCAGAGUCCCAUUUGAGGGACUCCAAGCGUCUUCUAUAUCUCCUGAAGGACGCUUUUGGUCGUCGCCCUACGUCUCCUAAGGGACGUUGCUUAUGGGCAACUGUAUGACUAUCUUGCCCGCAUUAAGAAAAGGAUAGGAACCUAGAUACCUCCUUAAGAAAUUUCUUGCGUGCCCUGCGUCUCUCGAAAGACGUUCCUUGUGGGCUGCGGGCCCCGAAGGAUGCUGUGUGACCAUCUGCCUCCCUUAGAAAAUGAAUAGGAACCUGGAUACCUCCAUUAGGAUGCAAGGAGACCUCUCUUAGGAAAUUCCUUGCACACUAUGCGUCUCCUUGAGGAAGAUUCUUUGCAGGCUGCGUCUCCUGUAGGACGCUUUUAGUUGUCGCCCAACGUCUCCUGAAGAACGUUGUUUAUGGGCAACUGUAUGACUAUCAUGCUCCCUUUAGAAAAUGGAUAGGAACCUGGAUACCUAGCUUAGGACAUUUCUAGCGCACCAUGCGUCUCCUGAAGGACGCUCCUUGUAGGCUAUGCGCCUCAAAGGACGUUGUGUGACUAUCACGCUUUUCUUAAGAAUACCUCUCUUUAAGAAGCAUGGAGACCUCCCUUAGGAAAUUCCUGGCGCUCUAGUAGGACACUUUUGGUCGUCACUCAGCAUCUCCCGAAGGACUCUACUUAUGGCCAACCACUUUUUUUUUCUUUUCUUCUUGUACAUUUUGGAAUGAAAAACUUAACUUUUAUUGAUGUUCAUGAGAUUACAUCGCUUUAUUCGAAAUGGAAAUAACUGAAGAAAAAACCCGGAGCUAAGCAUGUGCAGUGCUUACAUCGCUUGGAGCUGAGCAGGUAGAAGGAAGCGUCAUGGAUAAUAACUUUGACAGUGCCAGACAUUCCAUUGUCGCGGAAUUUCCUAUCCAUCCUUGGUGUCAAUCGUAUAGUUCCUUCUGCCCCCAGGCUAGCUGAUCACGUAAGGGCCUUCCCAAUUGGGUUUCAUCUUUUUGGCUAUCUGAUCUUGGCUGUUUUGUCGUAGUAAGACUUGAACUACUGUUAAUAGGAGGCGACUCGGACAAUGACCUUCUCACCCUCACCUUCAAGUAAGUCAAGGUUGAGCCUCAUCUGCUCGGAGUUCUGCUCAAUAUUGCUUACUUCAAUGCCAAUGGAGGGGACAAUGAUGUAAGGAGAAAUGAUUGCUUCAGUUCCAUAGGUGAGAGAAAACGGGGUUUCGCCAGUUGAUCUUCGCUUGGUGGUGAGAUAAGCCUAUAAUACUCCAGGGAGUUCAUCUACCCAUUUCCCUUCGGCGCCUUCAAAUUUUUUCUUUAGACAAUCUAGUAUUAUUUUGUUGGAUGCCUCAGCCUGGCCGUUGCCCUGAGGAUAUCUCGGGGUUGACAGAUGCUGCUUGAUGCCAUAUUUUUUGAAGAAUGUGGUGAUCUACUUGCCGAUGAUGGGGUUUUGCCAGCUGGGGUCUUCAUCGAUCUGCAUUGAGUCGAUUGGCUCUCUUUCUUCGAUACUUGGCUAGUCAAGGUGUUCGAUCGGGAUGGAGUGUUUGAACUGGGUGUCCAACGCAGAUCCUAAGCUUGCCAAAGCAUCUGCAUGAGUGUUCUCUGCCCGUGGAACUUGUUGGAUGGUGAAAGUAGGGAAUUCUUUCAAAAGUCCUUGGAUUUUGUCGAGGUACUAGACCAUAUACUAGCCUGAGGCUUGAUUCGUAAUCAGCUGGGAUUCUGAGUAGAUGGUCAAUCUUUUGAUCGACAGUUCUUUUACUAAGCACAGUCCGGCGAAUAAUGCCUCAUAGUCUGCCUCGUUGUUUGAAGCAGGGAAGCCUAGUGUGAUGACUUGUUCCAACAAAGUUCUAUUUGGAGCGAUUAUGACAAUGCAUGCCCCCGCUCCCUUGUGAUUUGAUGCUCCAUCUACAUGCAACUGCGCAUGUCGUUAGGCAUGUUUGAAUCGGUGAGGGAGGUAUCGUAUGCUUUUCCCUUCCUUUUUGUGACCAGCUUCUCUACUUUGGCUGUCGAAGUAAACUCUAUAACAAAAUUUGCUAAAGUCUGAGCUUUUAUAACAAUUUUCAGUCGGUAAAGGUGAUCGUAUUGACUGAGUUCGAUAGCCCAUGUAUGUAUGGUGUGAACUGGGCCGCCAGAGCCGUGUGGAAAAAAUAUGGAGAGUGGAGAGUGGAGAGGUUGGCGGCAAGGGUAGUGCUGUUGGCUAGAGAGAGAGAGAGAGAGAGAGAGAGAGAGAGAGAGAGUGGGAGAGAGAGCUUCAGGUAUUUUUCUCAGGUUUUAGGAGUAGGUUUUAGGUGUACCUUGAAUGAUGAAUGAAGCCAUCUAUUUCUAGGAGCCUCAGAGGCUAGGGUUUUGUAAAGAAUAAAACUCUUGUUAGGAAGGAGUUUAUUUUUUACCCAAGUACGUAGAGAUUGAGUCCAUUAGGGAUUUGAUUGGGAUCCAAAUCUACUAAUUUGAUGAUGAUUAUAUCUCCUUAUUAGGAUAAUAUAUGAAUUAAUGAUAUUAUCUUAUUAAAUAUAGAUAAUAUCAUAUAAUUAAGUUAUUAUCCCUAUUAAUUAAUUGGCCAAAUAAAUUGGUUCAGUUUUCCACGUGGUGUGCUAUGAUUGGAGACGAAAAUAUUUGCUCUCACAACUAUUUUGUGCAGGCAAUCAACUACGACAACUUCACAAUCCGAGUUGUAGAUCCUAGCAUUCGCCGUACAACACCUCUGAUUUCUCCUCCAUCCCCCGUUAUUCGCUUUCCAUUUACAACGUCACUCAUUACAAAGAUUUUGAAUUAGCAUCAAGUACAACACCUUUCUUGAAGUGUGCAAAAGCAGUGAACUCGUAUGCGAUGAGUACGUAUAAUUAUGUCAAGCAAGGGAAUAUGGAGGACGUGUGCAGAAUAGAGUGGACAACUUUGAUCAGUAAGUCUUUCUUAUACGGAAAGGACAGAAACGUUUUUUUAUCAUGACAUACAUAGCGCACUGUGCUAUGGCUUUGAGCGUCAAUUCCGCUUUCGCAGGACCAGUUACAAAUUAGGUUCGUAAAUUACUUGCUAUAUUCCAAGUCUACAAUUUCUUACUCAAAAUUUCUCAAUUUCUCCAAAUGUCACUUGUUUAAGUCUAUCAUCUAACUUUUUGUUACGCUUUAUUUCUCAUUUUCAAUAAUUUGUUUUGUUAUGUUUUACUUGAAAUGAGAAAGACAUAUAGAGAAAAUACGUCAAAUAUUAUUUGAAAAUAAAAUUUCUAACAAUUUUAAACAGUUUUAUUACUUGUAUUUUGUUUGGUUAAUUUAAAUUCCCUUCUCUCUUCUUCACCUUCCUCAUAUGAUGUAGUCUUCUAAUUAGUCUUAGUCUACCAUUAAGCAGGGCAGAGUAUAUAUAUCUGUGAUUCGAAAUUUCAAACUUAUGUCAAGCCUUUGAUUUUGGUCACUUUUUCUUUUAUCUCUUGCAGGUAUUUACGAUUGGCUGACAUUCGGUAAGAGUUUGCACAUUAGUGCAGAAUUGUAUUUCCUAUCAGUCAGUAGAAAAAACAAAUGGAAGCAAAGAGGAAGGUUAUGACGCACAUAUAUUAUAUCCAAUAAAGCAUGUCAUUUGUGAUUCUUUUUGUGAUGUUGCUUUGCAGGAGCAUAUUUCCCAAUAAGAUCUAUAUUUGGGGUUCCAUUUCUGGCUGCUCUUCUAAUCUUCAAACGGCGAAGAAUGCAAUGUAUAGCAACAUAGAAGAUUUCCUGCAAAGUGAUAACAACCUCAUUCCAAUAAGGUACUCUUACUCUGAUACUAAAAAGAUGAUCAGUAGAUUCAAUGAGAAGUUGGGUGAAGGAGGUUAUGGCUCUGUAUUUAAAGGAAAUUUACGCAGUGGUCGAUUUGUAGCAGUUAAAAUGUUGGAGAAGCCUAAAGCUAAUGGACAAGAUUUCAUAAGUGAGGUAGCUACUAUUGGGAGGAUUUACGAUUUUAAUAUGGUUCAACUUGUUGGUUAUUGUGUUGAGGGAUCAAAGCGUGCCCUAAUUUAUAACUUCAUGUCUAAUGGGUCUCUUGAUAAAUACAUUUAUUGCAAAGAAGGAAGCAACUCCUUAAGUUGCAGGAAAAUGUAUGAGAUUUCUCUUGGAGUGGCUCAAGGGAUCGAAUAUCUACAUCGAGGUUUAAGGGAUCGAAUAUCUACAUUGAGAUUUCUCUUGGAGUGGCUCUUAGAUUCUAACUUUUUAUUUCCUAAACUUUAGGGUAGUCAUAUGAAAGAAUUUCGUAUUCCUUUCACUAUUUGUUGGCAUGUAGCAUGAAGCAUUGGUUGUGGUUUUAUUUUUAAAUUAUGUUGGCAUGAUGAAAAUGUUUUUUGGUUGUUAUUAAAAAAUUUUGUCGUGGGUUUGAGAUGUGUACAAAAAAAAAAAGUUUUUUUUUUUUUUUUUUUUUUUUUUGUAUGUUAGCUGUAAGUGAGAGGCAUAUUGAUGCCAAUAAAAAAAAAGGCACAUGGAUGCCAAAUGAAGAGAGAAAGGCACAUGGAUGCCGAAGGAAGAGGGAAGGGCACAAGGAUGUCGAAGGAAAAAAAGGAACAAUGGUUCCUGUGAAGAUUAGGGCAAAUGUGCACCCAGAAGAAAAAAGGAAAGAAAAUGGAGUGUUUUUUGAUUCAUGAAGGAAAGUGUUUGGUUAUUAAUUGCGUUCUUUCUUGCAGCCAGAAAAGAAAAAAGAUGAGUAUAUCAGUUGUUGUGCCAUUCAAACCCAUCUUAAUUAAAGUUGCACGCAACCUUAAUGUUGAACCACAUUUUAAUUUUGUAACCAAGGGACCAGCUCAUGCAAUGCAAUUAUGUGUCACAUUAGUUUGGAUGGAGGCGCACAUCCGAAUUUUUCAAUCAGAUGGAAAAACACAAAGAAGGAGGCAGAACACUUGGCGGCAGAUUUUUGUGUGAAUUAUUGGAUUGAACAUAACAUCAUUAAAGUGCUCGAUGUGAACUUUAAUGCGUUGAUGAAUUUUAAGAUCAAAUGUGGAAAGUUGUAGGAAGAUAUUGAGACGCUAUAAGAUCAAGUGAUGGAUCUAGAGCUAGAAAUUGGAAUGCUAACACAAGAUGAAAAUCUAGAAGAAAAUGGUACUGGCCAGCCUCAAAGUAUCGUGAACAUAAGCGACAUGGAAGACGAGUAAAGGAGAAAGCAUCUAUGUUAAUAAGCUUUAAAAUUAAGGGAGAGAUUGUUGGGGUAAUUUCGAAGGUCAAAAGUUUAGAAAAUAAAAAGUUAGAAUCUAAAGGGUUUAGCUAUUAUGUCUAGUUUAUGAGUUGAAGUUAAUGUGAGGUUUAGUGGGUAUAAUGGUUAUGAUUAUGCUUAAUGUUGAGUUAAUAUUAUGGCCUAUAAAUAGGCGUUGUAUCCACUCUAUGUUAGUGUGUAUCAAGAAUAUCAAGAAUAUCAAAUGUAUGUUGUAGUAGAGUAUUUGAAGUAUCAAUCUUAUUGAAGUUUGUCUCAAGUAAGUUUGUGUAGGAGCUCUGUGUAGCCUUCGGACUUCACAUCUCCAAAAAUAUGUUAUUUAUUUAGUCCGUUAUAUUGUAUUUCCCCCUUCACAUUUAGAGUGUAUCAGCAUAAAGCUAAAUCCACCAAUACCAUUUUGUAGCCAUAGCACUCUAGAUUUCUGGCGCCAAAACAACGCUUCCUGCUCCAAGACAGAGUUAUAAUCAUUAGAUAAAGUAGCCUCCAGCUGAAGCAGAUAAUUAUUAGGCCCAAAGCCGAGAGCCUUCAGAAUGCCAGCUAGUCUACGUAAGAGCUUAGCCUUCUUUUGCCUUAAAGGACCAAACACAUUCAGAUUCCAAUGCUUGAGUGGUUCAACCAAAGCACAAGAUUUUUCCAAUGCAAACCCAGAACCAAGAUACCACUGUAAUAUAAUGAAAUAGAAGGGACUAAUUUGACUAAUUUGCAUUUGAAAUAGAAGGGAAGCUAUCCAAUGGGGAUGGUAUUGGAGUGGAAGAGCCUCUAAAGUUUCUAUUCAGAAGACUAGCUAGAGGUUUGAUUUACUUUCUUCCUAAUACAGAAUAAGUUAUAACCAUCUAUUACAAAAAGGGAUUGACAGAUUGACAGACCCAUUACAAGAUUUAUGUUAAUUAUUCAUGUGAGAUUAUAUACUUGUUUUUAAGAUUGUUCAGAACUCUUUUGGGGCAGAAGUUGUUAAGUUUCAGUUACCCAUGUUGACUGUUAAUUUUGCACAGCUUGUGGGUUAGUUUUGACGUAUAAGUACUUGGUUUUAAACUAUACAUAUCCAGGAUUGUAAUUUGGUUGAAGUUUGAUACCUGAGUUUGGUAAGCAUGACUACAAAAUCUGUCAAAAACAGGGGCUGCAGUUUCAGUUUUGAAACACUUUUGGACUGCCUUAUCUUAUAAAUUAGAGCAUCGUUUCUGUCAAAUUUUAUAUGGUUUCAAAGUUUAUUUAAUCAGCUUCAGGAUGCAUGUAAUUUGGUAGAUUGUUAUUGAGUUUAGGCUGUUUAAUUCUGAGUUUAAAGUUCAAUACACAGUAGCUGAAAUUGCAUUAGUUUCUAUGGUGGUGCAGGAGCAACAACAGUUUUCUAAAAGCUCAUGUCAAGACAUAAGUUGGUGGUUCAAUUGAUGAAUGUCAAGGUAAACUUAAUUUACACACACAACUACCUACAUGAUCAUAAUACCAGAAACAUUGGAGUUUAUGGUUCUGUUGCUGACAGGACAUUUGGAAGCAACAACAAAAACAUGACCGGAUAAUUGGACAACCAGCUGAUGAUAGCCCUGCUGAACAGUUUGAGCAUAGGUUAGAUGUGGUCUGAUAUGUUAGAGAUUGAUUUUAUCAUUAUAUUCAUGAGUGAAUGGGUUGGAGAGAUUGUGAACAAGUUAAUUGUAGGUUUGACAACACUUUUAUGUGUUUCUUUUAUACUCUAAAGAGUUUGUAUUUGGAAUUGAUUAUGAUUGGUAUAAGUUUUCUUUUUAAGUUUGGUUGCAAUACUAUUGUUUUUUUUUUCUUCAGGGUAAUAAAAGAUAUAAGUAUUUUGUUACUAUGAAACAAGAGUAGGGAGGAAAUUAAUUAAAUUUAUAUAUAUAAAAAAAAAAAGAGUUAAACACGGCGUGCAAAACACCCCUUAAAUGGGAAUAAAAAUCCUCUUUUAUAGCGUGCAUUGAAUGCCUUAAUAACUCUUUUAUGGCGUGCAAGGCACGCCAUAAAUGGUUGUCCAAACUUUUACAAAAGCUCAAUCAUGGCGUGCAUUAUUAACAGUUGCAGCAAAUGAAUGCAUGCCAUAAAAGAAAAAUACUUUUUAUGGCACGACCUUUUAUGGCAUGCAGCAGCACGCUGUGAAUGGUCGGCGCACAUCACACGCUGUAAAUACCCAGUUUUCUUGUAGUGAAGAAAGGAGUUCGAAGGGUGAAGAAGAAAGGAGUUCGAAGGUUGAAGAAGAAAGGAGUUCGGAAGGUGAAGAAUCAAUCCGGAAUAUUCCCCCGUGUGGAUAUUUGCACAAAUAUUUUGGUGCUUUCAUUGAGAGCAUCGAGUUAUACUCAACACGUUGCUCUCGAAUCAGACAUCUGUUACACUCAAUCAAAGCCUUCCAAACAACCAUAGUUAGAAGCAAGCGCAUGAGAAGCAAGGCCGUCGCGACAACACAAUCCGUGACAGACCCUAGCCAUCGCGAUGAUGAGGUGUUCAUCCAACCAAAAAGCUCCGCCGCCAAAACCACGACUUUUCCUCCCGACCCCAUGGCCAUGGGUACGACUCUACACGCUUGGCUUUUGAGCUUUUGAGCUCUAUAUAUUAAAAAAUUAGCUUAUCUUGUGACAUGUAUUAUCAAUCUAACUGCUAUAUAUAUUUACUUAUUUAUUUCUCUUAUCCGGAUGUCCGCAUGUUAUUAUCGUGCGGAUGCCAUUGUAAACAAGAAAAAAAAUCAUAGAAUGGCAAUAGAACAUAUAUGGUAUCCGCACAAUAAUAACAUCUGGACGUCCACAUAAGAGAAUAUAUAUUGAGGGAUCCUAUUAUUCAACAGAAAAAUACAAUUUCAAGUCCGAAGAUGAAACUGCACAAUACAAUGAAGAUUGUGCCACAAAAUCACGUAAGAACGAACAAAACUGAGCUCGAAAUAAGAGAAAUAAGAUCGAACCGAAGCACAAAAAUCGCACGCCAAAACUGACCUUGAUUCUGCAUGCAAAAGCAAAAUUACGAAGAAAAUAUAAAAAUCAAUGUAAAAACACAAAACUUAAUCAUAAUAAAAUAGAAAAACGAAGAAAAUUGUUGAUGCUCAAAAUGGCCCAGCCAAUAUUGAGUCCAACUUGGUGAUGAGAUGUGUGGGGUCUUCGGCAGUUUAGAAGGCUAAGGUCUUCGGAAAGGGGAGAACCUGCAGAAGACAAAAUAGGAGAAGCGAUCGUCAAGCUUUGGACACCGGUGUGAUGCCGGCCGAAAGCUCUCCGAUGCUUAAGUUAGCUACAAGUGGUAACUUUGGCAGAGUAACAGUAAAGGUGAGAAAGUGGUUACCCUUUUUACUUGGGUACUGUUCCCUAUUUAUAGGGAGGUGAAAGUAGGAGGUUUGCACAAAGUUUCAAUGUGGGACUUUGUGCAAGUCGUCGUGGUGGCGACACGUGUUCUGGAGAUUAGGUUUGGUAAUUGGAAGCUUCGGCAGGUGUCUGGCACCUCGGAAGUGUGUCUUCCUUCGGCAAGGAGAAGGCGUGGCUGCCUUGGUGCUAGUCGCUUUGAUGCUGGGUCUGCUCGGUUCAUUAUGGUGUAAACAGUAGUCCCCCAAAUUCGCGGUCGAGAAGUAACUUUUGGGUUGGGAACUUGUGAGUUUUUGUGUAAUCGUGACCGAGCAUUCCAACUUCAUUGGGAGCUGUAGGGCACUCCCUAGUCCCCCAAGUUGGCAAGCUAGGAGUUGCGUCAACACAUGGAAUGUAUGAUACAAGUGGUGUGAUCCUCUAGAACUAUUGGUAGCUGGGUACCUGGGCAUUCUGCAGGUAGGCUGGGAGCUGGGUCCGUAGGGUUUUUUUGUUUUUUGUUUUUUUGAAAAGCUGGGAAGCUAGACCUUCGGCAGGCUGAGGCUUCUGAAAAAUUUGAGGUCUCUUUGCACCUUCCAUGGCCCUUGCCGUUCGGCAAGGUCCUAGCCUUUUUUUUUUUUUGGACGCUGGGAAGCUAGACCUUCGGCAGGCUGAGGCAAGGAACCAAGAUGGACUUGGGCUACGGAUUGAGCUUCGGCAAGGCGAAAGGACUGACCCUUUUCUGCUGGGCCUUCAAGGCUUCAGCAAGGGCUUAUCCUUGGAGCUAGGCUUUCAAGGCUCCGGCAAAGGCUUGUCCUUUGGUAGGAAGAAUAAAGGGCUUAAUCCCGUGAGUUUCCAAGCUCUUGGUAGGUGGGCCUCGUGAGCUAGGCUUUGGCAAAGGCCUGGGGUUUGUGCUUUGUGGAGCUGGGCUAGGCAAGAGAAAGAUGUCGUGAUGUAAGCCAUNNNNNNNNNNNNNNNNNNNNNNNNNNNNNNNNNNNNNNNNNNNNNNNNNNNNNNNNNNNNNNNNNNNNNNNNNNNNNNNNNNNNNNNNNNNNNNNNNNNNUUUUUGGUUGGGUGUUGUGUUCAGCAAGAUCUUUUGUCUUUCGGGUCUUCUUGAUAAUUUUGUUCACGGCUUCGACCUGGCCAUUGGACUGAGGAUGGGCUGGGGAGGCGAAGCAAAGACGGAUCUUGAGGUUAGAACAAAAUUGUUUGAAUUUUGCAUUGUCAAAUUGCUGGCCAUUGUCUGUGACGAUGGAGUUGGGGAUGCCGAAGCGACAUACGAUAUUUUGCCACACAAAGGUUUCGAUGCGGGCCGCAGUAAUGGUGGCUAAGGCUUCGGCUUCAGCCCAUUUGGUGAAGUAGUCUACGACUACAACUGCAUAUUUGACUUGGCCCUUGCCCUUAGGCAUUGGUCCAAUGAGGUCCAGUCCCCAUUGGGCAAAUGGCCAAGGACUGACCAUGGCUGUCAAUGGUUCAGCUGGGAGUUGUGGAAUGUUGGCAAAUCUCUGACACUUGUCGCAUUUCUGGGUGAAGGCCUGGGCAUCAGUGUGGAGUGAAGGCCAGAAGUAUCCUUGGCGAAUUGCCUUAUGAGCCAGUGAGCGUGCGCCCGAGUAGUUGCCGCAGAUGCCUUCAUGGAUUUCCCGAAGGACAUAAUGACCCUCCGCUGGAGUCAGACAUCGGAGGUAAGGAAGGCUAAAACCCCGCUUGUAUAGGGAGUCGUUAAUUAUCAGGUAUCGGGCAGAACGAUAGCCAACGCAUCGUGCCUCAGCAGAAUUAGCCGGUAGUGUUUGGUUCUGCAAAAACUGAAGGAUGGGGUCUAUCCAUGUAGGGCUGUGAUCAAUGGUACAGAUGAGUGGGGCUUGUGUGCUGGGCUGGUCCAAGAAUUCAAUGCGGAUGUGGCGACCUAUGUCCUGCUCGAAGGCUGAUGCUAACCUGGCCAACGCAUCAUCAUGGCUAUUCUCAAAGCGUGGCACUUGGUUUAUAGAAUGAGCGUGGAAGGUUGCAAGCAAGUGCCGGGUGUGCUGGAGGUAAGCUGUCAUGGAGGCAUCCUUGGCCGUGAAGUCCUGGUUGACUUGAUGAACGACGAGCUGUGAGUCACUGAAUAUCUGAAUUUGUUUGGCAUCCAUCUCCUUGACUAGUCGAAGGCCAGCUAAAAGUGCUUCAUAUUCGGCCUCAUUGUUGGAGGCUUGGAAUUUGAAGCUGAGGGCGUACUCAAGGGCGACCUUGUCUGGGGAGAUGAGAACGAGGCCGGCCCCACACCCUUGGGCAUUAGAAGAGCCAUCCACAAAUAAAGUCCAUAGGGGUUGGGUCAGGUCGAAAGUGCCUUUGCUGGCGGUGUGGUCUUGGCUCGGAGGGAGAUUAGGUUCGGUUAUGAGCUGGGUAGCUGCUGAGGCUUGGGGUUCCGUGAAUUCGGAUAAGAAGUCAGCGACGGCCUGGCCCUUUGUAGUUGGGUAGGGUUUGUAGUGAAUAUCAAACUCACCAAUGGCCCACUUAACCAGCCUCCCAGAAGUUUCUGGUUUCUACAACACUUGUCGGAGCAGUUGGUUGGUUAAGACAUGGAUGGUGUGAGCUUGGAAAUAUGGUCGGAGGCGUCUAGCCGAGACGACCAGGGCGAACGCCAGUUUUUCAAUGUCUGGGUACCGGACCUCGGCAUCCUGCAAUGUUUUACUAACAUAAUGCACUAGGUGCUCCACGUUAUCCCUUGGUCGUAUGAGCACAGAGCUAACUGCCGAAACUGAGACGGAAAGAUAAAUUACGAGGAUGUCUCCGUGCUCAGGGGUUGACAAUAAAGGGGCCUGACCCAUAUACUCCUUGAGCUCGCUGAAAGCCGUGUCACAUUCAGCAGUCUAGGUGAUGCUUCGCUUGCUGCCCUUAAGUGCCUUGAAGAAUGGGGCACAGCGGUCAGUGGCCUUGGAGAUAAAUCUGGUCAGGGCUGCGACACGCCCUGUAAGGCUUUGGAUAUCCUUGACCGUCUUAGGUAUUUUCAUGUCUAAGAUGGCCUGGAUCUUUUCUGGAUUGACCUCAAUACCCCUCUGGCUGAUCAUGAAGCCAAGGAAUUUGCCGGAAGCCACCCCGAAUGCACAUUUGGUGGGGUUGAGCCUCAUUUUGUACUGCUUCAAGAUGGUGAAGAUGGCAGAGAGGUUAGGGAUGUGUUUGUGAGUUGUGCGACUCUUGACCAGCAUGUCAUCAACGUAUACUUCCAUGGUGUUGCCAAUCAGUGGGGCGAAGAGGCUGUUCACCAGACACUGAUAAGUAGCCCCGGCGUUCUUGAGGCCGAAGGGCAUCACCUUAUAGCAUAGAGGCCACGAUCCGUAAUGAAGAAGGUGUGGGCUUGAUCUUCGGGGUGCAUGAAGAUCUGGUUGUUACCUGAGUAAGCAUCCAUGAAGCUAAGGAGGGCGUGGCCAGCUGUGGCGUCUACCAGCUGGUCAAUGCGGGGUAGAAGGAAGCUAUCCUUUGGGCAGGCCCGAUUAAGGUUGGUGUAAUCUACACACAUGCGCCAGCCUUUUUGUGGUUUACGGACCAUCACCACAUUAGCCAGCCAUGUAAGAUAGUCAACCUCCCUGAUGAAUACUAUACUACUCAAUGGAUCCACCUCCGCCCUCAUGGCCUCAUAGCGCUCUGGGUCGUAAGCGCGACGCUUCUGUCGGACGGGUCGGACGGCAAGAUUAACGCUGAGCCUAUGGGAUAUGAUGUCUGGUGAUAUGCCAAGCAUGUCAUUGUAGGACCAUGCGAAGACUUCAAAGUUGAGGCGAAGGAAGGCUACGAGGUCAGAGCGAAGCUCUUGCGAGAUGGAGGUGCCGAUCCAGACUUGCCGAUCCGGGAUGUCGUCAUGAAAAGUAACCAGCUCUAGGUCUUCCACAGGUUCGGCUUGCUGAGUGACAGACUCCUCCCUUGGGUCCUCAAGUCAUUCUGUGCCAGCUUGAGGAGGGGCGGGAGCUUUGGUUAUUGCAAGGGCCUCACUCCUAUGUUGGCGAUUAGUGGAUUUAACUGCGUAAGCAUAGCAGCUUCGGGCGCUGAGUUGGUCGCCGAGCACCGUGCCUGUGCCAUUAGGCGUAGGGAACUUCAGCAGCAGCAUAUGUGUGGAAAUAAAGGCCCUCAUUUGGAGCCAAGGUUAGGCGUCCAAGGAUGACGUUGUAAGCUGUGGGGCAGUCAAUGAUAAGGAAGAGGGUAGUGAUUGUCACCCACUGGAGUGCGGCCCCAAUAGAUAUAAGAAGAUGAAUGCUGCCAAUGGGCUAGACCACAUCACCUGAGAAGCUCACAAAGGGUGUGAUGCUUCAGUCGAGUAAGUGAGACAGGACCUGGAGCUCAUUGAAAGCGUCAGCAAACAUCACAUUGACCGAGCUGCCGGUGUCCACCAAGAUACGCCAAACGUCCAAAUUAGAAAUGUCCGCAUGGAUAAUGAGUGGUUCAUCAUGGGGGAGGAUAACACCACGCUCCUCCUCCUCGCAGAAGGUAAUGGGGGCCCAGCCCGACUUUUGGGUCUUCGGCAAGCGUCCCUGCUCGGUGCUGAAGACCUAGUACGCAUAGGUGGAGCGGACAUAAUGUUUGAUGGAGUUGUUGGAGGUGCCAACCAGGGUAGAACCACCACUGAUGGUGGAGAUCAUGUUGAUCUGUCGUUGGUGAGGGUUAGGCGGGGGUGGUAGGUUGUGCACAUAGUUGUCCAGCUUUCCCUCACGGAUGAGCCCUUCAAUUAUGUUGCGCAACGCAACACAAGAUUCGGUGUCAUGGCCGCUGAAUUGAUGAAAGCGGCAGAAGACACCCGUGUUUGGCAUAGGCUUGCCGAAUGGUCUCCAGGGGGUGGCUUGGGGAUGAUAGGGGCUUCAUGCACCAGGACGUUCUUAUAUGUGGUGUUGAGGGUGGUAAAAACCUAGAACCUGGUCCUAGGUGUGAAGGGAAGUAGGGCUCGAUCAGUUGUCUUGGGAGGGUUGCCUCCACUAGAUUGGUGGUGGUUGCCAUGUCUGCCACGUUUGUUAUUGCUGAAGGGAUGCUGGUAGCUAUCCUUCCGUUUUGGUUGUUGGGUACCCUGGGUACUUGGGGCGGGGGUAGAAUGCUGAGAUAGGGCUGAAGCAGGUACUAAAGCAGGUGGAGGAUCGGCAAAAGUGUUAAGCGCCAGGUUGGCUGGGCCACGCUUGGAAUUGAAAUAUUCAGCCUUGGCAUGGACCGCUGCCUGCUUCAUUAGCUCUGUAUAUGUGUUCCAACUGUUGCUAUGAACCAGGUAGCGAAAGUUGGACUCGCGGAGGCCACUCUUGAAAGCCUCGAAGGCAGCGCGAACAUUAGUCUCUGGGCAGCGGGAGUAUUCGUUAAUGAACUGGGCUGCAUACUCCCGAAGGGGUUCGUCCUCAGCCUGCCGAAGCAUAUACAAGUCGUCGGCGGAGUAUAAGAGAUCAGUCUGGAUCAUAAAAUGAUCCAGGAAGGUCUGCUUAAGACUGUCCAAUGAGUUGAUGGUGCGGGGUGGAGCCUAUAGAACCAGUUUAGGGCUGCGCCGCUGAGGCUGGAAGGAAAGAGAAGGCACAUGCCUUCGUCAGUGAGGCCCUUGCACCCAAGGGCAGACUGGAAGGAGUGGAUAUGGGUGAGAGGGUCCUCCGUGCCAAUGUAGAAGGCGAUGCGGAGCGACUGGAUAUCUUUCUCCUGGUGGUAGUGGAGGAUACGUUCAGUAAAGGGCCCCGGUCGUGAUUUUGCCCAGAGGGGUUGAUGGCUACGAUGUUGUUCGCUCUCCAAACGCUGGACCUUUUCAAAGAGAAGCCUCAUGGUCAGGUUGGCAUGAGGGAGAGUCUCGGGUGCCAAAGGCUUGUGGGGUGGGCAGACAGGGGCUGGGGAAUGUUCCCUAUCUUCCAAUGCCUCAGUGUGGUAAGUUGGCCAGGCUUCGGAAUUAUAAAAUUCCCAGCUAUCCGAGUCCCCUACGCCCUCCUCGUCGGGUAACGGGCGGGCCCUGGUAAGGGGCCCAGGUGUGUCACCCGUGGGUCUUCGAGGUUAACAGGAAUAGGGAUCGCCUCUGGUUGACGGUCCGAGAUGCGGUCCCUGCAAUCUCUGUAGAUCCUGACUGGUUCAUGAGGCCGGUCCUUCGAUGGGGGAAUGCAAAGGAGUCGCGACUGGGUUAGCUCCGGAUGAAGGUGGCCUUUACCCUUGCGGAGCCUAGAUUGGGCCGGGGCACUGUGGCUAGAAUGUACUGGCUGGUUUGGUUGGGUAUGCCCAACAUUCUGGGUGAGGUCUUGUUGGGCAUCAUGGGUGUGAGUCCUCUCCCAAUUCCGCUUUAGAGCACGAUAGUCAUGCUCUAGCUCAACAUUCCUGCAAUGAAGAUGCUCAUAUUUCUUCGACAUUUUAGUAAUACUGUCGCGGAGGCGCUCCCCUUCUGCCUGGAGAGUGGCAUCUCCCGAAGAUUUCCUUCGGGAAGUACCAUCGCGGGGGGUAUGGUGCUGGGUAUCGCAGCUAUCCUCGGUCGGCAUAGCAGAGUGUGGGGUGAAGAAGAGGUGACGGGGCCUGAUGGGUGAAGGAGCCAGUUGGGCUGAUAGAGAAAGAGGGGAUUCUAGUGUCGCUUCCUACAGACAGCGCCAAACUGUUGAUGCUCAAAAUGGCCCGGCCAAUAUUGAGUCCAACUUGGUGAUGAGAUGUGUGGGGUCUUCGGCAGUUUAGAAGGCUAAGGUCUUCGAAAAGGGUUGAACCUGCAGAAGACAAAAUGGGAGAAGCGAUCGUCAAGCUUUGGACACCGGUGUGGUGCCGGCCGAAAGCUCUCCGAUGCUUAAGUUAGCUACAAGUGGUAACUUUGACAGAGUAACAGUAAAGGUGAGAAAGUGGUUACCCUUUUUACUUGGGUAUUGUUCCCUAUUUAUAGGGAGGUCAAAGUAGGAGGUUUGCACAAAGUUUCAAUGUGGGACUUUGUGCAAGUCGUCGUGGUGGCGACACGUGUCCUGGAGAUUAGGUUUGGCAAUUGCAAGUUUCGGCAGGUGUUUGGCACCUCGGAAGUGUGUCUUCCUUCGGCAGGGAAGAAGGCGUGGCUGCCUUGGUGCUAGUCGCUUUGAUGUUGGGUCUGCUAGGUUCACUAUGGUGUAAACGAAAAUCGAUCGAAAACAUGCCAGAAGAUCAUAGCUCCAAUCGCAGCUAAACGAACCAGAGCUCCAAAUCUUCAAAGCGAACCAGAGCUCCAGUUUCAAAUCGCGUGUACUUUAAACAUACAGGGGUAAAAAAGUCAUUUACUUUGUAAGUUUUAAAGUUGGGCCAAGCUUUUUAAGAAGAAGGAUAGCAUUGUCUUUUCAGUUGUUAUUUUAAGGUGGGCCAACGAAUCUGGGCCUCCUCUUUGGCCUAAUCCAAAACAACAAUUCAUUCUUAGGUAUUAAAAUCCAAACAAAAAUACUCUCUGUCUCAAAUACUAAUUAGUAAAGAUACUUAUGUUUAAUAUCUAAUUUUGCUUUUAUAUAAGGGUAAAGUGUCGUUUUGCCCCUUGAACUAUAACGCAUUUUGAACCUACCCCCCUGAAUUAUUUUGUUUGUCGAUUUAGCACUUGUUAAAAAUAGCCAAUGUUGCACUCACUGUUAGUUUUUUGAGAAUUUCAUCCACAUACAUGUGAGGGGCACGUGCUUUCGAAUUUUGAGGACAUUUUUGUCAUUUCAAUCACUUUCCAUCUCACCCACACCCAUCUUCUUCAUACCCACCCCUGCCCCAAAUCGUUAUGUUUUGGUUGUAGUGGUCCCCCCGCCCCCCCUUUUUUUUUCUUCUUUUUCUCUGCCAAUUUUUUUUUUUUUCCUUCUAUUCUUCCUCUUUGUUUCCUUAUCUCCUCUCGUUGUUCAAUUUUUUUUUUUUUUGUGACAAUGAGCUUGAGCAGAGGGAGCAAUGGAGGUCUUUGGUUGUUGGGUUUUCGCCUGCGGAGGAGGAGAGUACGGGUUUGGUUGCGAAAAUGAAAACAAUAAAUGGAAUUUGUUUUAUUGUUUAUUUUAAACAAUAAAUGGAAAUACAGAAGGAAGGACUAUAAUUCCCUCAACAAACAAAUCACAUGGGCCCCUAAUCAAUAUUUAGACAGAAGUAUAGAUGAAAUCUCAAGAAAUCUAAUGGUAAGUUCGAUAUUGACUAUUUUAAACAAGAAAAAAAACUAAAUCAACGGAUGAAAUAAUUCAAGGGAGUAAAUUCGAAUUGCCUAAUAAUUAAGGGAGCAAAACGGCUAAAAAUUCUUUAUAUAAUACAUACAAAUGUCAUUAGCAGCAUGCAAAACGAAGAUUUUAUAUGAGCAUUAUUCUUGACUUGAUGCAUUUGCCCAUGGAUUUCUUCUAGCAACCAAAUAUCUAUCUGAUCAUAUCGUAUCAUAUUUUAUGAGACUAUGAUGCAGGCAUGUAAAACGCGGCUUUGACCGUUGACCGAAGUACCAGAGACAAAUUGUAAAGAAAAAUAACCCCAUGCGCAUCAGAGUGAGACAAAAACGUAAUGAGACAACCUCAAGACUCCAAGAACACAUAAUUUUAACCACUAGGUGUACCGUAGGCACAAAUGUACAGAAAAGGCCACCAUUUCUCCUCCUAUGCCAUUAUUUCCCCCGCAAAGCACACGAAAUUACCUUUUUUUAUUUAUUUAUUGGAAGAAACUCAUUGGCAUGCAAUUGGCCUUCUCGUCAAUGAUCACUUGGAAGAAACUCAUUGGCAUGUAUCUAUUAAGCUCCUGUCAGACGCGGCUUUGACCUCCAAGUCGUGACAAUAGAAAUGCAGCAGCUGCUUGACCAAAGCACUUGCAGAUUAUGUGUUCUCGUUAUAGCAAGUGUAUUCUUGCUUGGUUUUAGUGCCUUGUUUCUCUAUAUUCCUUAUGGUUUAGUGUGUAUAACUGGUACAUCAAUUACGAAGAGCCAUCGGAGCCCUGAGAGCCCUGAUAAGCGCGUCCCGUCUGCCUGCGGUAACAUCAACAACAUAAUCAGCCCCUUUCGAAUAGCCAACGAUACAAAUCAAAGCAACUGCACGAACUGGGAUUACUACUACUACAACCUCUAUUGUGACAACAACCUCACAGUAUUGACAAUAAAUCGGGGAAGAUACUAUGUGCAGGCAAUCAACUAUGACAACUUCACAAUCCGAGUUGUAGAUCCUGGCAUUCGCAACAAUGAUUUCUCCUCCAUCCCCCGUUAUUCCCUUUCCAUUUACAACUUAACUUCUCAUCUUCGAUUAGCAUCCAGUACAACACCUAUAACUUUCUUCAAGUGUGCAAAAGCAGUGAACUCGUCUGCGAUGAGUACGUAUAAUUAUGUCAAGCAAGGGACUAUAACGGCAUCAGAUAUGGAGGAUGGGUGCAGAAUAGAGUGGACGACUUUGAUGAGUAAGUCGUUCUUGUACGAAACGGAUAGAAACUUUUCUUAUCAUGACAUACAUAACGCACUGGGGUAUGGCUUUGAGCUUCAAUUCCGCUUUCUCAAGACCAGCUACAAAUUAGGUUUGUGAAUUAUUUGCUAUAUUCCAAGUCUACAAUUUCUUACUCAAACUUUCUGAAUUUCUCCAAAUGUCACUUGUUUAAAUCUAUCAUCUAUGACUUUUUGUUACGCUUUAUUUCUCAUUUUCAAUCAUUUGUUUUGUUUAGUUUUAUUUGAAAUAAGGCGAUACAGGGCUGAAAAUGAGAAAGACAUAUGGAGAAAAUAUGUCAAAUAUUCUUUGAAAAUAAAAAUUCUAAAAAUUUUAAAUAGUUUUAUUACUUGUAUUUUGUCUGCCUAAUUUAAAUUCCCUUCUCUCUUCUUCCUCAUAUGAUGUAGUUUGCUAAUUAGUCUUAGUCAACCAUUAAGCAGAGAAUAUAUAUAUAUAUAUAUAUAUCUGUGUUUCAAAAUUUCAAACUUAUUGUCAAGCCUUUGAUUUUGGUCAUUUUUUCUUGUAUCUCUUGCAGAUAUUGACCUUUUGCUGACAUUCGGUAAGAGUUUGCAUAUUCCUUUCCCUUCUCUCUUCUUCCUCAUAUGAUGUAGUUUGCUAAUUAGUCUUGGUCAACCAUUAAGCAGGAUAGAGUUUAUAUAUAUAUAUAUAUAUAUAUAUCUGUGUUUCGAAAUUUCAAAUUUAUUGUCAAGCCUUUGAUUUUGGUCACUUUUUCUUGUAUCUCUUGCAGGUAUUAAACUUUUGCUGUCAUACGGUAAGAGUUUGCAUAUUCCUUUAGUGCAGAAUUGUAGUCAGUAGAAAAAACAAAUGGAAGCAAAGAGUAAGGUUUUUAAUAUAUUAUAUCCAAUAAAGCAUGUCAUUUGUGAUUCUUUUUGUGAUGUUGCUUUGCAGGAGCAUUUUUCCCAAUAAGAUCUAUAUUUGGGUUUCCAUUUCUGGCUGCUCUUCUAAUCUACAAACAACGAAGAAGGCAUUUGUCAAUGUAUAGCAACAUAGAAGAUUUCCUGCAAAGUGAUAACAACCUCAGUCCGAUAAGGUACUCUUACUUAGAUAUUAAAAAGAUGACCAGUAGAUUCAAUGAGAAGUUGGGUGAAGGAGGUUAUGACUGUAUUUAAAGGAAAGUUACACAGUGGUCGAUUUGUAGCAGUUAAAAUGUUGGAGAAGCCUAAAGCUAAUGGACAAGAUUUCAUAAGUGAGGUAGCUACUAUUGGGAGGAUUCACCAUUUUAAUAUGGUUCAACUUGUUGGUUAUUGUGUUGAGGGAUCAAAGCGUGCCUUAAUUUGUAACUUCAUGCCAAAUGGAUCUCUUGAUAAAUACAUUUAUUGUAAAGAAGGAAGCAAUCCUUUAAGUUGCAUGAAAAUGUAUGAGAUUUCUCUUGGAGUGGCUCAAGGUAUCGAAUAUCUACAUCAAGGUUGUGACAUGCAAAUUCUACAUUUUGACAUCAAGCCUCACAAUAUUCUUUUGGAUGAGAAUUUCAUCCCAAAAAUUUCUGACUUCGGGCUUGCAAAGCUAUAUCCGGUAGGUAAUACCAUCGUCUCUUUGACGGCAGCAAGAGGAACAAUGGGAUACAUGGCUCCUGAGUUGUUUUACAAAAAUAUUGGAGGUGUCUCAUACAAAGCUGAUGUAUAUAGUUUUGGAAUGUUGUUGAUGGAAAUGGCAAGUAGAAGAAAGAAUUUGAACGCAUCCAUAGAGAAUUCAAGCCAAAUUUAUUUUCCUCGUUGGGUCUCAGACCAAUUUUGCAUGGGCAAAGAGUUUGAGAUGGAUGAUGUUACAGAAGAGGAAAAGAAAAUAAUAAAAAAGAUGAUUAUAACUGCUUUGUGGUGUAUACAAUUGAAGCCAAGCGAUCGUCCUUCGAUGAACAAAGUUAUAGAGAUGCUUGAGAGAGAGGUUGAAUGCUUGCAGCUCCCUACCAAGCUUCUUUUAUAUCCACAACAAGAGAUGCCCAGAGACAAUCUUCAUGGUAAUUCGAACCCAAUGUGUUCUAACACAGAGAUAACAUGUAAUACUCUGUCAGCUACGUGAUGAGUUUCAACUUUAAUUUCUGUUUUAUUAUUAUUUAAGCUAAUAAGGGAAAUAUAUGGGUUCAAGUUGCAUACAUUAAAAAUACGUAUUUAUUUUGAACAAAUACUUAUGUAGUUUUGCUCCUCUGCCACCACAAGCAUCACUAUCGUUGCCACAUCACUACCACCAACAUUGAGUCAUAUCUCAUAUAUAGUUUUUUUAUUUUUUUAUUUUUUGAAAAAUGAUAAGGAGACCACCUUUAGCAAAAAAUUUACCUGUAACGGGGGAUAGCAAUAUUUUGCUAUCCCCAAUCAAUAACACAAUGACCCGUGAAACGGCUAUCAUACGUGUUAUUGCGUUAUUGGUUGGGAAUAGCAAAAAGUGUUAUCCCGUUAUGUGAGAGUUUCCCCUCCAUCUUUAGAGAGACCAACUUGUGUAUCAUCUCCCUAAUAGAGAUGGGACCCAUAGUAUUGGUGAGCUCCACCUUUAUUAGAGAGAUGAUACACAAAAGAUGUUUUUACAAAAAUAAAAUUUAAAUAUUGUUUUUAAAUUAAUGUCAUUUUGAAUUCGCAUGCUUGGUAAAGAAAUGGUUGAGUAUGUGCUACCAAUGCUUUCUUUGCGAGUUAAACAAGUGAAUCUUGAGUGCUUUGAUUCUUGUGUCGACAGUGAACUGCCCAAGCAUGGCUUUCUUCAACAAGUUGGCUCACUAGAGACUGAGAGUUCAAAUGCAGUUGCUCAACCUUUCUUUCACUACUACAAAAAGUGAAAAAGACGCCCAGAAAAAAACGACGGUUUAACAAAAAACCGUCGUUGUGUUUGAAAAGACGACGGUUUUAUAAAAUCACCGUGUAAGAUUAACUUAAACACCUAAAAAAUGGGGAUUCCAAUGGUUGUUUUUAAAAAACGACACACCUAAUUUAAUAACUCUGAGCCCACAAACAAUGGCAGAAGGUAUGAAUCAACCGACGUAGAAAGUAAAGAUGACGGUUUAAAGAAAUAACCGCCGUUUUUACUCCGUAAUAACCACGACCAAGUUUUCGUAUCCGGCGUCGCAAAAUUCCAAAAGAAUCCAUGGCGGUAUAUUACAAAAUACUGCCAUCUUAAAUAAAUGUACAACGACGGAAAAGAUAAAUUUAUCGACUUAUUUCUUGUGCCAUACUACGACGGUAUCUUUAACUAUAACCACGUUGGUUUGUUCAAUUAACGCCGUAUAAUAAAAUUUACCACGUCGUGAAGUUAAAAUUACUGUCGUUUUUAUUUACUUUAUACGUCUAUCCUUGUACCUAAAUGGUCGUCUUAAUUUCAUUAUUUUUUACUAUUUAUUUCUUGACUUUUGGUAUCCUACGAUGGUAGAUCAACUUAAUGACAAGAAUGGAGAAUAACCACGACGGUUUGUAUAGAAAACCGCCGACAUAACAGAUUUUUCUGAGAUCCAAGAGAUACGUCGUGAAGUUAAAAUUACCGUCGUAUUUAUUCACUUUAUAUGUCCGACGUUAUAUCUAAACCGUCGUCUUAAUAGUAAUUUUUUUUUUAAUUUUUAUUUCUUGGAUUUUGUUAUCCUACGUCUGUAGAUCAACUUAAUGACAAGAAUUGAGAAUAACCACGACGGUUUAUAUAGAAAAUAGCCGUCAGAAUCAGAUAUGAGAUCCCAAGAGUUACGAAAUCUUACCAGAUGGAACUUUGUUCCUCAUCAUAUUUGCAUUUAGAAAGACAAUUUUUUGGAAGUUGAUGAUGUGUGUGUGUUUGUGUUUGUGUCUUUCAUAUACACAAACGCACACAGACAUCAACAUCCAAACAAUUGCCCCUAAAAUUUGACGACGGCAGCCACAGAUUUGCAUUUAGAGAGACAAUAUUUUAGAGAUUGAUGAUGUAUGUGUAUUUGUGUCUCAACAUCCAAAAAUUUGCCUCUAAAAUUUGACGACGGCAGCCUAAGAGGUGAGAUAGAGGGCAAGAAGAAUUUUGUGAAUCAGAGAGACAAUUUUUUGAACGUUGGUGAUGUAUGUAUGUUUGUGAAUCAGAUACACAAACAUAAACACACACACCAACACCCAAACAAUUGCCUCCUAAGAGGUGAGACAGAGGGCAAGAAGAAGUUGGAACCGUAAUUGAAAACUGAAACUGAAAGAAAUCGUGGAAAAAAAUUUAAUUUAUAAAAAAAAAAAUUCAUAUCCACGUCGGUUAUAUUAAACCUAACGCCGUUUAACAAAAGAAAUCAACGUCAGUUCUUGAAACACGGAUGACGUAUUAAACAAACGAGGUGAAGACAAACAACAUCGGUCAUUGAACUAAAGGCAACGAGGUUUAGACAAACCAUUUGGUGUCUUAAAAAAAACGACGUGGUAACUUAUAAUAUCACUUAUUCAAAAGUAUACUUUUGACGUGUAGCGCCCAACUAACCACGUCGUUUUCGGAAUACAAAAAGUCAAAAGGCUUUUUUGAUAACCAUGUCAGUUUAGUUUAUUUAAAUGUUGUGGUAACUACAUACUAGGGCGGUUUAUAUGACCACCAUCGUUGUAUUUAUCUUUGGGACACUAUAUAAACUUUUUGGUCACCUGACCUAAACUUUUACGCUCUCUCUAAAAUUUUCAGUUUUCUCUCAGUUUCGCUCUCAUUUCCGAAAAGAUGAGUUUCUGAUUCUCAGUUUCCCUCUCAACAUCUAUGUUCUUCCUUGUCUUCGUCUCCAAAAUUUGACUCCAAAGGAAACUUUCUUUGCAAGCCAAAGGUUUGAAAACUUUCUCACUCCGUUUUUUUUUUCUUCACUUUCCCUGAUGUUUUUUUUUCUUCAUUUGAAGUUUUUUUUAUUUACUAAUGUUUGAAACAAGACUCAGGUUUGUAAAUGCCAAAUCCUUCAUUGUUCGCACCCACAGGUCAUGUGAGGACGACGAUUUUUUCUCGAAUUUGACCGUUUUGUUGACACAUCACGACGGUAAUUAAAUUCGUGCUAUUUCAAUAGCACGGCUGUUCAUAAUAACCGACGUGGUGUGUUAAUAAAUAUGACGUUUGAAAGAUAAAACCGUCGUCUUAUUUGAAAAGAACGUGGGAGAGAGAAAACUGGGCGGUUUUUUUAUUUUAUUUUUUAUGAACUUAUAAUAUGACGACGGUUUUAUUUAUUGACCAUCGUUUUAAGUUAAUGACAACAUUAUAUUACCACAUCCACAUUUAUUGUAACACCCCAACUCCAAAUUUAAUCCCUUAUUUAAAUUAUUUAAGUGAAAUUAUAAAUUUACCCUUGGGGCAGGGGUAUUUUGAUCAUUUUCUUACCCAGAGAGAGUUUGGGGCAGUGACUGGUAUUCUUGGAUAGGUCGUACUGAGAUAAGUUCAUAGACACGUAGUGGGCUUGAAUCGGAGUUGUAACGAGAGAGAUAUGGUCAAAAGAAACCCAGUGGCACAAUCGUAAUUAUUUCAAAAUGGAAUUUUUAUAAAAAAAAUCAGAUUUCUCUCUCUCUCUCUCUCUCUCUCUCUCUCUCCCGCGUGCUCUCUCUCUCCUUCCUGCGAGCUCUCUCCUUCUCUCCCCGACGGUCUCUCUCUCUCUCCUCGAAUCUCUGGCCACCGGCCGCAGCUGCGGACGGGACCGGUGCCAAAAGGACUGGCUCGGCAUCGGCGUCACGACCCGGCCCUUCCCCGACAUCGGCCGUCGCUCCAGCAGCCGAAAAAAGGCGAUUUUUGCCCGGUUUUCGCUCGAUUCGCCGGCUCCGAUCUCUCUCCUCCGACCGCCAUUUCUAGCGAUCAAGGUAUGGAAAUCCAUCCAUUCUUCAUACUCUAGCUGCCUGUUGGGUAGGAUUCGAUCGAUUCUUAGCGUACGCAAUUCGAUUUACAAAGUGAAAUUCGGCCGGUUUUGGGAUCUCGAUUCCAGCCACUUCCGGUCAGUUUUUGGGGUAGGUCCAAGAACAAAAGUAGCUCCAAAUAGGGUGUUAUACCUAGGGUAGGAGUUUGGAGCCGUGGUUUUGAGAUUUUCCGGCGAUGCAUAAUCACUUUGGGCACCUAGCGCUGCCGGCGCUUGUGGCGGCAUGUGGGCGAGGGUAGUGAAGUUGCACUAUGUCUCGAUGAGAUCCUUAGGUUGUCACGAGUGCGUAGGAUUUCACGAAUCUCGAUUCGGACGUCGUUUGACUAUCGAACGGAUAUCGCCUAUUGCGCGUUAUCCGGGUUCAAUAGGUUAGGACCGUUGGAUGGUCUCAAAUUUAAUCUACGUUAAUUUAGGUAUUUCUAGGAUCAUGUAGGAAUUCACAGAUCGUGAAUCGGAGCCCCAGAUGUUCCGAUUUAAAGUUUAUGUUUUAUAUUAACCGUCAGAUCGUGCGAUCGUGAGCGAUCUGAUCGUUUGAUCUGGACCAAACUUGCAGGACGAGUGUCCUAUACCUCGUAGAACCCAUAGGAAUUUUCGGAUCGAAAUUUGGAGGUCGUGGGCCCCAUGGGCCCUUUUGACCAGGGUUAGGGUAGUUUGACCCUUGGUUGACCGUGAGUCUCCCGGAGUAAUCUCACCUCCCCAGGGGGAUUAUCAGGUGCUAGACUAUUGUUGAGGUUAUUUAUAUACGUUUGUAAAGGUUUAAAGGGAGUCUAGAAUGUCAGUUUGAAGUGCUAUACGCAUUACCUUAGGUACCUCCCCGGAUUUUGGUUACACUACAAGUACCACCAUGUGAAAGUGAGGUCCCACGUGGCGUAGGUUAUCCGGCGUGUCGACAGACCCCAUACGUUGCGUUGGUUGUACCGACGUAUGGGGAGAUAUUGUGAUAUGAUGUUCAGGUCUAGCGUGGCAUAGGUUAUCUGGCGUUGAGACAGACCCCAUACGUGGCGUUGGUUGUACCGGCAUAUGGGGAGAUAUUGUGAUAUGAUGUUCAGGUCUCACGUGGCGUAGGUUAUUCGGCGUUGAGACAGACCUCAUACGUGGCAUUGGUUGUACCGGCGUAUGGGAGAUAUUGUGAUAUUAUGUUGAGGUCGCACGUGGCGUAGGUUAUCCGGCGUGUCGAUAGAGCCCAUACAUAGCGUUGGUUGUACAGGCGUAUGGGGAGAUAUUGUGAUAUGAUGUUGAGGUCGCACGUGGCGUAGGUUAUCCGGCGUGUCGACAGACCCCAUACGUAGCGUUGGUUGUACCGGCGUAUGGGGAGAUAUUGUGAUAUGAUGUUCAGGUCUCACGUGGCGUAGGUUAUUCGACCUUGAGACAGACCCCAUACGUGGCGUUGGUUUUACCGGCGUAUGGGGAGAUAUUGUGAAAUACAGAGAAAUGAAAUAAGGUAUUGCCUAUGUGUGGAAUUGGGUUUUAAGGAAGAACUAUGUGUGGCUUGAUCCCUCAGGGAGGGUACGUAGGCGGCCUAAGGUUAUUAGGUGCAGCCGCGGACAUAGAUGUGAUUGUGUUAGGAGGUUAAAACCUCGUAUGUUGAAAUUGAAAAAGUUAGAUGUUGUAUGUUGAAAUUUAGUAGUCGUAAUUUAUAUUUGAAUUUAUCGUUUGCCUUGUUUAAGGCAUGAAUUGACUUGCUGGCAUGCUUGGUAGUUGAGAAUUAUAGGAAGGCCGAAGGCCGUUUAUGUGAAUUGCAUGAAAUUAUAUUGUGCAUGCUGCCAGUUGUGGUUAUGAAAUGUGUUUUAUGCAGGUUGAAAUUUUGGGAAAUGUUCAAUUUACAGGGGAGACUCUGUCAAAAUUUCGGCAGAAAGUCUCGUACCCUUAUUCCAUUUUGGAAAAAAGGGUAUAACUUUAGAAGUGUGCCCGACAUCGGGGUGAUGUUGGGAAUUUUCACAGGAUUCGCCUCGGAUUUUGGGAAAUUCGGGGCGGGUCCUUUCAUUUAUAUAGAUAGAACGACGGUUUUGUUUGUUUGACGUCGUCUGAACUUUCAUUUUACGUCUGUAUUUUACCUAAUCGUCGUCGUUUUUCUUGCUUUUUUUUUUCUCUGUAAACUUGGUUUUGAAAUCUCAAAGUAAGGAUUCUCAGGCGUCAAAAGGUCAAGGCAAGGACAUUGCAGUUUCAAAGGCACAAUCUCUUCCAAGCAAUCCCACAAAGAAGAUGAGAAAGACCCAAGCUCUGCGACAUUUGAUGAAGUGACGAAAUCUACUGGUGGUAUCAACACAAUGAGCCGUGUUGUGAAGAGGAAAAUCCAGAAUAUUAAGCCUAUGGUUGAGUACAAUAAAAGUGACAGACCACAUGGCAAGGCUGCUAUUGAGAUGCAGAGUUACAUUGGUGUUUUGGCACGAACCAGAGUCCCUCUUGUGGACAAGAAAUGGACUCAAUUACCCAAGGACCUGAAGGAGCAGAUUUGGGAAGCUGUUUAAAUGGCUUAUGUUGUUGGGGAAGGGGGCAAGAAGAUGGUGCUGUCGUCUGCCGGCAAAAAAUGGAAGGAUUUUAAGUCUACCUUAACUAGGUAGUUUAUCCUUCCAUUCGCAAAUGGGAAGUAGAAGUUAAAAGAGCCCCAUCAACUUUAUAACUUCAUAGAUAAAUUUGAAUGGGAUGCCUUUGUAGCUUCAAGGUUAUCCCCAGAUUUUGAGGCUGUGCAUUCUGAGCAGUCACAGAGAAAGGAGAAAUGUGAGUACAACCAUAGGUUGUCUCGAAAAGCAUACGUUGGUUUAGAGGAUCAAUUGGAAGAAACCAUGCCCGGUGAAGAAAUUGAUUGAUCUCUGCUAUGGAAGAAGGCAAGAGAAGAUAAACAAGGAAACAUCCUUGAUCCAAAGGUUGCAGAGAAGGCAAAAUUAAUCGUAAGUUUCACUGACUCUGUUCUAAACUUGUAAAACAGAGGUUUUAUUUUUCAUUCAAACGUCGAUCUUUUUAUUAACCGUUGUUAGACAUGAAACCCCACGACUGUUUUUAAUCACCGCCUUUUAAAAAAUAUAUAACGUCAGGAUUUUUAUAAAACCGACGUCUGGAUUGAAUUACAACGACGGUUUUGUGUUUCUGUGUUAAGUUUUUUAAAUUAAAUUUUGAACUUUCUUCAUAUUCACACGCACACACACACUCUCUCUCUCCCUCUCUAUUUCUCUGCAAUUGGUUUGUACACUAUUUAUGGAUUAAUGAAUAUUUUGGUUAAGUGUUUUUAUCUCUGAUGUCAAAUAAACGAUGGUUAUUUUAUUGACCGACAUUGUAAUUUAAACAAAACGACGGUAGUUUUGGGACGACGUAUUAAAUGAUUUUCUGCGUCUGUUUUUUAAAGAAACUGUUGUCAUAACAACUUUCCCACGUCGGUUAAUAUUUUUAUUAAUUAAUUUAUUUAAUCAGUUGUACUAUCUGUUCACUCACUAACAUUCUCUCUCUCACUUUUAGGAUGAUUUGAAAAAAUAAGUCUCCGAGGGCACUCUGACUGUCUCUGGGAGCAACGAUGUUUUGACCUUGGCUUUAGGAACCCCUGAGCAUGGUGGGAGGGUCAGAGGUGUUGGAGCUGGGGUUUCCCCAACUCAAUUCUUCAAUUUGCCUAGACAGCAGAGAGUAAAAUUUGCUAACAAAUUAAAGGAAAGUGUUAUGGAAGCAGUGAGAGAGGAAACCAAAAAGAUGGAGGCCAGGGCAAAGGAAAGUGUUAUGGAGGCAGUCAGAGCAGAGAGGGAAAUUUUGUUGAAACAACUCAGUCAACUAAUUCCCAACUUUGAUCCCAACUUGCUCAGUAAAAUUCCAACUACACCAAUUACUCAAAUUCCUCAAAUUCCUCAAGAGCAAAGCCCAAAAAAUCCAAUGUCUGACAAAGCAAGCUGCUCUAAUGUGAGAGCCCUUGAAUUGGAUGAAGACAAUCCCACGAAUGAUGCUGAUGCUGAUGCUGCUGAAAACCGUCAAGAUAAAACGGUAAAAUCUCUAACAUAUGAUUUUUCUGAAUUUUAAAUUUCAAAUAGACGUCGGUUUUUAGUUUACAGCUCGUCGUCUAUUUUAACCUAGACGACUUUUCUAUUUGUAGCGACGUUAUAAAAUUUACACAAUGUCUGUUAUGUAUUUACUGUCGUCUAUAACCUUUACCUUGUCAGUAUGUUCUAGAAACCGUCGUUGAUAUUAUGUAUUGUCAAUGAGCUAUACAUUCCUAAUUAGUCUAAGUCAACUAUUUGAUUAUGCAAGAUUAUAGGAACAUAAUUACUUUCCUAGAAUAGUUUCCUAGGCUCUGUAUAUAUAACCUUCCUAUUUGUUAUAUAUCAAUAUGAAUGAAAUAUUAUUUUUCACCCAAUCUGAUAUGGUAUCAGAGCUGUCGAUUAUGACUGUCUCUUGACCUAACCCUAGCAAUCACUUCCGCAACAGCAACCAUCAACAAACCCAGCACCAGAAAAUCACUCAACCGUUCCCUUGCCUUCUUUUUCCCAAAACCUCUAUUUCUUAUUGCAAACCAGCCUAUAUUCCAUCUAUAUUCCAUCAGUUUGUCUUAUUGUUCACCUUCAUCAAAUUAGUUUGUCAAACCAGCCUGUAUUUCAUCUCACAACCCAGCACCAGUUUGUCAAACUAGUUGUCACGUCAUUCAACAAAUAUUCAAAUCUCACAAACCAACUCAAAUCACCGUUUCCCUUCAACCCAAUAAUUUUUUUUGUGUCCUUUUCUCUUAAGUUUUCCAGAGUAACGUUUACAGAUUUCUUUUUGCCUCUUUUUUCUCUCAUCACUUGUAAGCCAAUAUCAUGGCCAACGAUGAUGGGUCAGCAAACACCAAUCAAUCCUUGGUGUUAGGAGGCUCCAAAACUACCACACAAAUCGUCACUUUGCAGAGUGACACCUCCAAAUUCUCCGCAAGAAUCAAACUAGAUGAGAAUAAUUAUUCUCUAUGGCAUCAAAUCAUAGAGAUGAAGAUAGCUGGGCGAGAAAAACAUGGCCACUUGACCGGUGAUAUUGCCCAACCUGCAGACACAGAUCCCACAUUUAAUAAAUGGUGUGCAUCGGAUUGCCAAGUCAAGAGUUGGUUGUUCAACGCCAUGCAACCUAAUCAGAUUAAACGAUUUAUUCGUUAUGACACAGCAAAGCAAGUCUGGGCUGCAAUCAAGCAAACCUACUCAGAUGGUGCUGAUGAAACCAAGAUUUAUGACCUUCACAGACGGUCAUUCAUAAUGAAGCAAGUUGGCGCAUCAGUUGCCAAAUAUUACAGUGAGCUCACUGAGAUUUUUCAAGAGCUUGAUCAAUUAAGUCCAAGCACCAUGGAGCAUCCGAAAGACAUUGAGACUAGACGCAAAGAGGUUGAUCGUCUCCGAGUUUAUAUAUUUCUUGCAGGUUUGGACAAUAAUUUUGAUCAAAUCCGAGGAGAGAUUUUGCGGAUAGAGCCAAAACCCAAACUGGAGGCCGCAUAUGCACAUAUUAAAAGAGAAAGUAACCAACAGGGAACCAUGUCUGAAGCUGGUGUAACCUCCGAAGCCACGGCCUUGGCUACUGCGAGGUCCAAACAAUCUCGGCCGAAUAACUAUAGUGUCGACCCUACUCGUAACCGGCCUCCAAUGAAGUGUACCAAAUGUGGUUUAGAUAACCACACAAUUAAGGGCUGUUAUGAGAUCAUUGGUUAUCCAGAAGGAUGGGUCCACAAAGGGUGAAAAAAGGAUUCAACCAGAGCCUCAUUUGCAUCCGCUCAGUCAUCCGAGGAGACUGCAUCAGAACCUCCAUCAGGUACAUCUGGCUCCAAGGCCUUGGCCACCUCAGGUACCUCUUACACAUCUUCACUUACUUGUAAUAGAUCAUGGAUUAUUGACACUGGCGCUACUGAUCACAUGACAUCUAGUUUUACUGGGUUGCACUCUACCAAACCAUCAAGCCAAACACAUAUUACCAGUGCCAAUGGAACCACCUCCCAAGUUAUGGGAGAAGGGUCUUUAUCUCUUACAUCUUCAUUAAGUCUUGAUCAUGUCUUAGUUGUCUCUUCACUCAACUAUGACUUGUUAUCUGUUCCUCAAAUCAUUGAUUCCCUUAAUUGUACCGUGUGUUUUUGGCCAUUGUAUUGUCUAUUUCAAGAUCUUCUCACCAGGACCGUGAUUGGAUGUGGUACUAGGAGGGGAAAGUUGUAUUAUCUGGACUUGACAGAAGACAGCAGUACAAGAUUGAGUCAGACACAUCAUGUGAGAGGAGAUGAGUCUAUCAGGAUGAAGAAAAUUUGGCUAUGGCAUAGACGAUUAGGACAUGCUUCUUUUGGUUAUCUGAAACUUUUAUUUCCAGAUUUGUUUUCCCAGUUUGUUGAAUCAGACUUUCAUUGUGAAACUUGCAUUUUGGCCAAAAGCCAUCGUAUUUCUUACCCAUUAAGAUUGAAUAAAAGUUCUUUGCCUUUCAUGAUUGUCCAUUCGGAUGUUUGGGGACCAUCACGAGUUCCCACUAUUAGCGGUUUUAAGUGGUUUAUGACGUUUAUUGAUGAUUGCACCCGAAUGACCUGGGUUUUUUCCUUAAAGCAGAAAAGUGAAGUCCACCGCCAAAUUCAAGUUAUUUUAUCAAUAUGUUGCUACUCAGUUUGACAAGAAAAUCACUACGCUUCGGUCUGACAAUGAAGGAGAGUACGUCAACCAUGACCUACAUAAUUUUUUAAGUCAACAUGGAAUUGUUCAUCAAACCACAUUUGCCUAUACACCACAAUAGAAUGGCGUCGCAGAGCGUAAGAAUCGUCAUCUCUUGGAGGUUGUUAGUGCCUCUUUAUUUGAGGCCCAUAUGCCUCAUCAUUUUUGGGGGGAGGCUCUUUGUUCUGCUGCUUACCUCAUUAAUAGAACACCAUCCAGCACUCUUCAGUAUCAAACUCUAUUUCAGACAUUGACCACUCUCCUCACCAUGCCAUCCACACCAAAUCUAAAACCAAGUCUCUUUGGUUGUGUUGCUUAUGUUCAGAUGUAUCCACAUCAGCGUGGCAAGCUUGAUCUGUGUGCACUACGUUGUGUCUUUGUGGGUUAUGCUGACACUCAGAAGGGCUAUAAGUGUUUCCAUCCUCCCACUCAGACCAUGCAUGUUACCGCAGAUGUGACUUUCCACGAGAGUGAGUUCUAUUACUCAGGGGGAGUUCUGAGCAUCCUCUGUAGGAGGAGAGCUCUAUCUUUGCAGAAGAUACUCAGAGCAUCCAAAUUCAACAAACUGUUUUAGAGCAGUCAGUGUCCGAGCAACCAGCUAUAGUAGUGCAACAAGAUCAAGAGUUACUGGAAACUCCAGAUGAUGGUUCAGAUAAUUUCCCUCCUAUUACAGUACCAUCACCAAUCAUCCAAUCAGGUCCUGAAGAUUCCCCGCAGGUAACUGAACAUUUAAACUCUAACUUAAGCACUUUACAUGAGUCGAGUCAUACGGGAAACACAGGUUAUCAGUUACCUAUUCGUACCACUAGAGGGAUUCCUAGACAACAGUAUGACCCGGACCCAAAAACAAAAGUUAAAUACCCUAUUGCUAAUCAUUUGUCCCUACAUAAGUUGUCUCCAUCAUAUGCAUCAUUUGUAUGUCAAUUAUCCACUGUAUCUAUUCCAAGUAAUGUGCAGGAAGCACUGAAAGAUCCCAAGUGGACUCAAGCGAUGAAUGAUGAAAUGGAGGCCCUCCAGAAGAAUUCCACUUGGGAGAUGACUAUCCUUCCCAAAGGGAAGAGAACAGUGGGUUGUAGAUGGAUAUAUACAGUAAAGUUCAAGGCAGAUGGCACCAUUGAACGAUACAAAGCAAGAUUGGUGGCGAAAGGUUAUACUCAGACUUAUGGGAUUGACUAUGAGGAGACAUUUGCCCCUGUAGCCAAGAUAAACACAAUUCGGGUACUUCUUUCUCUGGCAGCAAACCUAAACUAGCCAUUACACCAGUUUGAUGUCAAAAAUGCCUUCCUGCACGACGACCUAGAAGAAGAAGUCUAUAUGGAUUCCCCUCCAGGAUGCAAGAUGGGGCCCAAUACUAGCAACAUGGUGUGUAAACUGAGAAAGUCUCUUUAUGGCUUGAAGCAGUCACCCAGAGCAUGGUUUGGAAAGUUCAGCAAAUCAAUGAAGGAUUUUGGAUACAAGCAAAGUAACUCAGAUCAUACUCUUUUCUUGAAACAUAAGAAAGGUAAAGUCACUGCCCUUAUUGUAUAUGUUGAUGACAUGGUAGUUACCGGGAAUGACCUAGUAGAAAAGGCAGCAUUGCAACACCACUUGGCAAGUGAGUUUGAAAUGAAAGAUCUUGGUGCUCUGAAGUAUUUCCUAGGCAUCGAAGUGGCUCGUUCAGAACAAGGAAUAUUUCUAUCACAACGGAAAUAUAUCCUUGACAUUUUGACUGACACUGGAAUAUUAGUCAGCAAACCAGCAGCUACGCCAAUGGAGUUGAAUCAUCAGCUUGGUGAAUAUCCUGAUCAGGUACCCACCAACAAAGAAAGAUAUCAAUGCCUUGUGGGUAAGUUAAUCUAUCUAGGACACACUAGACCUGAUAUAGCAUAUGCUGUAAGUGUGGUGAGUCAGUUCAUGCAUGCACCAAGUGAAGCCCACAUGGAUGUGGUAAACCGAAUUCUGAGAUACUUGAAGUCAUCUCUUGGAAGAGGAUUGAUGUUCGCACGACAUGGUCAUCUAGAUGUUGAGGGUCACACUGAUGCAGACUGGGCGGGCUCUAUUACUGACAGGCGAUCUACAUCUGGAUACUUUACCUUUGUGGGAGGCAAUCUAGUAUCUUGGCGAAGUAAAAAACAGAAAGUAGUGUCAAGAUCAAGUGUUGAAGCAGAAUAUCGAGGUAUGGCGCAAGGAGUAUGUGAGCUACUCUGGAUAAGGAAUUUGUUGGAGGAAUUGGGGUUCAAACCCAAACAUGCCAUGCAACUGAAUUGUGACAACAAAGCUGCAAUAGACAUUGCACAUAAUCCAGUGCAACAUGAUAGAACCAAGCAUGUUAAAGUUGACAGACAUUUCAUCAAGGAGAAGCUCGAGGCAAAGAUCAUUAAGGUAUCAUUGUUAAAUCCGAAGAUCAACUUGUAGAUGUCCUCACCAAAGCAGUCACAGGUAGGGUAUUUCACAGCUCACUUAGCAAGUUGGGCAUUGACGACAUAUAUGCUCCAACUUGAGGGGGAGUGUCAAUGAGCUGUACAUUCCUAAUUAGUCUAAGUCAACUAUUUGAUUAUGCAAGAUUAUAGGAACAUAAUUACUUUCCUAGAAUAGUUUCCUAGGCUCUGUAUAUAUAACCUUCCUAUUUGUUAUAUAUCAAUAUGAAUGAAAUAUUAUUUUUUACCCAAUCUUAUAUAUAUCACGUCGAUUUUGUUGAUUUGUUGGAGUCGUUUAUUUUACUUCAUGUACAAACUAACUUUUAUUUCUUUAUUUAUUAAUUUCUUGUUAUAGGAUCUCUCAAAGCUUGACAUGCCAGCUCCUCUGUUAGCCUUAUGCCAAUAUGUCGAGACCAAGUUGAAGCCUGCUAAUGAGACCAUUAGAAUUCACAUGCUACAGGAAAUGUUUGGAUCCACAGUGAUUGCAGUAUACAUGAGGUAAUUCUAGAAAUCCAAUUUUAGUUUUUUUACAUUUCCUUUCUUUUAAAUUAAAAUCUCAUUUAAUUGAAUUUCAUAUAUUUUAUUAGGUACCUAUUUGACUAUUUAAAAAUGGCAAAUAUGGUAAACCUUGUUGGCCUCGUGGACCCUGGACUAGUCAGCUCUCAAUCUGGAAUGUUAUCUCACCGUUCAAGACAUCUCUCAGAACGCCUGAAAAGCGCAUAUGGGGAUCAAUUUUACUUUGUGCCUUAUAAUCCAGGGUUAGUCCCCUUCUAUACUUGGUCCCUUGUAAUAUUUUUUUAUAUAGUAUAUUUAAUAUAUAUGGAUCAUUUUGUGUAAGGGUCAUUGGGUGUUAAUAAUUGUGAGACCAGCUAAGGAGACUGUCUAUUACAUGGAUUCAUUGCCAAAUCGCUCUGUUGACGAGGACAUGAGAAAUAUAGUGAAUACGUAAGUUUAUUGAUGAAAACCUAAGAUUUUUAAUUUCUGCAUUUGAAUGAUACGACGACUUUUUCAAAUACCGACGUUGUAGUGAAAACACAACGACGGUAUAUUAUAACUGACGUUUGAAGUCAUUUACAACGUCAGUAUUCUCUUGAACCUGUCGUCUUAAUUUAAAUACCACUUUGUUUGUGUUUUUUAUUUUAGCACGUUUUAAUUUUUUCUGUUCAACUUUUAUUUAAAAACAACUUUGGUUAUACGUCGUUUUUCUUUGUCACCGACGUUAGAAUGAUACACAAUGACGGUUCUUAUUUUUCGACGUUUGAAAUAAAAUACGACGUCAUUUGUUUUACAAAACCGUCAUCGUCACUUCUUUACCACGACGGUUAAUAGUUUUGAUGCUGAUUUUUAGUUUUGUCAUUAAUUAACACUUUUUGUUUUCUUGGAAUUGUUCAAUCAAAAUGUAUAACUCUCACAUAGCCAAACAAUCAUCACAUAAAUCACCCAUAUGGAAAAAUCUACAAGGCACUCCUAGACAACCAAUAAAUGUAGAGUGUGGCUAUUACGUGAUGCGUUUCAUGAGAGAUAUAAUUCAUGAUCCAAGCCUAGCAUUUGAGAAGAAGGUAAAAUUUAAGAUAUGAUUUCUUUAAUUUAAUACCACGACGUGUUCUUUCCAAACCAUCGUUUUAUUGCUUUUAACCCACCGAUUUUUUUUCUUUAUUUGUAGUUUGACAAGAAAAAAGAACCAGUUGUGUAUACUCAAGAACAUAUUGACGAAGUCAGGCUGGAAUGGGCAGAAUACGUGAACAAGCAAUUACAAAACAAUAAGUGAUAUAAUUUAGUUAAAAAAUGUUUAGGUUUCAGUUUAUUUUAUGGAAUUUGUUUUGAAAUUAUUAUGAAUAAAAUAUAAAAGUCAUACAAAAAUUAAAUGACAAAUGUACAUAACCGACGUUGCAUCAGUUUACAACGACGUUAAAUAAUACAUGACGUCGUCCUAGAAGACAUUAGACGUCGCCAUUUACUCACCGCCGUGGUUGAGGGAUUACAAUGUCAAUCUUUUAUGAAUAACCGACAUGGGUAUAAUUUACACCGUCGAUUAUUAUGUUGAUGACGACGUUGUUUAUAAAUACAACGUCACAUUUUAACCUGUAACGGACGUUGUAUGUCUCUUCAAAUUUUUUCAUAGAUUUCAGUUUUAUAAAUUAACCGACGUGUAUAUCAACCUUAAAUGACGUUUUUGUUAAAUGCCGUCAAUGUUUUCUUUCCCGCUAUAGUAAGACGGCGGUUGUUUAUACAUAUUAGACGUGUAAAUUAGAAUGAGACGUCGGUUUUUGAAAAUUAAUUUAAAUUUUUACGUUUUAUUUUCAUUUUAUUUCAUUCAACGACAUAAAUAUUUGAUACCAAAAAAAAAAACUAGAAACAAAAUAUAUUUCAUUUGAUUUUUUUGAUGAAUGUUCAAUUAAUUACUAAUAUUCAUAAUAUAUUCAAAAAAAAAAAUCUGAAAAAUAAACCGACAAAUUCUAUGCACUCAUUGAGACAAUAUCUACCCCCUACAUGCUUGAAAAUUUUAAUUUUAAAUUUCAAAAUUAGAAGUGACAACAAAAGUAAAAAAGAUUUGGAGACAAAGCACAAUAGUCAUUAUACUUUCCAUAACAUAACCCUAAGGUUUAUGUGAUCCAUGGUGGUCAUAAAAUUGAAAAUUCUUUAAUAUAGAUUUUAGCCUACUAAUAUAGAAGGCAUUGUUGUAAGGAGUCCGUAGCAAUUUUCGGUUCAUUUUUCUCAUACUUGUGUAUUUUUUUAUAAUUAUUGUAAAAUAUAGGGUUUAGGGUUUAGGUUUUAUUGAAACGACGACGGUUUGCACUCGCUCUUUUAGCAGUAAGUACACGAUGUUGUCUGCUUUGGUGAAGUUAUAUAAUUUGAAAGCAAAACAUGGGAUGAGUGAUGUUUGUUUUACAGAAUUAUUGAUACUUCAAUGAGAUUUGCUUCCAGAAAGGAAUACACUACCUUCCUCUAUGUACGAGGCCAAAAAGACAUUGUCUGCUUUAGGGAUGCGUUAUGAGAAAAUUCAUGCAUGUCCUAAUGACUGCAUCUUGUAUAGGAAGGAUUAUGAAGAUUCAACUAAUUUUCCUACUUAUGGUGUCUCAAGGUGAAAGGAAGGCAAAGAUUCAAUCUUGAAAGAGGGUGUGCCAGCAAAGGUGGUGUGGUAUUUUCCUCCAAUUCCAAGGUUUAAAAGGAUGUUUCAAUCACAUAAGACAGAUAAGAGUUUGACUUGGCAUGCUGCUAGAAAAUCAGUUGACAGUCAAAUGUCUCAUCCAGCGAAUUCCCCGUCUUGGAAACUUGUUGAUGAUAAAUGGCCCGAGUUUGUUAAAGAGCCGAGAAACUUGAGAUUGGCUCUCUCAUCUGAUGGAUUCAAUCCCCACAGUUCUUUAAGUAGCAGAUAUAGUUGUUGGCCAGUUAUCUUAGUUACAUAUAAUCUCUCACCAUGGCGGAAGUUCAUGAUGUUGACCUUAUUAAUUUCCGGUCCUAAACAGCCUGGAAAUGAUAUAGAGGUCUACUUAGAGCCUUUGAUUGAUGAUUUAAAAUCUCUGAGGGAUGGGAUUAGAGGAGUGUAUGAUGCACGUAUAGGAGAAUACUUUACAUUCAGAGGUGUAUUAUUGUGGACAGUUAAUGAUUUUCCUGCCUAUGGGAACUUAUCUGGUUGUGUCGUUAAAGGAUAUAAAGCUUGUCCAAUAUGCGGCGAUGAUACACCUAGUCACAGGUUGAAAAAUGACCACAAAAUUUGUUACAUUGGGCAUAGAAAAUGGUUACCAAUCAAUCAUCCAUAUCAGAGGCAGCGUGCAGCUUUUAAUGGGAAACCUGAAUAUGGCACGCCUCCCGAGCCAUUAAACGGAGAAGAAGUGUUGCACAUUGUUGAAGAUAUUAAUUACAUAUGGGGCUCGAAAAAUGGGGAAAGUGUUGGUGAGAAUGAUGGUGACAAUUUGUUGGAAGAAGAAAUCAAAAUUCUUUUAUCUCGAGUAUUGAAAAUACCUUCAUGUGAGGCAUGUCCUAGAUGUUAUGCAUAUUGAGAAUAAUGUUAGCGAUAGUAUCAUUGGUACAUUGCUGGAGAUCCUUGGAAAAAAUAAAGAUGGGAUUGCCGCUCAGUUAGAUUUAUUGAACAUGGGGGUCAAAACUGAUUUGCAACCCGAGUAUGGACAAAGACGUACUCGCUUGCCUCCAAGGCCUUGGAAUUUGUCAAGAGCAGAGAAGAGAGUGGUUUGCAAUUCUUUCUAUGGUAUGAAGGUCCCUGAAGGUUAUUGUUCAAAUAUAAAAAAUCUUGUAUCUUUAAAAGAUUCAAGACUUCUUGGACCUAGAUCUCAUGUUUGUCAUACCUUGAUGCAACCAUUGCUCCCUGUGGCAAUUCGUUCUGUUUUGGAGAAGCCUGCAAGGUAUGCAAUAACUCGAUUGUGCUUCUUCUUCAAUGCUAUAUGUGCAAAGACGGUAGAUGUUUCCAAGCUAGAUAAGUUGGAAGAAGAUGUAGUAGUUACUUUGUGUUUGCUUGAGAAGUAUUUUCCCCCUUCAUUCUUUGAUGUCAUGGUUCAUCUAGUAGUACAUCUUGUCAGAGAAGUUCGUCUAUGUGGCCUAGUAUAUUUUAGAUGGAUGUAUCCGUUUGAAAGGUAUAUGAAAGUGCUAAAAGGGUAUGUUCAGAACCGUACUCGUCCGGAAAGUUGCAUUACUGAGGGGUAUAUAGCUGAAGAAGCUGUAGAGUUUUACACCGAGCAUUUAUCUGAUGUUAAUACAGUUGGAGUGUCUUCAAGCUAGAAGAUGGGAGUUUCGAAGCCAUUAUCAGGUGGCACAGUAAGCUUAGUUGAUAGGGACUUGUUAAACCAGGCACAAUUAUAUGUCUUGGAGAAUACGGAAGAAGUCUUACCUUAUAUUGAGUACGUAUGACUUUUAUUUUUCAUAUGGAGCCAUUUUAAAUAUUAUUAUUCCUUAUGUUUAUCUUAUGUACAAGGAACUAUAAUGCUUGAUUUUUUCGUGUCAAUGUAGGGAACAUAUGAUCCACAUCAAGACCACUUAUCCAAAAUUUAGAAAGAGAACAAAGUGGCUUCAAGAUAAGCACAAUAGCACUUUCAUUCAAUGGCUCCACUUUAAGGUAUAUAUAUGUUAUUGAAUGACAUGCAUAUUCAACUUUUAAUUUUCUUCCAUUCUAUAUGUUAGAUUGAGUUAAGAUAUAUAUGAUUAAUUUGCAGGUUCAAAGUGAACUUAAUGGGGAAGAGCAUAAUGGUGUAUCAGAAAAUUUGAGGUGGCUAGCAGCUGGUCCAAGCAUGACAGUGCCAUCAUAUAGGAGCUAUCUUAUUAAUGGUGUUAAAUUUAACACCAAGGCACAAGAUGAUGUGCGAACUGUCCAAAAUAGUGGAGUUUAUUUACUUGCACAUACUAUGCAAGUUGCUAGUGCCAAGGAUAAAAACCCUAUUGUCUCCAAUAUAGGUUUUUAUGGUGUUAUUCAAGAAAUUUGGGACCUUGACUACCAAUAGUUUAGAAUCCCAAUCUUGAGGUGUGAUUGGAUAGAUAACACUUCGGGCCUUGUAGUCGACGAACUUGGAUUUACCCUUGUAGAUCUGAGUAAAAUUGGACAUAGGAAUGACCAAUUUGUUAUGGCUUCUCAAUGCAAACAAGUAUUUUAUGUUGACGACCCAAUGCAUCGUGGUUGGUCGGUAGUGUUAUCAAUGCCUAAUAGAGAAUAUAAUGAUGUUAUUGGUGAUGAUGAUGUGCUAGGUGAUACUAGAAUUGAGUGUGAGCCAUUUACUAGAGGGAUACCAAAUGUUGACACAUUUGAUGACCUAGUGGGUGAGUUUGGGAAUGAAAAUAUUAGAGAUGGGUGUGAAGAUAUAUGGAUUGAUUGAUUGUUGUAAUGUAUGACAUUAGUUAUUCAGUUAAUUGUAUGACAUUAAUUAAUAAUUAUGUACAACAUUUUAAUUCUUAUCAUAUUUUCAUUAUGCAGGCUUUGGGCACAACAAAUCAAAUAAAAAAAAGCUGGGUUAAAGCUGUAAAAUAUGACGGUCCGGUAAAAAAAUUGGAAACACAGACGUCUAAGAUAAAAACAACGUUGGGUUUCAAAAGGCAAAAGACCGUAAAACAAAAAAAAAAAACAGACAUCUGAAAAAGAAAUCAAGAUGGUUUGCUUAAAAUAAACCGUCGUCUAAAUCUCGAAAUAAAGGCCGUUCAGUUCAAUUCACUGUCGUGACAGAUGUUCUCCACGUUGUCUAGUCUAAAGCAACUGACGUCUUCGCGCAUACAUACGUCACUACAAGGAAAAACCCUUUUGGCGACCACCACGUUUGGUCGCUAAAAGCUCAUUUUGUCACCAAAACCCUUUAGCGACGAAAAUAUUUCGUUGCCAAUUUGGUUGCCUAAGGCUCGUGGCUGAAAGUACUGGGAGACAAAAGGCGACGAAAACAAAUUUUCGUCGCCAAAACCUUUACGCGACCAAUUUGUUUCGUCACCUUUACAGUAAGAGUUGGUCACCUAAAAAGAUGGGGUCCUGCGAAAAUACCAAAAUUUGCCGCGAACUGAGGAAUGAUUGGGCGACCAAAUAGGUUGUUCGUCGCCGAUAGGUUUCGGUGACUACCUGAUUUCGUCGCUAAAGCUUAGUUAGUUGGUCGCUAAAAUUUGUAUAUUUUAAGUGUUUUUAAUUAUUUAAUUUGUAUCUGUUUUGUGAUAAUAUUAACCUUUUUUGCAUUAACAUAUUGUAAUUUUGAAAAACAAUAAAUUUAGGUAAAUAGAUCAAUAGAAAAUGACAUGAAUAAAAGUUUCUCUCAUUCAAAAGUACACAAGAGCAUACUAGUUAUUCAAGUACACAUAACAUAUCCAAAAAUAGUGAAUAUAAACGAGUGAAGAACUCUUCACUCAAAGACUGGAGGCCAAGCUCCAUAUAUUCUUACCCUUGGUAAACCCAAGUUCUGUAGUAAUUAUUUCCCCACUCUAAGACUGGGUUUCGACUAAAAAAGAUGCAUGUAUUUGCCUUUUGUAAUUCCAAGUUUUAUAGUCAUGAUCUUUAACACCUGUGGAUAGGGACUGUGAGUCUGUGAUUUAAUAUCGUGGAAUUCCCAAACACUCUUCCUGUAACAUCCCACAUCGACCAACGGAGAGGGGGUGAUGUGCCUUAUAUGUACAUGCCCGCCUCCAUCUAGCACGAGGCCUUUUGGGAGCUCACUGGCUUCGGAGUCAUGGGAACUCCGAAGUUAAGCGAGUUCAAGCUAGAGCGAUCCCAAGAUGGGUGACCCACUGGGAAGUUGCUCGUGAGUUCCCAGAAACAAAAUCGUGAGGGCAGAGAAGGGGGCCUAAAGCGGACAAUAUCGUGCUAUGGCGGAGCCGAUCUCGGGGUGUGACAAUUUGGUAUAAGAGCCACUCUGCCAUGUGGUGUGAGUGCGCCGACGAGGAUGUCGGACCCCUAAGGUGGGUGGAUUGUAACAUCCCACAUCGACCAACGGAGAGGGGGUGAUGUGCCUUAUAUGUACAUGCCCGCCUCCAUCUAGCACGAGGCCUUUUGGGAGCUCACUGGCUUCGGAGUCAUGGGAACUCCGAAGUUAAGCCUAGUUGGGGCUAGAGCAAUCCCAGGAUGGGUGACCCACUGGGAAGUUGCUCGUGAGUUCCCAUAAAUAAAACCGUGAAGGCAAAGAAGGGGGUCCAAAGCGGACAAUAUCGUGCUACGGCGGAGCUGAUCCCGGGAUGUGACACUUCCAAUUGUGGCUUGAUCUUCUCAAACUCAUCAAUCAUCUUCCUUUACAAAAGAAACAAAACAAUGAAAUGUCAAUGGUCAAGAAGAUGCCAAAACCAAGAAAAUUUAAAUAUAAAACUAUAUAUAGACCAAAAACAAACAAUUUUCAACAACAGAAUUACAAGAAAUCUUGCCCAAAAGCUGAAAUUCACAAUAUUAACUAAAUAAGCCAUUAAAAAGUGUUUGGAUCUACAUAAGAAAAAUGAUCAUUGGUCAUCAAUAUUUAAGAAUGUUUGAGAAUGGUAUUCGAACAAACUUAAUAAAAUUUGAAUUCAUUUUUCAUACCUCUCAAUAUCAACUGUCUAAAGCAUACCUUUGUGAUAAUAACAAAUACCAUAAAUGAAGGAGGAUACCUUUAUGAUAAUAACAAAUACCACAAAUGAAGCAGGAAAACAAUUCCGAAAAAUCAAUGUAAAGACUAAUAUCAUGCAUAUCACAAACCCAUUAGAAAACAUAAAUCAUAAAAUCCAAAGUAUAAUCCACACCUUAACCAACAUGGGUUGCAAAACUUCCAACACAAUACAAAACACGUAUGUCAUUUUAAUACCUUUAAACAAACAACACCACAAUGACAUUGACAACCACUAUAGCUGUUAAUAAGGAAACAAAUGGAACUGAGUGUAAUGAGAAGAAGAGGUUCUUACCUCAAAUGGUCCUCUGUCCAAAAUCACAAACCAAAUCCUUCCACCUCCUCAAAUAAUCUGACAUGCAAAAACAAGAUAUUACCUCAGUAAAGUUAGACUCCUAAAUGACAUUGUUCUAAACACAUUAUAAGAUAAAGAGAACCACAAACCCAAAUAAGGCAAUCACUCAUUGGUUUUUAAUGUUUUCAAUGCAAAUAGAAACACUGAACGACAACUUUUUCAGUUUCCACUAGAAUGCAAUGAAGAAUUGAAAUAAAACGAGUUCUACAUGUAGAAAAAGAGGAUUUAAUUGAAAUAAAAUAACAUGAAAAGUUCUUUAAAAGUGAAAACACAAGCUAACAGAGGAUGAUCCUAAUGAAAAACUAGAAGUCUUGAAGAUAUUUCUUUAUCAUAUUUUCACGCCCAACACACAGAGUCUGCUUAAGCACAGAGCCCGACAUUCCUAAUUUUCUAGGCACUUCAAUUUGGUCUUCAAACAUUGAUAAGCAAGAAGAUAAUUCAACAAAAAGGGUAUGAAGUAGUUUUCAGUAAAUCAUAUAUGGCCAAAUAAAUACUUUGUUAAACAAUUUGGGCAGGAACACUUCAACUUGGGAAAUUCACUAAAAAACCAGUUUGAGUCGAAAUAGUGUGAAACUUUUCAGAUCAGAACUAGACACAUAAAACUUCAUCACAUCAAAAUUUCAUGGCAUUCGAAGUUAAGGAAGCAUGUCAAAAACAAAAUCCAAAACAGACUGAGCUGUAGAGUUUUCUGCUUCCUGCAACAUAACAACUACUUUAAAAAUUUGCCAAAAAUCCAAUUUAACUCCAAUUUGUAUGAAACCAAGUUUGACAUGCUCGUUGAAAUGUCUAAUUAUAAAAAAUCCAGAUCAAAAUAUAAAUCCGAACUAGGAUUUCUGCAUAACCUUAGAUUUCAUCAACCAACCCAAAUCUUUAAAAAUACACCACUUAUCAGCUUUAAACAUCAAAACACUAAAUCAUACAAAUGUUUCUAUUUACUAUUGAAAGAGUAUUAAUAUGAAUUGACCAACUACAAUUAAAAAUACAUAAAGGCAGAGCUUAAAUUGAAUAACCAACUAUGAAAUUUUUACAACAAAAACCAAACGGCAGCUUCAACAAUUAUGCAGCAUCUCCUACACUAAACAAAAAAACUCUAAAAGAAAUACAGAGUGUUUAUAAAAAAAAUGGACAAUUUGAUAUAUCAUUGAAGAAACGUACAAGACUACAAUGCAAUAUUGAGUAAAGCACAACCAAUUAAAUAAAGGGAAAACAGAGGAAAACGCUACUACAAAAUCAGAGAGAACGAGAGAGAGCUUGUCAAAAUGUGAUUCCAUUCCACAUCGAUGUACCCAACCAAUUCAGUGGAAAGUUAAGGCCUUUCAGUAUUUAAAAUUUAAAAAAGAAAAAAAGAAAAAGAGUUUUCAGUAUAAAAAACCAUUGUCAAGAUAUACAAGCAUUUCAGUUUCUUAAAUGAAUAAGGCCUUCAUUUGAUUCUAAAACCAGGUACAUAGUUAGCACUAAAAUCAUGGGUUGUCAAAAACUUGCAUGUAUGUAGGACUUUCACCCUUUUACAUUUUUCCAACCAAAAGAAAUUUAGAAAUACUUGAAAUAUAAUAACUAAAAAAAAAGAAUAAAAGUGACAUAAAUUUAUAAACAUGUUUAGCAGCUUCCAUGUGUUUCAGGAAAGGAUGUGACCCCCUGUAUGAUCAAACUCUUUCUUUUUUAUGUUCAAAGCAUUGGCCUUGCAGUGUUUCUGUUUUGAUUACAUACAGGAAUUGUUAUAUUCUUCCUAUGUAAUACUUAGAAUAAAUUUCCAAUCAAACAUGAACUAAUAUCAAAUUAACCAUAAACAAGUAUUAGUUUUAAUGUUUUCAAUGCAAAUAGAAACAUUUAAGGACAACUUUUUCAGUUUCCACUAGAAUACAAUGAGGGAAAUGAAAUAAAAAGAUAUGUAAAUGUACAAAAAGAGGAUUGAAUUGAAAUAAAAUGACAUGAAAAAUUCUUUAAAAGUGAAAACACGAGCUAAGAGAGGAUGAUCCUAGUGAAAAACUAGAAGUCGGGAAGAUAUUUCUUUAUAAUAUUUUCAGGCCCAAGACUCAGAGUUCGCUUAAGCACAGACUAGGCACUUAGUCUUCUACCAUUGCUAAGCAAAAAGACACUUCAACAAAAUGUGGAUGGUUUUCCUAUAGUUGCAAUAGCUCUGUGAUACCCUUGAACCCAAUGAGACCCUACAAAAAUAGCCACAGGAAAUAGAUAGAGGAUUGAAAGUAUAGUGAUCCAACCAUACAAAUUCAACCCAUCUACUUCCUUGAAGUUCUGUAAACUGCAUUUUGAGUAAAUGUUCCUCAAGACAAUAGACCAGACCCGUAAAGUGUACAAGUUGCCUAGGAAUGACAAAAAGACAACUGAGAAAUCAGGCUCUAAAGAUUUGAUUACAUGGGUGAAAGAAAUAACCACCUUAGAGAAUGAGACACAUGGUGAGAUGUGGCCUAUUAUUAUUGCUUAAGCUAACAGCCAUCUUAAGUAUCAUCCUGCACAUUUGCAAAGCACAAAAACAGAGAGAGAAGGCUCAAAGCCUCAAACAUAGCAACAUACUAAUAUAUCAUUCCCUAAAACAAAACAAAAAAGAUAGGAAAAAAAUUCAAGCAUUCAACUUUUAUGACACUGACUCUCAUCACAAAGGUACUUGAGAUAGAUGAAUUAUUCAUCACAGAAAGUGUUUCAAAUAGGCUACUGCAAAACAUAACAAAAUUUGUUAGACACGAUAUUUUGGGAGAGCUUGAGACCAAAUUAGUCUGCAAACUCAAAAUAGUCUAUGACUUCUCCCUUUAAGUUUCCCUAAUCAUAAAAAUAACUAAAAUAAAGCAUAAUCUUACAGACAAAAGCAAAGAAACCUUGAAACGAAUACACACCCACAUAACCCACUUCCAACUUCCAGUUCUUUUACUUCAAUUAUGUGCAAAUCCAAUUAGGUUUGACUACAAACUCGUCUAAUAAAUUAAAGAGUAGUAACUGAUUCAAAAGUCUACUAUACUUAGGAGAAUCACUCAUGUACCAGUUUGUUACUUGUCAGUCCUUAAUUGUUUAACCUUCUUUCAUUCAACAUUAUCAUUAAGGACCAAUCCACAUGAUAUGAAGUAGUUUUCAGUAAAUCAUAGAUGACCAAAUAAAUAUUUCCAUGUUCCAAAACUCAAAAAGCACAUCAUACAGAGCAAAUAGUCUUCAUACCUAACAUAAAGGUUGUAACACCCUGACUCCAAAUUUAAUUCCUAUUUUAAUUUAUUUAAAGUGAAAUUACGAAUUUACCCUUAGGGUAGGGGUAAAUUGGUUAUUUUCUUAUCCGGAAGGUGUUUGGACCACGACUAGUAUUUUUGGGUAGGUCGUAUUGAGACGAAUUCGUAGACAUGUCGUAGGCUUGAAUCGGAGUUAUAACGAAGAUUUGGCAGUGAAAAUAAGUUCAGUGGCAAAACCAUAAAUAUUUCAAAAUUUUGGUAAAAUCUGAUUUUUUUCACUUUCUACCCCACACUCUCUCUCUCUCUCUCUCUCUCUCCCCCGAUUCUCCCCCCGCGCACGUGAAACACCCCCCCUCGUGCUACUGUUCACUGAACCAGAAACCACCACCCCUCCACCAUUUCCGGCCACCCCGAUCGACCGCACCCGUCUCGAUCGAUGCCUUUCGAAGUCCCGAACACGAACCACCCAGUUUCCCCGUUGGAAAACUCGAAAAUCGCCGACACAUCGACUGGUUUAAACCCGAGUUUUCCAAACGUCGCGACGUCAUGCGGUCGCCUCCGCCGCCCAAUUCCGGUGAAACAGGUGAGGGAUCUUCCUCUUUCUACAUGCUUUCGCUGUUUUUGGGCUCGAUUUUGCAUUUGAGAAAAUGAAUUCGAAACCUAGGUUUUGGCCGGAUUUCAAAGUGAAAUUCCGGCCAGUUGCCGUCCCAAUUGGACCUCCCCAUAGUUGAAUGAUGUGAUCCUGACCUCGAGUAGAAGCUAGGGUAGGAAGGGUGAGCUUGGGUGUGGAGUUUUUCCGUCGCCGGAAUUUACUCUACACACCCACCCGCUGCUGGCACGUGUGGCGGCUCAUGGGCGAGGGUGGUGAAGCUACAUUUUGUCCCGAUGAGAUCCUCAGGUUGUCACGAGUGCGUAGGAUUUCACGGAUCUCAAUUCGGACGUCGUUUGACAAUCGAACGGAUUUUUGCAUAUUGUGCAUUAUCCGGGUUCGAUAGGUUUUGACCGUUGGAUCGUUUUUCAAUUAAAAUAUGUUGUUCUAGGUAUUCCUAGGAUCAUGUAGGACUUCAUGGAUCGUGAAUCGGAGCUCCGGAUGUUCCGAUUCAAUAAUUCAAAGUUUGUGGGUUCGCGAUAACCGUCCAAUCCUGAGCGAUUCCUAAACCUAUAACCGGACCUUAGGAUAUCUCAUUCUACGUACACGCACCGGGAACUUGGGGAUUUAACUAUUUAAAUUGUGUUUUCUGUUUCGAUGUAAUUUUAUAUUAAUUAAGGGUUCGUAUCUCGAAAUAGGUGCUCCGACUGCAUGUACUCAACAGGCAGAACCCUCUCGUGGUCAGGCAGCGUGGGAAUACUUGUGAGUGGACUUUGUUUUCAAUCAUACGCAUGGUUUUAUGGAUGAAAUAUUCAUGCAUAAUGUUUUAAAUGGUAUAUUGAAUAUAUUAUAUUCAAAUGUUGAAUUUGAUGUUUGUAUAGCACUUUGGCAAUAUAUUGUGGGUUUGACAUAUUUGAGUAUAGAGAGUAUGUUUGUCUGGAUUUCGGGGAAGUUCUAUAUAUAUUGUCUGUAGGUGGAAUACUUGGGUUUUUGAGGUGAGUUUGUGGAAGAACUUGAGUAUGAAGGGUUGUUGAGAGAAGUUGUAUGAUUACACUAUGUAAGUACCUUUCCCAGUUACUAGGCUUCCCACACGUGGCGUUGGAUGUUCCGACGUGUGAGACACUUUCCAUAAGCGGUGUUGGAUGUUCCGACGCAUAGGAAGAUUCUGUAUAUUUCUUAGGAUCAUCACACAUGGCAUUGGAUGUUCCGGUGUGUGAUGAUCCAGUCUGCGCAUGUAGAACUUAGUAUUGGAGCUACACAUGGCGUUGGAUGUUCCGGUGUGUGAGCUAUGGAGUUUCGUCUCCCGCUUGGACCGCUCAUCCCUAGACGUAGGAUAGCACCUGAAAAUCCUGCAAGCUAGUCAAACAAUCCCCCGGUUGGAUUGUUUCCCCGGUACCUAGGUAGUGUGAUGAGUAUAUUGUUGUAUAUAUAUAUAUAUAUAUAUAUAUGAGCAGUAAAAUUAUGGGAAUGAGGUUCAUGGAUGGAAUGAUUUGUGGUUUUAAAGAGUUUUCAAUGAAAUAUGUUUUUGAGCAUUUAAUUAUGAAUUGUGAACCUGCAUGUCUUUAGCAUUAUUUUUACACGGUGGGGUUACUAUGUUGUUUUAACUGCAAAUCUUAUUUUUGUCCACUCACAUGUUUUCUGUUUUGCACCCCCCAGCCAGUAGUCACUCCGGGAAGGUUGCAAGCAGUGUUCGAAGGCCGAAUCGUUUACAUCAGUAGAUUAGGCUUCGAGUAAUUUCCUUCUACUCAACUGUUCUUGUAAACUAAAUUCAGUAGAUGCUUUGUUAUUACCCAUGUUAGAUUUUACUUUUGAGGCCGGAGGCCAUUUAGUACAUUUUGUUGUAUGUUGAAAGCAUGCUGCUGGUUGGGAUUAUUUUUAUGUAUGUUGCAGGUUGAAAUUUUUGUGGGGUUUGCUCAAUUUACAGGGGAGACUUUGCCAAAAUUUUCGUAGAGUCUCGAUUUUUAGUAUGUGGGCCCGGCAUCGGGGUGAUGUCCGUAAGAAAGACGGGGUCCGCUCCGGUUUUCGAGAAAAUCUAGGGCGGGUCCUGUCAGCUUGGUAUCAGAGCAUUAGGUUCAUUUUCCUUCGACUUUUGCCCUUUUGUUGCAUUGUUGAUCUAAUGAUUUUAUGGUUUCUUUGUGUAGAACCAUGUCAGCUCGCAAAGCAAGAACAAAAGGCUGCGAUCAGAGAUAGGGGCCAAAUCUGCCACCUCCAUCUCCGUCACCACCUCCUUCACCACCAGUGCCUUCGCCUCCACCAUCUCCACCUGCCGAAGAUAAUGCUGUGGAUUUGAGGCAUGUACUUAGCCAGUUUACUCGCACCAUGGCUACAACCUUAUGGGGAAGGCGUGGUACAGAAAGUUUUGAAAUUAAAAGGGUUAAGGAACUUGGAGCAAGAGAGUUCAUGAGUAGCACAGACCCAGCAGAAGCUGAAUCUUGGAUUACAGAUGUGGAGAGAAUUUUUGAGGUUCUGGAGUGCCUAGUUGGGGAUAGAGUUCGCUUGGCUACUUUUCUACUUAAGGGAAAUGCAUAUCAUUGGUGGAAAGCUGUAAAAAGGUGUUAUGAGAAUCUGACUGCCAUAAACUGGGAGGAAUUUCAGCGGGUCUUCUAAGAGCAGUUUUACCCACCUUCCUACAGACAUGCAAAGAAGUCAGAGUUCCUAUAUCUGAAACAGAGGUCUAUGUCAGUGGUGGGGUAUGAACACAAGUUUAAUGAGCUGUCUAGAUUUGCUCCAGAGCUGGUGGCUACUGAGGACAGAUAUAGACGGUUUGAGGAAGGAUUAUGGUGGGAGAUUCAGGCAGUGGUUACUGCUAACACAUAUCCAAACAUGAGGGCUUUAGCUCAGGUAGCUGAAAGGGUGUCGAGGAAACUCAGUGGUAGUGCUGGCAGGCACCGCAGAGAUACACCAGGAAUUGGUGCGCCCAGUCAAGGUCCAUCAAAGAGGGGAGGAUCUAGCUCUAGUUCUACUAGCGGCGGAUGGUCAAGAGGACAGGGAUCUAGUUCUAGUAGUGGGAGAUCCGAUUCUCGUCCAGCAUGGACUCAAUAUUCAAGGCCGCAGUCUACAGCUAGCACAGCCAGGGAUCCUUCCAGGCAGACUGGGUUGACAUGCUUUAAUUGUGGGCAGGUUGGGCACAUGGUGAAAGAUUAUCCUAGCUAUACUUAGGGAGGUGGACAGAGUCAGAGUAGUAGCCUGACAUGCUACUUUUGUGGGCAAGUGGGGCAUACCAAGAGAAGCUGCCCAAUUAUACUCCAGAGUGAUGCAGCAGUCCAGGGGACUGGGGCCCAGCAGGGGCAGGGUAUUAUGGGUCAGAAUCAGAGUCAAGGUGGUGCUUCUUCCUCUGCAGCAGGAUCAUCCAGUAGCAGGGCACCAUUAUCUUCUAGAGGCAGGAGUGGUAGGCAAUCAAGGGGUCAGCCUGGGCGUUCCACUACUCAGGCCCGAGUGUUCUCUAUGACUCAGCAGGAAGCACAUGCCACCCCGGACGUGAUUACUGGUAUGAUUUCAAUCUUUGGUUAUCUUGCACGUGUUCUAAUUGAUUCGGGGGCCACACACUCCUUCGUAGCACACAACUUCGUACCGUAUGUCAGUGUUAGACCCACACCUAUGACAGGAAGUUUUAGUAUUUCCCUACCUACGGGAAAAGUCUUGUAUGCAGACCGGGUGUUCAGAAAUUGUUUUGUCCAAAUGGACGAUGCAUGGUUGGAGGCCAACUUGAUUCCUUUAGAUUUGGUGGAUUUGGAUAUUAUAUUGGGGAUGGAUUGGCUAGAGAAGCAUCAUGCAUCAGUGGACUAUUUCUAGAAGGAAGUAACACUUCGGAGUCCAGGGCAACCUAAAGUUACCUUCCGUGGGAAGCGUAGAGUUCUCUCUACUUGAGAGAUCACCCUAAAUCUAAGCCAAGAGGUUACUCAAGAAGGGUUGUGAAGGAUAUUUGGCUCAUAUUAUCAAUACUCGAGAGAUCACCCUAAAUCUAGAAGAUAUCCCUGUUGUUUCUGAUUUCUCUGAUGUCUUUCCAAAUGAUCUCCCUGGUUUACCCCCUGAAAGGGAAAUCAAAUUCACUAUCGAACUUCUUCCAGGCACCAACCCUAUCUAUCAAACUCCCUAUAGGAUGGCACCAGCUGAGCUCCGGGAGUUGGAGACUCAGUUGCAGGAGUUAGUGGAUCUUGGGUUCAUCUGACCCAGUGUUUCUCCAUGGGGUGCACCGGUGUUGUUCGUGAGAAAGAAAAAUGGGACCAUGAGGUUAUGUAUUGAUUACCGGUAGUUGAAUAAGGUGAUAGUAUGUAACCGGUAUCCUUUGCCUCGGAUUGAUGAUUUUUUUAUCAGUUGAAGGGUGCUAAGUAUUUCUCUAAGAUUGAUCUGAGAUCAGGAUACCAUCAAUUGAGGAUCAGGGAAAAGGAUAUUCCUAAAACCGCAUUCAGAACGCGGUAUGGACAUUAUGAAUUUCUGGUGAUGCCUUUUGGACUAACAAAUGCUCCAGCAGCAUUUUGGAUCUCAUGAACAAAGUGUUCCGACCACACUUGGAUCACUUUGUGAUUGUGUUCAUAGAUGAUAUCUUGGUUUACUCCAAGACUUUGGAAGGGCAUAAGAAGCAUCUAAGCUUACUAUUGAGGACUUUGAGGAGGAAGCAGCUUUAUGCCAAAUUUAAUAAGUGUCAGUUCUGGCUGGACAGAGUGGGAUUCCUUGUACAUGUAAUUUCAGCUGAAGGGAUUUAUGUGGAUCCACAUAAAGUUGAAGCUAUAGUGAAUUGGGUACAACCCACAAGUGUGACAGAAAUACGGAGUUUUCUGGGGUUGGCAGGCUACUAUCAUUGAAUUGUGGAAGGGUUCUCUUCGAUAGCAGCACCUCUCACGCAGUUGACAAGGAAAGAUAUUACAUUUGAGUGGACGGAAGAGUGCGAACAAAGUUUUCAGGAAUAGAAGAAGCGGUUAACCACCGCACCUGCUCUGACUCUUUCGGAUAAUUUGGGGAAUUUUGUGAUCUACAGUGGUGCAUCUUUGCAAGGCUUGGGAUGUGUUCUGAUGCAACAUGAUCAGGUGAUUGCUUAUGCCUCGAGACAACUCAAGAAGCAUGAGCAGAAUUAUCCUAUCCAUGAUUUGGAACUUGCUGCAGUAGUGUUCGCUCUCAAGAUUUGGUGGCAUUACUUGUAUGGAGAGACGUGCCAGAUUUUCACUGAUCCCAAGAGCCUCAAGUACUUUUUCACUCAAAAGGAGCUUAAUAUGAGACAACGGCGUUGGCUAGAAUUGAUUAAGGACUAUGACAGCACGAUUGAGUAUCAUCCAGGUCGAGCUAAUGUGGUUGCUGAUGCACUGAGUAGGAAGACUACAGGAAGUUUAGCUCAUCUCAGAACAGCCUAUCUUCCGUUGUUGGUGGAACUACGGAAGGAUGAAGUAGAGUUGGGAAUGACUCAACGGGGUGGAAUCUUUGCUAGCUUACAUUUGAGACCUAUUUUGGUGGAGCGGGUAAUUGUAGCCCAGUUGGGAGAUCCAACCCUCUGUAGAAUAAGGGGAGAAGUGGAAAAUGGUACACGGAAGGAUUAUGCAAUAAGGGGAGAUGGAGCAUUGGUAACAGGAACUCGUCUUUGUGUACCUAAGAACGAUGACUUGAAAAGAGAAAUCAUGGAGGAAGCUCAUUGUUCCACAUACAGUAUGCAUCCGGGAAGUACCAAGAUGUAUCGGACCCUACGAGAAUAUUACUCAUGGCCGCAUAUGAAAGGAGACAUUGCCAAGUUUGUGAGCAAAUGCUUGAUUUGUCAACAAGUAAAGGCAGAGCGACAGAAACCUUCGGGACUUAUGCAACCACUUCUGAUUCCUGAAUGGAAGUGGGAACGUAUUACCAUGGAUUUUGUUUUCAAGCUUCCCCGUACUUCUAACGGACAUGAUGGAAUUUGGGUGAUAGUUGAUAGACUCACCAAGUCAGCUCAUUUCAUACCCAUCAAGGAGACUUAUUCUUUGACGAAGUUGGCAAAACUCUUUGUGGACGAGAUUGUGAGAUUACAUGGAGCACCUGUGUCCAUUGUAUCGGACAGGGAUGCUCGGUUCACUUCUCGAUUCUGGAGGUGUUUGCAGGAAGCUAUAGGUACUGGGUUGCAAUUCAACACAACUUUUCACCCACAGACUGAAGGGCAAUCAGAAAGGACCAUCCAGACUCAGGAGGAUAUGUUGAGGUCAUGUGUGUUGCAGAUAAAAGAUGCAUGGGAUGCUCAUCUUGCCUUGGUGGAAUUUGCAUAUAAUAACAGUUAUCAUGCGAGUAUUCAGAUGGCUCCUUAUGAGGCAUUGUAUGGGAGGCAGUGUAGGACUCCUAUUUGUUGGAAUGAGGUGGGUGAUAAGAAAUUGGAAAGAGUGGAUAGUAUCCGACCAACAACCGAGAAGGUGAAGAUGAUAAAAGAAAAGCUGAAAACCGCACAGGACCGACAGAAGAGUUAUGUGGAUAACCGGUCCAAGGAUCUUGAGUUUGAAGUUGGGGAUUGGGUGUUCCCGAAGUUGUCUCUUUGUAAGGGUGUGAUGAGAUUCGAGAAACGUGGGAAGUUAAGACCUCAUUACAUUAGACCCUAUGAGGUCACUGAGCGCAUCGGACCUGUUGCCUAUAGACUUGCAUUACCUGCAAAACUAUCUCGGGUCCAUGAUGUGUUUCAUGUAUCCAUGCUUCGGAAAUACAUGCCAAAUCCUUCUCAUGUUCUAGAGUAUCAACCUGUGGAGUUAGAAGAAGAUUUGUCAAAUGAAGAGCAGCCUGUGCAGAUCCUGGAAAGGAAAGACCAAAUGUUGUGCUCCAGAUCUAUUCCGAUAGUGAAGGUUUUGUGGAGAAGCCAAACUGUGGAAGAAGCUACAUAGGAGCCCGAGGCGCAGAUGCUGGCGAAGUACCCUUAUCUCUUCCAUUGACAGAUACGUGAAUUUUGGGGACGAAAUUUUUAUAAGGGGGGUAGACUGUAACACCCCGACUCCAAAUUUAAUUCCUAUUUUAAUUUAUUUAAAGUGAAAUUACGAAUUUACCGUUGGGGUAGGGGUAAAUUGGUCAUUUUCUUAUCCGGAAGGAUUUUGGGACCACGACUGGUAUUUUUGGGUAGGUCGUACUGAGACGACUUCGUAGACAUGCGGCAGGCUUGAAUCGGAGUUGUAAAGAAGAUUUGGCGGUCAAAAUAAGUUCAGUGGCAAAACCGUAAAUAUUUCAAAAAUUUUGGUAAAAUCUGAUUUUUUCACUUUCUACCCCACUCUCUCUCUCUCUCUCUCUCUCCUGAUUCUCCCCCUGCUCGCGCGAAACCCCCCAACCCGUGCUACUGUUCACCGAACCAGAAACCACCACCCCGCUACCAUUUCCGGCCACCCCCAUCGACGGCACCAGUCCCGAUCGACGGCUCUCAAAGUCUCGAACCCGAACCACCCAGUUUCCCCGUCAGAAAACUCGAGAAUCGCUGAUGGCAUCGACUGGUUCAAACCCGAGUUUUCCCGACGUCGCUUCGUCGCCUCUGCCGCCCGAUUCCGAUGAAACAGGUGAGGGUUCUUCCUCUUUUUACAUGCUUUAGCUGUUUCUGGGGUAGGUUGGGCUCGAUUUUGCAUUUGAGAAAAUGAAUUCGAAACCUAGGUUUUGGCCGGAUUUCAAAGUGAAAUUCUGGCCAGUUGCUGUCCGAAUUGGACCUCCCCGUAGUUGAAUGAUGUGAUUCUGACCUUGAGUAGAAGCUAGGGUAGGAAGGGUGAGCACGGGUGUGGAGUUUUUCCAUCGUCAGAAUUUACUCUACACACCCACGCCUGCCAGCACAUGUGGCGGUGCGUGGGUGAGGGUGGUUAAGCUGCAUUUUGUCCCGAUGUGAUCCUCAGGUUGUCACGAGUGCGUAGGAUUUCAUGGAUCUCAAUUCGGACGUCGUUUGACUAUCGAAUGGAUUUUCGCAUAUUGUGCGUUAUCUGGGUUCGAUAGGUUUUAACCGUUGGAUCGUUUUCCAAUUAAAAUAUGUUGUUCUAGGUAUUCCUAGGAUCAUGUAGGACUUCACGGAUCGUGAAUCGAAGCCCCGGAUGUUCCGAUUCAAUAAUUCAAAGUUUGUGGGUUAGCGAUAACCGUCCAAUCGUGAGCGAUUCCUAAACCUGUAACUAGACCUUAGGAUAUCUCGUUCUACAUACACGUACCGGGAACUUGGGGAUUUAACUAUUUAAAUUAUGUUUUCCGUUUCGAAGUAAUUUUAUAUUAAUUAAGGGUUCGUAUCUCGAAAUAGGUGCUUCGACUGCACGUACUCAACAGGCAGGACCCUCUUGUGGUCAGGUAGCGUGGGAAUACUUGUGAGUGGACUUUGUUUUCAAUCAUACACAUGCUUUUAUGGAUGAAAGAUUCAUGCAUAAUGUUUUAAAUGGUAUAUUGAAUAUAUUAUAUUCAAAUGUUGAAUUUGAUGUUUGUAUAGCACUUUGGCAAUAUAUUGUGGGUUUGACAUAUUUGAGUAUAGAGAGUACGUUUGUAUGAAUUUUGGGGAAGUUCUAUACAUAUUGUUUGUAGGUGGAAUACUUGGGUUGUUGAGGUGAGUUUGUGGAAGAACUUGAGUAUGAGGGGUUGUUGAGAGAAGUUGUAUGAUUACACUAUGUAAGUACCUUCCCCAGUUACUAGGCUUCCCACACGUGGCGUUGGAUGUUCCGGCGUGUGGGAAGAAUAGGUUACUAUUAGUCUCACACGUGGCGUUGGAUGUUCUGGCAUGUGAGACACUUUCCAUACGCGGUGUUGGAUGUUCCAGCGUAUGGGAAGAUUCUGUAUAUUUCUUGGGAUCAUCACACAUGGCGUUGGAUGUUCCAGUGUGUGAUGAUCCAGUCUGUGCGUGUAGGACUUAGUAUUGGAGCUACAUAUGGCGUUGGAACUUCUGGUGUGUUAGCUACGGAGUUUCAUCCCCCGGUUGGACUGCUCAUCCCUAGACGCAUGAUAUCACCUGGAAAUCCUGCGGGCUAGUCAAACGAUCCCUUGGUUAGAUUGUUUCUCCAGUACCUAGGUAGUGUGAUGAGUAUAUAUAUAUAUAUAUAAUUAGAGUCUAUACAGUGGGUUGGUAGGAACAAUAAAAUUGUGGGAAUGAGGUUUAUGGAUGGAGUGAUUUGUGGUUUUAAAGAGUUUUCAAUGAAAUAUGUUUUUUAGCAUUUAGUUAUGAAUUGUGAACCUGCAUGUCUUUAGCAUUAUUUUUACAUAGUGGGGUUACUAUGUUGUUUUAACUGCAAAUCUUGUUUUUGUCCACUCACAUGUUUUCUAUUUUGCCCCCCCCCCCCAGCCAGUAGUCACUCCAGGAAGGUUGCACGCAGUGUUCGAAGGCCGAAUCAUUUACAUCAGUUGAUUAGGCUUCGAGUAAUUUCCUUCUACUCAACUGUUCUUGUAAACUAAAUUCAGUAGAUGCUCUGUUAUUGCCCAUGUUAGAUUUUACUUGUGAGGCUGGAGGCCAUUUAAUACGUUUUGUUGUAUGUUGAAAGCAUGCUGCUGGUUGAGAUUAUUUUUAUGUAUGUUGCAGGUUGAAAAUUUUUGUGAGGUUUGCUCAAUUUACAGGGGAGACUCUGCCAAAAUUUUGGUAGAGUCUCGAUUUUUAGUAUGUGGGCCCGGCAUCGGGGUAUGUCCGUAACAAAGACGGGGUCCGCUCCGGUUUCCGAGAAAAUUCGGGGCGGGUCCUGUCAAAUGCACCAUAUGAAAGAAGUUGUGAGAGGAGGACUUUGUCAAUUCAAUGGUUGAGGGGUUGCAACGACCUUGUUAUUAAGACCAAAAAAAAAAAAAAAAACUCAGGCCAUCAAAAAUCUUGGGGGAAGAAAGUGGGUAUGUCCAUACGAGUGCUUGGCCAACGUUAGUGAUUGAUUGCUUUGUCGGCGUCGGAGCAGGUUAGGGUGUGCGAGAUGAAGGGAGUGGGUAUCUGAACUAAAUGAGGGAAAGAACAAGCAUGUUGGAAUGGGUUUAAUUUAAUUCUUAGCUCACACUAAUCUGCGACCAAAAGUAGUGGUGGCCAAAUAACCCAAAAUUUUUAAGCGCAAAUUUUUGCUUUGCGACGACGCUGGCAAACAUAGCGACAAAAAAAUUUUGUCACCUCGAAUUUUUUCAAUUUCGCGUGCACUCUAUUCAAUGAAUGGCGACCAAAAUUAUUUUUCGUCGCCACUUGCAACCAUAGCCAUGAAAACAUUUCGUCGCCCUUCUGAAGAAUUUGGUUACAAUUCAUUUUGUUCAUGUCUUGGGCGAUGCCUUAAUAUCACAAAACCUUUGGCGGCCAACUGCAAAAGGUUUGUCGCUAAUUUCCUUUUUGAGUGACCAAAAUUGGGUUGGUUGCUGAAAAUUUCGUCUCUGAAGAGGUUUUUUCUUGUAGUGCGUCAAGGCGGGUUAAACAAGCGACUUUUAAAAGGACAACCACGUCAUUAUGUAAUCAAAACCGACGUGGUAAGCAAUUACAACGUCAAGCACUUGGAUCUCUAGACAUAGUGAAAUAAAUAACCACAUCAUUUAUUUUAAAGAAAAAGUCGUUGAAUAUAUAAUCCAACAUAAUUUUACCACCAUUACCUAAGCAAUGGGGCUUUAUUAUCUUUUAAGUUCAACUAAUCCAAGAUUAAAGAAUCUCUUAAUUACAAUCUCUUUCUCACCUCACAGGGUCAAACCAACCCCUUUUACAAGUUUGAAUGAAACAACUCUGAACAAAAAAUCUUCCUGUUCGAAAAGGAUAUACAAUUGAAGCUCACACAAUGAUAACUCUCCUUUCUGAGUAGGUGAUACAUAAGUCAUUUGGACACUAGAAUUCUUGUAUGAAUUUGAACAAGAUUGGCUCAAGAGAAAAUGAUAUUAAGAGUAUGAUGAACGCUUGUAAGCUUGGAAGAAUAUAUUGAGUUGUCUUUUUUUUACAAGCAUAGAAAUAUACUUGUUGGAAUAGGAAUAUAGUUGUUGUCCUUUUCGUUUCAUUUAUUUUUCUAUUACUCCAUUUACUUAAACUUACAAUGUAACUAAGGAAGUACCCACAUUUGGAUUCAAAUAAAAAUACUAGAAAAUCAAAUUCCCACCAAAUCAAAAUAUAAAAAAUUAGUUUUAGUUCAAAAUAUGAUUUAGACUAAAAAUGAUGGCUCAUUAAGUCUCUAAGGUCAAUCUAGGUAAAAAGUUUUAGUUGUUCAAUCCACAAAGAGUUUUACAAGAAUAACCUAACUCUUACGUAUUGAAGAAAUAUUUGCUUGAGUAUUGGCUUCUUGCUUCAAUGUUCCAAAUGUCUUCCAAUGUGUACACUAUUUUUGAUCCAUUUAGGAAUAUCUGCUCCUUACAACUUAUCGCACUUGAAAUACAUUAGAUAAAUAAGUAAUAAUUUAUCAUCAUCAAAAUAUGUUAAAAUAUUUAUUAUACAUUUUAACAUUAAGUUUCAUAUUAAAUUAUCAUUCCACACAUCCAGAUUAACUGUUAAGCUCAACUUAACUAUUCAAAAUCACAUCAAUAUGAAAUUCCAGAGAAGGUGAGGAAGAAUUAAGAGAGGGAGCUUAACUUAGGGUUAAACAUAAAUAUUAUAAUUUUUAUUUAUUUAUUUAUUUAAAUAUAAACAUAUAUAUUUUCGGGUCGGGUUCAGGGAUGGGGAUGCUAAUACCAUCCCCUCCCCAUACCCGCCAGAGAUUUUUCAAGUUCGCGGAUCCCCAUAGCCGAUACUCGUUUGGCCUCGAAAUCUCCCCCUGUUAAGGUUGGGGACCCGACCCCCCUUACAGGAAUUUUUGCCAUCCUUAGAUAUAGUUAAUCGAUAGUUUUGUUUUGGGCUUAGUCAUAUGUUUUUGAAUUUUUGUUAGCUUGAGGUCAAUGGGCCUUCACAAGGGCUUUAAGGCUUAUUUAAUUUGUAUUUUAAUUUAUAUUUCUACCCUUUUAUAACUAAAAACACAGCAAAAUUCCUCAAAAAUAAAAUUCGAACAUGAGAUCUUAGAUAUGAUCAUAUCCAUCAACCAGCAAUGUCGAUGUGGGAACAAAUAUUUCAAGGACCAAUGAGUGGGCGACAUGUUGAAAAGGGAAAUUCCCUAUGUCAAAUAAUCAUCCUAAUUAAUUAGGGAGAUAAUAUUUGAUUUAAGAUCUAAAUAUCUCCCUAAAAUAAGGAAGAUAUUUCCACCAAAUCUCCUUGAUUAAUUCCAAUAUCCUAUUUUUGGGUAAGAAUAAUCCUGAUUAAAUAAGGAUUAUUCUUCAAACCUUAGAAGGCAUGAGCUCUACAAAUACAUGAGUACACAACACACAUGAGGUAAUUGUAAACUCAAUUUCGAAAAGAACUCUCUCUCUCUCUCUCUCUCUCUCUCUCUCUCUCUCUCUCUCUCUCUCUCUCCCUCCUUCACACGGCUCCGGUCAAAACACACACAGCUCCGGCCACCCGGCUCUCCCAACAAGAGAAGACCUUCCAAAGAUCCAAUUAACUAACUUAAGCAUCAGAGGACCUUUAGUCAACACACCCCCUCCCCGGGUGUGGUCCAUUAACCUAUAUUUGGUUUACAUGAAGUGAGAAGGAAGAAGAAGAAAGGAGUUCGAAGGGUGAAGAAGAAAGGAGUUCAAAGGGUGAAGAAGAAAGGAGUUUGAAAGGUGAAGAAUCAAUCUGGAAUAUUCCCAUGUGUGGAUAUUUGCACAAAUAUUUUGGUGCUUUCAUUGAGAGCAUCAAGUUAUACUCAACACGUUGCUCUCGAAUCAAAGAAAUCUGUUACACUCAAUCAAAGCUUUCCAAACAACCAUGGUUAGGAACAAGCGCACGAGAAGCAAGGUCGUUGCGACAACACAAUCCGUGACAGACCCUAGCCAUCGCAAUGAUGCGGUGUCGAUCCAACCAAAAAGCUCCGCCGCCAAAACCAUGACUUUUCCUCCUGGCCCCAUGGCCGUGGGUAUGACUCUACAAGCUUGGCUUUUGAGCUUUUGAGCUCUAUAUAUUAAAAAAUUAGCUUAUCUUGUGACAUGUAUUAUCAAUAUAAAUAUAUUUAUUUAUUUAUUUAUUUAUUUAUUUCUCUUAUCCGGAUGUCUGCAUGUUAUUAUCGUGCGGCUACCAUUGUAAACAAGGAGAAAAAUCAUAGAAGGGUAGUAGAACAUACAUGGUAUCCACACAAUAAUAACAUCCGGACGUCCACAUAAGAGAAUAUAUAUAUCAGUCCCCUUCUAUUGAGGGAUCCUAUUAUUCAAUAGAAAAAUACAAUUUCAAGUCCGAAGAUGAAACUGCACAAUACUAUGAAGAUCGUGCCACAAAAUCAUGUAAGAACAAACAAAAUUGAUCUCGACAUAGGAGAAAUAAGAUUGAACUGAAGCACAAAAAUUGCACGCCAAAACUGACCUUGAUUCUGCAUGCAAAACCAAAUUACGAAGAAAAUAUAAAAAUCAAUAUAAAAACACAAAACAUAAUCAGAAUAAAAUAGAAAAACGAAGAAAAUCAAACGAAAACAUGCUAGAAGAUCAGAGCUCCAAUCAUAGCUAAACGAACCAAAGCUCCAAAUCUUAUAAGCAAACGAAAACGAAAGCGAACCAGAGCUCUAGUUUCAAAUCACACGUACUUUAAACAUACAGGGGUAAAAAAGUCAUUUACUUUGUAAGUUUUAAAGUUGGGCCAGGCUUUUUAAGAAGAAUGGCAGCAUUGUCUUUUCGGCCUAAUCCAAAACAACAAUUCAUUCCUAGUAUUAAAACCCAAACAAAAACAGCAAUUUUGCUUUUAUAUAAGGGUAAAGUGUCGUUUUGCUCCUUGAACUAUGGCCUAAUCCAAUCUUUAUGUUUUGGUUGCAGCCCCACCCUCUGUAACAACCCGACCCUAAAUUAUUAGUUAAAUAUUAAAUUAUUCAAGGAAAAGACAAUUUUACCCCGGCAAUAUUGAAAUGAUUUAAGAGUGACUUUUGUUCGGGGGAGAUUAAAUGAUUAAAAUAAGAGAAAAUAAAUUUAAAUGAGGAAUAAAUUGAAAUAAACAAAAAAUAAAAUGAUUUGAAUUAAUUAAGGUUUUUGAGAAAUUAAAAUAUUAUUUAAUAUUAAAAAGGGGCAAAAAGGUUAUUUUUAGCUCGGGAAGGAAUUUAGAAAUUUUGAUUGGACAGCCAAGAAACAGGCGUUGUUGGACAGUUUUUUCGUAAACUUUCGCCGGCUGGUUCUCCCUCCUCCGGCCACCGUUUCAUGCGAGUGAGGUAUGCUUUCUCACCUAUUUUUCAUGAUCUAGCUGAUGGUAGUUCGAGCCUAGGUAGUUCGAUUUUCGAAUUGGAUUUCAGCCGGUUUUGGGACCUCGAUUCCGGCCACUUCUGGUCACUUUUUGGGGUAGGUACAAGAACUAAAGUGGUUCCAAAUAGGGUGUUUUACCUAAAGUAGGAAGCUGGGUUUCCAGUUUUGAAGAUUUUCGAUUGCCGGAAUUUGAUCAAGCCACCCACGCGCUGCCGGCGCGUGGCCAGCAUAGUGAAGUCACUUUUAGAACCUAAAAUGAUCUCUUGGUCCUCAGGAGCUCGUAGGAAUUCGCGGAUAUUAAUUUGGACAACAUUUGAACCUCGAACGAAUCUCGCAUAUUGUGCGAUUUCCGGGUUCAAUACGUUUGAACCGUUGGAUUGUAGUCAAUUUUAUAUAUGUUGAUCUAGACAAUUCCAGGAUCGGGUAGGAUUCGACGGAUAGUAAAUUGGAGCCCCGGAUACUCCGAAAAUGCCAACCCUAAGGUUAGGUUUACCGUAACUGUCCGAUCGUGAUCAAUCCGACCGUCCAGUCGAGACCAAACUCUUGGGACAUGUGUCCUAGGCAUGUUAAGACCUCUUGGAACUCUUGGAUCGGAAUUUUGAGGUCGUGGACCCCACGGGGUCCCGGGUUGACUUUUUGGGACUUAUCGCUUUUUGAGUCCCAAGGCACUUCUAGACCGUUCUAAUCAUUGGAAAGGCUUACAUAGGCUUGAGAAUGAGUUCAAAUACAAUGGACGCACCUCUAGGAGUCCAGGGCCAGGACUUUGGAUUAGUUUCAUGAUUUUAUGUGAUUUCGAGAUGAGUAUUUAAUUGUCUGUUUAUUUAUCACCUGUUUAUAUAUGUUCAUAUGGUUAAUUGUGUUGUAAGAGUAUAAAUAUAAUAUUGGAAUGACGUGCUAAGCAGAGAUCAAGAUGGUUAACAAACUAGCUAAGUAUUUAGUAUAUAUAUAUAUAUAUUCAGUAGUUGAAAAGGAUGAAUCUUAGUGUGUGUAUAUAUAUAUAUAUAUAUAUAUAAGCUUUUACUGAGUGCUGUGGUUUUUACUUUUUAAAGAAUCCAAAGUUGCCAGCUCAUCAAGAAUCGUUUGAGUCUCUUGAAUCUUUUAUUUAAGAAGGCUUCGGCCAUUGUGAGAAUCAGAAUGUAAUUUAAUACACUAUAAUUUUCUCAGUUUCAAAGUUCUAUCAGUCCCUGUAUUCUGAAGAACUAAAGUGCUGAAACUAGGAUUGUAAGUGUUUUGCAUUCUCCAAGUUAUCAAUAUAUUUUUGAGAUUUUGAGAAUUACUUAUUUUGAUUAAUGCUUAUUUUGAUUGUAUCUAUUUUCAUAUAUUCAUUAAUUUGCUUCAUGCAUAUAAUUGCGUCUGUUUCUUAAUCUCUGUUCUUCAUCUACUUCUCUAUUGGUUCUAGACCCCUUCUGGUAUCAGAGCCGUAAGUGUUGAAGAGUUAGUCUAAGUCUGCAACUCAUCCAACCUAAGUGGCUGGUUUAGGUUUUCUGAGUUGUAAGUUUUCAGUUUCUUCCUUCUUCUUCUUGGUCUUUCAGUUUACCUGUCCUUCUCUCUCUUGGUGUCCGAAUUGUAAGACCCGUUUCCAAACAGUAAGUCCUAGGGAGGCCUGAGCGGUAGUGGCAUUAGUAGGAGGGCGAGAGAACUUUAGGUAUUCUGUUAUCCCAUGGAGUCUGUAUUAGAAGUUUCUGUUCACUUUCUUCUUUAGAAGUCCGAACCCAGAACCUUGAGUGAAAAUGAGUCGUUUUCUUAGAACCAACUCUUACAGUUCUAGCAGCUCUAGAGCCAAUAGUAGUCUCCCAGAGAUAGUUAAUGAAGAACAAAUUGAGUAUGAGUCUAAUAGUAACUUAGAUUAUAAAGAUUGGAACAUACCUAGAGUCCCUAGUCCGGACAUCUAUAAGAAAAAAUGGUCAUUGUCUAGUUUUAAGUCAACUACCCAUGUUAAGACAGUUGAACAAUUCUAUGCCUUAAGUAAGAAUCAUGAAACAUGUCAGUUGCUUAAUCUUGGGUCAAUUAAGAAACAUAAAACUGAUGAAAUUUUUUUUCUGCAUAUUGGUUUAGUACAAGUCGUCGUUAAGCCUUUAACCAGAUUAGGAUUAAAAGCUUCGAUCCUUCUCUGUUUGCGUGAUGCUAGAUUUAAUAAUUUUAAUGACAGUACGUUAGGAAUAAUUGAGUCUAGUCUUGCUAAUGGCCCAAUAUAUUUUGAUUACUACCCAGAUUUCACAGUAAGCCUAAGUGAUCCACAUAUAUUAAAAACUUUAACUUUAAAUAUUAAAACUGAAGGUUAUGAUGUUUUGCCAGGAAGCCAACUGCUAGCCUUAGUCUACAGAAUCUACUAUAAAGUCACAGGAACAAAUAUGAAUUUUCAAACCUUAAACAAAAGCCCAAAGAGUCAAACACUGUUAAUCCAAAGUCAUACGCCUGACGCCACUGUUAGAGUUCCCCACUCUAUCAAAUGGUCUGAUGUCAUCCUUCCAACUGAUUGGACCCUAACUACUGAGAUUCCUCCAGUUCCUAUCCAACGGAGUCUAAGCGAUUUAGACUACGUCGAACAAUACCUAGAUGGCACAGUUAAAAUUAAUUUUGGUCAUCAAACCCCUCAGAAGUCAACAAUCCAGUUACAACAGUUGCCAACACCUGGUCAAUCCUAGAGACAUGUGCCUGCAAGGCAUUCUUUUGCAGCUUCUUCCUCUACCCUAGAACGAGACCUAGAGUUAGAGAAAGCUUUAAUCGAUUUAAAAUUAGAAUCAUUAAGAAAAACUGCACAAGUCACCCACCCUAUUUAUGGUAAAAUGCCCGAAGAGAAUAAGUCUGAGUCCCCAGAAUCACCAACUCAAUCUGAUUUUGUCGAAGCCGGUUUUAAAAUUGGCAACCAACUCCGAACACUUAAUAAAUUUGAGAUUAAUUGGAACAGAUUAGAUAAACAUUUGCAUGCCCCUGAGAAUCAACCUCGAAGAGAUAAUUAUCAUGUUUUAAUACCUGAUAAAGUCAAAAGACAAAAAAUAUUUAAUGAAUGGAAAGAAUACAUAUCUUGAUUUUGUAGAAAGCCGUUAUCUGCCUAAUGAAUUAAAAACCCUAACACAAGAAAAUUGGAAAAAGAUAGAUCACACCAAAGUAAUAGCUAGUCAUCCUCCUGUUGAGUCUAUAGUCAUCCAUCACCAGAAUGCAGAAGUCAUUGCCAGUCCUUUUAAGAUCCCAGACUUAGAAAAUAAAAUGGUAAUAGAACAAAAUAAUUAUACUAAUCAAAGCCUAGUCGUCAUUGGUAAACAAUUAGAUAAAAUUGAAACAAAAGUUGAUAAAUUACUUCCAAAAGAAACUACCGUUAAGCCACAUGAUCAGAAACCUUUAGUCACUUUUCAAGAUUUAAAAACUAGUCCAACCUUUAAAACAAAAACUACAAUGUCAAAAAUUGAGAAAAUGUUAGAAGAAUUAACACCGACUAAGCAGAAAGGAAAAGAAAAGGUUGAGUCCAGUGUUAAAGUCUUAGGAUAUUCUGAGUCAGCCUUCAUUCCGAACUCCUCUGAGUCCGAAUCAAUUGAUAGUAUAGAAACUGAGUCUAGUAAUAUUUCCAAAAUAGAAAAUGCGUUUAAAAAUCUUGAACUUGAAAAUAAUCCACAAGUCCAAAGAUUAACAAACAGAGUCAGCCCGACCAGUCUCACAAAAAAUUGGUACCCUAAGCCUACACCUCCUGACCUCCAAUUUGAAGAACGAAACACUCAAAGCCAGUUUUCCGUUUCUUCUAAUAAAUUGUAUGAAUGGAAUAUUGAUGGUCUUUCUGAGCAAGAAAUCCUUAAUAAACUUCAACACAUGUCAAUGGUCGCCAAUAGUUAUAUUACCAAUCACAGUUUCAGACAGUCUGAAAUUGUUCCUUUGCUAGAAACAGGUUUCACUGGAACUCUUCGUUCUUGGUGGGAUAAUCAUUUAACCCAUGAGUCUAAGCAACGAAUAAUUCAUUCACUAAAAACUAAUGAAGAAGGUCUGCCUAUUUUCGAUGAACAGAUAGGUCAAGGUAUUGAGGAUGGAGUCAACACUUUGCUUACACGAUAGUUGAUCAUUUUAUAGGAACACCUAGUAAUACAACUGCCAGAAUACAUGAUCAAUUAAGUAAUUUAAGAUGCCCUAAAUAAUCUGAUUUUAGAUGGUAUAAAGAUGUAUUUAUAUCUAGAGUCAUGCUUCGAGAAGAUAGUAAUCAGCCGUUUUGGAAAGAAAAAUUUGUUAAUGGAUUGCCAAACUUGUUUACUCAUAAGAUCCGAUCAACCCUUAGUAAUGAACAAGGUCACAUUGAUUGGGACAGUUUAACUUAUGGAAAUAUAAUUAGCACAAUUAAUCAAGUAGGAAUGAGAAUGUGUGUCGAUAUGAAAAUUGGUAAACAAAUCCAAUCUGAGAGAAAUUCUGCCAAGUAUGAGUUAGGUAAUUUCUGCGAACAAUAUGGUUUAAUGUCUGUUCCCCCGUCUAGAAAGAAUAAGCUCAGUUAUCACAACCGACAAUUUAGUAAGAAGCAUCAUUACUCACGUCGCAAACAGUCAUUCCAACAUAAUAAUGAAGAUAGAGAAUUUUACAAAAGCAAAAGGUUUUCCCCUAAAAAAAUCGGGAAAAAGAAUAGUCAUAAAGAAAAGAAUAAUAGCUUUAAAAAAAGAACCGACGCAAUUAAAAAAAUCGGGAAAAAGAAAAGUAAAAUGCUAUAAAUGUCAAAAGUAUGGUCACUAUGCUAAUAAUUGUAAAGUUAAAGACGCAAUUAAACAAUUAAAGAUCACGGAUGAAGAUAAAAACAAAUUGAUCCAAAUCCUUGAAUUAAAUAAUGCUGCGUCAAGUGAAAACGAAACCAUGGUUAGUCACACUGAGUCAUCUGAGAUUUAUUCUUCUGAGUCACAACCCAGUUCCCCCAUAAUCCAAUUUGGUUGCCAAGAUAAUUGCUGUAAGUCUAAGUCUAUCAGUGUUCUCACUAAACAUGAGGAACAAGAAGAAUUACUAAUUGAUUUAAUAAGUAAAGUAGAAAAUUCUGAGCUAAAGUCCGAGUAUUUAAAGAAAUUAAGAAAGGUUAUUAGCAAAGAAGAACCACGACAGUCUACUCCCCAGAAGAUAAGUCUAAACACAACCUUAGAAAAAUUCAAUAAAAAGAAAGAAGUUACUUUACAGGAUUUACAACUAGAAAUAAAAUUAGUCAAAAAAGAAAUAGUUGAGUUAAGACAAAUAAGUCAAAAGUUACAAAGUGAAAAUUAUGAGAUAAAACAAGACCUGAUUAAUUUGUUAGAAAAGAAAGUCUCUGAGUCUAACCCAGUUAGUCCUAAUGAUUCAGAUGAAGAAAUUGCUAUUCCUGAUCAAGCCGUUAACUUAAUUAAAAAUGUGACUUUUAGAAAAUGGUAUGCCAGAGUCACCAUAUUUGUUCAAAAUUUUGAGUUAAAAACAGUUGCUCUUUUCGAUUCAGGAGCCGAUCUUAAUUGUAUCCAAGAAGGCUUAAUCCCAACUGAAUAUUAUAAGAAGUCCAAAGAAUCGUUAAGUACUGCCUCAGGAAAAUCUCUCCAGUUAAAUUAUGAGAUCCCUAAAGCCCAUGUCUGUCAAAAUAAGAUUUGCUUCAAAACUUCUUUUGUCUUAAUUAAAAAUAUAACUGAUCAAGUCAUCCUAGGACUACCUUUUAUCUCCCUUUUGUACCCUUUCCAGGUUGAACACGAUGGUGUCAUUUCCACCUGCUUAGGAGAAAAUAUCAAGUUUGAAUUUUUGAGCAAACCUGAGUUACAUAAUUUAAAAGAAUUACAGAAAAAUGCAGUCACCAAAUCAGCCAAGAUUAUUCAGAAUAAAAACAAACAAUUGAGAUUUCUUCAAGAAGAAGUUAAAACAAAAAGAAUAGAAAACCAACUGAGUCAAAAGUCCUUACAGGAUCAAAUCCAACAAUUUGAAGAAAAACUAAAACAAGAAGUUUGUUCUGAGUUGCCUAAUGCAUUUUGGCAUAGGAAACAGCAUGUUGUCAGUCUUCUUUAUGUCAAGUCCUUUAGUGAGAAAAAUAUCCCUACUAAGGCAAGGCCUAUCCAAAUGAGCCAAGAAUUAAUGGAAUUUUGUAAAACUGAGAUUACUGAUCUACUUAAAAAAGGAAUCAUCCGUAAAAGUAAGUCGCCUUGGUCUUGUCCUACUUUCUAUGUCCAGAAAAAUACAGAAUUAGAACGCGGAGUCUCGAGAUUAGUCAUUAAUUACAAACCACUUAAUACUGUCUUAGAAUGGAUUAGGUAUCCAAUUCCUAACAAAAGAGAUUUAAUCAACCGAUUAGAAAAAUCAGUCAUUUUUUCUAAGUUUGAUAUGAAAAGUGGAUUUUGGCAAAUUCAAAUAUCUGAGUCUGAUAGAUAUAAAACUGCUUUUGUUACUCCCUUCGGUCACUAUGAGUGGAAUGUCAUGCCGUUUGGUCUUAAGAAUGCACCCAGUAAGUUCCAGAAUAUAAUGAAUGAAAUUUUCAAUCCUUAUAGCCAUUUUUCCAUAGUCUAUAUUGAUGAUGUGCUUAUAUUUUCUGAGUCUAUAGAACAACAUUGGAAACACCUUUAUAAGUUCCUACAAAUAGUUAAACAAAAUGGUUUAGUUGUCUCUGCUAAGAAAAUUAAGUUAUUUCAGACUAAUGUGAGAUUUCUUGGGUUUAAUAUUUACCAGUCACAAGUUAGCCCCAUAGAUCAAGUUAGCCCCAUGAAUCAACUCCAGAGAUUUUUAGGAUCUUUGAAUUAUGUUUAUGAUUUUUACCAAAAUUUGAGAAAGCAAUGUAAGCCUUUAUUUGAUCGUCUUCAAAAUAAUCCUCCACCAUGGUCACCUGCCCAUACUGAGAUUGUUAAACAGAUUAAAGUCCAUAUCAAGACUCUUCCCUGUCUUGGUAUUCUUUCUGCUAAUUCAUUUAAGAUUGUUGAAACUGAUGCCCCUAAUGUAGGAUAUGGCGGUAUUCUCAAACAAAGAAUCAAUUCCAGUCCUUCUGAGCAAAUUGUCCGAUUUCAUUCUGGUACUUGGUCACAGAGUCAAAGUAAUUAUAGUACUAUUAAGAAAGAGAUAUUAUCUAUAGGAUUAUGCAUUAAUAAAUUUCAGUCUGAUUUAUUAAAUCAAAAAUUUUUAGUCCGAGUUGAUUGUAAGUCUGCUAAGCAUGUACUAGAAAAAGAUGUUCAAAACAUUGCAUCCAAACAAAUAUUUGCACGAUGGCAAGCUAUUUUGAGGAUUUUUGAUUUUGAUAUUGAAUAUUUGAGAGGAAGUGAGAAUUCUAUCCCUGAUUUCCUUACCAGAGAAUUUCUGCAGGGAAAACAAUGGCAAAAAGAAGAAAAGACAGAGAAAAAGAUGAAAAACAAAAAGGUCAAUCAAGUCAACCUAGUCAACCCCAGUCACUCCGAGUCCUUCCAUCAUCAAUGAGUCAAAACAAAUAUGAGCCUCCUUUCCAAAUCGUCCCCUUUCCGGGAUGCUCUCCAAUCCAAAUCAGUAACAGGUUUGCCAACUUAGGAGCCACAGUCGGCCAGGUUCGCCCUAGUUUCCAGUCUGCUUUAAUUUCUAGUCAUGAUCCUUUUCAAGAUAUUGUUGUUUCUAACCCUCCAGUUGUUUCUUACCAGAACACUUCCCCAUAUAUGGUCAAGAGUCAUAGUCACCUAUUUGUCAUUGAGUCCAAAUACAAUUCAAUUGCUAAUCCCAUAACUAUUGCUAAGUCUUAUUUUCCACCAAAUAGUCAUUUCAUUCCCCCAGCACCUUUCAAGAAUCUUAAAUACUACAGAGACAUUCUUCAUGAGACCCAUUCUAUCUCCAUUAAGCCAAUCAAAGACAAAGAAAACCCCCAUAUCAUCCUUUAUCAUUCUCUCUAUAUUCACCAAAUUAUUAAUGAAAAUGAAUGGAGUAGUCACCCCUAUGAUCUCAAAGUUCUUCAGUCAUGAAAGGACCCGCCCCGAAUUUUCUCAAAACCCGAGACGAAUCCUUUGGAAUUCCUGACAUCACCUCGAUGCCAGGCCCACUUACUAAAAACCGAGACUUCCUGUCGAAAUUUCGGCAGAGUCUCCCCUAUAAUUUGGACAUUUCCCAAAAUUACAAUCUGCAUAAAAAUGCAUUUAAUAUUCACAACUGGCAGCAUGCACAAUAUAAUCUCAUGCAAUUCAUACAAAUGGCCUUCGGCCUUCCAAAUAAUUCUCAUCAACUACCAAACCCGCUAACCAAACAAGUUAUGCCUUUAACAAGGCAAACUAUUCAAAUAUAAAUUUUGACUAACAUUUAGUCUGCGGCUGCACCUAAUAACCUUAGGCUGCCUACGUACCCUCCUUGAGGGAUCAAGCCACACGUAGUUCUUCCAUAAAAUCCAACUCCACACUUAAGCGAUACCUUAUUUCAUUUCUCUGUAUUUCACAUAAUCUCCUCAUACGCCGGUACAACCAACGCCACGUAUGGGGUCUGUCGACACGCCGGAUAACCUACGCCACGUGCGACCUCAACACAAUAUCACAAUAGCUCCCCAUACGCUGGUACAACCAACGCCACGUAUGGGGCUUGUCUCAACGCCGGAUAACCUACGCCACGUGAGACCUGAACAGCAUAUCUCAUAUCUCCCCAUAUGCCGGUACAACCAACGCCACGUAUGGGGCCUGUCCCAACGCCGGAUAACCUACGCCACGUGGGACCUAACUUUCACUUGGUGGUGCUUGUAGUGAAUCCAAAAUCCAGGGAGGUACUUAAAGUAGUGCGUAUAGCACUCCAAGACAUUCUAGACUCUGUUGUACCCUUGUACAACAUAUUAUAAUUAUAAUUAUAUAAAUUAAUUAUAGUAUUGUGUAACUCUCCACAAUCAUCUAGCACCCGAUAAUCCCCCCUAGAAAGGUGAGAUUACUCCGGGAGACUCACGGUCAACCAAGGGUCAAACUACUCUAACCCUGGUCAACCGGACCUGCAGAACCCACGACCUCCAAUUUCCGAUCCGAAAGUCUCUAUGGGUUCUACCAGGUAUAGGACACUUGUCCUGCAAGUUUGGUUCAGAUCGGACGGUCGGAUUUCUCACGAUCGCACGAUCUGACAAUUAAUAUAAAAUAUAAACUGUAAAAUUACUAUUCGGAACAUCCGGGGCUCCGAUUCACAAUCCGUGAAUUCCUACUCGAUCCUAGAAUUACCUAGACUAACAUAUAUUAAAUUUGGGACCAUCCGACGGUCCCAACCUAUCGAACCCGGAUAACGCGCAAUAUGCGAAUAUCCGUUCGAUAGUCAAACGACGUCCGAAUUGAGAUCCGCGAAAUCCUACGUACUCGUGACAACCUAAGGAUCUCAACGGAACACAGUGCUAAUUUUUCUACAGUGCCCACGCGCCGCUGCACGCCCCGGCAGUGAAUGGUGCCCAAAGUGAUAACGCUUCGCCGGAAAAUCUCCAAACCACGGCUCCAAACUCUCUCCGGUUAAAAAUAUGACUAAAAUACCCUUAAAUAAUUAAAUAAUUAAAUAAUUAAAUAAGGGUUAAAUUUGGGGAAAUUUGGGGUCGGGGUGUUACAAGUCAGAACUUCAAUACAGUUAUUAUGAUUAUAUCGAAGCAUGGUAUACUAUCUUGCUUCAUCAAACAAUUGAUUUCAGCCACUCUUGGUUUUUAAAUUUUGACAGUAAAUUCAAGAGUUCUUUCCCUUACUGGUUCAAUCACUGGUGGGAAAAACAUGUUCCGAUUAUUGAUUUAUUUCCCCCUUCAAUGCAAGAAUUAGUCAAUUAUUUUACCAAUAAGACCAAAUUCAAAGAAUCUGAGUUGUACUUUCCUAAUUUACUUCAUUUUGUUGCUAAAUAUAAAGUUCCUUGGAUUCUGAAGUGGUCCUAUCAAGUUAAUUGGGAAACCAGAGUUUUGUCUGGCCAGUUUUCAAUCAAGUGGUGGGAUAAAUUUAAGCUUGAGCGUAUUGCAGACUAUGUUUAUGCUGAUUUUCCUCCAGUCAGGAAUCCACAACCUGAGAAAAAGUCAUCUCCUGCUUCUUCACAUUCUUCUCUCCCAAUCGAGGGCAGAUCCAAAACUGAAUUACAAGAACUUGCUCGCCAACUCAUGCUCCAAGCCUCUCAGAUGAAUGAUGAUGCAGAAUCUGAUGCCGAACCUGCGUCACAAACAUCUACUAGUCAGCCCAAGCCAAUCAGUCAACAAGCUCCAGUCCAAAAGAUGCGGUGGAGUGAUUAUCCUGAUGAACAAGACCCCUAUGAUUUUGGUCCUUUCAACCUAGGGGAUGAUUAUAUAUAUAUGUAUAUAUUUUGAGUUUAGAUGAGAACCAAUUUAUUGAAAGUUUAUAUAAAUGACGAGUUAUGAUUUUCAAACCCAUCACGAGGGUACCCCCCCCAGUUGCCUUGAGAUAGUUUGUUAUUUUGAUAAUGUCCCACGAGUUUUGGGGAUGCCUGAACCGUGUGGUGUGAGGAAUGCUGCUCGGAUUGAAGCGUUAUCUCCGAGACCUGCGAGGAUUACGACUCAGAUUGAAGUGUUAUCUCUGAGACCUGCGAGGAAUGCGGCUUGGAUUGAAGUGUUAUCUCCAAGACCUGCGAGGUUUGCGGCUCAGAUUGAAGUGUUAUCUCUGAGACCUGCGAGGAAUGCGACUCGGUUAACUUUAUGUUUCUGAGACUUACGAGGAUGGAAUUGACGGUAUUAAAAGAAUUGACGGAUUAGAAAUGGGGGUACGCCUAGGUGGAGAGAAUUUAAGCUUUAAAAUGUUUUUAAUGUAAAAUUGAGGAACUUUAUACAGUAACUAUUAUUUUCUUAAUCGAUAUACUUAUGUCACAAGAGAAAGAUGGAUAUAUAUAUUUUAUAUAUAUGUUUUACGUAAGUUUCGAUGCAAGAGUAUAAGGGUUUUCGGAACUUAUAAAUCUUUAACUUAUUUUAUUUCAUUUUAUUUUAUUUUAGUAUGUUUAUUUAUCUUUAUCUUUUAUUGUUUUAUAUAGUAUUAAAUAUCUUAAGUUUUUCUAGCAUAUUUUGCCCCACGAGUCUUAGAGUUAUCUGGACCGUGAGUGCGAGGAUUGCGGACCAGGUUUACCAGAUGUCUUCUGAGGAGUGCGAGGAUUGCGGACCAGGUUUACCAGAUGUCUUCUGAGGACAUUUUUGUCAUUUCUAUCACUUUCCCCUAGUUGCCUUGAGACAGUUUGUUAUUUUGAUAAUGUCCCACGAGUUUUGGAGACGUCUGAACUGUGUGAUGCGAGGAAUGCUGCUCGGAUUGAAGUGUUAUCUCCGAGCCCUGCGAGGAUUGCGACUCAGAUUGAAGUGUUAUCUCUGAGACCUGCGAGGAAUGCGGCUCGGAUUGAAGUGUUAUCUCCGAGACCUGCAAGGUUUGCGGCUCAGAUUGAAGUGUUAUCUCUAAGACCUGCGAGGAAUGCGGCUCGAUUAACUUUAUGUUUUCGAGACCUGCGAGGAUGGAAUUGACGGUAUUAAAAGAAUUGAGGGAUUAGAAAUGGGGGUACACCUAGGUGGAGAGAAUUUAAGCUUUAAAACGUUUUUAAUGUAAAAUUGAGGAACUUUAUACAGUUACUAUUAUUUUCUUAAUCGAUAUACUUAUGUCACAAGAGAAAGAUGGAUAUAUAUAUGUUUUACGUAAGUUUCGAUGCAAGAGUAUAAGGGUUUUCGAAACUUAUAAAUCUUUAACUUAUUUUAUUUUAUUUUAUUUUAUUUUAGUAUGUUUAUUUAUCUUUAUCUUUUAUUGUUUUAUAUAGUAUUAAAUAUCUUAAGUUUUUCUAGCAUAUUUUGCCCCACGAGUCUUAGAGUUAUCCGGACCGUGGGUGAGAGGAUUGCGGACCAGGUUGACCAGAUGUCUCCUGAGUUCAGCGAGGAUUACAGGUCAGGACGUGUCACCAUCGGUGUCACGAGGUAUUGAUGGUUAUGGCUUUCCAAGCAUGGUUACUUGAUAUAAAUGUUUUUAUUUCUUCGUUUGAUUGUAUAUUGCCAUGUGAGAAAUGCCAGGAAACUUGAAACAGAAAGCUGAGAUGAAAUUUGAGAACUAGAGUGGUUUUGCAAUUAGAGAACUACGUGUGACUUGAUCCCUCAGUAAGGGUACGUAGGCAGUCUAUAGUUACAAGGUGCAGCCACGAGUUAGAAUGUUUGAGAUUACCAAUGCAUUUUUGUUGUUCUGAAAGUUGAGAUGAAUUUUAUUAGCAAAUGGAUUUAUUUGAUUUAUUGCGAACUGAGAUUAGAAUAUUAUGAUGCUUAAUUUGUUUGGAUAUAAUUGAAUGCAUGCUGAACGAUUGAGUUAUAUAAAUGUUUGAUGACAGGUGGAAAUUUGGGGAAAUGAGUAAAUUACAGGGGAAACUCUGCUGAAUUUUUGGCAGAAGAUAAUCUUAUUUUAAAAGUGAAUUUUUAGUUAGAAAGGCAAUUUGGUCUUUGUGCCCUGCAGUUUGGUUUUUGGUGACACAAAGCUUGAACAGAGGAAGCAAUGGAGGUCUUUUGGUUGUGGGGUUUUCGCAGGCGGAGGAGUAUGGGUUUGGGUGCGAAAAUGGAAACAAUAAAUGGAAUUUGUUUUAUUAAAGAAUUUUUUUGAUUGAAGAAUUUGUUUUAUUGUUUAUUUUAAACAAUAAAUGGAAAUACAAAUGGAAGGACUAUAAUUCCCUCAACAAACAAAUCACAUGGCCCCCUAAUCAAUAUUUAGAAAGAAAUAUAGAUGAAAUCUCAAAAAAUCUAACGGCAAGUUUCAUAUUUUAAACGAGUCAAAAAACUAAAUCAACAAACGAAAUAAUUCAAGGGAGUAAGUUCGAAUUGCCUAAUAGUUAAAGGGGCAAAAUGACUGAAAAUUCUUUAUAUAAUACAUAUAAAUGUCAUUAGCAGCAUGCAAAACGAAGAUUUUAUAUGAGCAUUAUUCUUGACUUGAUGCAUUUGCCCAUGGAUUUCUUCUAGCAACCAAAUAUCUGUCUGAUCAUAUCGUAUCAUAUUUUAUGAGACUAUGAUGCGGGCAUGCAAAACGCGUCUUUGACCGUUGACCGAAGUACCAGAGACAAAUUGUAAAGAAAAAUAACCCCAUGCGCAUCAGAGUGAGACAAAAACGUAAUGAGACAACCUCAAGACUCCAAGCACACGAAAUUACCUUUUUUUAUUUAUUUAUUGGAAGAAACUCAUUGGCACGUAUCUAUUAAGCUCCUGUCAGACGCGGCUUUGACAUCUAAGUCGUGACAAUAGAAAUGCAGCAGCUGCUUGACCAAAGCUAGCUAGCGGAUUCAAGAAGUGUGUCUAAAAAUUUAUCUCUCCAUGGCAAGCACUUGCAGAAUAUGUGUUCUCGUUAUAGUAAGUGUAUUCUUGCUUGGUUUUAGUGCCUUGUUUGUCUAUAUUCUUUAUGGUUUAGUGUGUAUAACUGGUACAUCAAUUACGAAGAGCCAUGGGAGCCCUGAGAGCCCUGAGAGCCCUGAUAAGUGCGUCCCGUCUGCCUGCGGUAACAUCAACAACAUAAUCAGCCCCUUUCGACUAGCCAACGAUACAGAUCAAAGCAACUGCACGAACUGGGAUUACUACAACUACAACCUCUAUUGUGACUACAACCUCACAGUACUGACAAUAGAUUGGGGAAAAUACUAUGUGCAGGCAAUCAACUACGACAACUUCACAAUCCGAGUUGUAGAUCCUGGCAUUCGCAACAAUGAUUUCUCCUCCAUCCCCCGUUAUUCGCUUUCCAUUUACAACUUAACUUCUCAUCUUCGAUUAGCAUCAAGUACAACACCUAUAACUUUCUUCAAGUGUGCAAAAGCAGUGAACUCGUCUGUGAUGAGAACAUAUAAUUAUGUCAAGCAUGGGAAUAUAACGGCAUCAAAUAUGGAGGACGGGUGCAGAAUAGAGUGGACGACUUUGAUGAGUAAGUCGUUCUUGUACGAAAAGGAGAGAAACUUUUCUUAUCAUGACAUACACAGCGCACUGGGGUAUGGCUUUGAGCUUCAAUUCCGAUUUCUCAAGACCCGCCGCAGAUUCGGUUUGUGAAUUACUUGCUAUAUUCCAAGUCUACAAUUUCUUACUAAAACUUUCUGAAUUUCUCCAAAUGUCACGUGUUUAAAUCUAUUAUCUAUGACUUUUGUUACACUUUAUUCCUCAUUUUCAAUCAUUUGUUUUGUUUAGUUUUAAUUGAAAUAAGGCGAUACAGGGCUGAAAAUGAGAAAGACAUAAGAAGAAAAUACGUCAAAUAUUCUUUGAAAAUAAAAUUCUCAAAAUUUUAAAUAGUUUUAUUACUUGUAGUAUUUUGUCUGGCUAAUUUAAAUUCCCUUCGCUCUUCUUCACAUUCCUCAUAUGAUGUAGUCUUCAAACUUAUUGUCAAGCCUUUGAUUUUGGUCACUUUUUCUUGUAUCUCUUGCAGUUAUAUACAAUUGGAAGAUACUCGGUAAGAGUUCGCAUAUUUCUUUAGUGAAGAAUUGUAUUUCCUAUCAGUCAAUCGAAAAAACAUAUGGAAGCAAAGAGUAAGGUUUUUAAUAUAUUAUAUCCAAUAAAGCAUGUCAUUUGUGAUUCUUUUUGUGAUGUUGCUUUGCAGGAACAUAUUUCCUAAUAAAAUCUAUAUUUGGGGUUCCAUUUCUGGCUGCUUUUCUAAUCUACAAACGGCGAAGAAUGCAUUUGUCAAUGUAUAGCAGCAUAGAAGAUUUCCUGCAAAGUGAUAACAACCUCAUUCCGAUAAGGUACUCUUACUCAGAUAUUAAAAAGAUGACCAGUAGAUUCAAUGAGAAGUUGGGUGAAGGAGGUUAUGGCUCUGUAUUUAAAGGAAAGUUACGAAGUGGUCGAUUUGUAGCAGUUAAAAUGUUGGAGAAGCCUAAAGCUAAUGGACAAGAUUUCAUAAGUGAGGUAGCUACUAUUGGGAGGAUUCACCAUUUUAAUAUGGUUCAACUUGUUGGUUAUUGUGUUGAGGGAUCAAAGCGUGCCUUAAUUUAUAACUUCAUGCCAAAUGGAUCUCUUGAUAAAUACAUUUAUUGCAAAGAAGGAAGCAACCCCUUAAGUUGCAGGAAAAUGUAUGAGAUUUCUCUUGGAGUGGCUCAAGGGAUCGAAUAUCUACAUCAAGGUUGUGACAUGCAAAUUCUACAUUUUGACAUCAAGCCUCACAAUAUUCUUCUUGAUGAGAAUUUCAUCCCAAAGAUUUCUGACUUUGGGCUUGCAAAGCUAUAUCCGGUAGGAAAUACCAUUGUCUCUUUGACAGCAGCAAGAGGAACAAUGGGAUACAUGGCUCCUGAGUUGUUCUACAAAAAUAUUGGAGGCGUCUCAUACAAAGCUGAUGUCUACAGUUUUGGAAUGUUGUUGAUGGAAAUGGCAAGUAGAAGGAAGAAUUUGAACACAUCCAUAGAGCAUUCAAGCCAAAUUUAUUUUCCUCUUUGGGUCUCAAACCAAUUUUGCAUGGGCAAAGAGUUUGAGAUGGAUGAUGCUACAGAAGAGGAAAAGAAAAUAAUAAAAAAGAUGAUUAUAGCUGCUUUAUGGUGUAUACAAUUGAAGCCAAGCGAUCGUCCUUCGAUGAACAAAGUUAUAGAGAUGCUUGAGGGAGAGGUUGAAUGCUUGCAACUCCCUCCCAAGCUUCUUUUAUGUCCACAACAAGAGAUGCCCAGAGACAAUCUUCAUGGUAAUUCGAAUCCAAUGUGUUCUAACACAGAGCUAACAUGUAGUACUCUGUCAGCUAGGUGAUGAGUAGGACUCAACUAGAGUUUCAACUUUAAUUUCAGUUUUAUUAUUAUUUACGCUAUAAGAAAAAUAUAUGGGUUCAAGUUGCAUACAUUAAAACUACGUUUUUAUUUUGAACUAGUACUUGUGUGGUUUUGCUCCUCUGCCACCACAAGCAUCGCCCUCGUUGUCAUAAUCACUACCACCGCCACUGAGUCAUAUCUCAUAUAUUGAUUUUUUUUUUUUUUUUAAGGAAAAUGCUAAGGAGAUCAACUCUAGUAAAAUUUACAUGUAACCGGUAUAAUACAAUUUUGCUAUCCUGAACUAAUAACACAAUGAUACGUGGAAAAGUUAUCAUAUAUGCCAUUGCGUUAUUAGUUGGGAAUAGCAAAAAGUGUUAUCCCGUUACAUGACAGUUUCCCCUUCAUCUUUAGAGACCAACUUAUGUACCAUCUCUCUAAUAGAGAUGGGAUCUAUGGUAUUAGUGGGCCUUACCUUUAUUACAGAGAUGGUACACAAGUUGAUGAUGUCGCCUUAGCAUGACCCUUUAUUUUUUAUAUAAAUAAAAUUUAAAUAUUGUAUUUAAAUGUCACUUAUGAUUGAAAAAGAAUCUUGAGCGACAGCCAUUGGCCCCCACUUCAAUUUUCUGAAGAUGGAAUUGGUCAUUGCACCAAUGAUCACAUGGAAGAAAGUCAUUAGCAAUACGCAAAUUGAAAAAGAUAGAUCAGCAAAUGCUCGAGGCCAAUAAGUAGUGACAAUAAAGCAACACACAAAAUGCAAAGGGCGGCAAUACAAAUGCAAGGGGCUGCUUCAUCAAAGUGAGUGAAUUGAAGGAGUGUCUUAAAAUCUCUCGUAAUAGCAAUUGCUGUUUCUCUUGUUCUUGGUCUCAGGUUUUGCCUUUUUCUUGUUUCUCAAUUAAUCUACGAAUCUACUACAGCUAAGCACAACAACGGCAAUGGAAAGUGCAUCCCGUCUUCCUGCGGUGGCAUCCACAAUAUAACUUUCUUCAAGCGUGCAAAGGCAGUGAUCUCAUCAUCUAUGUAUAAGGACACUACUGUUAUUUCGGGCACUAAUUGUAUUUGAUGUUGGUUCUCUGAAUCUUCAAGCAUGUGCUUUGUAGCGAUUCCUUCAAGCAACUAAUGAGUAAGAUAUUUUCACAGCAAUAAGCAUGUGCUCUGUUGGCAAUGGCAGAUUAAUCUUUGUCAAUCUUUUACAAUAAAAUAUACCAAAUCAUUUACAAAGAACUUGGAGGAGGCUAUAAAAAAAAAAAAAAAGGCAUGUAGAUUAGAGGCUUGACAUUUUAUUGUUUUAAAUUCACAGGUUGUUCGCUCUAAUUUUUUAUUGAACUUGGAGUUGGGAGAAAAGAAAAAAAAAAGAAAAAAGAAGAAGCGUUGAUUUAAUAUAGGUGUCCACUUCGAGAGAACUAUUCACAUAGAGAGAAAAAAAAAAAAAGGGAACGUAAACAUAGAAAAACAGAGAAAAAAGAUAGAAGAAAAGAGAGCACAAACUUCACCCCGGCUCAGUAGGCUCAGCUUGGCCCUGUCUGGUGGGUUUGAGAAAGGCUUCGAAUUUUUUGAAAAAAUCCAGCCCAACUCAACCUGUAAUUUUCUCUCUCUUAAUUGAAGCCCGAUCUAACUCGACCUAAAUCUAAUAAAUUUAGGCUGAGCCAACCCGGGGCAUUGAUGAGCCCUAGUUACAAAUCAGGCCAAUAAUACUCCCGAAAGGCUAUAAUGCGGGGUAAGUUUUAAGGAGUUCACUUUAUAGCCAUCAAAUCAAUCAAAGAGCUGUGGACAGUUGAGAUAAAAUUUUACAACCGGGUAGGUGAGGAACCCAAACCCAAAUUUAAUACCUAGCAAGUUUGAAGUUUGAACAAAAACCCAUAGCUUUGAGAAACUGCUAAACUCCUUCGGAAGAAGGCUUAACGAUGGUUGAAAGCAACUUUGUUCUCUAAACCUUGAAAAAGUAGUUACUUUGAGUGGAAGGGGAGAAGGCGUGGAUUCCGAAACUGUGGAACGGGCGAAGCAGUGGAAGGGGAAGGAGCGAAGCUGUAUUCGUUGGAAGUGAUAGGUUCCAUUUGUGGAGCAAAGCUGCACAGACACCCUAUGAUUGUUCAAGAACCAGCAUUUGGUAAGUAAUUUAUUGGAAUUUGAGUUUAGGGUUAGAGUAAUGGUUUUCCCCAAUUUUUACCGUCAAUGGUGUUGGAUUUGGCAUUUCGUGUUUGUGGUUCACUUGCAUGUUAGUUUUUGCUUGGGUAUAUGUAAAAAAAUCAAAUGAAAAUCAUGUCAAUAAUGAAAUGAAUAAGAUAAUGGUGGUGUUGAGUUGGAGGAGGCGCUUGAAACCUUCCACAUUUGAAGCAGUGCAGAGUGCAGAUCAUCUCUCUGGCUCUAGAAUAUAUAUAUAUUUUAAAAUAAAUAUUAUUUCCUUUGUUAGUAACUUUGCCUUUGAAAAAUGAGAACAAAUAAUAAUAAACUCAUGAAUAAAAGUGCAAAGCAUUUUAAAUAAAGGUUGGUCCAUGACCAUAGUGGUUGACUGAAGAAAAAGCUAGAAAGAAAUAAGGAUGUGGCAAUGGUGUAGCAAGCAAAUAGCAGAGUAGAUGCUUUGCUUUGCUUCCUUCCACCAUCUUUCUUAUUUAUUUAUUUAGUUUGUAUUGUGUAUGAAAUGACAAUAAUUGUCAUGUGUGUGAAGUGCAGUGUAACACCCCGACCUCAAAUUUCCCCAAAUUUAACCCUUAUUUAAUUAUUUAAUUAUUUAAGGGUAUUUUAGUCAUAUUUUUAACCGGAGAGAGUUUGGGACCAUGACUUGUAUUUUUGGAUAGGUCGUACUGAGACGAGUUCAUAGACACGUAGUGGGCUUGAAUCGGAGUUGUAACGAGAGAGUUAUGGUCAAAAGAAGCCCAGUGGCACAAUCGUAAAUAUUUCGAAAUGGGAUUUUUUAUAAAAACUCAGAUUUUUCUCUCUCUCUCUCCUCGUAACUCCGGCCACCGGCCGCGGCUGCGGACGGGGCCGGUGUCAAAAGAACCGGCUUGACCUCGGCGUCAAGACCCAACCCAUCCCCGCCAUUGGCCGCCGCUCCAGCCGCCGGAAAAUGGCGAUUUUUGCCCGGAUGUCGCCGGAACUUCAACGCCGUCGAUCUCCCUCCUCCGGCCACUAUUUCCGUCGGCCCAGGUAUGGAUCUUGAACCUCUCGAGCUGUUCUUGCUGCCUGUUGGUUGGGUUUUGAUCGAUUCAAUCUCUAGAUCACUCGAUUUUCGAAUUGAAAAUAGGCCGAAAAUUCGGCCGCCGUGAUCGGCCAUUUCCGGCCACUUUUUGGGGUUGUUCCAAGAACAAAAGUGGCUCCAAAUAGGGUGUUAUACCUAGGGUAGGAGUUUGGAGCCGUGGUUUUGAGAUUUUCCGGCGAAGCGUUAUCGCUUUGGGCACCCACGCGCUGCCGGCGCGUGCGGCGGCGCGUGGGCACUGUAGAAAAAUAUCACUGUGUUCCGAUGAGAUCCUUAGGUUGUCACGAGUGUGUAGGAUUUCGCGGAUCUCAAUUCGGACGUCGUUUGACUAUCGAACGGAUAAUCGCAUAGUAUGCGUUAUCCGGGUUCGAUAGGUUGGGACCGUCGGAUGGUCCCAAAUUUAAUAUAUGUUAAUCUAGGUAAUUCUAGGAUCGUGUAGGAAUUCACGGAUCGUGAAUCGGAGCCCCGAAUGUUCCGAAUAAUAAUUUUAAGUUUAUAUUUUAUAUUAACCGUCGGAUGGUGCGAUCGUGAGAAAUCCGACCGUCCGAUCUGAACCAAACUCACAGGACAAGUGCCCUAUACCUGGUAGAACCCAUAGAGACUUUCGGAUCGGAAAUUGGAGGUCGUGGGUUCUGCAGGUCCGUUUGACCAGGGUUAGAGUAGUUUGACCCUUGGUUGACCGUGAGUCUCCCGGAGUAAUCUUACCUUUCCAGGGAAGAUUAUCGGGUGCUAGAUGAUUGUUGAGGGUUACACAACAUUAGAAUUAAUUUAUAUAAUUAUAAUUAUAUAUAGUUGUACAAGGGUACAACAGAGUCUAGAAUGUCAGUUUGGAGUGCUAUACGCACUACUUUAAGUACCUCCCCGGAUUUUGGAUUCACUACAAGUACCACCAAGUGAAAGUUAGGUCCCACGUGGCGUAGGUUAUCCGGCGUAGGGACAGGCCCCAUACGUGGCGUUGGUUGUACCGGCGUAUGGGGAGAUAUGUGAUAUGCUGUUCAGGUCUCACGUGGCGUAGGUUAUCCGGCGUUGAGACAGGCCCCAUACGUGGCGUUGGUUGUACCGGCGUAUGGGGAGCUAUUGUGAUAUUGUGUUGAGGUCGCACGUGGCGUAGGUUAUCCGGCGUGUCGACAGACCCCAUACGUGGCGUUGGUUGUACCGGCUUAUGGGGAGAUUUGUGAUAUGAUGUUGAGGUCCCGCGUGGCGUAGGUUAUCCGGCGUUGGGACAGGCCCCAUACGUGGCGUUGGUUGUACCGGCGUAUGGGGAGAUAUGUGAUAUGAUGUGCAGGUCUCGCGUGGCGUAGGUUAUCCGGCGUUGAGACAGACCCCAUACGUGGCGUUGGUUGUACCGGCGUAUGGGGAGAUAUUAUGAUAGUAUGGCAUGGUCGCACGUGGUGUAGGUUAUCCGGCGUGUUGACAGGCCCCAUACGUGGCGUUGGUUGUACCGGCGUAUGGGGAGAUUAUUUGAAAUACAGAGAAAUGAAAUAAGGUAUCGCCCAAGUGUGGAACUGGGUUUUAAUGGAAGAACUACGUGUGGCUUGAUCCCUCAAGGAGGGUACGUAGGCAGCCUAAGGUUAUUAGGUGCAGCCGCAGACUAAAUGUUAGACACGUUGUUUUAGAGAGAUUGGUUCGGACCUUGUUGUUGGUCCUGAAAUUUAGGUGAAAAUGUGAUUGUGUUAGGAGGCUAAAACCUCAUAUAUUGUAAUGUGAAGGGUUAAGUGAUGCAUGUUGAAAUUUAAUAGUCAUAAUUUAUAUUUGAAUUUAGUGUUUGUCUUGUUUAAGGCAUGAAUUGUUUUAUUAGCGUAUUUGGUAGUUUGUUGAGAAUUAUUGGAAGGCCGAAGGCCAUUUAUGUGAAUUUGCAUGAGAUUAUAUUGUGCAUGCUGCCCGUUGGUGAUAUUAAAUGCGUUUUUAUGCAGGUUGAAAUUUUGGGAAAUGUCCAAUUUAUAGGGGAGAUUCUGCCGAAAUUUCGGCAGAAAGUCUCGGUUUUUAGUAAGUAGGCCUGGCAUCGGGGUGAUGUCAGGAAUUCCAAAGGGUUCGCCUCGGGUUUUGAGAAAAUUCGGGGCGGGUCCUUUCAUGCAAAACAUGCCCAAAUUGCACUCACUUUCACUCAUGAAUCAACCAUUGAUUGGAGUUUGGGUCCAUAAAUAAAACACAUGCUAUUGCUUGUAAUUCACAGAAUCAUUGCAUUAACAGGUAUUUGCACAAAAAUUGUCAUAUUGCUUUCAUGAUGUUAAAGCCUAUGAGAUUUGUAAUGUGUCUAGUUAACUAGUUGUGUAAAUACCAAUAUGAUUGUGCAAAUACCUGGCAGUAAGUGCAAAUACUAAUAUGAUUGUGCAAAUACCUAGUAGUAUAUGUGCUCACGUUAUUUCAUCUUUUAUUUCAAGAAAUGGAAUCCAACGUGCAGCUGGUAUGGCCAGAAUCAAAGGUAUAUGCAUCACGAGUGAAUAACUGCCCACAUGCAAAUUUAUCCCUAACAAAGUAUCUGAAAAGCUGCGAAAAUUAAGAUGGAAUAGGUAAAGGGAAAAGUAAGGUAACGGGACCAAGCCGGAGAAAUGAGAAGUGCAAGAAGGGUAAGCAUAUUGAAGUGCCAAGGUGUGGCUGGAAUUUUAAAGGUUACACGUAUGCUUUCCAGGUACAUGGUAAUAAUGUUCAUGUCAGUUAUGCUUUGUGAACUUUAAAACUUAAAUAAUGACAUUUAUCCUGUGAAUUGUGUAGAUUUGGAUUUUUGAAUUAAUUCCUACGUUGGUGGACUUGAAUUACUGCAAGGUCGUUGAUCCAACAGUUGUUAAGCAUAUUUUGCGAUGGAGAACUACUACAUCUGUUCCCGAGGUGAGAAAGUUGAACAAUUAUUUUUUCCAGAGCAAAGAGGUUUGGUUUGCAACCCUUGAAACUAUUUAUAAGGUCAAAUGAAAUUAUUAAGUAGAAUGAUUAAAUAUGAAUCUUGUUUGUAUUGGAGUUGGCCACAGAAUCGUCCUGCUUUUGUCUCGUUAGAGUCAAUUCCAUCUUCAUGUGGUGACCUUAAUGAGUUGAACAAGGUGGUAAGCUUGUUGAGGUCCGAGUAGGAUCAAGUAAAGCAGGAAAAGGACCCUCUUGAGUUAAGGGUUAUAAGGAUGGAAAAACUUUUGGACCGUUGUUUAGGUCCUGAGUUUGAGCGGGAAGUAAGGAAGGACCUAGAUUUACUGAAAGAUCGGACGAAUCGUUGUGUUUUUUCACAUCUAUUUAUGGGAUGUGAGGAAAAGGAUGAGAUUGAAGGGGAUGAAGGACCAAGUAAAAGAAAUGAGGGAGAGGAAAAGGAAGAGGAGGGGAUUCAAGCGGGUGAAGUGCAAAGAAAACGAAUUGAGGGAGAGGAAGUGCAAAGAAAAAGAAGUAAGAGAGAGGAAGUGAAAAGAAAAAGCAGUGAGGGAGAGGAAGGGGGAACAAAAAGCAGUGAGGGAGAGGAUCUGCAAAGAAAAAGAAGGGAGGGAGAGGAAGUGUAAAGAAAAAGAAGUGAGGAAGAGGAAGUGCAAAGAAAGGGAUGUGACUCACGGAACACGGCGGGGACAUUAUGUGAGGAAGAGGCGAAUGAAGUUAUUCGGGUUGAUGAUGACAAUGGCAAGAGCACGGCGGGGACAAAUGUUGAGUUUACCGUCAGGGACAUUGCAGCUGUGCUAUCUCAAUUGAAUAUUUGGUUGAAUGAUGAAAGUAAAGCUAUGGAACAAGGGGUCCAAUUACGGAAGAGGAAGAGAAUUAUUUAUAUGUGGAAGAUUACCGAAGCUAGUGAAUUGUUGACAAAAGCUGUUCCAGUGAAAACUUGAAUUUGGAUGCUAGACCUAAUGAAGGCGAUUCCACAUGAUGAUAUGGUGAAGUUGCUGAUUUUUUUUUUUGGAAUAUUCCGCAUGAUGAUAUGGCGAUUCCCUUGUUUUUUGAGAUAGAUGGCAUGAGUGUAUAUAUUUUUGAAAUUUUGUGAUCUAAAACUUUUUUAUAUUCGUAGUUUAGUGAUGGAAUUUGGCCAUGCGGAAGCAGAGAUUGAAUUCUUCGCUUCCCUCGUCAAAGUCGACGGUUGACUAAAAGGAGAUGUAAGUUUAAUUGUUUAAUUGAUUAUGCAUUUCUUUUAAUGUACAUAGUUUAUGGCAUUGGCAACAAAAAUAUGUGCAGCACAUUGAUUUGGGGUUGUAUCUCAUCCGGAAGCGACAACAACAAUUAGAGGCUGUAGAAGUAUCGAACUGGACAAUGACAGAUAUAUUUUUCAUGGUAUGUCAUAGGCCUUGACCAAGUGCAGUUAAUAAUUACAUAUUAUCCAUAUUUGCUUUGUAGAUAUUUAUAGGAUUUUUAGUACCUGCGCAAACAGGGUUAAAAUCACAUAAAAUACUUGCAAGAAUACAAGGCUAUUGUAGUAUAGAUGUUCAUGCAAGGUCGUUCUUCUCAAGGACUACUUAGCAAUUUAUGUAAAAAUGAUUUCCAAUUAAUUACUUAAAAUUAAAAGCUGAGAAGGACGAUUCUGAAAUUGUUUGAUACCAAAAAUAAAUUUUAAACAAAAACAACAAAUACGAUUGAAGGAAAGAGUUUUUAAAGAAAACAAUUUAUAAAAACACUAGGGUUUCACCAUCACCUAGCAAUCUUAUGAAUUUUUACCAAUUACUUAUGAUUUGCAGAUGCCACUUUGAAGGUUAAGUUUUCCUAAUUUAUAUUCUACUUGGAACCUCCAACAUAGAACGUAUAUCCAACAUGCAACCCGUCCGAACGUUCGGAUCAAAUCUAAACAUGAAAGGCUCAUUAAGUUUUGUGAAAACCCUUUGAAAAACCAUGCAACCCUUAAGACGUGGUGUUCGUCUUAAGAGAAAUUACAAUUAUUAAUCACAAGAAGCCAGCAUCAAUUUCAGGGAACCUUACGACCAAAAUUGCAUCCAAUUACUUUUCUAAAGAUCUUAAUGGUGAUUAGGCAUUAAGACAAUUAGAUAGUUUAAAACAGUGAUUAACAAUUCAAAGUAGGCAUGCACUCAAUCAUAAACAAUUAAAUAAAAACUACAUAUUCAUGCUAAGGUUCAAGGCUUCACCCUAGCAAAAGAAAAUUAGUUACACAUAUUCAUAAUUAAAAUCAAAGAAAACAUCAUUCGAAUUAAUAAGAAUGAAAACACCUGAAAGUCGCAGAAACGCAAAACCCUAGCAAUUGCUCCAAAAGCCAAAAAGAAGUCCCUAAAAUUUUCUGUGAAAAGGAGCUUAAAUACCUCCUAAAACCUAGCUGCCCAAUCCCCACAAGGAAAUUAAGUUGAAAUAAAAUAAUACUAGGAAAUAAAGUCCAAAUUGGAUUAGGAGAAUCUGCCCACAAUCUGCCCAGCCACGUUUUGGCCUCAAAUCUCCUCCAAAUCUGACCCAAGAUAGCUUGUUUUAAAGAUAAAAAUAUUCUGAACACUUCUCUAGAAGGCCACGAACCCAUCCGAGGUCAUCUUGGGCUCCAACAAUGCCAUAAAGGCCCAAAACGUCACCGUUCCAGCACCGCGCACUGCUAUUUUAUUUUAUUGCCAGAAAAUAACCGCUUAGUAGAAAACUCUGAAAUUUUGAUACGAUCAAGCUAAGUGACUCACGAACGUCUUCCAACUAGAAUUACUCCAAAAUUCUUCUAUUUGCUCCAGAGGAAGUCGGAAGUCCUAUAUUGAAAAUAUAAUUCAAAGUAUCAAAAUUCUUCCAAAAUAUUAACCAAAAUAUACUAAGGAUGGGGUUAAAUAUAAAAUAUAAAAUAUACCCAUCGGAGAUGUUUACAACUUUUAUUUUCUAUUUCACAUAAUCACAUUCAUACUUGUUUUGUUGAUAAUAAAAGAAAAAAAGAGCAGUUUGGGUGGAAAAUUAGAAACAGUUUACUGAACGUUGUCAAUGGCAAGGUUCCGGCGUGUGGGAUGGGUUGGGAGUACAAGUAUAAGGUGUAUGCCCCUUGUAUGUUCACGAAGCAUAAGCAUUGGGUGGCUCUAAUGAUUGAUCUGGUUAAUUGUGAAAUCAUAGUGUACGAUUCAAUGGUUUCACUUAUUCCAGAUGAGAUCUUAAAGGAAGAACUUGCCCCGCUUUCAAUUACGAUUCCAAAUCUUCUCAACGCCAUGGACUUUUAUGAAGAAGGCUUUUACUCAAAUGAUUGUAGCCGAGAUUGGUGGUGUUCGUGGCCAAUAGAAUUUAUGGAUGUUCCACAGCAGUCUAAUGAGUGAGCACAAUUGUUAAUUUAAUUUUAUUACUUUAAAUUGUCAAUUACGCUGGAAUGUUAUUACUUUAAUUGAUUGGGUUCAUGUUUUUCUUUAGAGGCGAUUCUGGCAUGUUCGUGUUGAAGUACAUUAAGCUUCUGAGCGCUGAAAUUCCUUUAACUACUCGCACCUCGCAGAACAUGCCAUUUUUCCUGUUGAAGUUGGCUGCAGAGAUAUCACGGGGAGAUGCUUACAUGCCAUGAUAUUGGUUGAAAUUAGUUCAGGUACAUGAUGACAAAAUUGCUUUUGGGAAUCUCCAAUUUGAAACAUAUCUAAAUACACAAUACAAACCCACGAGUCCUUUUCCAAUUCUACCUUUGCUCCUCAAUUCUUCUUCCUCUUUCUCAAUCUUUGACUAUUUUUGUACAUAAUUUUAGGUUUAAGUUAUUGAACAAUAACAAUUAGAAUCAAAAUAGUGGCAAAUAUUAUAGCGGAUGCAUGUUUUCAUUUUGAUUAGUGUGAUACUAUGUUUCCUAAGCAUCUCAUAUUGGGCUAAAUUUAUAUGGUAGUUGGAUGUAGAGCAUAGAAAUAAAAAUGAUGAAAAAUGAAGAGUAGAGGAAGAAAAAUGAAGAAUCUGAAAUGUAGAUGCAGAGGCUUGGUGAGAAGCAAAGUAAAUGGAUCUGUUAAUCUAUCACACGUGGGCAAUUUAAAUGGAUCCGCAGAUGCGUUUUGGAAGUUAGGCACAUACAUAGCCGUCCCCAUACAUAGAAUGUGCAUCUGUAGUUUAGAUUUAAUGAAACAAGCAUCUGUGUAAUAUUGGCCUAUUCAUUCAUGACAUUUACAUAACCUUAAUCAAACUGCAUUCAAUUGGGAUUUUAAAACUGCAUAUGUGAAUGGGGACUGAUGGCUUUUUAAGUGUAUUACAUAAUUGUAAAGUGAUAUGUCAUGAUUUUUCCAAGCCAUCAUUCCAAAUAUUAGAUCCCAAUCUUCAAGCCAUUCAACAUGGCUUGGCUUAAUUGAAAUGGCUUGUAUCUUAAUAAGGUAUUUUUUUAAGGGGAAUAGGCGGCUAUGCCCUUGGCUCUAAUGUUUUAUUCAACGAUUCCCUCUUUUAGAAGCACAUUCAAAAAUGUCCCUAGCUGCAAUGCUAUAAAAAGUCCCUAUUGGCCGCGUAUCGCCCCUCGGGUUUGAAUCCCUCUUUCUCCUAUAUAAUCGGUUAAUAAAUUCGUUGCUUUUCUUUAUUAUAUUGGUUUUGCCCGGCUCAGUAGCAUAAAAGUAAUGUAUAUUACUUGUUUGUUGCGUGUAUAUUGCUUAUUUAUUGCAUGUAUAUCGCAUGUUUAUUGCAUUUGAUAUGCUGAGGUCGCACUAUGUGUCCUAUUGCGUUUAUUUUGGCUUUUUUAGUGCAAAAUUCUUGAAAAAGGUAAUAUGACAAGACCUGUCCCGAAUUUCUCGGAAUCCGAGACGAAUUCUGUGGUAUUACCACCAUUGUACCAAUGCCGAGCCCACAUACUAAAGAAACGAGACUUUCAGCCGAAAUUUCGGCAAAGUCUCUCCUGAAAAAUGGACAUUUUCCAAUUUUCUCGACUUGUUAAAAACACAUUAAUAACCCUAACUGGCAGCAUGCACAAGUUAAUAGAGUUCAAAUUUCAAACAAAAUAAAAAAUAAAAUGAAUAAAAGAGUCCUACGAAAGCUCGGGGUUCGAAAGUAGAGAUCUCGGCUCAGCCGAUCGAUUAGAAUAUAGCUACUAUCUGGGGGGCGCAAAACAGAAAAGUGUGAGUGGACAAAAAUAAAGUUCCAUUAGUUGAAAACAAUGUAUAGUAACCCCACCAUUUGGAAAACAAUGCAGAAACAUGCAUUCAAACCAUCGUAGAUAUAUACAUAUAUAUAGCCACAUCAAAACCAUGGUGAAAUCCAACUCUCAUCAAGAUAUCCAAAUACCCAUCUCAUACAAAAUAAUUUUCCCAAACCAUUCUCAAAAUGCGUGCUCGUUGGCACGACGAGCGAGCAAGUGCUUCCUUCCAGGAGGAUGACGGAGUCAGAUUCGGCUCUAACUUCCUUCCAGCUGCUGCAGACAGGAGGUUCUUCUUGAUCUCACACUCUCUCUCUCUCGCUCUGAGUUCGUUGGAGGAAGAAAAGGAAAAAGAAGAUGAAGGUGGUGGGGAGAGGGUUACUUUGGUGCGCGUAAAGAGGAAGGAGAAGAAGGAAAAAUAAUAAAUGAAAAAGAAGAAGGAGGAAGUUGGUAUCUGGGAAACCACAAAUAGCUGCUGGAGCUUAUGAAUUUGAUUUUUGGGUCGGAUUUAAUUAUUCGGCUCAUUCCAGCACUUAUCCAUGGCCCUAAUAAUUAAGGGGGCUCAUGUUGAGGCCCAAAAAAGUCCAUGGUUGGGUCCAAAUAAGUUUUCAGUCCAAUACGAUACUGUAUUAAGAAAAGUCACAUAUCGAAGUACACGAAGGCUCGUCAUAUACAAGUUAUAGUCCACGUGCCAUGCUAAAUAAAUAAUUUUCCAUGCCAAGGACUGAAAUAAUAUUAUAAAACACAAGCCCAUGCUAAACUAAGCACCGUGUCCCUCUUCUAGGACGAUAAAAUUGAAUCACGCCAAGCAACAUGCCACGCCAAGCAAGGAAUUAUUAUUCCGCACCCAAUCACGCCACAAGCUUAAGUGGGCCCUAAGCCACUCAAAUACCCGAGGCUUGCUUCAGUGGGUAGUGGUAUGGAUAGUAACAAAUCGACAUGAGGUCCAUUGAUGAGCCGAGAAAUGGAAGUCUCGGGUUGCUUGGGAGCCUCGGGACUCAAGCCCAUUUCUUAGGCCCAAAUAUAUGGGUGAGCACAUAGGAGGAAAUAGCCCAUUAGCUUAACCAAAUUGGUCCAACACCUCAACAAAAAUAAGCCAAACACUUGUUGAGGUUAGCCCAUUUACUUUGACAAACCAACCCAUUAUCUUAGAAGGCCCACACAAAUAGAAAUGAGAAGCAGCAAAAGCUUCAGACCCUUGCUGGAAAAAUAGAAGCCACGAAAGAAGCAAGAUGUCCACAUGUGCAGAGCUGCUGGAAGGCUCCAACACAUGGGAAGGAACAAGUUCCAAGCACAAAAUAUCCAAAGAGCUAAGGGAUAUUAGCACGUAAGCUGCCAGGAGGAGAAGCACCCUUUGAACCAGCAUGUACACUCAUUUGCUUUCCUUGUUCAGAUCUGGCCAGGGAAGGAGGAAGGAAAGAAGAAGAAAAAUAGCUAAGAAUAGAGUAUCCCACUGAACAGCUGCGGGAAAGGAGGCCUUGAGCUCCCAAAGUUCCUGAUUUCGUGGAAAUAGAAAGAGGGAAAUUUCACCAAGAUAGGAAGAGUCAAGGGAGGAUAGGAGAAAGGAAGGGAGAGAUUUGGCCAAAUUGGAUAGAAACCAUUAGGGUUUCUUGGAAAAUGUCAGCUUCUAGCGUCUAUAAAAGAGGCCUUUUCUACCCAACGAAAUGAACCCACACCUAGAGAGCAAGCUUCCUCUCUUACCUGCAAAAACCCAGCAAUCUCGUGCACUAUUCACCCUCCUUGCCGGAAGAACAUGGUUCUUUCUUCCUCUCUUCUUAGCCAAAUCAGCUUGCAAACCUCUUCUUCCUCACCUUACACACUCCCAUUUCUCCCUAGGAAGCCAUAUUUUCCUCUUUGGUGCUAAACUCAUGUUGAUUUUGCUUCCAUGCCACAAGCCUCUCACGUCAAGCUUGAAAAUUUAUCUGUAAGCAUCAAGAAAUCAUCUGUAAGUUGCUGUUGUUUUGGUUGGUGAAGGUAACCAAGAUGCUUCCUAAGGCUCUACUGCCCUUUCGAAGCAUUUUUGGGGCUUGAUUUUCGAACUCAGACAAAGGGGACAAUUUCAUCAAUCUGCCCUUUACGGCAGCCCAGCCCAUUUACAGCUGCCGGAAGAAAAAGCCCCCUACAAAGGUUUAAUACCAUCGUCUCUUUGACGGCAGCAAGAGGAACAAUGGGAUACAUGGCUUCUGAGUUGUUUUACAAAAAUAUUAGAGGUGUCUCAUACAAAGCUGAUGUCUAUAGUUUUGGAAUGUUGUUAAUGGAAAUGGCAAGUAGAAGGAAGAAUUUGAACGCAUCCAUAGAGCAUUCAAGCCAAAUUUAUUUUCCUCCUUGGGUCUCAGACCAAUUUUGCAUGGACAAAGAGUUUGAGAUGAAUGAUGCUACAUAAGAGGAAAAGAAAAUAAUAAAAAAGAUGAUUAUAACUGCUUUAUGGUGUAUACAAUUGAAGCCAAGCGAUCGUCCUUCGAUGAACAAAGUUAUAGAGAUGCUUGAGGGAAAGGUUGAAUGCUUGCAACUCCCUCCCAAGCUUCUUUUAUGUCCACAACAAGAGAUGCCCAGAGACAAUCUCCGUGGUAAUUCGAAUCCAAUGUGUUGUAACACAGAGCUAACAUGUAGUACUCUGUCAGCUAGGUGAUGAGUAGGACUCAACUAGAGUUUCAACUGUAAUUUCAGUUUUAUUAUUAUUUAAGCUAAUAAGAGAAAUAUAUGGGUUCAAGUUGCAUACAGUAAAAAUUCGUUUUUAUUUUGAAAAAAAUACUUAUGUGAUUUUGCUCCUCUACCACCACAAGCAUCACCAUCGUUGUCACAAUCACUACCACCACCAUUGAGUGACAUCUCCUUCUUCUUCUUUUUUCUUUUUUUUUUCCUUUUUUUUUAAGGAAAAUGUUAUGGAAACCACUUUUAGCAAAAUUUACAUGUAAUGGGAAUAGCAAUAUUUUGCUAUCCCUAAUCAAUAGAAUAAUGAUCUGUGGAAAAGUUAUCAUACGUGUGAUUGCGUUAUUGGUUGGGGAUAGCAAAAAGUGUUAUCUCGUUACAUGAGAGUUUCCCCUCCAUCUUUAAAGAGACCAACUUGUGUAUCUUCUCUCUAAUGGAGAUGGGACCCAUGGUAUUAGUGGGCUCUACCUUCAUUACAGAGACGAUACACAAAAGAUGUUUUUAUAAAAAUAAAUUUUAAAUAUUGUAUUUAAAUGUCAUUUUGAAUUCGCACGCUUGGUGAAGAGAUGGUUGAGUAUGUGCUCUCAAUCUUUUCUUUGUGAGUUAAACUGGUGAACUUGAGUGCUUUGAUUCUUGUGUCGACGGUGAACUGCCCAAGCGUGACUUUCUUCAACAAGUUGGCUCAAUAGAGACUGAGAGUUCAAAUGCUCUCUAUUGAGUUCAAAUGCAAUUGCCCAACCUUUCUUUUGUCGCUUGCCUCCUUUCCAAUUGUCGAAGUCAACUUAGGUUUCGAUUUGGGUAUGUAGUUGCGCCCGGAUAAAAGCACCUUUUGAAUUAUUGGCAAGGGUUUCUUAUUUUAGAAAGUCAAACCUCUUCUGGAGAAAUUAUAGAAUGGUACGGUAUUACCACGUCAGUGGGUGAUACUUCCACUCAUAUAUUGACAUAUGUCUUUUUAACCCUCCACUAAUUAAAUUAUUUUCCAGCUAGACAUUAGGUAUCAGUUUUACCCUUUAGAACUAAACUAUUAAAAACUUUUAUUUAUAUAAAAACAAAAAACAAAACAAAAAAAUAAAAAAAAAAAGACGACUGCAGCCAAGGUCUGCAGUCCUAUACCCCCUUGCUGCCGCCCCCUCCCCUUCUUUUCCUUCAUCUCUCUCUCUCUCUCUCUCUCUGAAUCACUUUAUUUAAUAGUUGGCAUUUAUUAGAUCAUCUCUUGUCAAGGCCAUGCGGGAUUGAGAGCAAAGUUGGAUAAAGAGAACUUGGAUCUGGAGUUUUUGAGGGAGAUGAAGGCAACCUAGAUGAGGAGAUUGAAGGAUUGGGGAAAGGAAUAAAAACAGGGAGGGAGGGCGCUGCAGAGGGAAACUGAACAGGACGGAGGUGGGAGGCUGUGACACGGUUUUUUUUUUUUCUCUUUUAAUUUUUGUGAAGGGUAAAAUUGGAACCCAAUGUCUAGCUGAAAAAAAAAGUAUAAAUUUUCUUUUAAAAAUACACGUGGCAAAUUUUAAAUGGAAGUAUCACCCGCUAACGUGGUGAUACCGUACCAUUCUAUAAUUUCUUUUGUUUGUGGUUUGACUUGAACUUCCAUUAUUAAGUCUUUCCAUUUAUGAAUUUAAGUGGGCCAAAGCCCAUUUGUACUUUUAAAAAAAUCCCUUAAUGGGUCUUUUUUCAUUUUAGGCCCAAACAAAACUCUACUAGUGUUAUUUAUAAUAAAUAAUAGCCACUUAGGGUUGGCAACAACUACCAGUCAUCGUUGCUUAAUGUUAAUGCCACUUGUAGAGGAGAGGUGAUGGCUAGGAAAUCUUGGAUUAGGAAAAUGGGGAAUUUGAGGAAUACGUUUAGGAAGAAGAGUACAUCUAAGAUGAGAAGUGAAAGAAAUAGGAGUUUUAGGCAUCCGAGGUUUAGGAAUUUGAGUUAGGCGGAUCCAGGAAUUUUACUUCCAAGGGUCGACAUGUAAAGUAUCACAAAAAAAAAAAAAAUUUAGACAAAAUUGACCUGUAAAAAGACAUAUGAAAUCAACACUAAUUUACUAUUUGCAAAUAAUCUUAUUAAGGGCCUUAGCAUACAAAAAAUAUGCUUUAAAAUAGGCUCAUAAUCAAUUUAUGUUAGCAAUUGUUUGUAUUGCUAGUUAAGAUUAUUAUGUCUUGCUAUAAUAACUUUUAAAUACAUCAUAAAGCCAGCAAAAUUAUUUGGGUGGGUAGGGUUUGCGUUGGGGAAUUGAGUUGCUUUGAGGGAAAUAUGUUUGACUUUGGGGGGGUUAUUGGCAUCCUUUUUUGUUUUUUUGUUUUUUUGUUUUUUUUGUUUUUUGAACGCUUGGGGAGAAAGGUUGAUAACUUUAAACAAUAAAUAAAUAAUAAAAGAAGAACAGACACGUAUGCAAGCAGCCGAUAAGCCUUUAUUUGGAGCAUUACAUCGAACAGAUGAUUGGCAUGACUUCUCCAGCCAUCCACCACAUGCAGGGGGAACUCUCUCAGGAAGUUUUCGGCGAGAGGGAAUGUACAGCAGCUCCUUACGCCUUUAUGGCUCCGACACUAUGUUAUGCUUCUUUUUUCUUUUUUUUCUGUUUCUUUUAGUCAAGGAUAUUUUUGCUUCUUAGAGCUCCAGGAAAUGAGACUAGUACACAGAAAGGUUACAAAACCAUGGUGAAUCUUGUAUCAUUAGAGCAUCUCCAAGGGAAAAGGCAAAAUAGUAGGCAAACCUCAUUUGUCUUGUCAUAUCAGUAUUUUUAUGCUCCAAAAGAAAAGGCAAAUAGGUAGGCAAAAUAUACCUACUCUCCGCAACAAGACAAUACUGUCUACUUCAAAGUGAAAAUGUAUAUUGGGCCGUACUUGCUUUUUAUUAUUAAAAUAUCAUCCACACUAUUUCACAUACUUUCUAUAAAAAUAUAAUAGUAAAUAUAAAAGAUAAAAACAAAUAAUAUAAUAAUGGUUUGUAGACUUGAAUUACCUAGUCCCUUGGAGUGACCAACUUUUUUCAUGAGGCAAAUGGGUAGGCAACAUGCCACCUAGAUUGUUAUUGUACAAUUUUGCCUAUUUUAUUUUGCCUCUUCCCUUAGAGAUGCUCUUAGGAUCACUCGUCAGCAUCUGUGUAAGCUUUUAACUCCAAAUAUCUAAGACAAAAGGUACCUCCAGAUCUCUGUAAGCUGUGAAGAAUUUCAUGUGAAUGUAGAUAGUGUGGGAUUCAGAAUUGAACUUUUAUUGAGGUGAAAUUACAAUACAAUAACUGAUAAGAAUUUUUUUCUUAAUAACUGUUGAGGGAAAAUGUGAGUCUCCCAACAUAAUUUUACCACCAUUACCUAAGCAAUGAGGUUUUAUUAUCUUUUAAGUUCAACUCAUUCAAGAUUAAAGAAUCUCUUAAUUACAAUCUCUUUCUCACCUCACAGGGUCAAAGCAACCCCUUUUACAAGUUUGAAUGAAACAACUCUAAACAAAAAAUCUCUCAUGUUUGAGAAGGAUAUGCAAUUGAAGCUCACACAAUGAUAACUCUCCUUUCUAAGUAGGUGAUAUAGAAGUCAUUUGGACACUAGAAUUCUUGUAUGAAUAUGGACAGGAUUGGCUCAAGAGAAAAUGAUAUUCAGAGUAUGUUAAACGCUUGUAAGCUUGGAUGAAUAUAUUGAGUUGUCUUUUUUUUACAAAAAUUUGAAGACAUAUUUAUAAGCAUAGAAAUAUAGUUGUUGGAAAAAUAAUGCCGUUGGAAAAGCUGUUAGGAAUAUAGUUGUUCUCCUUUUACUUUCAUCUAUUUUUGUACUAUUCCAUUUACUUAAGCUCACAAUGUAAAUAAGGAAGUACCCACAUUUGGAUUCAAUAAAAAUAUUAGAAAAUCAAAUUCCCACCAAAUCAAAAGAUGAAAAAUUAGUUUUAGUUCAAAAUACGAUUUAGACUAAAAAUGAUGGCUCAUUAAGUCUCUAAGGUCAAUCUAGGUACAAAGUUUUAGUUGUUCAAUCCACAAAGAGUCUUACAAGAAUAACCUAACUCUUACAUAUUGAAGACAUAUUUGCUUGAGUAUCGGCUUCUUGCUUCAAUGUUCCAAAUGUCUUCUAGUGUGUACACUAUUUUUGAUCCAUUUAGGAAUAUCUGCUCCUUACAACUUAUCGCACUUGAAAUACAUUAGAUAAAUAAGUAAUAAUUUAUUAUCAUCAAAAUAUGCACGACAAGAUUUAUCAUAAAUAAGUAAUAAUUUAUUAUCAUCAAAAUAUGUUAAAAUAUUUAUCAUACAUUUUAACAUUAAGUUUCAUAUUAAAUUAUCAUUCAACACAUCCAGAUUAACUAUUAAGUUCAACUCAACUAUUCAAAAUCACAUCAAUAUGAAAUUCCAGAUAAGGUAAGGAAGAAUUAAGAGAGGGAGGUUAACGCAGGGUGAAACAUAAAUAUUAUAAUUAUAUAUUUAUUUAUUUAAAUAUAAACAUAUAUAUUUUCGGUUCGGGUUCGGGGAUGGGGACGCCAAUACCAUCCCCUCCCCAUACCCGCUAGGGAUUUUUCAAGUUCGGCGAUCCCCAUACCCGAUACCCGUUUGACCUCGAAAUCUCCUCCCGCUAAGGUUGGGGAUCCGACCUGCCCCGCGGGAAUUUUUGCCAUCCCUAGAUAUAGUUAAUGGAUAGUUUUGUUUUGGGCUUAGUCAUAUGUUUUUGAAUUUUUGUUAGCUUGACGUCAAUGGGCCUUCACAAGGGCUUUAAGGCUUGUUUAAUUUUUUUUUUAAUUUUUAUUUCUACCCUUUUAUAACUAAAAACACUGCAAAAUUCCUCAAAAAUAAAAUUCAAACAUGAGAUAUGAGAUCUGAUCAUAUCCAUCAACCAGCAAUGUCGACCAUGUGGGAACCAAUAUUUCGAGGACCAAUGAGUGGGUGACAUGUGGAAAAGGGAAAUUUCCUAUGUCAAAUAAUCAUCCUAAUUAAUUAGGGAGAUAAUAUUUGAUUCAAGAUCUGAAUAUCUCCCUAAAUUAAGGAAGAUAUUUCCACCAAAUCUCCUUGAUUAAUUCCAAUAUCCUAUUUUUGGGUAAGAAUAAUCCUGAUUAAAUAAGGAUUAUUCUUCAAACCCUAGAAGGCAUGAGCUCUACAAAUACAUGAGUACACAACACACAUGUGGUAAUUGUAAACUCAAUUUCGAAAACCCUAGAGAACUCUCUCUCUCUCUCUCUCUCCUUCACACGGCUCUGGCCAAAACACACACAACUCCAGCCACCUGGCUCUCCCAAUAAGAGAAGACCUUCCUAAGAUCCAAUUAACUAACUUAAGCAUCAGAGGGCCUUUAGUCAACACCCCCUCCCCUUCCCCCUCCCCCCAAGGUGUGGUCCAUUGACCUAGAUUUGUUUUACAUGAAGCGAGAAGGAAGAAGAAGAAAUGAGUUCGAAGGGUGAAGAAGAAAGGAGUUCAAAAGGUGAAGAAUCAAUCUAGAAUAUUCCCAUGUGUGGAUAUUUGCACAAAUAUUUUCGUGCUUUCAUUGAGAGCAUCGAGUUACACUCACACGUUGCUCUCAAAUCAAAGAAAUCUGUUACACUCAAUCAAAGCCUUCCACACAACCAUGGUCAAGAGCAAGCACAUGAGAAGCAAGGUUGUCGCGACAACACAAUCCGUGACAGACCCUAGCCAUCGCGAUGACGCGGUGUCGAUCCAACCAAAAAGCUUCGCAGCCAAAACCACGACUUUUCCUCCCGGCCCCAUGGUCGUGGGUACGACUCUACACGCUUGGCUUUUGAGCUUUUGAGCUCUAUAUAUUAAAAAAUUAGCUUAUCUUGUGACAUGUAUUAUCAAUCUAUAUAUAUAGGGGGUUUUUCGUUCCGGCAGCUACUACGGGCAUGGGCUGUCAUAAACAUCAAAAUGGAUGAAAUUGCCCCUUGAGCCUGAGUUCGAAGAUCAAGCCCCAAGAAUACUUUGAAAGGACAGUAGGGCCUUAGGAAACACCUUGGUUACCUUCACCAACAAAAAUAACAACAGCUUACAGAUAAAUUCUUGGCUUGGCAUGAGAAGCUUGUGGCAUGGGAGCAAAAUUGUCAUGAGUUUAGCACUGAAGAGAAAACUAAGUAUUCCUAGGGGAAAGAUGGGGUAUUAAGGUUGGAGAGAAAGGAUUUUGCAGAGAGGUUUGGUUGAGCAUGAGGAAAAAGAGAGAAAAAUGUGGCUUGAGUGUUUUUCCGGUAGCUUGACAGAGACUCUGUCAAGUGUCAGAAUAGCUUGCCAAGAGGGAAAACUAAGGGAAAAGGAUGAGCUGAGCACGAAAUUGUUGGGUUUUGGGAGUAAGAGAGGAAGCUUGCUCUCUGAUGUGGUUUAUGCUUGUUGGGUAGAAGAGGCCUCUUUUUAUAGCCGCUGGAAGCUGACAUUUUCCAAGAAACCCUAAUGGUUUCUAUCCAAUUUGGCCAAGUCUUUCCCUUCCUUUCUCUCCUUAUUUCUUCAAUCAUCUUAUUUUGGUGAAAUCCACUCUGCCCAUUUGCACAAAAUCAAGGAUUUUUGGGAGCUCAAGGCCCCCUUUCCCGCGGCUGUUUCAGACUCAUAUUUUCAGCCAUCUUUCUUCCUUCUUUUCUCCCCUCUUCCAAGGCUAGGUCUGAUGAGAGAAAGAAAUGGGUAUGCAUGUUGGUUCAAAGGGUGAUUUGCGCUCCAAUAUCCCUUGGUUAUUUGGAAGUUUUUGCUUAAAACUUGUUCCUCCCAUGUGCUGGAGCCUCCUAGCAGCUCUGCAUAGUGGACCUCCAGACUUCCCUUUGUGGCUUCUGUUUUUUUAGCAAGAUGCUGAGGCUUUUGCAAGUUCUUAUUUUAAUUAUAUGGGCCUUCUAGGAUAAUGGGUUGGUUUGUCAAAAUAAAUGGGCUAACCUCAACAAGUGUUGGCCUAUUUUUGUUGAGGUGAUGGGCUAUUUUGGUUGGAGUGAUGGGCUACUUUCCCUUUUGUGCUCACCCAUAUAUUUGGGCCUAAGAAAUGGGCUUGGGUUCUGAGACUCCCAAGCAACCCAGAACCUCCAUUUCUCGCUUCAUUAAUGGGCCUCGUGACAAUUUAUUAUCAUCCAUACCACAACCCACUCAAGCAAGCCCCGGGCAUCUUGAGUGGCUUGGGCCCACUUAAGCUUGUAGCGUGGCAUGUUGCUUAUUUGCUUGGCGUGGUAUGUGUGCAAAGCAUAUAUGACGAACUUUCGCGUGUCCAAAUCGGGUUUUUUUCUUGAUAAGGUAUCGUAUUGGGCCGAGAAUUUAUUUGGGCAGAACCGUAGAUUUUUUGGGCCUCAACAUAUAUACUUAUUUAUUUUUAUUUUUAUUUAUUUAUUAAUUUCUCUUAUUCGGUUGUCCACAUGUUAUUAUCGUGCAGAUGCCAUUGUAAACAAGGAGAAAAAUCAUAGAAGGGUAGUAGAACAUACAUGGUAUCCGCACAAUAAUAACAUCCAAACGUCCACAUAAGAGAAUAUAUAUAUAUAUCAGUCCCCUUCUAUUGAGGGAUCCUAUUAUUCAAUAGAAAAAUACAAUUUCAAAUCCAAAGAUGAAACUACACAAUACUAUGAAGAUCGUGCCACAAAAUCAUGUAAGAACGAACAAAACUGAGCUCGAAAGAAGAGAAAUAAGAUCGAACUGAAGCACAAAAAUUGCUCGCCAAAACUGACCUUGAUUCCGCAUGCAAAAGCAAAAUUACGAAGAAAAUAUAAAAACACAAAACAUAAUCAGAAUAAAAUAGAAAAACUAAGAAAAUCGAACGAAAACAUGCUAGAAGAUCAGAGCUCCAAUCAUAGCUAGACGAACCAAAGCUCCAAAUCUUCAAAGCGAACGAAAACGAAAGCGAACCAGAGCUCCAGUUUCAAAUCGCGCAUACUUUAAACAUACAGGGGUGAAAAAAUCAUUUACUUUGUAAGUUUUAAAGUUGGGCCAGGCUUUCUUAAGAAGAAUGGAAGCAUUGUCUUUUUAGUUAUUAUUUUAAGCUAGACCAAUGAAUUUGGGCCUCCUCUUUGGCCUAAUUCAAAACAACAAUUCAUUCCUAGGUAUUAACCAAACAAAAACAACAAUUUUGCUUUUAUAUAAGGGUAAAGUGUCGUUUUGCCCCUUGAACUAUGGCCUAAUCCAAUCUUUAUAUUUUGGUUGUAGUCCCACCCUCCCCCUCCCUGCAAUAUGGGUUUCUCUUCCCCCGCUUUUUUCUUCUUUUUCUCUGCCAAUUUUUUUUCCUUCUAUUCUUCCUCUUUGUUUCCUUAUCUCCUCUCGUUGUUCAUUUUUUUUGGUGACACAGAGCUUGAGCAGAGGGAGCAAUGGAGGUAUUUGGGUUGUGGGGUUUUCGCUGGCGGAGGAGUAUGGGUUCGGGUGCGAAAAUGGAAACAAUAAAUGGAAUUUGUUUUAUUGUUUAUUUUAAACAAUAAAUGGAAAUACAAAUGGAAGGACUAUAAUUCCCUCAACAAACAAAUCACAUGGCCCCCUAAUCAGUACUUAGACAGAAAUAUAGAUGAAAUCUCAAGAAAUCUAUCGGCAAGUUUUAUAUUGACUAUUUUAAACGAGUAAAAAAAUUAAAUCAAGAGACGAAAUAAUUCAAGAGAGUAAGUUUGAAUUGCCUAAUAAUUUAGGGGGCAAAACGGCUAAAAAUUCUUUAUAUAAUACAUAUAAAUUUCAUUAGCAGCAUGCAAAACGAAGAUUUUAUGUGAGCAUUAUUCUUGACUUGAUGCAUUGCCCAUGGAUUUCUGCUAGCAACCACAUAUCUAUCUGACCAUAUCGUAUCAUAUUUUAUGAAAACGCGGCUUUGACCGUUGACCGAAGUACCAGAGACAGAUUGUAAAGAAAAAUAACCCCAUGCGGAUCAGAGUAAGACAAAAACGUAAUGAGACAACCUCAAGACUCCAAGGAUACUGUGUCUAAUUAAUUAGUACACACUAGGUGUUCCGUAGGCAUAAAUGUACGUAGUGUUUAUACAUUUCUCCUCCGAUGCCAUUAUUUCCCCGCAAAGCCCACGAAAUUGCCUUUUAUCUUCAAUUCAGAGCAUGCAAUUGGCCUUCUCGUCAAUGAUCGCUUGGAAGAAACUCAUUGACAUGUAUCUAUUAAGCUCCUGUCAGACGCGGCUUUGACCUCCAAGUCGUGACAAUAGAAAUGCAGCAGCAGCUUGCUAGCGGAUUGAAGAAGUGUGUCUAAAAAUUUAUCUCUCCAUGGCAAGCACUUGCAGAUUAUGUGUUCUCGUUAUAGUAAGUGUAUUCUUGCUUGGUUUUAGUGCCAUGUUUGUCUAUAUUCUUUAUGGUUUAGUGCGUAUAACUGGUACAUCAAUUACGAAGAGCCCUGAUAAGUGUGUCCCGUCUGCCUGCGGUAACAUCAACAACAUAAUCAGCCCCUUUCGACUAGCCAACGAUACAAAUCAAGGCAACUGCACGAACUGGGAUUACCACUACUACAACCUCUAUUGUGACAACAACCUCACAGUAUUGACAAUAAAUCGGGGAAAAUACUAUGUGCAGGCAAUCAACUACGACAACUUCACAAUCCGAGUUGUAGAUCCUGGCAUUCGCAACAAUGAUUUCUCCUUCAUCCCCCGUUAUUCGCUUUCCAUUUACAACUUAACUUCUCAUCUUCGAUUAGCAUCAAGUACAACACCUAUAACUUUCUUCAAGUGUGCCAAAGCAGUGAACUCAUCUGCGAUGAGUACGUAUAAUUAUGUCAAGCAAGGGACUAUAACGGCAUCAGAUAUGGAGGACGGGUGCAGAAUAGAGUGGACGACUUUGAUGAGUAAGUCGUUCUUGUACGAAACGGACAGAAACUUUUCUUAUCAUGACAUACAUAACGCACUGGGGUAUGGCUUUGAGCUUCAAUUCCGCUUUCUCAAGACCAGCUACAAAUUAGGUUUGUGAUUAUUUGCUAUAUUCCAAGUCUACAAUUUCUUACUCAAACUUUCUGAAUUUCUCCAAAUGUCACUUGUUUAAAACUAUCAUCCAUGACUUUUUUUUAUGCUUUAUUUCUCAUUUUCAAUUCAUUUGUUUUGUUUUGUUUUAAUUGAAAUAAGGCGAUACAGGGUUGAAAAUGAGAAAGCUAUGGAGAAAAUACGUCAAAUAUUCUUUGAAAAUAAAAUUCUCAAAAUUUUAAAUAGAUUUAUUACUUGUAUUUUGUCUGGAUAAUUUAGGGCAUGUUUGGUGUUCAACUUAAAUCCAACUUUUUAGACUCAAAAACAAAAUUUGAGUCCAAAACAAAGAAAACCUGUUUGGUAGCCUUAUUUUUAAAAACUCACACUCAAGAACAACUAAAAAACACCUCAAUUAUUAAAAACAACAAAUAUCUGUUUUUUCAAUUUUUUUAACAACCCACAAGUUCUCAAAUUUUUAACAUUUGAAAACAGUUUCAAUACCAAACAAGUUUUUGAAUCAUAAAAAUAGAUUUAAGAACUCCUUGUUUUUAAGAAAAAUCAAAGUUUUUGAGUUCCCUAUUUGAAUAAGAUACCAAACGCCCCCUUAAAUUCCCUUAUCUCUUCUUCACCUUCCUCAUAUGAUGUAGUCUGCUAAUUAGUCUUAGUCAACCAUUAAGCAGGGCUGGGAUAUAUAUACAUAUUCCUUCGAAAUUUCAAACUUAUCGUCAAGUCUUUGAUUUUAGUUACUUUUUUCUUGUAUCUACUGCAGGUAUUUACAGUUGGCUGAGAUUAGGUAAGAGUUUGCAUAUUCCUUUAGUGCAGAAUUGUAUUUCCUAUUAGUCAGUAGAAAAAAACAAAUGGAAGCAAAGAGGAAGGUUAUGACGCACAUAUACUUAUAAGUAAAUUUAGGUUUUACCCAUAAAAAAACUUUCACUUUUGGAAAAAGUCAAAGCUUUUUCAAAAAAGACAGAAUAACCUCUCAACUUUCAAACCAAAGACAUGCAAAUGUAAAGGAUUCCUUAGGAAAUUAAAAAAUAAAUAAGGGCAAUUUUGUCCAUUUUGGCUUCUUUUAAAAAUUUUCUCUCUCCUUUGGGCUUUUCCAAAGUCUCCCCUAUAUUAUAUCCAAUAAAGCAUGUCAUUUGUGAUUCUUUUUGUGAUGUUGCUUUGCAGGAGCAUUUUUCCUAAUAAGAUCUAUAUUUGGGGUUCCAUUUCUGGCUGCUCUUCUAAUCUACAAACGACGAAGAAUGCAUUUGUCAAUGUAUAGCAACAUAGAAGAUUUCCUGCAAAGUUAUAACAAUCUCAGUCCAAUAAGGUACUCUUACUCAGAUAUUAAAAAGAUUACCAAUAGAUUCAAUGAGAAGUUGGGUAAAGGAGGUUAUGGCUCUGUAUUUAAAGGAAAGUUACGCAGUGGCCGAUUUGUAGCAGUUAAAAUGUUGGAGAAGCCUAAAGCUAAUGGACAAGAUUUCAUAAGUGAGGUAGCUACUAUUGGGAGGAUUCACCAUUUUAAUAUGGUUCAACUUGUUGGUUAUUGUGUUGAGGGAUCAAAGCGUGCCUUAAUUUAUAACUUCAUGCCAAAUGGAUCUCUUAAUAAAUAUAUUUAUUGCAAAGAAGGAAGUAACCCCUUAAGUUGCAGGAAAAUGUAUAAGAUUUCUCUUGGAGUGGCUCAAGGAAUCGAAUAUCUACAUCGAGGUUGUGACAUGCAAAUUCUACAUUUUGAUAUCAAGCCUCACAAUAUUCUUCUUGAUGAGAAUUUCAUCCCAAAGAUUUCUGACUUUGGGCUUGCAAAGCUAUAUCGGUACGUAAUACCAUUGUCUCUUUGACGGCAGCAAGAGGAACAAUGGGAUACAUGGCUCCUGAGUUGUUCUACAAAAAUAUUGGAGGCCUCUCAUGUUAAGAUUUCAGAAGGACGGACUCUUGGCCCACCACUAGCAACAUCGAUAUUGUCCCCAACUUAACCACCUGUUUAGCAGGUGUGGGGUUUUAUACAAAAGGCCUCAAUGUUAUUAGGAGUGGAACCAUUUAUUAUAUGGGACUUUCUAUUUUGUUGGGUUUCUGAUGUGGGACUCGUGUAUUCUUCAACAUUCCUCAGUUGACGUGAGUCUCCUAAUUAAACAAGGAGAUUUAUUUCCUUGAUUAAUUAAGGGAUUUACUUUCCUAUUUUUUAUAUAAGUGAUAAAUCAUUGUACAAUUAGGAGAUACUUUCCUAAUUCUUUACUAUAUCUAAUUCCUUAUAAAACCCUCAUAUGUAAACUCCUAUAUAUACCUCCUUAAGGAGAAGAAUAAAAUACAACCUAAUACAUUCAAACCAUAUUCAUAUUUUAGCGUGGUAUCAGAGCAAUCGAUCCUCGGUUGUCUCUAAAUUCUCAUAUCACAUUUCUUCAAACACAGAUUCUAAAACCUCAUAUCAAAUUUCUUCAACCUCAAACCCUAAAUUAUAUUCCUCAUCUUUAUCUUUCCCAAAUUCAGAUCUCCAUACACAUAUCCCUCAUACCUUUCAAUUCCUAAACACAUAUUUUUUAUCCUUCCACUACCAUGGAUACCGUCUCGAUUUUCGAACCCACCAAAUCCACUCCACCAUCCUCCCAAAUUGUUACUAUUUAUAGUGACAACACUCUGUUUCUGACCGGCAUCAUCUUGACUUAGACCAAUUAUGCCUUAUGGUCUCAGGUCAUGGAGAUGUGUAUUGCUGCCCGAGAAAAUUUGGGGUACCUCACCAGGGACACCCCGCAACCUUCUAAGCUCUCCUCCACCUACUCAAAAUGGUGUACGGAGAACUUUCGGGUGAAGGGGUGGCUCAUUGACUCCAUGUCUCCCGACUUGAUGAGUCGUUUCACCCGUUUAAGUACCGCCAAAGAAAUCUGGGAUGCCGUGAAGAAAACGUACUUUGAUGGUGGGGAUGAAACUUUCCUUUUUGAUCUCAACAAACGGUCGUUCACCAUUAAACAGAAUGGUGCCCCUGUCCACAAAUAUUACAGCCAGCUGCAGACCAUCUUUCAGGAGAUUGAUCACCGCACUCGCAAUCGCAUGCAAUGCGACGCCGACGUGACUGAACGUCAGACCGAACUAGAUUCUCUUCUUGUUCACCUGUUUCUUGCCGGGCUCGGCCCUCAGUUUGAUCAAGUCCGGGGGGAAAUCUUGAGCAAAGAACCUAAAAUAGACCUUGACCAAACCUUUGCAUAUGUCCGUCACAAAGCUCAACAACGACUAACCAUGACCAGUACUCCAGACACUGUUGUCCUAGCCACCCAACGUCCACAGGGUCCUCCGACUUCUACCACUGUUGCUUCUCAGACUCAAGUCACAAGCUCUCAUCUGGAAUGCAAAUGCACUCACUGUGGUGGAAGCAAACAUACUCGUGCUUGCUGUUACGUAUGGAUUAGUUACCCGGCUUAGUGGGACCACUCCAAAGCUCCGCGCAAGAAUAAGGGAAAAUCACUCAACACAUUUUCUGACUAGCUCAUGUUAUUCCUGCAGUUCCAACAGCACUAACUCCUGCCUCUGCCUCUGUAGCCACAACAGGACAUCCAUAGCAGCAAGACGAUUGGUUGUGGUACUAGGAGGGGCAAACUCUAUAAAAAAAAUAAAAAAUAAAUUAAAGGGAUUGAAAGGGCUAUGUUUAUUGACGUAUCCCAAUUACCUUGACGUAUUCCCAAGAAGAUGUUGCUUAUUUCUUGACUCUGACGACCCCUUCUCUUCAAAGGGAGAAGGGGAGUGAAGAGAAGUUGUUUUGUCUCUAAACCCUGAUCUCAAAUUUCUUCAAAUUUCUCAUAUUCAAAUCCAAAACCCUAAAUCAAAUUCCUCUUUUUUUUUUCCCCAAAUCCAAAUCCCUAAACACAUACCAUCAAAUCUUAUACACAUUCCUCUUAAAUCCAAUUCCUACAUCAAAUUCAUACAUCAAAUUUCUCACAUCACCUUCCUCACCUUCUCAUAUCACAUCUUACUUCCGCUGCGAUGUCAGGAAUCCAUAUGAUUCUCCAUCUUAUUGCAGACUCACAGAAGCAUGCGGUCAAUCCUGCUGACCUGACUACCUAGACUCCUUCUUCUAUCACCACCACCAAAGGUUCUACUCUUCAUACGUCCUCCAAGAUCAGAUAUUGCAUAUGCUAUGAGUGUAGAAGAGUAUUUCAUGACUCACUUACCAAGUUGGGCAUUAGUGACAUAUAUGCACCAACUUGAGGAGGAGUGUUGACCCGAGUCUCCUAAUUAAUCAAGGAGAUUUACUUCCUUGAUUACUUAAGGGAUUUACUUUCCUAUUUUUUUGUAUAAGUGAUAAAUCAUUGUACAAUUAGGAGAUACUUUCUUAAUUCUUUACUAUAUCUAAUUCCUUGUAAAACUCUCAUAUGUAAACUCCUAUAUAUACCUCCUUAUGGAGAAGAAUAAAAUACAACCUAAUACAUUCAAACCAUAUUCAUAUUUUAGCAUCUCAUACAAAGCUGAUGUCUAUAGUUUUGGAAUGUUGUUGAUGGAAAUGGCAAGUAGAAGGAAGAAUUUGAACACAUCCAUAGAGCACUCAAGCCAAAUUUAUUUUCCUCUUUGGGUCUCAAACCAAUUUUGCAUGGGCAAAGAGUUUGAGAUAGUUGAUGCUACAGAAGAGGAAAAGAUAAUAAUAAAAAAGAUGAUUAUAGCUACUUUAUGGUGUAUAAAAUUGAAGCCAAGCGAUCGUCCUUCGAUGAACAAAGUUAUAGAGAUGCUUGAGGGAGAGGUUGAAUGCUUGCAACUCCCUCCCAAGCUUCUUUUAUGUCCACAACAAGAGACGCCCAGAGACAAUCUUUAUGGUAAUUCGAAUCCAAUGUGUUCUAACACAGACCUAACAAGUAGUACUCUAUCAGCUAGGUGAUGAGUAGGACUCAACUAGAGUUUCAACUUUAAUUGCAGUUUUAUUAUUAUUUACGCUAAUAAGGAAAAUAUAUGGGUUCAAGUUGCAUACAUUAAAACUACGUUUUUAUUUUGAACUAAUACUUAUGUGGUUUUGCUCCUCUGCCACCACAAGCAUCGCCCUCGUUGUCAUAAUCAUUACCACCUCCGCUGGGUCAUAUCUCAUAUAUUGAUUAUUAUAUUAUUAUUAUUAUUAUGAGAAAAUGCUAAGGACAUCAGCUUUAGUAAAAAUUUAUAUGUAAUGAGUAUAACACUAUUUUACUAUCUCGAACCAAUAACACAGUGACAUAUGGAAAAGUUAUCAUAUGUGUCAUUACGUUAUUAGUUGGGAAUAGUAAAAGUGUUAUCAAGUUACACAAGAGUUUCCCUUCCAUCUUUAGAGACUAACUUGUAUAUCCUCUCUAAUAGAGAUGGAAUAAUAUAUGGUAUUAUUGGGCUCCACCUCUAUUGAAGAGAUGGUACACAAGUUGAUUGAAAUAAAAUUUAAAUAUUAUAUUUAAAUGUCUCUUAUGAUUGAAAAAGAUCCUUGAGCGACAGCCAUUGUCCCCCACUUCAAUUUUCCGAGCAUGGAAUUGGCCUUUGCACCAAGGAUCGCAUGGAAGAAAGUCAUUAGCAAUAUGCAAAAUGAAAAAGAUGAUCAGCAAAUGCUUGAGGCCACUAAGUAAUGACAAUAAAGCACCACACAAACUGCAAAGGGAAGCAUUCAAAUGCAAAGGAUCAGUGAAUUGAAGGAAUGUCUUAAAAUCUCUUGGCAAAUCCUUAUGUGCCUUUCUGGUAAUAGAAAUUGCAGUUUCUCUUGUUCUUGGUCCAGUGUUUUGCCUUUUGCUUGCUUCUCAAUUAAUCUACGAAUCUACUACUGCUAAGCACAAUAAGGGCAAUGGAAAGUGCAUUUCAUCUUCCUGCGGUGACAUUCACAACAUAAUCUACCCUUUUCAGCUAACCAAUGGUCCAAAUAAAAGAAACUGCGCAAACAACCUCACCGUAUUGCACUUGUAUUCGGGGAAGUACUACGUGCAGACAAUCAAUUAUGACAACUUCACCAUCCAAGUUGUAGAUCCUGGCAUUCGCAUCAAUAAUUUCUCCUCCGUCCCCUGCUAUUCGUUGUCCCAUUACAACUUCACUUCAUUUUUCGAAUUGUAGUCUCCCUCCCCUUUAAGUACCACACCUAUAACUUUCUUCAAGUGUGCAAAGGCACUGAACUCAUCAUCUAUGUAUAAGGACACUACUAUUAUUCUGUGCACUAAUUGUAUUUCAUGUUGGUUCUCUGAAUCUUCAAGCAUGUGCUUUGUAGCGAUUCCUUCAAGCAACUAAUGAGUAAGAUAUUUUCACAGCAAUAAGCAUGUGCUCUGUUGGCAAUGACAGAUUAAUCUUUGUCCAUCUUUUACAAUAAAAGAUACAAAAUUAUUUACAGAGAACUUUGAGGAAGCUAUUAAAAAAAGGGCUUGUAGAAUAGAGGCUUGACAUUUUAUUGUUUUAAAUUCACAGGUUGCUCACUCUAAUUUUUUAUUGAACUUGGAGUUGGAAAAAAAAAAAAAAAAAGCAUUGAUUUAAUAUAGGUGUCCACUUCCAGAGAACUAUGAACAUAGAUAUAAAAAAAAAUUAAAAAAAUUAAAAAGAAAAGAUAGAAGAAAAGAGAGGUAAAAAAUAGAAGUUAGCUAAGUUGAACCAGUAAGCACAUUUCGGCCCAGUCGAGUAAACCCAACCCUUACCCGGCUCAUUUUUUUUUUCUCCUAAUUGAAGCUUGGUCCGGCCCAAACCUAGUAAAUUUAGGGUUUAGGCUGGUAGCAGCCCACCAAAUAUUCUAAGCUUUCUCACAUGAUUUGCAAAGAUGGCAUGUGUCAUCAUUUCCCCGCAAAGCCCACGAAAUUCCCCAAAGAAUCUUCAACAGGCCAUCGUCCCCCACGUAGGGACUAUAAUGGCAUCAGAUAUGGAAGACGGGUGCAGAAUAGAGUGGACGACUUUGAUGAGUAAGUCGUUCUUGUACGUAAAGGACAAAAACUUCUCUUAUCAUGACAUACACAGCGCACUGGGGUAUGGCUUUGAGCUUCAAUUCCGCAUUCCCAUAAUCAGUUCAGGUUUGUGAAUUACUUGCUAUAUUCCAAGUCUACAAUUUGUAACUCGAAAAUUUCUGAAUUUCUCCAGAUGUCACCUGUUUAGAUCUAUGAAUUUUUGUUGUGCUUUAGUUCCCAUUUUAAAUCAAGGUAUGUUUAUAUUUGUUUUUGUUUAGUUUUACUUCAGGCAUAUGUGAAAUAUUAUUUGAAAAUAAAAAUCAUAUCAAUUUUAAAUAAUAAUUUUAUUACUUGUAUUUUGUCUGGCUACUUUAAUUCCCUUCUCUCUUCUUCACCUUCCUCAUAUGAAGUAAUCUACUGAUUAGUCAACCAUUAAGCAGGGCAGAGUAUAUAUAUAUCUGUGCUUCGAAAGUUCAAUGUCAAGCCUUUCAUUUUAGUCACUUUUUCUUGUAUAUUUACGGUUGGCUGAUAUUCGGUAAUAGUUUGCAUAUUCCUUUAGUGCAGAAUUGUAUUUCCUAUCAGUCAGUAGAAGGGAAAAAAAAAAAAGGAAGAAGUAAAGAGGAAGGUUAUGACGCACAUAUAUUAUAUCCAAUAAAGCAUGUCAUUUGUGAUUCUUUUUGUGAUGUUGCUUUGCAGGAGCAUAUUUCCCAAUAAGAUCUAUAUUUGGGGUUCCAUUUCUGGCUGCACGUCUAAUCUACAAACGGCGAAAAAUGCAAGAAAGGAAAAGAAGUAUGGGAUGGAAUAGCAAACAAGAAGAUGGAAUUCACAUGCUUGUAAGGUGUCAUCCACUCCGAAGAAGCUCAAAUUCAAUGCAUAUUAUCUAAAAGAUGAUGAAAGUCACAAGGAAAGGAAGAAAAAGAGAAAACAAUUCAACAAUGGAACUGAUUCCAACCACACUAACAUAGGCAAGAUGAAGUGGGAGUUAGGUAUUGCAUUAAAAUAGGAAUGAUGGUAUUGGAAUCAUCAUGAUGUUUCUCCUUCUUAGCCCUAAAUAGAGAAGUCUUCAAGCUUCAAAAUAGACACCAAGUUCACAAUCUUCUCUUAGCUCUCUCUCCUUCCUCCAAUUCUUCUAGUUCUAAAUUUCUGUUUUUGUUUUAUUUUAUGGGGAACUAACUCCCUAGCUAAGGAUAGGGAGAAAGCUUUUAAUAUGAGUGUGUAUAAUUUUUAUUAGUUUGAUCCAAACUUAAGCUUUAAUGUGAAUUUGUAGUUUUUGUUCAAAAUGGAAUUUGUAGUUUUAUUUUUAAUUCAUUGAUGAAUGUUUGAUAAUCUAUUUCAUGGGUUCAAUUAUGUUUUUCCCAUUGUGUAGUAAAAACUUUCAUGUUCUUAAAAGAGAAGAGAAUCACUAAAGAUUAAUAAAAUUUCGAUGAAGAUUAUUUUUUUGAUAAUUUGUUGCCAAUGGUACAAGUUAUGUUUAGAAUACUUCUAAAUGAAAUUAAAAAGAGCUUUAGUUAUUUUGAACAACUACAAUGGAAAAUAUUUUGUGGAUCAAAUUGAUAAGAGUUGCAUGCUUAUGUUAAAAGUGGAAUCCCAAUGCCUUAGUGUUUUAAUCAAUUGAUUUUUCUUUAAAUUAAAUCUUGCAUAAAUCUACUUCUCAUUCUUAAUUGUUCUAUCUCAACUCUGUUAUUUUCUUUACACCGCUCUCUGUGGAUACAACACUCAGACUUCCGAGCUACACUACUAUACGACACAUUUGCUUGGGUUUUGCAAAGUGGUACUAACAUUUCUAAAGCGUCAUAAAGGUAAAUUGACAGCUUUAAUUAUUUAUGUUGAUAAUAUGAUUGUGACUAGAGAUGAUCAGGCAGAAAUGCAAAAUCUUCAGAAGUAUCUGGCUUUCGAGUUUGAGAUGAAGUCAUUGGGUGAUUUGAAGUACUUUCUUGGGAUUGAAGUUGCCAGAUCUAAACAUGGUAUCUUUUUGUCUCAAAGAAAGUAUAUUUUGGAUUUACUUGCAGAGACUGGAAUAUUAGAUUGUAAACCAAUUGAUACCCCUAGUGAACAGAAUCAUAAGUUGAGGUUGUAUCCUGAUCAAGUCCCUACAGAUAAUGAGCGUUAUUAACGACUUGUGGGGAAAUUGAUUUAUUUAUCUCAUACACGUCCUGAUAUUGCAUAUGCAGUGAGUGUAGUGAGUCAGUUUAUGCAUUCUCCUAGUAAAGAUCAUAUGGGUGCUGUGAUGCGCAUUUUGAGGUAUCUGAAAGUUACUCCUAGAAAGAGGUUAAUGUUUUGCAAGUAUGGUCAUACAGAUGUGGAAAGGUAUAUGGAUGCUAAUUGGGCUGGUUCAGUCACUGAUAGACGUUCUACGUCUGGGUAUUUCACAUUUGUUGGUAGUAAUCUUGUUACUUGGAGGAGUAAAAAGCAAAAAGUGGUGUCUAGGUCUAGUGCGAAGACCGAGUACUGCAGGAUGGCUUAGGGUGUAUGCGAGUUACUAUGGUUAAGAAGAUUGUUGAAAGAUCUUGGGUUUGGACCCCAUAAACCCAUGGAUUUGUAUUGUGAUAAUAAAGCUGCAAUUGCAAUUGCGCAUAACCCUGUCCAACAUGAUCGUACAAAGCACAUGGAGGUUGAUCGACAUUUUGUUAAAGAUAAGUUGGAUGCUGAAAUUAUUUCUUUUCCGUUUAUAUCAUCUGAGUAUCAACUGGCAGAUGUUCUUACAAAAGCUGUGUCUACUACAGUCUUUCUCAACUCGCUUGACAAGUUGGGCAUGCGUGACAUCUUUGCUCCAACUUGAGGGGGAGUGUUAGCGAAAUCCUAGCUUAAAUAGGAUAUAUUUUCUAGUUUAUUAGGACUAUAUUUCUUUCCUUUUGUACAGAUAUUGUGUAAUUAUGAUUUUAUCUUGUUUCCUAGUUUGACCUUGCUAGGGUUUCAUUCUUGCACUAUAAAUACCUCCUUUUAAAGAAUGAAAUACAACCUGAAAAAUAUUCUACCUAUAUUGUUUGACUAAUUCAGAGCAUGCAAUUGGCCUCGAUGAUCACUUGGAAGAAAGUCAUUGGCAAUAUGCAAACGCAUGUCCAUGGAUUUGGCAUAUACCUAUCGAGCUCCUAUCAAACGCGGCUUUGACCUCUAAGUUGUGACAAUAUGCACCACACAAAAUGUAAAGGGCAACAAUUUUGAAUUGACUCGCAAUGAAAAUGCAGCAGCUGCGGGACCAAAGCUAGUGGAUUGAAGAAGUGUGUCUAAACACUUCUCUCUAUCCAUCCUUAUGUGUUCUCGUUAUAGCAAUUGCAUUAUUUCUUGUUCUUGGUGUCGGUUUUGGCUAUAGUCAGAGCAUGCAAUUGGCCUUCGCGUCAAUGAUCACUUGGAAGAAACUCAUUGGCAAUAUCCAAAAGCAGGUCCAAGGGAUUGGCUUGGCAUAUAUCUAUCAACCUCCUGUCAAACGCGGCUUUGACCUCUAAGUCGUGCAAUAGAAAUACAGCGGCUUCUUGCCCAAAGCUAGCUAGCGGAUUCAAGAAGUGUGUCUAAAAAUUUCUCUCUCCAUGGCAAGCACUUGCAGAUUAUGUGUUCUCGUUAUAGCAAGUGUAUUAUGGCUUGGUCUUUAUGGCUUGUUUGCCUAUGUAAUUUUUCUUGGAUUAAACCAUAUAACUAGUACAUUAAUUAUUAGGAAGAGCCAUGGUAUUCCGUCUGCCUGCGGUAACAUCCACAACAUAACCUAUCCCUUUCGACUGGACAACGAUCCAAAACCAAACAACUGUGCCGGCAGGCGAUGGUAUCUUGACCUCUCUUGCGACAAUAACCUCACAGUGUUACACUUAUAUUCCGGAAAGUUUUACGUGCAGGCAAUCAACUACGACAACCGCACAAUCCGUGUCGUGGAUGCCGGCAUUCGCAGCGACAAUUUCUCCUCCAUCCCCCAUUAUUCGCUGGCCCCUUACAACUUCAGCUCUUUCGAUUCGUGUUUUCCAUCACCAUCAACUACCACACCUGUAACUUUCUUCAAAUGUACAAAAGCAGUGAAUUCAUCUUCUAUGACGAGUACGUAUGAUUAUGUGAAGGGAGGCAAUAUAACGACGUCGGAUUUGGAGGAUGGGUGUAGAAUAGAAUGGACCACUAUGGUGAGUACGUCGUUGUACAGAAAGGACCGAAACGUUUCGUAUCAACACAUACACAACGCACUGGUGUAUGGCUUUGAGCUUCAAAUCAACGUUCGGCGCUUCGUGAUUACAGGUUUGUGAGUUACUUGCUAUAUUUCCAAGUCUAUACUUUUUGUACUCAAACUUUCUGAUUUCUCCAAAUUAUUUCACUUGUUUAGAUCUUUGACUUUUAAAUUUCCGCCUUAUUUCACCUUUUCGAGCAAGGUUCAUAUUUCUUUUUGUUUAAUUUUUAUUCAAAUAAGACAGAGAAAAUACACAAGGGAGGGGAGAAAAUGAGGAAAAUAGAUGAAAUAUUUCGAAAAUAAAAUUUUAAAAAUUUUAAAUGGUUUUGUCAUAUAAUUUUAAUUUUGUCUGGCAAAUUUAAUUCCCUUCCCUCUUCUUCACCUUCCUCAUCAUAUUAGGAACUUAGAACGAGAUUCUUUCAGUAUUUCAAGUUAGUUGAUGCUAAAAUAUUAAAACUAUGAGAGAAUAUUUGUUUGUGGGAAUUUUCUGUGUAUUCACUACUACAAAAAGUGAAAAAGACGACCAGAAAACAACGACGGUCUAAGUGAAAACCGUCGUGGUUUAUAAAAAGACGACGGUUCUAAAAACACCGUCGUGUAAUACAACCUUAGACAACUAAAAAAUGGAGUUUCAAAUGGCUGUUCAAAAACAACGACGUACAUAAUUAAACAACCGACGUCUAUUUGAAACAGAUUUCCUCAGUGUAAAAUCAAUGCCAACAAAGAACGGCAGAAGUUAUGAAUCGACCGACGUAGAAAGUAAAGACGACGAUUUCAAUAAAAACUGCCGUUUUUACUCAUAAAAUAACACGACGAGGUUUUCGUAUAAGACGCCGUAUAAUUACAAACAAAUCCACGGCUUUAAAAUACAAAAUAUCGCCGUAUUAAAUUAAUUUACAACGACGGAAAAUAUAAAUAUAUCGACGUCAUUCUCGUAUAGUUCUACUACGUUAUCUUUAAAUCGUACAAUAAAAUUUAUCGUCGUAUUUAUUCAUUUUAUACGUCGUACCUUUAAUUUUAACGGUCGUCUUAAUAAGAAUUUUUGUUAACAAUUUUUUUCUUUGAUUUUCUUAUCCUACGUCGGUAGAUCUACUUAAUGACAAGAAUUGAAAUAACCACGACGGUUUAUAUAGAACACCGCCGACAUAAUCAGUUUUGUCUGAGAUCCCAAGGGUUACGAAAUCUUACCAGAUGGAACUCUGUUCCACAUCAUAAUCUUAACAGAUGACACAGAUUUGCAAAUAUUGCGUCGUGUUAGUUUACAAAUUCUAGAACAUUAAUUUCCCUCAUUUUAAAUUUCCUCGGGAAAGAAAAAUCUAUUUAUCACGCUUUGGAAUUGAAAACUAAAACUGAAAGAAUACGGGAAAAAAAACUCCAUUUAUAAUUUAAAAUUAAAAUCCACGUCGGUUGUAGUACACUUAACGACGUUUAACAAAAUAAUCUACGUCGGUAAUUAUAAAUCUACCGCCAUCGUAACUUAAUAUAGACGACGAGAAAAGACGACGGUAGAACAGAAAACCGCCGUUGUUUCAGUUUCUUUAACAUAUCUUUCUGCAGGACUUGUGUAGUUCAAAGCAUUGACAAUGUCUUCAUCAUAUCUCCCAGAAACUACUGAUUCAAUUGCUCAUGCUUUAGAGGCCAUCUGAAGCCAUUUCUAUUCUUUAUCGCAUUCUUGAAACCCAUCUUCUUCUUCUGAAGCUCUACGGAUAAAGGAAGAGGCUAUCACAAUAAAUCCGACGGAUCUUCUUAGGCAAGAAAAUCAAGCAGAGGAUCAGGCACAUCUGAUCUUCAGAUUUCCCUGAGAAGCGAACUUUCCUUCGACAGCGAGUGGAGGCCAGGCUUGCAUCUCUUUUGAUGGAAAGCAAGGAGUAUUCAGAAGCACUAAGUGUCCUAUCAGGCUUGAUCAAGGAAGUGAGAAGGCUAGUUGACAAGCUUCUUCUUGUGGACAUAUAUUUGAUGCGAGUAAGCUCAAUUUCUCUUUGAGAAAACAUCCAAAUUAUUAUCUUUGAGACAUGAGAGACUGAGAGAGGAAGAACUUGGAACCUUAAAUGUAAACCGAAAAUGAAUGAAAGCGACAAAUUUAUAGAAUAAAUUUUUAAAACCAACGGCGGUCCUUACAAACAAACCGCCGUUUAAAUUGUAAAAUCAACGUCGGUAUGAUCGACGUAUAUUACAGAAAUCCACGUCGGUAAAUUAAUAAAAACGACGUGUUAAAUAAUAUACCAUGACGCGAGUUAUUACUUAUGUACUUUAAUUUUUGAGUUUACUACGACGGUACCUACAAACUACUGUCGUAUUUAUUUACCACGUCCGAAGUUAAAUGUACCGUCGUAUUUUGUAAUUUAUACGUCGUAGUUAUAUGUAACCGCCAUAUUAUUUUUUUGAAAUGGUUUUAUAUGUAAGCAACUUUUCGUCUACUUGACUUACACAUUUGUUGUUUUUAUAUUCUUAUUUUAUUUAAAUCUGUCAUCCAAAAAAGAAACUUUACAUAUUGCAGAAUAUUAAUUUCCUUCGUUUUAAAUUUCCUCCGGAAAAAAAACUCUAUUUAUAACGCACUGUAAUUGAAAAAUAAACUGAAAGGUCACGGGAAAAAAAAUUCUAUUCAUAAUUUAAAAAUUAAAAUCCACGUCGGUUAUAUUAAACCUAACGACGUUAAAUGAAAUGAUUCCACGUCGAAUGAAAAAUAUUGCGUCGUUUUAGUUAAAAACGACGUAGUUAAAUGUAACCGCCGUAUUAUUUUUUUGAAAUGGUUUUAUAUGUAAGCAACUUUUCGACUUACACAUGCACUGUUUCCAAACCCGAUUAAAAAUUUCAAUCUCCCAGAGAAACCUUUUCGUCUUUUUUCCUUGUCAGAGCAUUGUCAGAGUUUCUCAUCGUCUUCCUCUCGUCUUCUUCGUCGUCUCUGAACUUAAACAUCGAUCAUCUUCCUCUUGCUUUCAUUGCACGCAAAAGGUAAGCUUUCAUUUUCACUAUUUUGGUUACUGUUUUGCAUGCUCAUACGUUUUUUGUUUGAAAAAUCUUUUUACCUUUUUUCUGGCCAAAAUCAUUUUACUUCUUUCCAAGUUUGAUAAAAUAUACAGACAAAGAGAGAAAGUUUCCAACUUUGAAGACAACUACAUCAACUAAAUAAGACGACGGUAGACCACGACGGUUCGUCAGUUGUUCUAGCGUCGUCUGAAAAUUGACAAAGUUGUUUUUAAAAUAAUAGUCUUUUUUUAUAUGCUUGUUUAAUUGCAGGUUUGAUUUCGCUGAACAAUGGUUUUUGUUUUUCCCUUAUUUGAUAAAAUAUAAAGAAAAAGAAACUAGGGUUGGUAUCUAAUAUAGACGAUAAAAUAUAAAUAAUAGUUUACCACGACGGUGUAUUACUAUUGACGUCGUGUGAACAUAUAUACCACGACGUUAUAUAAAUAAUGGUUUUAAACAUUUAUUACGUCUGAGAUUAUUUCAUUGCGUCGUCUAAAAUCAUAUCAUACGUCGUAUUUUUUUAAUACCGUCGUUUGUGUUCUUAAUGUUUUCCUGAAAUAUUUUCACUUGCAGUUUUGUCUGUUAAAAUGGUUUCUCAACAACAAACUAAGGAUUCUGGCUCCAAGAAGCUUGGAAUGGUAGCUCCUCAAGAUAAGUCUUCGAAGGAGAUGAAGUCUUCGAAGAAGAUGAAGUUUGCUUCAUCAUCUGCUGAGACAGAACAAACCAGCCAGACAACAAUCUCAGAUGAUUCAAAGACUGGUCGAGGUAUGAGCACAAUGCCUCGUGUUGUGAAGAGAAAGCUUCAGAAACUGAGGCCAAUUGUUGAGUACAAUAAAAGGGGGAAAGGUGUUGGCCAAGCACAUAUUGAGAUGCAGUCGUAUAUUGGUGUGUUGGCACGCUCCAGGAUCCCACUUGUGGACAAGAAAUGGUCCCAAAUCCCCAAGGAUAUAAAGGAGCAGAUUUGGGAAGCAGUUGACAUGGCUUUUGUCGUAGGCCAAGGGGGCAAGACCUCUGUUUUAGCUUCUGCUUCCAAGAAAUGGAAGGAUUUCAAGUCUACACUAACGAGGCAUUAUAUCCUUCCAUACACCAAUGACAGGGAGAAAUUAAGCCAACCCCCUGAAACAUAUAAAUUCAUAGAGAAAGCACAAUGGGAUGCCUUUGUAGCUUCAAGGCUAUCCAAAGAUUUUGAGUCUGUGCAUUCUCAACAUGCACAGAUUAGGGAGAAACUCGAGUACAAUCAUCGAUUGUCUCGAAAAGGAUAUGCUGGAUUGGAGGAUCAAUUGGAGGAAACCAUGCCUGGGGUAGAAAUUGAUCGAUCUACCUUAUGGAAGAGAGCUAGACAGGACAAACAUGGUAACAUCCCUGAUCCAAAGGUGGCAGAGAAAGCAAAAUUAAUUGUAAGCCUACUAUCACUCUGUUUUAAAUUUUUAUUAAACUGUGAAUUAUUCUUAUUACGUCGUAUGUUAUAUUUUUCGUCGUGUGAAUGAUAUUACCACGUCGAAAAGUUUUUAAAAACGUCGUUAAAGGUCUAAAUAGGAAUCACUACUAUGUUUUCUGUAAUUACAGCAUAAGACGUCGGUGGUUCAUUUUCGCGUCGUGUGAAUGAUAUUACCACGUCGAAAAUUUUUUAAAAACGUCGUUAACGGUCUAAAUAGGAAUCACUACUCUGUUAUCUUUAAUUAUAGCAUAAGACGUCGGUUGUUUAUUCAUUUCGUCGUUUUAAAUAAAUAACCACGUCGGUAUAACUACCGUCGUGAUAAGUUAUAAUAACGUCGGUUUAUACGUUAUUGCGUCGUGUGAAAUUAUAUAAUACGUCGUUUGUACAUAAAUAACCGUCGUGUGUUUUUUUGUUUAUCUUUUUUUAGGAUGAAUUGCAGAAACAAGUCUCGGAAGGCAAAGUCAGAGUAGAUGGCAGCAAUGAUGUGCUGACCAUGGCUUUGGGCCCCGAGCAUCCAGGCAGACUGAGGGGAGUUGGUGCUGGUGUUUCCCCAAGGCAAUAUUUCAAUUUGCCCAAACCACAGAGGGUGAGCUUUGACGACCGUUUGAAGGACAGUUUAAGAGUUCUCCUUCAAGAAGAGACUAAAAAGAUGGAGGCUAAGGCAAGGGAAGAGGCCUUAAGGAUGGAGGCUAGGACAAAACAAUUGGUAGAGGCUGAGAGGGAGCAUUUCCUGAGUCAGCUUUCCCAAUUAAUUCCCAAUUUUGAUCCAAGCAUGCUUAAACCAAGAAUUAGCCAAAGCCCCAAAAAUCCAAUGUCUGACAAAGCUAGCUGCUCUGGAGGUGAUGUGAGAUCCCUACAUUUGGAGGAUGAUACUGCCAAAAUGGGGAAACAUCAGCCAGAUGAAGAGAAGGAAGAAGAAAAAAGAGAUGAAGAGAAGGAAGAAGAAAAGGAGAAAGAAGAUGAAGAAAAGCAUGACGACAAGGUAUGUUCACAUAACUUUGCCUUUUUUAUUUGUUUUUCAAAAUUUCAGACGUCGAUAUUUUUAUUUAAUCCGUCGUUUGUUUAAAACUUAGACGGCGGAAUUUUUUUAAGACGUAAUAAAAUAUUUAAACGACGGUUUUUGCACCGUCGUUUAAAUGGUUUCAGACGACGCUUUAUUCAUAAAACCGUCGUCUUUAUUGAAUUACCACGACAGUUUUUUCACCGUCGUUUAAAUACUUUUAAGACGACGUUUUAUUACUUAAACCGUCGUCUUUAUUGAAUUACCACGUCAUUUUUUUUAUUUCUUUAAACAGGUUAUUGAAGUUGGUGCUUAUUCAAAUAUGGAGGCGCCAUCUUCUUUAAAAACCCUUUGUCGUUUUGUGGAAACGACACUCCUGCCUGAGGAUAAGACACUCCAAUUUACAAUUGAUAAGGAGGUGUUUGGUGGUGAGCGCGAUACCUUCCUCCUGCCUGAAGAUAUUACACAAUUUGCAGGCAUGGAAGAAAUUGGAGCUACUGUAUUGGCUGUAUAUAUGAGGUUUGUACUUCUAAAAUAAUACCUCGUUGGUUUAUAUAUUGCGUCGUCUUAACUAACUAACCACGUCGUCUUAACUAACUACCGUCGUGAUAAAUAUAUUAUAACGUCCUCAUCUAUUUCAGUACGUCGUGUGAAAUAUUAUAAUACGUCGUUUUUUUAUACAUAACCGUCGUGUUUGUUUGUGCUGACUUGUUUAUAUUAUUUUAUGUAUUUAGGUACUUACACGAUGUUUUGAAACAAGCCAAUAUGUGCAGCAUGGUUGGCUUUAUUGACCCUGCUACAGUUAGUGCCAACUCUGGCACAAUAACUGAAAGAUCACGACUGGUAGCAGCUCGACUUCAGAAGACAGACGGUGAACAGCUUUUCAUGAUGCCUUACAAUCCAGGGUUAGUCUCCUUAGGAUUUUGUUUUUAUGAUUUUCAAUAAAUGACAGCUUAUAAACUAACCACGUCGGUGUUUUAUUUUAUUUAGUCGUUUGAAACUACUAACCACGUCGGUAUUUAUUUGUCGUCGUGAUAAAUAUAUAAUGUCGUCGUUAUCUACUUUAUUUCGUCGUGUGAAAUACUAUAAUACGUCGUUUUUGUAAAUAACCGUCGUUUUUAUAUUAAUUUUGUGCAGCCGUCAUUGGAUCCUGCUGAUUGUAAGAGCAAAGAAGGAGACCGUCUAUUUUCUGGAUCCUCUGCCAGGUCAUCGUGUGGUCGACGAAGAGGCGAAAAACAUCGUGAACAGUGCUUUAAAAAUAUAUAAUACCCACAUAGGCCGAGCAGGACGUAAAAAUGUAAUUUGGAAAACUCUCUCAGGCACACCAAAGCAACCCAGCAAUGUCGAAUGCGGGUAUUAUGUGAUGCGCUUCAUGAGGGACAUCAUCAUGGAUCCUUCCUUGGGGUUUGAGAAUAAGGUAAGAAGAAAUUACCUUCAUACAUUUCACGUCGUUUUUUGUAUUAUCAACGACGGUCAUGUAAAAUUAACGUCGUUGAAUGGAUAUACUACGUCGGUUAUGAAAAAUAUCGUCGUCUGUGAUUGAAUUUCUUUUUAUUUAUAAACCCUAAUAGUCAUUGUUUAUGCAGUAUGCCAAGGGAAACCAGGAAGCUUCAUACCCCCAAGAAGCCAUUGAUGAAGUCCGGAAUGAAUGGGCAGAGUUUGUUUUCCAAAUUAUUAAACAGGGCAAUUAUUGAACACUUGAUAUUUAUGUAUAAUGUACAAAUUUUCUCUAUAAUAUGUAAUGUAAAAAUUUGUUGAGGUUUUCUUAAAUUAAAAAAAAAACAAACAUACAAAUUGCUUAACCGACGUGUAAUACUUUUCCAACGACCUAAUAAAGUCACAAACCGUCGUAUUUUGUUGUUUCGUGUUUUAAACAAUUACGACGUAAAAAUAUAGUUAGACGACGUUCUUUGAACAAUUGAGUCGUUUAUGGUUUACAACAUCUUCAAUUUCUUAAGGGUUCAGGGUAUCAUCGACGACGUUUAUGUAACGACAGCGGUUAAGUCGUUGAUAUAUAUAUUUUACGUCGUAUAGUUAAAUAGCCGCCAUGGUUUCUCAUUUUAACGACGUCAUUUUAACGACUUAGUAGUCUAUUACAAUUUACAACGUCUACAAUUUAUUAACACCGACGUGGUUUGUUGUUGUGGUAAGAAUAUUUUAUUAUUUUUAUAUCAAAAUAUUCAAAAUAAAUUUAAAAUAAAUCAGAAAAUUGAAAAGUCAACUCCUAUGAAGUCAUUGAUAUAUUUUCUUCCACAUAAACCUUGAAAAAAUUCAUUUUGAAUAACAAAAAUUUAAAAUGACCAUCCAAAACAAAAUUGUUUUGAUGAGUCAUAAAAUCACUUCUAGUUUUAUGGUUUAGGGUUUAGAGUCUAGGGUUUAGAGAUUAGGGUUGUUAUUUAUUGGGGUUUAUUUUUAAAGUAUAAUUUUUGGGUAGUCUAGGGUAUAUGUUAGGCUUUAAAACCAUAAAACCUUUUAUAAACUUAAUUUUUUAAAUUGUAUAAUUUAAUUUUAUGGGUUUAGGGUAUUAAUUUUUAACGACGGUGGUUGGGUCGUGGAAUACAUAUUUUACGUCGUACAGUAAAACAUACGACAUGGUUUACGCUUUAAACGACGUCAUUUUAAUAUGUAAGUCGGUUUAUAUAAUUUACAACGUUUUUAAUUUCUUAACACCGACGUGGUUUCUCAUUUUAACGACGUCAUUUUAACGACUUAGUAGUCUAUUACAAUUUACAACGUCUACAAUUUAUUUAACACCGACGUGGUUUGUUGUAUGGUANNNNNNNNNNNNNNNNNNNNNNNNNNNNNNNNNNNNNNNNNNNNNNNNNNNNNNNNNNNNNNNNNNNNNNNNNNNNNNNNNNNNNNNNNNNNNNNNNNNNCGACGUUUUAUAACGCGCGCGCUCUAAAAAUUUUCGGCGACCUAAAUUUUUUUAGAUUUGGCUCUUAGUCUUAUACUUUGAUCCCUGAAACCUAAAAUUUCAGAUUUCACGCGACAUAACAUUUCGCUCUCUCACUUCUGCUCUAAUUAAAAGUUGCACUCUCCAGGCUCGUCGAAUCUGUGAGCUCGUCCAACCUGUAAGUACAAACCCUAUCUUCCCCUUGUAAAUUCAUUGAAUGAUAUUAGGUUGUUUUGUUAAAGGGUUUUAGGUAUAUGCUUUGCGAUCUGUUAAUAAUGUGCUUAUAGGUAUGGGUUCAUGGAUUUUCUGUUUAAUGGGUUCAUGACAAGAUCAAAUAAAGGUGUACUUUUGCUGGAAAUCAACACAAAAAGACACAUCACCAACUUCCAAAUGAUUUCCAGCAAAAGGACACCUUUAUUUGAUCUUGUCAUUUUCCGCUCUGGAGAAGGUGCAAAGUGCACCAAUGCUUAUAGGUAUGGGUUCAUGGAUUUUCUGUUUAAUGGGUUCAUGGAUUACAUUAUCUGUUAUGUUGAAUUGGGAAUGGAUUUAAUUUUGUCGUAUCUUUUAAUCACCCUAUGUUAUGUUGAAUUGGGAAUGGAUUUAUUGUUUUCAUGCUUGGUUUCAUGUAUAUGUUGGUUUCUUGCUUGGUUUCAUAUAUAUGUUGUGUUCUUAAUGGGUUUUGUGUUCUUGAAAAUAAACUGAGACACGACGAAUUUUAAGGCGUACGACGACGAUUACACGACGGUGUUUUUAAACUACCGUCGUUGUAUUACUUAUACACGACGGUUUUUUCAUAAACCGUCGUUUGUAUUACGUAUAAUAGACGACGUCUGUUGAAAAUCCGUCGUCUAUAUAUGCCAAAUACGUCUGUUUUUGAUUAAAACCCGUCGUCUCUGUUGUUUAUUACUUGCGAUUAGAUCAUUGUAUAAUCUGCUAUAGUGAUGGUCAUUGCCUGUAUUUUCACUUUAUUAUAGAUAAUAGGUUAUAGUGUCGGAGAUGGAUAAGUCAUGGAUGCACUCGGAUAGAAGAUCGAAGGCAUAUGAGUUUGGGGUGGAAGCAUUUUUGAACUUUGCUGUAGAAAAUCUUCUAACUACAACACAUAUCCGUUGUCCAUGUGUUAAAUGUGUUAAUUUGAAGUUGUUUGGGGUUGGAAUUAUAAGGGAUCACUUAUACUUUAAUGGAAUUGACCAAAGCUAUAAGAAUUGGACAUUUCACGGAGAACCUUGGGAAGCAACUACUAAUGCUAGCAGAAAUGUUGAAGAAGAUGAUGGCCAUAGUAGGUACAGUUUUGUGUCUGAAGAAAUUGAUAUGGAUGAUAAUGAUUUUGGUGAUUUUGGUUCGGAUCCGUAUGAGUUUGCCAAUGUGAUUGGGGAUGGAGAUCAACCAGUGUACCCUGGUUGUAGAAAGUACACGAAGUUAUCGGCAUUAGUGAAGUUGUAUAAUUUGAAGGCAAAACAUGGGAUGAGUGAUGUCUGUUUUACAGAAUUAUUGAUACUUCAAGGCGAUUUGCUUCCAGAAGGAAAUACAAUACCAACCUCCAUGUAUGAGGCUAAAAAGACUUUGUGUGCAUUGGGGCUGAGUUAUGAGAAAAUGCACGCAUGCCCCAAUGAUUGCAUCUUGUAUAGGAAGGAGUAUGAGGAUUCAACUAAUUGUCCUACUUGUGGUAUCUCAAGGUGGAAGGAAGGCAAAGAUGCAAUCUUGAAAGAGGGUGUGCCAGCGAAGGUGGUGUGGUAUUUUCCCCCAAUUCCAAGGUUUAAAAGGAUGUUUCAAUCACAUGAGACAGCUAAGAGUUUGACUUGGUGGCAUGUUGCUAGAAAAUCAAUUGACGGUCAGAUGUCUCAUCCGGCGGAUUCCCCGUCUUGGAAACUUCUUGAUGAUAAAUGGCCUGAGUUUGGUAAUGAGCCGAGAAACUUGAGAUUGGCUCUUUCAUCUGAUGGAUUCAAUCCCCACAGUUCUCUAAGUAGCAGAUAUAGUUGUUGGCCGGUUAUCUUAGUUACAUAUAAUCUCCCUCCAUGGCUGUGCAUGAAACGAAAGUUCAUGAUGUUAACCUUAUUGAUUUCCGGUCCUAAACAACCCGGAAAUGAUAUAGACGUCUACUUGGAGCCUUUGAUUGAUGAUUUAAAAUCCUUGUGGGUUGGGAUUAGAGGAGUGUAUGAUGCACAUAAUGGAGAAUACUUUACACUCAGAGCUGCAUUAAUGUGGACAAUUAAUGAUUUCCCCGCCUAUGGAAACUUAUCUGGUUGUGUUGUUAAAGGAUAUAAAGCUUGUCCAAUAUGCGGCGAUGAUACACCUAGUCACAGGUUGAAAAAUGGCCACAAAAUUUGUUACAUUGGGCAUAGAAAAUGGUUACCAAUCAAUCAUCCAUAUAGGAGGCAACGUGCAGCUUUUAAUGGGAAACCUGAAUAUGGCAUACCUCCAGAGCCAUUAACCGGAGAAGAAGUGCUGCAUAUGGUUGAAAAUGGUGACAGAGUUUGUUGGAAGAAGAAAUCAAUAUUCUUUGAUCUCGAGUAUUGGAAAUACCUUCCUGUGAGGCAUGCCCUAGAUGUUAUGCACAUUGAGAAGAAUGUUUGCGAUAGUAUCAUUGGUACAUUGCUGGAGAUCCCUGGAAAAAAUAAAGAUGGGAUUGCUGCUCGAUUAGAUUUAUUGAACAUGGGGGUCAAAACUGAUUUGCAACCCGAGUAUGGAGAAAGACGUACUCGUUUGCCUCCUGGGCCUUGGAAUUUGUCAAGAGCAGAGAAGAGAGAGGUUUGCAAUUCUUUCUAUGGUAUGAAGGUCCCUGAAGGUUAUUCUUCAAAUAUUAAAAAUCUUGUAUCUGUACAAGAUUCAAGACUUCUUGGCCUUAAAUCACAUGAUUGUCAUACCUUAAUGCAACAAUUGCUCCCUGUGGCAAUUCGUUCUGUUUUGGAGAAGCCUGCAAGGUAUGCAAUAACUCGUUUGUGCUUCUUCUUCAAUGCUAUAUGUGCAAAGACUGUUGAUGUUUCCAAGCUAGAUAAGUUGGAAGAAGAUGUAGUAGUUACUCUGUGUUUGCUUGAGAAGUACUUUCCCCCUUCAUUCUUUGAUAUCAUGGUUCAUCUAGUAGUACAUCUUGUCAGAGAAGUUCGUCUAUGUGGGCCAGUAUAUUUUAGGUGGAUGUAUCCGUUUGAAAGAUAUAUGAAAGUGCUGAAGGGGUAUGUUCAGAAUCGUACUCGUCCCGAAGGUUGCAUUGCUGAGCGGUAUAUAGCUGAAGAAGCGGUAGAGUUUUGUACUCAGCAUUUAUCUGAUGUUAGUACAGUUGGAGUGCCUUCAAGCCAAAAGAUGGGAGUUUCAAAGCCAUUAUCAGGUUGCACAGUGAGCGUAGUUGAUCAGGACCUGUUGAAUCAAGCACAUCUAUAUGUCUUGGAGAAUACGGAGGAAGUCCUACCUUAUAUCGAGUACGUAUGAGUUUUAUUCUUUAAGUUUCCAUUUAAAAUUAUUUCUUAUGUUUAUCUUAUAUAUUUGGGACCGUAAUGCUUGAAUUUUUCGUGUCAUGUAGGCAACAUAUGAUCCACAUCAAGACUGCUUAUCCAAAAUUUAGAAAGAGAACAAAGUGGCUGCAGGAUAAGCACAAUAGCACUUUCAUUCAAUGGCUACGCUUCAAGGUAUAUGUUGUUGAAUAACGUAUUUCUCUUUUAAUUUUCUUCUUAUUUAUAUGUUAGGAUGAAUUAAGAUAUGAUUAAUUUGCAGGUUCAAAGUGAAGUUGAGGAAGACAAUCAUGGCGUAUCAGAAAAUUUAAGGUGGCUAGCAGCUGGUCCAAACAUGUCAGUGCCAUUAUAUAGGAGCUAUCUUAUUAAAGGUAUUAAAUUCAAUAUCAAGGCACAAGAUGAUGUGCGGACAACUCAAAAUAGUGGAGUUUAUUUACUUGCACAUACCAUGCAAGUUGCUAGUGCCAAGGAUAAAAACUCAAUUCUCUCAAAUAUGGGUUUCUAUGGUGUCAUUCAAGAAAUUUGGGACCUUGACUACCAAAAGUUUACAAUCCCAGUCUUUAGGUGUGAUUGGAUAGAUAGUUCUGGUCUUGUAGUCGACGAACUUGGAUUUACCCUUGUAGAUUUGAGUAAAAUUGGACAUAGGAAUGACCAAUUUGUUUUGGCUUCUCAAGUCAAACAAAUAUUUUUUGUUGACGACCCGAUGCAUCGUGGUUGGUCGGUAGUGUUAUCAAUGCCUAGUAGAGAAUAUAAUGAUGUUAUUGGUGAUGAAGUAUUAGGUGAUGUGAUAAUUGAGUGUGAGCCAUUUACUAGAGGGAUGCCAAAUGUUGACACAUUUGAUGAACUGGUAGGUGAGUUAGGCGGUCAAAAUAUUCGAGAUGGGUGUGAAGAUAUAUGGAUUGAAUGAUGCUUAUGUAAUUGGCAGUGUAUGACAUUAAUUUUGUAAUAUAUUGUAAUGUGAUUUCUUCACUUUCUACGUUCAAAUAAAACACGACGUUAUUGUGAAUCAGUUAUUCAGCAUAUUUACCGACGUCUUAAAGCAACGUAACAAUGAAGAACCACGACGCUAUUGUGAAGCAAUUAUUCAGGAUAUCACGUCGGUGAAGGAUAAAGAACCGCCAUGUAAUUCAAAAUAACACGACUCCAAUCCCAUAAUACCGACGUCUAAAAAACGAGAUAUGUAAUCUGAACGUUAAAAAAUACGACGUCAUCAUACAUUUUCCACGUCGCAAGUUCUUUUAUAAACGAAGAGGAACGAAAUUAAUUCCGACGGAAAUUCAUUAUAACCGCCGUCUAAUAACAAUUAAACGACGUUAUUUGUAAUACGGCUCCCAUCAUAAUCUACGCCGUCUAUAUGUUCUGUAAUACGGCUCUCAUUUAUUUGGAACCGACGUUGUUUAGACGUUCAACGUCGUCUAUAUUAUUAAGUGCGUCGUGAGUAAUGAAUACAUAUAAAUACAACGUCGACUAUAUAAAUGUAUACGUCGUAAAUAAUGACACUGACAACUAUUUCCACGUCAUCUUUUUUAGAUAAAAUCGAAGUGGAAAAUUUAUUUCACGACGGUUUUUUGUAAAUAAGAGACGUUGUAGAACUUUAGCAGACUAAACACGUCUGUUUUUAUUGUUUUCCGACGUUGUUGUAUUUAACAACGUCUAAUAUUUAUGGUCGUUGUUUGUUUCUGAAAAUAGGACGUAUAAAUUUUUUAAUACGACUCUCAUAUAUUUGUAACUGACGUUGUUUAGUUUUUCAACGUCUACUAUAGAAACACAUACGUCGUAAAUAAUGACACUGACAACUAUUUCCACGUCAUCUUUUAUCAAAAAAUCGAAGUGGAAAAUUAAUUGUACGACGGUUGUGUUUAUAUGUGCGACGUAGUAGGUAUCAAUAACGUCGUCUUCUAAUGUAUUUAAAGACGUCAUAUUUUUUAUUGUCGUGAAAAUUAUAUUUAACGUCGGCGUAUUUUUAUUGUCGUCGUUGUAUGUCUAUCUUGCGGCCUUGUUCUCUUAAUAUGUGUCAUAUUUUCCCUUUUUAACGACGGUCUUUUUAGAGAAUUGGUCGUCUAUUAUCAUCAUCGAUUGCUUUUUUUAGAUCUUUUUGCAGUACAAAGACGUCGUUUUGUAUUUUUUGAUGACGUUGUAUUGUUUAACAACGACGGUUAUUUAGCGUCGUGGUUUAUGAGGGAAAAGAUGACGGUGGAUUCCACGACCAUUGAAAAACCAAAUACACGACGGUGAUUUACCGUCGUCUUUUUGCUUUUUUGUAGUAGUGAUUCUUCUUCUUGUAGGAGGUCAUAUUUAUAAUACAACGAAACCUAAAUGGGCAAGUAAAUAAUAAAUUCCUAAAUCUAUUUACAGUAGGAAAUCAGGAAUUAAAGUAAAUCAAUUAUAAUUAUAAUAGGAAUUCUUGGUGUGUAAGGAAAGUAAGUCAAUAUCCACAAGUCACGCCAACACUCCCCCUCACGUUGGUGCAUAGAUGUCGCCAAUGCCCAACUGAUCCAGUGAAUUGUGGAAUGCUUUACUGGAAAUCGCCUUUGUCAAAAUAUCCGCCAAUUGAUCCUCGGAUUUCACAAAAUGCGCAAUCUGGUCCAUAUGUCGGGGUCGUUAGUCGAGAAGUCAUAAUCUGUGCAGCGGAAGAUGCAUAGGAUACAGUUGAGUAGGAAUUAGGAUCGGAAUCUGAGCCUGAGUCGAGGCCUGAGUCGGGGUCGGAGUCGGAGUCAAAAUCGAGAUCGGGGUCUGAAUCAUAGACAAAUUCGAGGUUGGGGUCAUCAUCGGAGUGGGGGUCGGGGUCGUCUUCGGAGUCGGGGUCAGGGUCGUCGUCGUCAUAGUCGGGGUCGGGGUCGGGGUCGUCAAAAGAGGAUCCUGAUUCUGGAUCGGGGUCUGAAUCAUAGACAAAUUCGGGGUUGGGGUCAUCAUCGGAGUGCGGGUCGGGGUCGUCUUCGGAGUCGGGGUCGGGGUCGUCGUCGUCAUAGUCGGGGUCGGGGUCGAGGUUGUUAAAAGAGGAUCCUGAUUCUAGAUCGGGUUCGGGGUCAAAGUCUGCAUCUGUAGGGGCGGAGCCAUCUAGGCACUCAACUCAACGAUGGUUGAUUGAGAAUGAGAGAAGGAGUCGGUGGUGCUACCUCCAUGAGGGUUGAAAAAAUCAUCAACCCCCAUAACACUAAAUAAAAUAAUCUCUAUUACAAUAGGACAAAAUAUAAUUGGUAAGUAACCAAAAUUCUAAUGAAAUAAGGACUCGCCAACACUCCCCCUCAAGUUGGGCAAAGAUAUUUCGCAGGCCCAACUUGACAAGCGAGUCACAGGACACCAUACUUGAGAAACACCAAUUGUAGAGAAGAUCUUUUAGUCAACCACGAGUGAAACAAGUGACAAACUAAAACAAAGUUCACAGCGGAAACACAAGAGCAAACCCUAAAAAAUAGGGCACAUAGCAAAAUAUUAAAACUAUGAGAGAAUAUUUGUUUGUGGGAAUUUUCUGUGUAUUCUUCUUCUUGUAGGAGGUCAUAUUUAUAAUACAACGAAACCUAAAUGGGCAAGUAAAUAAUAAAUUCCUAAAUCUAUUUACAGUAGGAAAUCAGGAAUUAAAGUAAAUCAAUUAUAAUUAUAAUAGGAAUUCUUGGUGUGUAAGGAAAGUAAGUCAAUAUCCACAAGUCACGCCAAUAGUUGAUGGAAACGGAAAAUCCAGUUAUAUAUACCACGUUAUGAGUGGAGAACAAACAACUUUUUUUUACCCCCCAAAAAAAAAACAAUGAACUUUCGAAAACAGUUAUACCACAUUCUUUUCAAUUCAUUAGGUCUCAAACUUUCAGUGAUCUAUUUGAAACUCACAAGAAUUAAUGAAAAUGAGAAAUUGCUUUCUUCCCAAAUCAACUUCUUUCUCAAAUCUACGUGAUGGCAAGUCUUGGUUUAAAUUGGUUUUUUUAAUUAGUAUAUACACCAACGUUUGCUCACCAAAAGAUGUCUCAGUCUAUCAUUUUUCCAAAUAUUGACCCACCAUUAACUUUAUUUAUUUUUAAAAUGGGAAUAGUUUACAAAUAAACUUGUUAAAAAAAAGUUCGUAUAUCUAUUAUGUUGAUCUGUUUUUUUUUCAUUGAAUAAAAGUGAUAGUCUAAAUUACAAAGGGAUGGGCAUAAUACGUACACCAAGAUGUUAUAAGGGUUCAAACAUGAAAUCACUGGUCUGCAAAUUAAGGCCCUUGUCCACUGAACUAAACCAUUGACAUUGUUGAUCUGUUUUUUGUUUGGAAAAUGCUAGGGAGACCAACUUUAGAUACCAACUUGUGUACCAUCUCUCUAAUAGAGCGUGAGACCCAUUGUAUUAGUAGACUUCACCUCUAUUAGAAAGAUGGUACACAAGUUGGUAUCUAAAGUUGAUCUCUCUAGCAUGACCCAUCAACCAUUGCAUCAAGUUGAUACAAUAUAUAUAUGUGAGCUUGGAAAUUUCCAACUUAUGUCAAGUCUUUUAUUUUGCUCACUUUUUCUAUUAUGUCUUUCUUGCAGAUGAUCACAUGAUCGGACUGGGUAAGAGGUUACGUAUUCCUUAAGUGUAGGUUUGACAGCAGUGGAUCAAUAAUCCAAUCCCUACUUUUAAAAAAAGCAGUGGAUCAACCAUUUUCUUUUUAUCAUGAUUCUUUUUGUGAUGUUGCUUCGCAGGAGAAUUUUUCCCUGUAAGAUCUAUGCUUGGGUUUCCAUUUCUGGCUGCUCUUAUAAUCUACAAAUGGCGUAGAAGGCAUUUGUCCAUGUAUAACACCAUCGAAGAAUUUCUACAAAGCGAUAACAACUUCAUUCCAAUACGAUACUCAUACUCAGACAUUAAGAUGAUGACCAAUAGAUUCAGUGAAAAACUAGGUGAAGGAGGAUAUGGCUGUGUAUUUAAAGGAAAGUUACGAAGUGGCCGUUUUGUAGCAGUUAAGAUCUUGGGGAAGUCUAAAGCUAACGGACAAGAUUUCAUCAGUGAGCUAGCCACAAUUGGGAGGAUUCACCAUGCUAAUAUUGUUAAUCUUGUUGGUUAUUGUGUUGAGGGAUCAAAUCGUGCCCUUAUUUAUAACUUCAUGCCUAAGGGGUCUCUUGAUAAAUAUAUUUACUCAAAAGAAAGAAGCAUCUCCUUAAGUUGCAGGAAAAUGUAUGAAAUUUCUCUUGGAGUGGCUCAAGGGAUCGAAUAUCUACAUCGAGGUUGUGACAUGCAAAUUCUACAUUUUGACAUCAAGCCUCACAAUAUUCUUCUGGAUGAGAAUUUCAUCCCAAAGAUUUCUGACUUCGGGCUUGCAAAGCUAUAUCCGGUAGGUAAUACCAUCGUCUCUUUGACGGCAGCAAGAGGAACAAUGGGAUACAUGGCUCCUGAGUUGUUUUACAAAAAUAUUGGAGGUGUCUCAUACAAAGCUGAUGUCUAUAGUUUUGGAAUGUUGUUGAUGGAAAUGGCAAGUAGAAGGAAGAAUUUGAACGCAUCCAUAGAGCAUUCAAGCCAAAUUUAUUUUCCUCGUUGGGUCUCAGACCAAUUUUGCAUGGGCAAAGAGUUUGAGAUGGAUGAUGCUACAGAAGAGGAAAAGAAAAUAAUAAAAAAGAUUAUUAUAACUGCUUUAUGGUGUAUACAAUUGAAGCCAAGCGAUCGUCCUUCGAUGAACAAAGUUAUAGAGAUGCUUGAGGGAGAGGUUGAAUGCUUGCAGCUCCCUCCCAAGCUUCUUUUAUAUCCACAACAAGAGAUGCCCAGAGACAAUCUUCAUGGUAAUUCGAAUCCAAUGUGUUCUAAAACAGAGCUAACAUGUAGUACUCUGUCAGCUAGGUGAUGAGUAAGACUCAAUUAGAGUUUCAACUUUAAUUUCGGUUUUAUUAUUAUUUAAGCUAAUAAGGGAAAUAUAUGGGUUCAAGUUGCAUACAUUAAAAAUACGUUUUUAUUUUGAACAAAUACUUAUGUAGUUGUGCUCCUCUGCCACCACAAGCAUCACCAUCGUUGUCACUAUCACUACCACCAACAUUGAGUCAUAUCUCAUAUACAGUUUUUUUUUUUUUUUUUUUUUUUUUUUGGUUUGAAAAAUGCUAAGGAGACCACCUUUAGCAAAAAAUUUACCUGUAACGGGGGAUAGCAAUAUUUUGCUAUCCCCAAUCAAUAACACAAUGACCCGUAGAAAGGCUAUCAUACGUUUUAUUACAUUAUUGGUUGGGAAUAGCAAAAAGUAUUAUCCCGUUACAUAAGAGUUUUCCCUCCAUCUUUAGAGAGACCAACUUGUGUAUCAUCUCUCUAAUAGAGAUGAGACCCAUAGUAUUGGUGGGCUCUACCUUCAUUAGAGAGAUGAUACAUAAAAGAUGUUUUUAUAAAAAUAAAAUUUAAAUAUUGUAUUUAAAUGUCAUUUUGAAUUCGCACGCUUGGUGAAGAAAUGGUUGAGUAUGCGCUACCAAUCCUUUCUUUGCAGUUAAACUAGUGAAUCUUGAGUGCUUUGAUUCUUAUGUCGACGGUGAACUGCCCAAGCAUGGCUUUCUUCAACAAGUUGGCUCAGUAGAGACUGAGAGUUCAAAUGCAGUUGCUCAACCUUUCUUUGUUGCCUGACUCCUUCCCAAUUGUCGAAGUCAACUUGGGUUUCGAUUUGGGCAUGUGGUCACGCCUUUACCCGGAUAAAAGUACCUUUUGAAUUAUUGGCAAGGGUUUCUUACUUUAGAAAGUCAAAUCUCUGGGCUUGUUUCUGGUUUGACUUGAGCUUCCAUUGUUAAGUCUUUCUAUUUAUGAAUUUAAGCGGCCCAAAGCCCAUUUGUACUUAAAAAAAACCCCUUAAUGGGUUUUUUUCCAUUUUAGGCAUGACCCUUAGAAUUUAAACAAUAUUAAUGUUAUUUAUCUAUAUAUAUAAAGCAAAAGGCAGAGAAUGGUGAAACAUUCAAAAUGCAAGAAAAUGCCCUUCGUUAAUGCAAACAUUAAGAAUUGAAAUUAUUAAUUAAAUGAGGAUAAUAUGGUAAAUUCACACUUUUUCAUAUUUAAAAAUAUUAAACUUAAAAGAAAAAUCAUAUAAUGUAUCCUAUUUUUAUGGAACACAACUACCUAUUAUCUUUUUUAAUUCUAAAAUAAAUUUUAAAUUUUAAAUUUUGAAAAAAAAAAAAAAAAAACUCUCGUAGGCUCGAAAGCGCGUGCACAGAGGCUAGUAAUAAAUAAUAGCCACUUAAGGUUGGCAACAACUACCAAUCAUCAAUGCUUAUUGUUACUGCCACUUGUAGAGGAGUUGUGAUGGCCAGGAAAUCUAGGAUUAGGAAAAUGGGAAAUUUGAGGAAUACAUUUAGGAAGAAGAGUACAUCUAAGAUAAGGAGUGAAAGGAAUGGGAGCUUUAGGCAUUCGAGGUUUAGGAAUGUGAGCUAGGCAAAUCCAGAAUUUUUACUUUCAAGGGUCAACACGUAAAGUGUCACAAAUAUUUUUUUUAGACAAAACUGACCUGUAAAAGGACAUAUAAAAUCAACACUAAUUUACUAUUUGCAAUUAGUCCUAUUAAGGACCUUAGCAUAUAAAAAAUAUGCUUUAAAAUAGGCUCAUAAUCAAUUUAUGCAGUCCCGAUCUCUUGGACCACAGGAGUCCAAGAGAUUGUGGUCACUUACCGUUGGAUAUUAAUCCAAUGGUUCAAAAAAGUUUCUUAAAAGAAGUGCAAGAGUUAGUGAACCGUUGAAUUUACAUCCAACGGUGAGUGACCACAAAUCUCUUGGACCCCUGUAGUCUAAGAGAUCAUGACUGUCAAUUUAUGUUAGCAAUUGUUUGUAUUGCUAGUUAAGAUUAUUAUGUCUUGCUAUAAUAACUUUUAUAUACAUCAUAAAGCCAGCAAAAUUAUUUGGCUGGGUAGGGUUUGCGUUGGAGAAUUGAGUUGCUAAGUUGAACCAGUAAGCCCAUUUCGGCCCGGCUAGUAAGCCCAUUUUGGCCCGGCCAGUAAGCCCAGUAAGCCCAGCCCAGUCAGGCUCAUUUUUUUAAGGGUUUAGGCUGGUAGCAGGCCACCAAAUAUUCAAAGCUUUUCCUACAUGAUUUGAGGCACCACUUCCCUCUUUGUCACCUGCUUUUUGACAAAGAAGGCAUGUGCCAUCAUUUCCCCGCAAAGCCCACGAAAUUGCCACAAGGUAGAAGCCAUAAAGUGGCUCUCACACACUUAACUAAACAAUAAUUUUGACCAAUAUUCAACAAAGAAUCUUCAACAUGCCAUUGUCCCCCACUUUCAAUUCAGAGCAUGGAAUUGGCCUUCGCGUCAAUGAUCACUUGGAAGAAAUUCAUUGGCAAUAUGCAAAACGGGUCCAAGGGAUUUGGCAUAUAUCUAUCAAGCUCCUGUCAAACGCGGCUUUGAGCUCCAAGUCGUCGUGACAAUAGAAUUGCAGCAGCUGCUUGACCAAAGCUUGCUAGCGGAUUGAAGAAGUGUGUCUGAAAAUUUAUCUCUCCAUGGCAAGCACUUGCAGAUUAUGUGUUCUCGUUAUAGUAAGUGUAUUACUGUUUGGUCCAGCUGCCUUUUUUUCCUUUUUCCUUUUUGUCCCAUUUAGCCGUAUAUCUAUUCCAUCAAUUACGAAGAGCCAUGGUAAGUGCAUCCCGUCCGCCUGCGGGAACAUCCACAACAUAAUCAGCCCUUUCCGACUAGCCAACUAUCCAAAUCAAAGCAAGUGCACAAACUGGAAUUACCACUACCUCUUUUGUCACAACAACCUCACAGUAUUGACAGUAGAUUGGGGAAACUACUCUGUGCAGGCAAUCAACUAUGACAACUUCACAAUCCGAGUUGUAGAUCCUGGCAUUCGCAACAAUGAUUUCUCCUCCAUCCCCCGUUAUUCGCUUUCCAUUUACAACUUAACUUAUAGUCAUCUUCGAUUAACCUCAAGUACAACACCUAUAACUUUCUUCAAGUGUGCAAAAGCAGAGAACUCGUCUGUAAUGAGAACAUAUAAUUAUGUCAAGCAAGGGAAUAUAACGGCAUCAGAUAUGGAGGACGGGUGCAGAAUAGAGUGGACG